UGCCGAGCUUAGUAAUGUGGGCUUGUAACCCAAAUGGGGGCAUUAAUGUGGUGGAAUGUUGGGCUGUACCAGAUGGUUGGGCUUGGUGGGCUAAUUUCUGACUUGCCCUAUCCAAGCUUAGAGUUGGAUCAUGUGGCCCAAUUGAAGAAAUGGACUACUUGAUUCGUAAAGUGGGGCGGAAUGCGUGAGGCUGGUUUCACAGAGCAACGAUAAGUUUCCGCUCUAAGCGGUGGAAGGAUAACGAGUCGGUGUUCUCUGAGUCCAGUAACGCCUGAUGGGUUGCUCCAAUUAAACCACCAUUUUUCUUUUUGGAAAGUUACGAUAAACCACAACUUUUUCUUUUGAUGGGCUGCUCCAAUUAAACCACCAUUUUUCUUUUUGGAAAGUUACGAUAAACCACAAUUUUUUCUUUUUCAUUUGGGGGGAGUUACGAUAGUAGAUAGUUAAACGUUGUCUCACAUUCAUGCGGAUAAAGUUGGUGCAUCAUACUUGUUUUUCCUUUCAUACUAGUAAUACAUUAAACAUUAUUUUCGUUGUUUUUUACCCUUCGAUUAAUUCACAAUUUUAUUGUUAUUUUUAGUAGACUAAAAUGACUUUAACGUAAGUGGAUUAUUGAUGAUUCAUAUACCAGAUUCCAACUCGUUUAUGACCGAGUCCAGUAACGCCUGAUGGGCUGCUCCAAUUAAACCACCACUUUUUUUUUUUGGGAAGUUACGAUAAACCACAACUUUUUCUUUUUCUUUUGGGGGGGGGGGGGAAGAGUUACGAUAGUAGAUAGUUAAACGUUGUCUCACACUCAUGCGGAUAAAGUUGGUGCAUCGUACUUGUUUUUUCCUUUCAUACUAGUAUACAUUAACAUUAUUUUCGUAGUUUUUUACCCUUCGAUUAUUUCACAAUUUUAUUGUUAUUUUUGGUAGACUAAAAUGACUUUGACGUAAAUGAAGAAAUAUGAUUAUUGAUGAUUCAUAUACCACAUUUCAACUCGUUUGUGAUCGAAAUAUAACUAUUUUUAUAUAAUCGAAAUCUGAAAUAAAAAGACAUUGAUUAGUGAGAAUUUAUAUAUAUAUUUGUUUCUUAUUUGAGAUAUAAGCUAAAUCAUAAUUAUCGGUAGAAGAAAUCGUUGCUAAUAUACUAGCAGAAUUAGAAACGGAAAUAUAGUUUAAGAAGUAAUAAAAUUGUGUUUUCUUUAGAUAUAUAUAUAUUAUAUUAUUUGGACAUAAAACAUAUUUGUUGUAUCUUUUACGACAUAUAUCGUAAGAUAUUAUGAUACAAAUAUAUAAAAUUAUGCUCCUAUUAUACGUAUUUAUUUGUUAACUUUUGUAAGGAUACUCGAUAAUAGAAAAUUUUGAAACGAAGACUUCUUCUGCGAUUCCUAUUUUCUCUAUAAGGGUCAUUUGAUCAUGGAAAAAUUAUAUGAAUUAAUACAUUUUUAAAAAUAAAUAUUGAUUUUAGCGAUACUUUUUGUUUAUUACUAUGUACUGUGAUAAAUUUGUAAUAUGUAUUAAAAGUGAAUUAUUUAUGCAAUAUAUUUGAAGUAUAAUUGUAUUUGAAAUAUAUUAUGUUCGUUUGGUAAAAAAUUAUUACAUUAUAUUAUAAGUGUAUUAAAAUAUGAGAUAAAUGUAUUAUCCACCAUUAAAACUUGUAUUAUAUUUGAAUAAUAAAUUUAUCUUUGUAAUAUGUAUUAGACUUGUAUUAUAAAUGAGUUAAAAAUGGUCAAGUAAAAAAAAUGUUAUUGCUAUAAAUGGUAAAUAUUUUUUUUAUUAUAAUAUAUUUACGUAAAUUUCCCUUUGAUGAUUAUAAUUGAUUUGAAAUCCAAUUUAGUGAGGAUUCUUUUAAUUGAUUAAAACUUAAACAUUAGUAAUUAGAAACUAAAGAAAAGUUUGAGAAAUUAUGUUUGCCUAGAUCUAAAUUCAUAAUUAGUAAAUAAGAUAAUCUUUAAUUAAAGAUCCAAUAAAAUACUUUAUUCUAUAUUUUAUUAUUUUUAUCCACUCAUUGAAUAAAGUUUAAACUUUUAUUUUUCUUUUUGCAAGUACCACAUCGAAAAUUUAAAUCAAACUUUGGUACUAUAUAUUGACCUGAUGGACUUUAUCUUAUCGCCGAGCUCAGUAGCGUGGGCUUAUAACCCGAGUGGGGGCAUUAAUGUGGUGGAAUGUUGGGUUGACCCAGAUGGUUGGGUUCGGUAGGCUUAUAGUCUGGCCUGCCCUCUCCAAGCAUGGAGUUGGAUCACGUGGCUUAGUCGAAAGACCAGGUUGCUUGAUUCCUAAAGUGGGGUGGACUGCGUGAGGCUGGUUUCACAGAGCAACGAACAGCUUCCGCUCUGUGCAGUGGAAGGAUAACGGGUCAGUGCUCAGCGAGUCCAGUUAACGCCUGAUGGGCUGCUCCAACUAAACCACCACUUUUUUUGCAGAGCAUAUAUUAUUUUGGCUCGAACUCUGUAUUUGUGCUUAAAAAGCCACUUAAUAUGUAUACAUACAUAGUUUAUCGAGAAUCCAAUAAGCUAUGUUUUCUAUAUCCAGAACUCAUUGACUCAAAAUUUUACGUUUAGACUCGGUAUGUGUGGUUAAAAAGCCACUUAAUUAUGUAAACAUACAGUUUAUCGAGAACCCAAUAAGCUAUGUUUUCUACAUCCAGAACUCAUUGACUCAAAAUUCUAGGCUCGAACUCUGUAUGUGUGGUUAAAAAACCACUUAAUAUGUAUACAUAUAUAGUUUAUCGAGAAUCCAAUAAGCUAUGUGUUCUACAUCGAGAACUCAGACUCAAAAAUCAAGCUCCGCCUCUGCGCUGGAGCAACUCAAAUAGACAACAAAAGCUGUCUAUUUAUAGCAUUUUAGUCCAUGAAGCCAAGAAUGGGAACAUGGAAAUCAAUAAUCUUAACAAAAGGGGCGUAUCGCUAGUCGCUUCUGGUCUACUUAACUUACCUUUUUCCACAGGUAUUUUUGCUGUUUCAGCUGAUGAUUUAUCUGAACUUUUGCUAGAUUGCAUUUCUUGAUCAAGUUCAUCCCACCCUCCGAAUCUAGAUACCUCUCGGUCAUCCUUACUAGCUGAAACGUCACUGUUGGACACCCAUGAUUGAUAGCCCGUCUUUCUCUUUCGUGUCUUGGAGCUUCCUCCUCUUCUCCAAAAGUUUGUCUUGCUUGAGUUGGGAGCAGCGCGUUGUCUCUUCUUAGCUGUACUCUUGCGCGUUGGUUUGUUUUGUAUCACGUCCAGUAUCUUUUGGAUUGCAAAGAAAAGCGUAGACUGUCCAAUGGGAAGGGCGAAUGCCAUAGCAAAAGCUUUAGCUCCUCCAGUAGAAAUCAAUACUAUUAGAAUUGGUAUUAACACAAAACCGUAGGAGCAGAAGACCUGCACUGGCCAAGAACGAUAACUUGUAAGUUGUUUGACGAAAAUCAUCUUACCUACGUUUCAAUUUCUACUCGAGAACGUUGUAGCAAGACUAGUCAAUAGUUAGAUAGCUAUAAUUAGGAAGUCAGUCGAAAAUGUAGUGAAAAGAAAGCUAUUGAAAGUAUAGACGAACACAUCGAGCAUAGCUCUUAAAUGAUUAUAUUAACAGAUUUAUCAAGAAUCAAAGAGCCUUUCAAGUCCAAAGCCUCGAGAUCCUGGUUAGUAGUACUGCAGUUAGAUAAUGCACGAUUUAUACUCAUAAGUUGCGGUGGAGCCAGGAUAUCGGACAUGGACAGUGGAUAGGGGAAACUUUCGGAUUUUGGAAGAUUUGAUUGGGCAUAAGACUGGAAGAAAGGCUUGGGCCAUUGGGCGGGAGGACGUUUGAGGACAAAUGGUAAUACUCAACCAAACGAUAUACAGGAAGAACGUCUGAAACUGAUGGAAGAUCUCAGAAGAAUAAUUAGCAUAGGAAACUAGUAAAAUGUUGAAGUUCUUGAGUUUUGAUACUGAUUCACUUCAACGGAAGUUACUUUGGAGCCUAUCAGAAACAACCUCUCUACCUUCACAAAGUAGGGGGGGUAAGGCCACGUACAGUCUACACGUUGUUUCAUAACGGAAAUCUUGGAACAAUCAACUGUUCUAUACUAAAUUCACUAAGUUAGAAUCAUGUACUUCAACAAUUUGAACUCAAAAGAACACAACCUAUCAUUUCAAGAAAACAUUAUACUAAAUUCACUUAAUUCUAAAUCAAGCUAAUGUAUCUAAAUACACAAAAGCAAUCUGGUUCAGUCUCAGCAUAAUCCUAAAGGCAUCACUUUACACUAAACAUCUUAUUUCAUGAAAAAAAUACAAAACAAAAUAACAACAUACUUCCAUCUUUCUCAAAGAAAAAUAAAAUGGAUUCAGGUUAAAAGUACAGAUUCCACAAAAACCUCAUCUUCCUUCAAUCCAAGAAGUACCUAAAAAUGUCAAAACUCCAUAUCCAUGCCAAAAAAAUCCAAACUUUAAGCUGAAAACCCAAAAUUCAAGUACCCCAAAAUGUCAAAACCCCACAUCCAUGCAAAAAAAUCCAAACUUUAAGCUCAAAACUCAAAAUUCAAGUACCCCAAAAUGUCAUAACCUCAUAUCCAUGCAAAAAAAUCCAAACUUUAAGCUGAAAACCCAAGAUUCAAGUACCCCAAAAUGUCAAAACUCCAUAUCCAUGCAAAAAAAAUAAUCCAAACUUUAAGUAGAAAACCCAAAACUCAAGUACCCAAAAUGCCAAAAAGAAACCAAACUUCACAGGAAAAAAAAACAGGAACACAAGUUUAUAAUUCAAGAAAUAAAAGGGGAGAAGCAAGAAAAGCCACUACCUUAAAGAUCCAAAUACUUUCAAUAUACUCAGCAAAAAAUUGAGCUCCUUGUUCCAAGAAUUCCUCCUCAUCAAGCUCCUCUUCCUCAUCUUCAAGAUUAUUAAAAUUCUGGUUCUUGAUGGACUCAGCAUUUGAGUCCCACUUACUAGAAGGCCUACUGCAGCAGAUGUGAAGGGGCUGCUGCUGCUUCUGCAGCAGAAGAUGAGAAGAGAGUGGAUUUAGAGGGUUUAAAGAAAUGGGUUUUUGAGUAAAGAAAAGAAGAGGUGAAGGGCUGGGGUUUAAGGGUAAGUGAAGAUGAAGAAGACCACCAUCACCCCUAUUGAUGGUGGUCUUCAGUCCAUUCCAUUGGCCAAUAUUACUCAUCACAUUAUCCUCUCAAAUAUAUGACUAUUUCAAUAAAUGAAUUGUAUAUAGUCCCCAAUAUUUGUGUUGUUUGGUUUUAACAUUUUAAAGUGAUGUAAAAUACAUGUCAUGAAUAUUCGAUAUUGAAGUUCUACUCUCUUUAGCGAAUGUUUCUUCAUACUCAAAAGAAACUUUAAAUUCGAAAUCUCUAAAUAUGGACAAAGGAAAGGAGAUGAUUGGCCAAACUUUAAAAUCUAACUCAAUUAGAAGACAUUGAAUAUCUCUAAAUAUAAUUUUCAUAGAGAGAACCUUAAACUAAACACUUACAUAUUCGCAUCCUUCGUUUCAAUUUAUUUAUUGUGUGUCAAAUCAAAAUUAGACGAGCAAAUGAUAGAAGUAUUUUAUAUUACCCUACUUUAUAUUCCCCUUUCCCAUCUAAUGAACAUAUACCAAUUGAAGUAGAUUAACUAAAUAAUUUUGUCAAAUCAAACUUGAUAGAAUUCAAUUAAUAGUAAAAAUGGAAAAACCAACUCUUUUCUUUUUCUUUCUUUUACCAUUAGUCUACAAAACAGAAACCAUUAAAAAGUACAAAAUGUUGAAUACAUAAUAUAUAAACACUUGCAUGUUUGUGGCUGGAAAUUUUCUUUUUUUUCUUCUUGAACCUUCACUUGAAAGAAAACCAACUAGUCUAUUUCAAUUUCUGAUGUACAUUUGAAGCCAUAUAUCAAUACAACGAAAUGUCAAACUUUGCAGAAACAGCAAUCCCAACUUUUCGACGACAUUUCCUCUUCUAUCAUGUUAGUAUUUUCUCAGCUCUCCUGAAGCCACCUUAAGCACAACGAUUUUUGCACUCUCUUGUAGCACGAAAAAGAUCAGUCAGUCUGUAAUGUCUAACGUAAGUACACAACCGGAAGUAAAAAUCCUCUCUUUGCCACCAGUGGCACACAUUCAACCAACUAUACAGCAAACCAUCAGCAACACACUCAACUUUGAAGCCACCAGUCAUUGUCCUGAUAUGUGUAUUUUCGUUACAGCCUGAAUAAUCGGAUGUGUUAGACAAACAAAAUGUUUCAGAGGAACAUCAAAAGAGCAUAAUCAAGAGGUAUAACCCUACUCUCUCAUGAAAAAAUGGUUUGACGGUGAUGAUAAAAGAUGACAGAACAUGACUCAGGACUGAAAUUAAAACAAAUGAAGAAUUGGAAUUCAUGCAACACGGUGGCACUUGAAUCAACUUUCCCGGGUGAAUUUGACUUUCGAGUUCCAUCAGUUUGGUACUUCCCUCCAAACUGUUCUUUGUUGUAUUUUCUAUUAUAGAUAGUUGUUUCGACAAAUCUCAGGGUUAUGUCAAAACACAAAUUGGUCCAUAGAUUGAAAAUAAAAUAGACAUAAAUCAUGUACUAUUUAGUCAUAUGUUUCCUCCUAUCAAGUAGAUCAACGAACAAAUAUCUAAAUCUAAGUCAACCACCCCCAAUCCAUAAGGGCCCUUCAUCCAAAAUCGGUUUCAAGAAGCAGGCUUUCAACUCAUAAGGAUGUAUGUGAAAGCAUAGGAAAGAAGCCAGAAGCAUCAAUAUGGCAACUAUUGACAGAACCAUGGAAAAGAAACAAGAUAAUUACCGAGUUUUACAACUACAACCAUCUGCUGACAUCAAUAGUUUCUAGCCUUCUAAAGCAUAUGUUGGGACCUGCAUCACAUUUGCAAAAUAACAGUGUCAUUAGCAGAAAUGAAUAUCCCACACCAAAACCCCCCAGGGCAUCAGUCAUGGACAAUUAUUAUUUUUUUGGUUAAAGAUUUUAGUUCUAGUUGUCUAUAAGAAACAACCUCUCUAACCCGUAAGGUAGGAGUAAGGUUUGCAUACAUCGCAGACCUCGCUUGUAGAAUUGCACUGGGCAUGUUGUUUUUGUUGUAUUACAGUUCUAGUUGACACAAAAUUAUGCAAAUAAACUUGAUGACUGGCUUCGGUUCCCAAAGGUGCAACCACAUCACUAGAGGAGUUGGUACUUGUCAAUUAACUGGAGUGUCCACAUCCGGAUACUCUCUUUCCGCCCUUGAUUCAUACAAAGCUAGCUCAAUCUUUGAACUACUAUUCUUCCCCAUUUCAUUUUCUGUCUGUUACCUUUAAUGCUUGUUAAGAGUGUAUGUGAUCAGUCAUGUUUCCGACUGAUCUUCAAAUCCCCACACCUUCCAACAACUUAAACUAAAGUAUAUUAAGAAAGAGAACUAAUGAUAUCAAAUACUCCUGACUGUACCUACCAACCAAUCAUCCCCCACCCCACCCCACCCCACCCCCCCACCCCAAAAAAAAUUCAAUUGGUGCAGCAGGAUCAAGUUGUUGCUCUACUAAAGUCAUGAUUUAUAGAAGUCCAACCAGAAUUAAGAUAAACUUUAAAAAGCUUUAGACUACCUCGAGCAUGUCUUCAUCAGGGGAACAGGAUACUGUAGAGUCCAAACCAUUUGAUUUAUCAAAUUGCAGGAUCCUCAAUUUUCCUUCCUGCACAAUUUAAUGUUAAAAAAAAGAAGACGAAUACUUUUGAGAAUAUGAACAAUUUUAUAGUUGUAACCAAAAAAUGAGAAACUCAUACAAUGUCUGCAUAACUACCUUAGUUCCAUAUACUAGGCCACCACCAACCAAAGGAUGGAAACAAGCAACGUUAACCUCAUCCUCUGCACUGGGAAGAACUCUCACAAGUUCCAUAUCCGAAACUCUAUAGACCUGAUUCAAAGACUCACAAUCUGAAUUAACUAGAGAAAACAAAUAUAUACACCGACAUUGUGAACAAACCAAAUUCAUUCUUCUUGCAGGUUCAACCAAAUAAUCUCAGUAAAAUGUGAGCGAAAGCAUAAUUCUCCCUUUUUAAGUUUUAUGAAGUUCAAAAACAAAGUGCAUCAACACAAAAGAAAUUAUUUUGACAUACUAGUAAACUAAUUGAAUUGGGCCUCUUCAACCUUAAAAGUGUCCUAAACACAUUGUCACUGCACUUGCAUAUCAAGCUAUAGUAGCUCCAGUUUAUCUAGCCCCAUUUUCAUCAACUUAAAUCCAGUCUUUCUAAAGUUAAACAUAUCCUGCAUCACUUUGCCUAGCCCACCCCAACUUGUUUUGGACCAACGUAUAGUAGUUGAGGUUGUACUUCUUCUUCCCUUUUUAAUAAGGAAAUGAGGUUGUGCUUCUAAAAUUAGUUUUUGGUUGCACUGCAAUUGAAAAUAGCCUCAACAAUCCAUUUAUGCCAUACUAUUUGACAGGUACAGGAGAUUAAAUUAGAUCAAUCAACAUGUCAUGUGACCGAUGACUGAUGUGAAGAAGAAAAUGGCAAUUUGAGUUUUCUGUACAAAGAGAAGAAAAACAUAGUAGCAUGAAAUCAAAGGUAAAUUCUUCAAAGUUGUGAAAUGUAAUUUAAAUUCAUCUAAUUUGUAAAUAGUGCACAACAUAUUCUCGUGCCAUAUCAAUUAUCAAACCUUCAUGGACAUACCAUAGUGAAACAUGGGUGACACAACAUGGGUCAGAAGGAAUUAUAUGGCUAACCCUCUGUGAUUAACUAGACUCUAGAACCAACUGUCCAUAACCUAGAUUGAUUGGCUCAGAGGUUAAGAAGUCAAAAACCCUUGCAUGUUUGCAAAGAGUAAAUGAAAUAUUUGAAGAACUUCUUAGAAAUGUAAGUGACAGAACAAAAACCUUAUCAGGUUUAAAACCAAACUUUUGAAACUUCCGUAUGUCAUAUAAUUAUGUCAAUCAUUUUCACGAUGUUCUAAAAUAAGAAGUGUGCUACCAUGACCCAGUCUUGGUGGUGGUGAAAAACUGACAUUCCAUAAGAAACCAGGAUAUAAUCAGGUACUCACCUCAAGAAUAGUGUAGACAGGUAGAGUUGUAUCUCCAUCGAUCACAAUACUUUUCAGAAGUGAUCCAUGGCGACGUCCAUAGGCAAGUAAAAGAUGCUCAGAAGUUGGAGAGAACUGCAUUUUCAAUAGAUGUGGAGCAACAAUCAGUUUCCCAUAUCAGAAAGAUAACAUUUCAGUCUAUAAGAGCAAUUAUUACUGCAAUUUAAAGGUGCAUUUCAUAAAAUUGCCAUUGUGAACAUCUCUUGACUAGUGAAAUCACUUGAGACACAUUUCUUUAUCCAGGAAAAAGUAGGUUCUUUUUGUGCAAAUAACAAUGCACAGAACGAUCUACAUUUAUAAUUAAACAGUAAGCAAAAUCAAAUAUAACGAAGUAUAGAAGUGAACGAAACAAGAUAAGGUACAACACCAACCCAUAGGAACUUUAAACAAAAAAAGAAAUUCUACUCUCUAAAGGAAGGAUCAAUAUUUGUGCCCAGGAUUUCUUAUUGAACAAGUGCUCAACCAGUUUUAAACUUCAUAUCCAAACAAAACAACGAGAGAGCACUUCCCCUUCAUUUUUGUUCUCAUCUAACAAUUCAUAUUUUGCUUUUACUUCCUCAAAGGAUUAAGACAAAAAUGCUACAACAAGAAAACCAUCUAUAGUUCAUACUCCCAGAAAACCAAAAAAUCUUACCACAAAACAUAAUUUAGGAUUAUAAACCAAUAUGUGCAGAGCCCGAGGAGUACUAACCUGAAUUGAAGUCAAACAAUGAGCAGCUCUAAUUAGUCGAGAUGCAAGCACCCUACCAAAACUGCAACAGUGAAAUAGAGUUCCCAAAUGACCACCAAACAAAGACAUGAAAAGAAACAAAGAAUGAAGGACAAAAAGAGUAGCAAGUGUAAGCAGAGAGGAAAAGGAACAAAGACAUUAGAAUUGGUAUUUACUUUGCCUCCUCCAAGGAAUAUAUACGUAGCUCAUACAUAACCGGGUGGGCUGCAAUUGGAUGUCUGGUAGGUGAAGUUGCAGCAUCGUGACGAAAUUGUCCAUGGAAACCAGGAUCAGCUUCCAUGCCAUGACUAAUACAAGCAACACAAGCUGCUAAAAAUCUUCCACAUGGUGAAAAGUGGGCACCCAUUUCACUGAAAUAAAUAAUGUAUAUCAUGUAAGCACUAAGGACAGUUAAUUGCACGUGAUGUCAGGUUUUACAAUGAAAUAACAAUUAGGAAUUGUCAAACAACGGUAAGAGGAGAAUCAUCAAUUAUCCCUUAGAGAAAGUUAGAUCAAGCAUCUAGAACAACAUGAGAACAGCUAAAUAGCCCAUUAUCCUUGAAGGCAUAUGAAAACCUCAAGCCAAAGCUUUGAAACAAUAGAAAUUAUCUCAUCUACAAAGCACAGCAUGUGGUAUCAUUAAGCGACAACAGAAAUUAUCUCACCUACAGAGCACAGCAUGUGGUAUAAUUAAGCGACAUUUUUCAGCAUCAAGCGGCGCACAUGGAACCUUAAUAUCAUAAGGCCACACUCUGAGUUUCACAGUACAAGGUAAUUCAGAAGAAGCUGCUGCAGUCAGGGAAGUAGCUAUCUCUGACUGGAACCGACUCAUAAGAGCUUGAGAAUCACUUUCAUUAUGUGCAAUGUUAAUGGGAACAGCACUAUCACCAGAUCCAGCAACAGGUAUUACUCUAGAGCGUGAAGAACGGUGCCGGGAACCAGAUCUUCCAGACCUUGGAUGAUUACCGUUUGAAAUGAUGGACGGAACUGCAGGACGAUGUUCUACUUCACCAUAAGCUGAUACAAUGUUUGUGGCACCACUAUGCUCAGAAUGAAUCGCUUGUCGGCCUGCUUGGCUUUGGCCAAUCAACCAUCCUUGCAAGAAUGGUAAGUCCCAGUAUGCAGGGUCACUGAAAGGAAAAAACUGAUUGUUUCUCUCCUCAGUCGGCGCAUCAGUCUCCAUAGGAUCACCAACAGGGUUAGAUGCAUUCUCUGUAUCCCUAACAGAGGAACUAGUCUGAGCUUCUUGCGCAGGAGAUAAAGUUGGCUCAACAGGGGACAAUAAAAGUUCAUACUGGCCAGAAGGAGUUGAGUAAGUGAGAAGUCUGACAGAGGCAGAAGUGUCUGCUCUGUUCUGUGUACUGUCAGAACCCAUGUCUGCAUUACUCUGCUGCAAAGGCAUUCUAGGAUCACCUCUAGCGAUUGAUGGCCAGAUCAUGAACGGUAGAGACAUGAUAGGCAAUUCAUUCGCUGAAGCAGAUCGAUAAGUGGAGUGAGCAUCUGUCAAAUACACAGUAGGAGGAGGAUACCGCAAGUUACCCAGAGAAGUUGUAAAUGUCAUUAAAGGAUCUGAUGAGUCCAGAUCAUUGACCUAAAAACAAGAGGGUUGAUAAGAUUUACAGGCAUUCAUAAGUUAAAACUCAAUGUAACAGCACCAGAAUGACACCUCAGCUGUUAAAAGAUAUGGGGCGCCAUGUGGGUGGAAAUGCACAGCACGAAGUGAACGUCUUGUCUUUAGUAUGAUAGCUGGUGAAGAUGCCUCCCCUCUUCUGUUGUAGUGCCACAUAUACAGCUACGAUAUAUUGAAACAUCGUCAUACAUCAGAACUUGCAACGAACAAACCACUAUGUAUUGCCAAAUUUCUUACCUUGUGCCCUGAAGCAACAGCGAGAACUUCCCCUUGGGCAUGGAAGGCAAUGGAUGCAAUAGGUCGGUCUGGAGGAUAAAAUUCCCAUAUAAUGUAUUAAUUAAACAAAAAAAAUGGUAAAGAGUAAUUAUUUUUGUUCAACCAUUAAGAUGUUACAGGUUAUUACAAAAAUCACGUGAUCCUAUACACUCGGCGGUUUUUGCAUCCCAUAAACGAACUUCAUGGUCCAAACUUCCACUUGCAACUAUCUCAGAGUAGAGUGGAUGGAAACGAACCUGCAGAAGUCCCAACCAUAAUGCUAAAUAUAAUUGAGGAAUGAGAUUCAAAGGCAAGAGAAGAAAUAUCAAUACAGCCAAGACGUGUGGAAAAAAAAAACACCAGAGGCUUUCAAAAUAGAACUACAGACAACAGAAAAAAGCUUCAUAAAGUUCAAUCCUCUUCCAUAAGUGUGAGGUUCAAAUGAAAUGAAUUAGGCUUAGACCUGUGAGCACACAUCAAACAUUUAUCUCUCUAUUUUUUAGAUAGAUACCAAUCAUUUAUCUGCAUUAAUAUUUUAACCAAAUAAGAUAGUUUAGCCAUCUUAGAAGAACAUCAAUAAGCAUUAAGUUAAAAGAAUAUAAUACUUCGACAUUUUGUAAAGCCAACUAUAUUGUCAAUCCAAAAUCUCAGCAUUUUAAUUGCCUAGUGGACUGGAAUAUAUUUCCCAAGUAGAUAAUCCAAGAAUUCAGCACAACUGUUUAAGAUGACUGAAGAUGUCAAAACAGUCUUACCACCCAAGGAGUCCUGCGAUGUCCACUUAACACCUUCAAGCAUUUCCCGCUUUGGCAGUCAAUUAUCUUUACUGUGUGAUCUCCACUGACACCAUGGUAACAGAAUACGUCAACGAACUAGAUACAAGCCAAAAGAAAAAAUGGACAGCACGGAAAAAGUGGAAUGUUUGCCUUUGUUCUCAAUUCAUGAAUAUUGACAACGGAUUGCAUUUUUUUUUCCUUUUUUAUGAUAUGAAUAUAGUCACUGAGGAUUUAGAAAUGUGUGUAUAAUGAAUACUUGGACUCAAAAGAUAUUGUUAGAUAAACAAUUUCAGAUCUGAGCAGCGAGACACUACAAUGCAUAACAUAACAGAUUGUACAUGUCGAUGUAUUAAAAGAGAGACUGACUGAGUAGAAGCAAGUGUCUUCCCAUCAGGACUGAAUGCCGCAGCAAUUGUAGACCUAGGCGGAGGCAACAGUGGACAAUACUUAGCUGAAAAAUGUCUCAAUGAUUCUGCCUCUACCCUGAUAAAAUUAAACUAGCCGAAGUCAGAAAGCAAAAUGAAGAUUUGCAACUAUAUUAACUUCAUGGGAAAGAGAAAAGCUGACAAAACAUAACUACCAUGAUAUAAGACCCCGUCUCGGGUCUCUUGCUACUUGGCUUUUUAACUUCUCAUAGGAAUGAGCACAAUAUUUAGAAUUCUCAUCCCAUAACUUCUUAGAACUACGUUUAGCUCGAGGAGAUACCUCCCUCUUCGUUAGUAGCUGAAAGACAUUACCACAUCUGGCAAACAAAAUAAACCACCUCAGCAACCAAAAUACAACCUUAUUUGUGCAAUCUAAUUUACAAACUUCGCACAUAACCACAAAAGUUAAUCUUUGAGAAAACACUAACAACACUUACCCAUGUGUAUCAUAAACAUAUCUUUUUUUUACAUAGUAAACGCCACCAUCCCACCCCACACCAGAACCCACUCAAGGCGAGAAGUUGAAGGUCAUUUCCGCUAUGCUACUCCGCAAUUACAAUAUAAUUAAAUACAACAUUAAACAAUUAAAAACUGAUAUAUUUCCCAUCUUUGCAAAAAUAGUUUCAAACUAAACUCACCCCAAUUAAAGCUUACGAUCAAUCAUUUUAUGCAAAGACAUAUUCCAACAGCAACCAUAUCAGAAGCAUUACAAUUAUCCAUAUCACCAUGAACCCUUUUAAGCUAACAAUAAGUAUGCCAACAUAACAGAUAAAACUCACAUAUUUUUUGGUUAAGAUUUUUAAUUAAACCAAAAAAAAAGAAGUUGUUUUCAGCCUCAACCCUUCUCUGCUUAAAUACCAAACUUAGUUCACCAGACAAAACUCCAACUGGAGGUCUGCCUCUGAGUUUAUAAUAUUGUGUAAUACAGUUUCAUUAAUUAAAAGAUGCAAAUAUCAUAAUUAUAUUAACUCAGAUAAAUCAUGAAUUUCCAAUUCUAAAACCAAUCAAAGCCUCUUAAUCUAGCAUCGAAUAAGCUGAAACUAAACUAAAUUUCAGAUCUUUGAAUGACAUUAAUCAAAAUCAAUAAAAAUUCAAUCUUUAGGGUUUCAGGAUCAAAACUAUGACCUGUUUUUGCAAUUAGGGUUUUGCUCAAUCGGAAGAGCAGGCGAAUUCCAUCCCGGCGGCGGCGGCGGCGGCGGUACAUGAAUCGGAUUUGACGUAGAUGAAUCACUACUUGAAUUCUCCGGCCAAAGAGAUCCCCUCAUAAUUCUAUCCCCACAAACGAAUACCUCAUGCCCCAAUAUUUCCCGUCAUUUCCAAUGGAACUUUUCCGGCGAAAUAUUAAAAAAUCGAUAAAAUUAUCCGAAAAUGCCCUCAAAUUUGGUGGAAUUUACACCGGGAAAUAUAGAGGGAUGGAGGAUAUAGAGAUCUUGUAGAAGGGCAAAAUGGGAAGAAAAAAAAAUUUAGGGGAAAAUGAGAAAAAUGAAGAAGACGACGGAAGGUAUUUUUUUUUUUGAGAGUUUGGAGGAUUUUUCCGGCAUCGGACAGUAAUAUGUUUACUUUAAUGUAAAAUGACAAAAAUAACCUUGGCGCGUGAGGUACAAAUAUUGUGAUUUGUUAUUAAUAAAAAUGAAAUUUAUUUUUAUUUGUAGAUGUUUGAUUUAUUAAACUAAUAAAAAAAUAAAUUAAAGAAAAAAUAUUUAUAAAUGAGGAUAAUAUAAAAUUUGUGUUUUGGUUUUCUAAAAGAUUGAUUAGGGUUAACUUUUAACUGAUAUUUUAUAUGGAAUGGAGAAUAUUUUUCUUCGCUUUUUUUUAGUUGUCAUGAUAAGCUCUGUUAUAAUCUCUAAUAAAGAUUAAAAAAAGUUGUUUAAUCAAUAUAUGAUUAUUAAAUUUUUAAUCUUUGUUAAUAUAUAUGUCUUUUAAACUCUAAAAUAAUUAAUGUUAUAGGUAUAGUUAGAAAACAAUAACUAAUUUUUUCUUUGAUUUGUUUGAAUUGGCAACUAUUUGAAAUAAAUAUGUUUAGUAUACAUGACAACUGAAAAGAACGGAGAAAUGUAUUAUUAUAAUUAGAAGUAUUCAACAUCGAUUGUAACUCAUAAGUCAAUCGCACGAUUGACUUAUUGGCUUAUUGAUAUUAGUGUUUUUCCAUAAUAUAUAAUUAUAUAUAAUCAAAAUCUAAGGUCGUACCGCAAAAAAAGCUUGAAAACAUAUUUUUAACUAUUAUAUUAUUAUUAAUUUAUAUUCUUUUUUGUAAUUAGAAGAAUGUUAUAAUUUAACUGUAUUUAAAAUAGGAAAACAAUUUAUUUUUACGUUAUUAUCAUAAAAAAGGAUACAAUUCGCCAAUACAAGUGUUAUUCAUUAUGAAACUAAUCGAUAUUUUAUAAAUUAACUAGCAAAUUAGUAAAUUUAAAAAUUAAUAUCCAGUAAAUGAAUUCGAUAAGGGCCUAAUUGUAAUAUGAUAUUCAUAGUCCUAAAAUAGAAAAUUUUAUCUAGUACUAUAUAGGAUAACCUAAUCCUUUUUUAAGUCUGAAAAUAUUAUUCAUUAUCUCUAAAAUUUAUUAAGUCAUGCUAGUCGAUAUUUUUUUUUUUAAUUUGCAGAACAUUGUUUAUCUCAUUUAAAUGACUUGUAUGUCUCAAUUAAAAAAAAGGUAACUAGUACAAAAAUUAAAAAAUAAACUCGAGAGUGUACUUAAUUCUCAUUAAAAAAAAAUUACAUUAUUUAAAGAGAAAAAAAUUAGACUCAAACAAUUAUGUAUUUGAAUAAUAAAUCCGUCUUUGCUUCAAUUUAACAAUGGUUGUCUCAAUUUUCUGUUAGUUAUAAAUAGAAAUAAGAUAAAUUUACCAUUUUUUUUUCAAAUUUAACUCAAACAGUCGUCUACUUAAUUGCUUAGAUUGUUAUAAAAUUUAAAAUUGUUAAAAAGGGUCUGUUCAACCUCAUCCGGCUCAAUUCUUACGGGCUAAUGACUUUGAAGGAUUAGGAUUGACUGACCCUUCAUUUGGAAGGACCUAAUUAAAAAGGGUUGAGGGUUAGGGCGGGCGAGAUAGCUUCUUCUUCGUUUUUUUCAAAAGUUUUAUAAUAUUAAAAAAACGAAAGACUUCUAUAUCAAAUAUGACAAAAAAAAAGGUGUUGUUUCAACAACACUAGCAAAAAAUAUAGAGUAAUUAAAUUAAUAUGUAUCUAGGAUACUAUAUAUGCGAGACGCAUGUAUCUUGUGUAAUAUGUUUCAUAUACGCGAGUGAGAUAAGAGAGUGGCAAGCGAGAUGAGAGGGAGACGAGGGUGUGAUAUUUGUCUAUGUAUCCUAGAUACAUGUGACUCCACUUUUACAGAGUAUUUCUAAAACAAAUUAACUUAUUUUGAGUCCAUAUUCCUAAGAUACAAAUAUCUAGACGUACAAAAAUCUGAUAAGAUUCAUAAAAUUACAGCUUAUAUACAUUUAAGUAAUUAACUCUAUACUAGUGGAAUUAUUUUAAGUUACCCCUGAAAUAAAUAAUUUUGAUUCAUGGGCUAACUCUCAUCUGAUUCCGCUCAAGCCUCAAGGGCCAAAAACUUGUAUGUAUUGAGCUUAUAAGCCAUACUUCUAAAUAAACUUUAAUUUUUUUUAUCCCAAUCCUGCUCCAACAAAUAAGUUGGGUUGGCUCGAUAUGGAUUAAGUCUAUUUUGACGGCUCUAAUAAAAUUAAUAAAUAUAUGAUAUAUGUAUAAAAUGUAUACAUAAUUAUGUAUUAUUUUCGUAUAUAUAUAUAUGUAUAUCAACUCGGAAAAAAAAACUGCAAAUUCAAGAUUGUAAAGUUUUUUUCUUUUAUAUUAUUAUUGAUAUUAUUUCUAGUUUCUAUUAGGUGAAUAUAAAUAAUAAAUAAAUUCAAUUAUUAGAUUCCUUUGGUAUGUUCCAUAUCCAAUAAUCCAUUGAUUGGAUAUCCACUGAAAAAUCAUUAUCCAUUAAAUCAAAAUUAGAUAAACUUUCUUAUAUGGCGGUCAAAAUUAGCAAUUGGUCCACCUUUGACCAUUAUGUAUGCAAUGACAUAAUUAAAAAAUUCAAAGAAUUCACGUUAAAAUAUUUAUUAAUUUACGAUAUUAAAACUCUCGCAAAGUUUAUGUGUCUUAUUAAAAAACAAACUUUUUUUAAUAAGGUAAUUAUGUAUUUUCUUAGUUAGAAAUAAAAACAUCUCUCUCGAAAAAUAUUUUAUCCUUUUGUGGAUUAGUUUAACAAGUUUUUAUUUUUUAAAUAAAUUUAUCUCAUGUGAUUACAAUUUUAUCGAUUUGAUGAGUUUUUAAAUAUCAAAUGCCUAAAACCAAAAUCAUUAAUUAAUGACAUGAUAUAUGUUAUUCUCUUCGUCUAAUAAUAAUUGUAUAUUGAAGUAUAUAUUUAAAAUAGUUGUAUAACAAUAAUUGUUUAAUUUAGAAAAUUAAGAGAUGAUUUAUUAUUGGGAAAAUUGUAUACAAUAGCAAACUAAUAACCUAAAUUAAAUGGAAUAGCUAGGGUUUGAUUUAAUUGUGCUCCAUAGCAAACAUUAACUAAAAUUUACCAGCGUCUCUCUCCCAAAAAUCUCGCUCGCCACUCUCCAUUCUCGUUCGCCUCUCUCGCUUUAUACACAGAAGUGUAUAAUUCUGUUUCUGUUUUGUAUAAAGCGAGAGAAAAUUGUUUAUACACAUGAAAAAAUGUAUAUCUUCGUGUUAUACACUUAAUUAUACAAUUUACAAACAUUUUACUUCAAAUAUUGCAGAGAAAAAGGCCAACGAAUUAUACAAUUGCAGUGAAAUACAAUUUUCUCUAGCUUUAUACAACAGAAGUGUAUAUAUUGUGUUUCUGUUUUUGUAUAAAGUGAGAAAAACAUAUAUCUUCUUGCUAUACACUUAUAAUUAUGCAAUAUACAUACAUUUUAAUUCGAUUCAACUGUAUGCAAAAUAAAUUAUACAAUUGCAGUGAAAUAGGCCAGCGAAUUAUACAAUUUAGGCCAGCGAAUUAUACAAUUGUAUAUGUAUAGUAAAUUAUACAGUUUUAUGUUUGCUAUGGAGCGCAAUUAUGCAAAGUUUGCUAUAACAUAUAAAUAUGAAUUUUUUGUUUGCUAUAUGUGAAAGUUACCCUUUAUUAUUUGUGUUCUAUUUUAUUCUUACUAUUCAAAAUUACUUAUCACUGACAUAUUUUUUAAAGCACUAAAUUUAAUAAAAUCAAAAAAUAAUAUAAUGAUAUUAUCUUUUUAUUUAUUAUUUCUCAAAGAAUGUACAUAAUUAAUGGUAGACAACUAUUGUAAUUUAGACUAAAUUUUUAAGUUAAAAAUGAAACUUAACACAUUAUUUUUAAGUUUCACAUACAAUAUAGAAGGUUUAAGCGUAUUUUUUUUUAACCAAAAUAUCCCUUCUUUUAAUGUAUCUCAAUUGUGUUUUAUUAAUAGAUAUAUCUCUUUUUAAUGAAAUUAUUAUAUAAUAUAUGGAGAAUUUUAACUUAAUAGACGGUAUUGAUUAUUUAUCAAUAUGAAUAGCGAUAGCGCUUGAUUCAUUCAAGUUUAAUUUAUUCGUUUAAGAUUAUAGAGGUUCAAUUUUACGAAUUUAAUAAUAUUUAAUUUAAAUUUUUAAAAAAUAAUAUAGAUUUUAGUAAUUUUUUAAUCAAAUAACUUAAGAAAUGUUAUUCUCUUUUAAAAUCAUUUAAUUGCACUAGAGUAUAAACCUGAAAAAAUUUUAAUAUGACUCGAUUCAUAUCGAUCAACAAAUGAAUAUAUUUUUUUUAAUUAAAAUUCCAAAAGAUAACAUCUUAUAAUUCCAUUAAAUUAUAAGACGUUUUAAAUUCGAAAUCUAAUGUUAAAACAAUUAAUAUCCCAAUAGAUGAUACAAACGAGUAUAUUUUUAGGGAAAAUUGUAUAUAAUAGCAAACUAAUAACCUAAAUUAAAUGGAAUAGCUAGGAUUUGAUUUAAUUGUGCUCCAUAGCAAACAUCAGCUAAAAUUUGCCAGCGUCUCUCUCCCAAAAAUCUCGCCACACUCUAUUCUCGCUCGCCUCUCUCGCUUUAUACACAGAAGUGUAUAAUUCUGUUUCUGUUUUGUAUAAAGCGAGAGAAAAUUGUACAUACACAUGCAAAAAUGUAUAUCUUCGUGUUAUACACUUAAUUAUACAAUUUACAAACAUUUUACUUCAAAUAUUGCAGAGAAAAAGACCAACGAAUUAUACAAUUGCGAAUUAUACAAUUGCAGUGAAAUACAGUUAUCUCCAGCUUUAUACAACAGAAAUGUAUAUAUUGUGUUUCUGUUUUUGUAUAAAGCGAGAAAAAGAUAUAUCUUCUUGCUAUACACUUAUAAUUAUGCAAUAUACAUACAUUUUAAUUCGAUUCAACUGUAUGCAAAACAAAUUAUACAAUUGCAGCGAAAUAGGCCAGCAAAUUAUACAAUUUAGAACAGCGAAUUAUACAAUUAUAUAUGUAUAGCAAAUUAUACAGUUUUAUGUUUGCUAUGGAGCGCAAUUAUGCAAAGUUUGCUAUAACAUACAAAUAUGAAUUUUUUGUUUGUUAUAUGUGAAAAUUCAAAAAUUAAUACUCAGAACAAAUUUUGAAUUCAAUAUGAUUAUAUUAUAGUAAUAGUAAAAUAAAAGUGAUAAAUUGAAAAUAUUUCUAAUGCAUUUUAUGAUAUUUCCUUUCUUUUUCCAUAGUCAAUAUCAAUUAUUUUCGAGGACCACCAAUAAAUAAUAAAUAAAUUAAAAAGUGUAAAAUAAUGUGAUUAAUAUAACUGAAAGAAAAAAUAGAAAAAAAAAAGAGAGAUAUAUAUGCCAAAUUUUACGUGGCUCCUUUUAAUAAAUUCACCGUCCAAAAACCACCACGUGUCACAUCAAAAUUAUCUUCUUUACUUUCUUCCAAAAAUAAUUUAUAUUUUACGUUUCGUGUACCUAAAUGUAACCAUAAAAAAAAAAAAAAAAAGGGACAAAAUACUUCGUUUUCCAUUUUCACCGGCACCUUAUUCUUUAUGCCACGUGUCCAAUGACGAAUAGUAAAUUUUUUUAAAAUAAUAAUGCCUAAUUGAAGAAGAGAUGACAAUUAAAUGAAAAUAUUAUUAUACUUUUAUUUAGUCAAUUAACACUAUUGGAAAGUAACGUCGAUAACAAUAAUAAUAUAUUCAGUAUUAUAUUAUUGAGUUUUUUUUAAAAAAAAUUUAGACUUUUAUAUCAAAGAUAUAUGAUGAUUGAUUAAAAAACAAUAACAAAUGGUUAUUAAAUAUUAUUAUAAUUAAAUUAUAUAAAUAAAAUAUAAUAGAAGAGAAAAAAAUAAGAGUAAUAUUAAGCCCCGGACAAAACAAGACAACAAGUCCAUACACUCCCGAGUCUCAUCUAUUAACCUUUUAACAUAGUUAAUAUCUUACACGCUUUACUAUUUAGGUAUACGUCUUUGAUAAAUUGUAAUAUUAUCGUGUUUUGUUUAAUUACUUCAUAAAUUACUAUUUUUUCCGCCUAAGUACUCUACUUUUUUUGAAUUCGUUCAUAAUCUAGACCUUUCAUAUCUCCAUAUCGAUGCAUUCGUGUAUCUGCUCAUCACAUACUCCAGCCAUCUCGAUAUUAUUUUCCGUAUCUUAUUUUCCUCCGACUCUAUGAAGUUAAAAUCAAAUCUUUCUGUUAACUUUCUCAAUUUAUUCGUGAAUAAUAAUUCACGGACGUGAAGUAAGUAACUCUAAAACACCUUAUCGCUCCAUUACUCUUCCCAUACUUGAGCUACAUGAACCUUCACGCGUCUCCAAAUAUCCACCGUCCAUUUCACGUGAUCAAAAGCAAUCUUAACCGUCGCCUCCGCCAUCGCUCGUUCUUCGCCACGUGUAGUUACUUACACGUGUCAUUAAUUUAACGGUCCUAUUUAUCUUUAUAUAUCUUAUUAUCUAGAGUUUCUAUUUUUUAUUUUUACUUGUAUACUCUAUAAAUAAUCCACAAUUUCAACUCCUCCUUCUCCAUUUUUCUCCAUCAAUUUGGUGAACAAAACAAAAAAAAAAAUUAAAAAAAUUCAUCAUUUUUAAUCUGCAAAAAAAAAAAUUAGUUAUAAUAUUAUUAUUAUUAUGGCAAUGAGUCUGCCACACCAGAUCGGUGCCUUAUCAGGAACAUCGCUCACGGCGGAAACCGGUGGAGUUUCAUGCGAAGUUCCGGCGAAGGGGAGUUCAGCUACAUCAGCUAUGUGGAGAACACCGAUGACGAAUUUAAAAGUAUCGGUGCAAAAAACAGGAAAUGAAAUUGACAGGGUGUCGCCGUCGCCGUCGCCGCCGAUGAGUCCGAUGAUGGGAGGAGGAAUGCGACCGGAUUUAUCGGUAGCGUGUCAAGCGUUGAUGGAGGCUCAGGUAGAGGAGGUAGUUGAGAGAGAAUAUAAGGUUAGGAAUUCGUCGGAGAAAGAGAAAGGUGUUCCGGUGUUUGUUAUGAUGCCGUUGGAUAGUGUGAAAACGGAUCAUACUGUGAAUAGAAAAAAGGCGAUGAAUGCGAGUUUACAGGCGUUGAAAAGCGCCGGUGUGGAAGGGAUUAUGAUGGAUGUGUGGUGGGGAUUGGUGGAGAGAGAUGCACCGGGAGAGUAUAAUUGGGGCGGUUAUGCUGAGCUUAUGGAAAUGGCGAAAAAACAUGGACUCAAAGUUCAAGCUGUGAUGUCUUUCCAUCAAUGCGGUGGUAACGUCGGUGAUUCCUGCACGUAUGUAUAUUUUCUCCGAUGCUAUUUUUAAUUCGUUUUAACUGCAAAUUUGUGAUUACCAGAUUCAAAAUCUAGAUCUGUUAUAAUGAAUACCGUCAAAUCAAACAUGAUAUAACUCGCAUCUCAAAAGCUAAUUCGAGAUAUUUUCACAUCGGAUGUGGCCUGACUAUCAUAACAUGUCAAAUUAGUAUUUUAUCGUAGUUUAACCUCACAAAAAGCUAACUUAAAAGGGAGAAGCAUUGCUCGAAACGAGUGGAGAGAUAUCAUUCCUCGUCGAGGUGGUAAAUCUCUUCAACAAAUACUUUUAGAUAAAAGAUUCAUAGGAUCUGGAAAAGAUUAAAGAAGAAAGUUCAAAAAAAGGUUAGUGGAUAGUGAGAAUAUGCUCCUUUAUAUGUGUGCUAAAUGAACUAUUUAAAGUAACUAUAUUUUAUCUGGAAAGAUAAAUGACUUUAUAAUAGAUUGGAAUCAACCUGAAUAGCAUAAAAUGGAAUAUGGAAGAUUCAUGAAUAAUUCAAUUAUCUUUGUUUAAUUUUCAUUCGAGUUCUGUUAUGCGUUUUGAUUUCUACUAAUCGCGAUGUAUAGGCGUUGCUUAAGUAGAUUUUUGAAAUUUCAGGAUCCCUCUUCCGAGGUGGGUUGUUGAGGAGAUGGAGAAGGAUCCAGAUCUUGCAUACACAGAUCAGUGGGGAAGGAGGAAUUUUGAAUAUGUAUCGCUUGGUUGCGAUACACUUCCAGUUCUUAAAGGAAGGACUCCUGUUCAAUGCUAUUCUGAUUUCAUGAGAGGGUUUAGAGAUAGAUUUGAGAAUCUCUUAGGUGAUACCAUUGUGGUAAGUGCUAUGUUUUUUUCGAAUUUUUGAUCGAAGAGUAGAAGACUCACUUUUUUAAUCCAAAUGACGUGUGAUAUAGGAAAUUCAAGUCGGGAUGGGUCCAGCUGGUGAGCUCCGUUAUCCAUCCUAUCCCGAAAAAGAUGGAAUAUGGAAGUUCCCUGGAAUCGGUGCUUUUCAGUGUUAUGAUAAGGUAUAAAGCAAGUUCUGUUUUCUAUGGUGUGUUUUAGUGUUUAACGUCGUCAUUAUUACUGAUGAUUUGUUCUGUUAAAUGUAUUGUAUCGCGUUGCAGUACAUGAUCGGUAGCUUACAGGGUGCAGCGGAAGCAUUUGGUAAGCCUGAAUGGGGACACACCGGUCCAACCGAUGCUGGUGAGUACAACAAUUGGCCAGAAGAUACAAACUUUUUCAAGAAGGAAGGUGGUGGAUGGGAUAGUCAAUACGGGGAGUUCUUCCUCACUUGGUAUUCUCAAAUGCUUUUGAACCAUGGCGAGAGGAUACUGCAAUCAUCCAAGGCGAUAUUCGAGGACAAAGGUGUGAAGAUUUCAGUUAAGAUUGCAGGUAUCCACUGGCACUAUGGAACAAGGUCCCAUGCCCCUGAGUUGACUGCUGGAUACUACAACACUCGUAACCGAGAUGGUUACCUUCCCAUCGCCCAAAUGCUUGCCCGCCACGGUGCAGUUUUCAACUUCACAUGUGUUGAAAUGCGUGACCACGAGCAGCCACAAGAUGCACAAUGUGCACCUGAGAAGUUGGUUAGGCAGGUGGCGUUAGCAACUCAGGAAGCUCAAGUUCCACUUGCUGGGGAGAAUGCAUUGCCACGAUACGAUGAUUAUGCUCAUGAACAGAUCCUUCAAGCGUCCUCGUUGAGCAUCAACGAUCAAUCAGGUGAUAGAGAGAUGAGCGCGUUUACAUACUUGAGGAUGAAUCCUGACUUAUUCCAUCCUGAUAACUGGAGACGAUUCGUUGCCUUUGUGAAGAAAAUGAAAGAAGGAAAAGACGCUAACAAAUGCCGCGAACAGGUAGAGAGGGAAGCAGAGCAUUUCGUUCAUAUAACUCAGCCGUUAGUACAAGAAGCUGCAGUAGCCCUAAUGCACUAAGCAAAUCGUUGUCAAAUAGUACUGUUUUAAUUUGAUCCUUUUAGCUAACAUGAAGUUUUUCAACAUGUUACCUGGAUCUUAUAGCUCGUUAUCGUUGUUCUUAAAUGUUUGUAAAACUGUUCAUCGUGUAGUUUUUUUAAAGCUAGACAUUAUGUCUUAAUGAAAUGAUACAUAAUUCAGUAGUAAAUACACCUCUUCAAUCCAAAUAUCACAUAUAUGAUUCUUCGUUCAUUUGUUGACUGGUUGAUGUUCGUUCGUUCUUAAUUUUAAAAUAACUGGAGAAUCAAAGAUACGUCUUUUUAUACUUAUUAUAAAAAUUUAAAUUAAUCGAGACGGUAAAAAGUUUAACAUUGUUGAUUGUUACAUGAUUUUCCUAUACUUUGGUAUGACAUUUUUUUAUAUGUCAACCCAUACCUUCUAAGCACAUGAUACGUGCACAAACUCGAGAAUUUAUUUUGUACUUUGCUUUAAGUAAUGGCAAGUAUUCAUGUCCAUAAGGUCUUCAUGUGCUAGUGAAGUCUCUUUUACUUUAAAAAAAUCGUUACGUUGCUAUCGGAGAUGAAUUCAAAAUUUUAAUUUUUACAAUCUAUUAUUUGUAUUAAUCUAACGUGUUUUACUACACAUUAAAGCCAAAAUUUCUAGAUAAACUCACUCGUUACAUUAUAAAUCUGCAUUGAUAGUGAUUGUUGUUAAAUAUGAUACGUCUGUCUAAACGUCACAUAUUAUGUUUAAAAAAUCUAUUUUUUGUUACUUAAUAUCGUGUCUAAGUUUUGUGGCCAAGAAGAGUCAUAAAAAAGUGUUUCACACGGAUUUCCAUUAUAAAGUAAUAAGACAAUUUAUAAUAGCUGACUUUUAAUUUUAUUUCACACGACUCUUAUGCACAAAAUUAUAAAAAUCGUUUUUUUCCCCGUAAAUAUACAUACACACUAUUUCAACGUUUAAUUAUAUUAACUUUUUUUUUAUUUUCUUAAAUUUCGUAUUGAAUCGUCGUCACAUACAUGCAUAUAAAGUAAAGUAGAAGUGGACAUUAAUGUUCAAUAAGAUGGUUAAGGACCAUGUAAAAGUUAGGUAUAAAUUUUUUUUCCUUUUGUUUUGAUUUAUUGUGGAUGAGAGGGUCUGAAUAUUCUAGUGUAUGUUAAAAAGAUGCCACUUUAAUCACAUAAUUUAAUUUUGAUAAUGAAAAAUUAAAGCAAAAUUUUUAUAAUAUGACUUAAUCAUAAGAAUUUUUAUAUAUUUUAUUUUGUUAAAUAUUAUAAUUUAUAAUAUCUUUUACAUACUUUUAAAAUACAUAACAGAUAAUAAUUAAAAUAGAGAGACUAUUAAAUUUUCAAAAAUACACAAUUUUUUUGAUAUAAUAUACACAGAUUGAAUUAUAAGAUAUAAUUUUUUUAAUUAAUGUAGUUUGAUCAAUAAGUUAUGAAAAUAAUAUCUUAAAGAAAUAUAAAGUAUAAUAAGUAAAUUUUUAUGAUCCAAUUCUCACGCAUAGCGAGAACUUAAUAUUCUGUCCCUUUUUUGUUUUACAAUUAAAAUUAUAAUUGUCAUUACCAAAGUUUGUAUUAAUUAACCACACGAAAACCAAGUCCAAUGCAGAAAAAAAUGGAUCAUCAAUCAAAUAAACCAAUAAACUCUAUAAAUAGGUCUAAUUAACCUAUAAGAUACUCAAAAAAUAUAUAAUAUAUCAAAGGUUAAAAAAACCAUUUUUUUCUACUAUUAUUUUAUUAUAAAUAAAUUCUUUAAAAUCAAUAAUCAAAAUGUCAAAUGCUCAACAAGCCGGUGAAUACCACGGCCAAGCUCAGGUAAUACUAUAAUAAAUAUUUGUUACGAAUCAAAAUUAUUUUUAUAUUAUCUAGACUUAUAGUCUAGUAAUAUCAAAAUAACGUAACCUAUCAAGCCACGAUCCCAUGUGGUGCAAAAUUAGAGUCAUCAUUAUUAUUAUUAUUGUUAUUAUUCUUUAGAAUAUCGACUUAAAUUCUAAUCGUAUCAGUAAUAAUACUUUUUAUAUAAUAGGUGUGAAAUUUUUUUUCCAAUUCUCGUUUUCCCUUUCCUUCGAUCUUUUUUUGAAUAUAAGAAAAUCAAUUCAAAAUUUAAAUUUAACGAAUAAUAAAUGAAACAGGCUAAGACCAAACAACUAGCAGAGUCAGCAAGAAAUACAGCACAUUCAUUGGCUGAUAAGGCUGACAAUGCUACCCAAAAUGCUCAACAAUCUGUUCAAGAAAACAAAGAUCAACUCAACCCUGGAUUUCUUCAACAGGUAAUAUAUUAUCGAAAUUUCGUUAAGAACGUUCAAAAUUUAAAAAUAUAUAUGUAAAAAGUAAUUGUCGCAAAGUGUAACUUAACCAAGAUAAGUACAUGUUAGCUACCUGACAUAAAAAGUGAAAAUAUAAAAACAGUAUAGAAGGUCUCUAAAUUAUCAGUAUAUAUAAAUUAAAUUGCUUGAAAAAUUAUUAACACAUUUUAUACUUUUCACUUUUUUAUUUUCCAAAUUAAUGAUACUAUGUCUAAUAAUUCUCUUAUUUUAUUUUAUUAUAAUUAUUCAGACUGGAGAGCAAGUGAUCCAUAUGGCUCAAGGUGCAGUUGAUGGAGUGAAGAACACACUUGGAAUUGGAUCAGACAAAAAGUGAAAAAGAGAAAAUGAAAUUAAUUAAUUAAUUAAUUAAUUAAUUAACACAUUUAUCAAUUUAUAUAUCUCAAUUUUAAUUAAUUUUUCAUUUAAUUCUAUGAUUUUCACAUAUGCUUUAGAUUAUUAAGCAUAAGUGAAAAAACAUAAUAUUAUUAGUUUGUGAGAUCUCUCACCAAAAGAAUUACAAAAUUUAAUUCUUAUAAAGUGAGAUGAUUUUCAUAGGUUUGGUUUAAUUAUUGUUUAACAAUUCCAUGCACCUUAUAUUGGUGUUAUAGUGAAUUUUGUUUUAUUGAUCGAGAUUUCUCUCGUUAGAAAUUCUCAUUAUAAGUACGUAAUAAGAAAGUUUUAUUUUGUUUUUGUUAAUUGAUAUUUUUUGUUAUUUGUUUUUGACUCGAUUUACUGAUUGAUGGUGGAGAUGCUCAACCACUUGAACAAGUCUCACUUAUUUCAGAAUUAAAUAAUACACUCACUUUUCUACUAUCCUUUUUCAUCUAAAUGCCAAACGUAUGUUGAGAAACAGAGUUUAAAUUCGUGACGUGUAUCUAAUCGACACAUCUUCUGCUGUACUCUUAUGAUAUUAUCAUUAUAUUGAGAUUUUUGACCGAAAGAAAAUUAUGAGAGACAAUUUAGUUUUAGCACGUUCAAUUUCUAUCACAAGAUUAAAUACCUAUAUUUGUUUGCAGGUAAUUUUUUAGAAAACCAUUAAUAAAUUGAAUUAAAACGAUUAUAAUAUUGAGAAUCCUUCAUAUAUUAUUAGAAUUUGCCUACGAUUUAUAAAUAACUAUAAACAAUGCAUCACCACCCUUUUCUAAUGUUGCUAUUAUUAUUUUUUCAUUAUGUGAUAUAUAUGAUAAUUUGUAAAAAAAACAAAAAAUCAUUAUAUAAUAAGUAGAUAUCGUUAUAUAAUAUACGAACAUAUGCAUCUUUUUAUUUAACUUUAUUACAAAUAUAAGUGUUUAUAUGUGGAUAUUUAAAAUUAAAAAAUGUAUAUAACGACUGAAGUAGAGUUAAAUAAUACGUUUAUUACUAUGCUGAUUCAAAAUAAAUAUAUUUUUAUAGGAAUUUUUUGUAAAAACCAAGAAAAUUGGAUACUCCAUAUGUUAGAUUAUAUGAAUUACUUAGAUAUUUUAUAUUUAGUAAUAAUUUAAUUUUAAAAUAUUUAGCUUAUCUUAAAUAAUAUAAUAUAUAGGUAAAGAAAUAUUUAUCAUUUGGUUUAGAUAAAAAAAUUUCUUUUUUUCUUCUUUUUAAGGGCCCGUUUGGCCAUAAAUUUUCCAAAUAAUAUUUGGAAAAAAUUUGGCAAAUAAUGUUUGUCCAUACAAUUUGCCAUUAUUUGGCAAAUAUUUUUGGGAAAUAUCCCAAAUUUCUAAAUACUAGUUUUUUCUAGUAUUUGGGCCAAAUCUCAUUAUUUGGGAUAUUUUAAAAAUUAAAAAUUUACCCCAAUCUUUUAUCUUUUACAAAAACACCCUCUCUAGUAGUUGUUUGCGUUGUAUUACAUCAUUUUUUACGUGAACACCAAAAUAGUGAUGAAAUAUGUAGUGAAUAUUAAAUAAUGAUAUGAUUGUUGAUGAAAAUUAUUAAAAAUUGGCUUUAGGUAACAAAGUCAUGUACUUUGUCUACUUCACGAUGUAUGAAAUAAUUCUUGUUGCACUCACUCCAAAUUACCACAUUGCUUUAGUGUCAUGGACAUUAUUUGUUAUUGUUGUAACGAACAUUCAUUGACUUGUAAUACAAACUUUUAGUUAGUUUUGAUAGUUUUUAAAACUUGUGUGUAUAAAUCAUAUUAUUCUAAAAAGGUGAAAUAUAUUUCCCAAAUUUUAUGGCCAAACACAUGGUGAAAUUUCACCCAAAUUUUCACUCAAAUAAUAUUUGCCAAGAAUGUUUGGAAAUAUAUGGCCAAACGCUAGCUAAAUUUCGUAUCAAAUCAAACUAACUCAUAUUAAAAUAAAAUCAAAAAAAAAAAAGAUAUCUGGAAGAAACUGGAUAGUUUCCCAUAAAAGAAAUAAUAAAAAAAUCUUCUCUUAGAUUCUUUUGCUUUAACACUGGACAAUUUUUUCUUUCCCAAAAUCUCCUCAAAUCAACCACUUAAUUACACCUUACUGCCACUUCAUCUUCACUCUCCUCCCAUGGCUACUCUGCAAACUCAUCUCCAGUUUCCCAUCUGUUCUUCACCAAGAUUGUUUCAUUUCAAGAACCCCAAUUCAGUUUCUUUCUCAAAAAAGCUUUUUUUCUCAAGAAAAGUUAAUGGGUUGUUUAGUUAUUCUAAAUUUGGUGCAAAAGAUUCAUUCUUUUGUUGUAGUCAAACUAGUGGUGAAAUUUUACCCCUUUCAUCAGCUCAGAAGGAGAAGGAGACUAGUGAAAGGCCUCCUUUUGAUAUCAAUUUGGCUGUCAUUCUUGCUGGUUUUGCUUUUGAAGCUUAUACUAGUCCUCCAGUAAAUUCUCAAUCUUUAUAUGUUCAUUUUUAUGUUUUUCUCUGCUCAGUUGGUUGGUUAUCAAACUUGUUGAGGGACUCAAUUUUUUACCCUGUAAGCCCCUACCUUAUUUUGAAAAUUGAAACAUUGAAAUAAUAAAUUGAAAAAUAGAUUCUGAUAGAUAAGGUCUUUCGGGUAUAGUCUCUCUACCUCUACGAGAUAGUGGUAAGGUCUGCAUGCAAGGGGAAAAUGAAAGUGCAUUCCUGUGCACCAGUUGAAAAAAGGAGCUUUGGAAGCUUACCUUAUUAUUAUAUUAAAAUGGGAAAUCUACCCUCCCGGACUCCUCUUGUGGGAUUUUGUUGUUGUUCAUUGUAUUCUGAUAGAGAAAAUGGUAUUGAGGUGUAGUUGAUUGGCUAAAAAAAUCAUAUCUUUUUUGUAAAUAAGAGUGUUGAUAGGUAUGUAGUUGUUCAUUUUUCUGUUUCUUUCUUUAUUAAUUAAUUGAAAAUGGACUUAAAUAGAGUGUAUGGAUAUUGAGGAUUCUUGUAGUAGAUAACUCCAACUAGCUUGGAAUUGAGGUGUAGUUGAUUGAUUGGCUAAAAGUUUCUCUCUUUUUUGUAAAUAAGAAUGUUAUGUAUGUAGCUGUUUAUUUUUCUGUUGCUUUUUUUUUAAUAAAUUGAAAAUGGACUCGAAUAGAGUAAAUGGAUAUUGAGGAUUCGUAUAGUGGACUCCAACUAGUUUGGGGUUGAGUUGGAGUUGAUUGAUCGACUGUUGAUUCAUUUUUUGUAUAUAAGCAUGAUGAUAUUAGCUGUGGAUUGGAGGAAUUGCUUGCCAAAGUAUCUUGCAUUGUGGGUUCUUUCGGUUUGGCAGUGUAGAAGUCAUAGCGGACAUGCUUGUAAAGUAUGAUUUUCUGCUGCCUUAAAGUUGUGAUCUUUGAGUGUCAGUAAUUCGUUUUCAUUCGUAUUAUUGUUUUGGCAUCUUAUCACUCUGUUGUGAUUCUAGUUUAGAAAUGAACAUAAAUGUGCUUCCCCUAUAGUAGUCAUACCCCACAUACUCAUGAUAGUAAAUGAAGGGAAUAUUUUCAUUAUAAACAUAUAUAAGGUGAUGAUCACUUGCCUAACUGGAUUUUCGUUGAACUAAAUUUUGCUUAGAAGUAAAUUAGGCUUGCAAGUAUUCUACAAAUCUAUAAAUGUUUAUGUAGCAAAUGGUAAUUAAGCAGUUGAAUUGUUUUCCAAGUCUGAUCCAAUUUGCUUUGUUUGACAUUGCUUGUCAGGACAAUGUCGGAAAGCUUGAGGUGGAUGCGGCUAAUUGCAAAACCAUAUUUCUUUCAGAGUAUGUAGUUGUUUUCUUUCUACUGAAAUAGUAAACUUAAACUGUAGGAACUUGAGUUAUAGGUUAAAUUGGUCGGAUCAAGUAAAGGGCACACGUAUGUUCCACUGGUGAAGGCUAUGAAGAGUGCUCAUAUCUGAUUGUUUUUGUCUCAUUCAGCUAGUGUGAUUUUCUUUUUCUUUUAAAUCAAAAUCAACUUAGACAAUAUUUCAGUUUGCCGAAAACUAGAUUCAUGCAUGUGCAACUGCAAAUGAGUUGGAUAUGCCUGUUUCAUUCGAAGGUAGUAGGAUUUGGCGUGGAUCAUGAUUGAUAAUUCUCUCUCAUAAUUGACAACCAUCUUCCAGGUCAUUUGUGCGUGAAAUUUAUGAUGGCCAGUUGUUCAUAAAGCUAAAGAAAGGUCUCAAUUUACCUGCUAUGGAUCUUUGGGUAAGGUUUCUACCAUUUAAUAUUAGCAAAUGAUCAAAUUUCAAUUGAAACGUGCCUUACUGUACUUUCCUUAUUCAAAUGAUUGCUUCUUAUGCAUUUAUUUAAUCUGCUGACUCCUGUUUUAAUUUAAUUGCCUACUCUAACCAAAUUUCAGGGAACGAGUGAUCCGUAUGUGGUGUUACAGCUAGAUAGUCAAGUUGUCAAAAGCAAGGUGAAAUGGGGGUAGGUAGUUGGUCAUGUGUUAAACUGCAACCUUCUACUCUUUUCAGUCAGAACUUCUCUAGAUCUUGUAGGUUUACUUAACAAUGAGUCAGGUUCGUUGCAUGUCGUCAACGUGUUCCUGUGCAAGUAUUGCUUGCAUAAGCCGAAUGAUAAAGUAACUAAUAUGAGAGUCUAUUAUGGUUACUAAAUUCAGUCUUCUCUUCUGUUUGAGCAACGUAUCAAAUUUUUAGCAAAAACUUAUUCUGGAUUUAGUAAAAUACAAUUAUUUUUCAUCCAUAACUCAUAUUCUAUUGUUAUCUUGAGUGUGAUUAUUCCACCAGUAUCUUAUUUGAAGUUCCAUGCUUCUUUAUCCUUUUAAUUUGUCAUCGAGAAGGCAAAAGGUCUACAAUUGCUAUUUUCUGUUGGAGAAUAAAGCUAUCCUUUUCUUUGUUCAAAUUAUGCACUAUUUCAAUCUUGAAACAUAAUCCAAUAACGGAAAAAAUGUUAAUUUCAUGAAUUAAUGUUUGCAGGACAAAAGAGCCAAUGUGGAAUGAGGAGUUUGCUUUAAAUAUUAAGCAGCCACCUCUGUAUGAUCUUCAGGUUGAUAACUUGAGUUAAUCCUUUCUCUCUAAUAGUUUAUUAAUUAAAGGAUAGCAUUCCAGAAACUGUAACAUUUUGCUUUUGAAAUACGACUUCAAUUUGCUGUAACUUAGCUCUUCCACAUUAGGAAGUUUACGACACGGUAUGUGGUACACCAAAUCUCCUAAUGAUAAAUGAGCAGUUCUGGUAAGAUAUGCAACUUGAAAAGCUUUAAGCUAACACUGCUAAAUUAACUGUCUUCUGACUGACUGCUAAUUCAAUUAUGAACGUGUAUGUGAACUUCCCAUAUCCAACAAUGUCUUUCUUGCUGAAUGCUAGUUUUUCAUUUCUACUUCCUGCUGAGAUCCAUAGUAUUAACCAAAUUGGAACAAACAGAAUCAGUCUUUUAAGGUUAUCGGCCUCGGACUAGAACUUACGGACUCGGAACUGCACAUCUUGCUUUAUGUUGUCUAAGAUAUCCAUAAGAGUCUGCUUCUGUCUUUUUAGCUGCAGUCUUUAAAAUGAGGAACAACUUAUUUUUUCGUUAUUUUUACCGUUAUCUGCUCAUUAGAGGACUUUCGGAUGCAGUAUGCUGGCAUGACAUGUUUUUAGGUGCUCUUAUUUCUCGAUUCCAGAUCUGAUGAAUUAUUCAUUACUACUGUCAGAUUGCAGCUUGGGAUGCAAAUCUGGUGACUCCACAUAAACGCAUGGGAAAUGCAGCAGUUAAUUUGGAACAUCUCUGUGAUGGUACGAGCUCAAGAAAUGGUUCUCGUGAUAUAUUGUGCUUCAAAUAAUUGUCUAGUUAUCAUGUUGGCUAAAAUUUCAUUCAUGUAAAUAAGGUUUGGCUUCCUUUCCAACUUAUCCCAUGAAAAUGGGGGAAGAAGUUAAGAGUUCAUUUUCAGUAUGCAUUUUGGUUGUGUUUUGAUGACUACGUUGAAGGUGUCUCAUUGCUCAUAAAACAAAUUGACAAAGGAAGAACACUUAAAGGAACCAAAUUAGUUUCAAUAGUUAUAUACUUCUGAAUACUGUCAUAACUGAUAUGAGAGCUGACAUAAGGAUUAGGCUGAUAUACAAACAUUGAUGUUUUAAUUUGUGAAAAUAACAAACAUGUGUUUUCUAGGAGAUUCUCAUAAACUGCUGGUUGAUUUGGAUGGAAUGGGCGGUGGUGGGAAGAUAGAGAUAGAGGUAAGUUGAUUUGAAUCUGGAGGCAUAUUCAAGGUUCAAGAUCGCUAAGACCUUCAUUUUACGAGGAUUUAUCAGACCAUCACAUUAUUUUGAUGUGUACACUCUAUAGCUGAUUAGUAUGCUAAUCUUAACUUCAGAAUAUCCUUCUUAAAUGAUACUCAAUUUGACCAUUGUUUAUCCAAUUCGAGAUUCCACUAAUUGUCCUACUAACAUGAUACAGAUUAAGUACAAGAGUUUUGAGAAAAUUGAAGAAGAAAAGAAGUGGUGGAACAUCCCAAUCAUUACAGAAUUUCUAAGAAAAAACGGGUUUGAGUCUGCUUUGAAGACAAUUCUUGGUUCCGAGACUGUUCAAGCUCGACAAUUUGUACAGUUUGCGUUUGGACAGAUGAAGCUACUUAAUGAUGCAUAUAAUGAUUCAAAUAGCAGCAGCAGUCCUGUCCUGGAAUCAGAUGUACUACCGGAGUCGCAGCAAUCAUCCAACUUGGAUGACUCAAGCAUGCCCCCAGCAUCAGAAAUCUCAAAUAAUUUGAAAGACACCAAAGUUGAUGGUGAAGUGAAGCUUAAUCGUGAUGGAAGUGACGUAACCGAUGAACAUGAUUCCCCUGGUACUAAAAUUUUAGAGAGCUUUCAAUCAGAUAAACAUUUCUGGAAGAAUUUUGCUGAUACCGUCAAUCAAAAAGUUGUUCAAAGACUUGGUCUCCCUGCUCCUGAGAAAAUAAAGUGGGAUAAUCUUGACUUGUUAAAUAAGAUUGGAUUGCAAUCACGAAAAGACGCGGAUGCAAGUUAUGUUGAAUCUGGUCUUGCAACUCCUGAUAAACGAGAAAAUGUUAAUGGUAGUGCAUCAACUGAAUCACCUAUUCUUAAUAACAUUCAGUCAUCACUUCCAGAUAUCAAGAAGGUGACACAAGACUUAUUGCGUCAAACUGAUACCAUUUUGGGAGCAUUGAUGGUUCUAAAUGCCACAGUUUCUCAAUUCAACAAAGGAGCAGGCCUUUUCGGAAAGGGUGAUGCUAAAGAAGAUUCUUCAACUGGACUGGAAAAUGACAUCCUUUUAUAUCCCAUGAAUAAAGAUGGAAUAGUGUUGGAUGAGAAGAAAGCUGAGGAGAUGAAGUCUCUUUUCUCAACAGCGGAGACUGCCAUGGAAGCUUGGGCACUGCUAGCUACUUCAUUGGGACAUCCGACAUUCAUCAAAUCUGAAUUUGACAAAUUAUGCUUCUUAGAUAAUGAGUCAACUGACACAGAGGCAAGUUCAUAUGUUGCUGGCUAUGAGUUCUUAGUUUCUAAUGUAUCUUAGAUCUGAUUCAUUUGAUCCAAGGAAAGCUAUUCUACUGAUUUUGGAUUCUGUAAGACUUGCAGGUAGCGCUCUGGCGUGAUUCAGCAAGGAAACGGUUAGUUGUUGCUUUCAGGGGAACAGAACAAGUAGGUUCCGGUGUUAAACACAUCUUUAAAACUUGUUGAUUUAGCUUAGUUGUGGAUAACCGGUUUUUCUUUUAUCCAGACAAAAUGGAAGGAUCUUGUGACGGACUUGAUGCUAGUUCCUGCAGGGUAAAAUCACAAAUCUGUACAAGCACAGGCUGGCUUUAGUUUUUCUUUCUUUCUCUACUUUGCCCUUCUGGUUUCUCUGUACUACUAAGAUGUUUUUCCUAUCACAGUAAACAGAUUCUCCUUCCGUUCAAUUUGUUUGUCUUACUUUCCUUUUUAAUCCGUUUCGAAGAGAAUGUCUCUUCCUUUUCUGAAAACUCUUUCAUUCUAACUUUCCACAUGACAUGUUUAAGACCACAAGAUUACAGUCAUUUUGGUACAUUCUACAUAUCAUAAUUUAAGACCACAGUAUUCAAAAGUCUUCUUUACUUUCUUAAACUCUGUGCCAAGUCAAAACCAGUCAAACAAAUCGAAACGGAGGGUGUAAUUUUUUCUUCUCUAAGUCUCUGAAAGUGUACUUUUAUUGAAAUACAACUCUUUACUAUGCUGAAAGAAACAUUUCCUUUUUCUUAGAGGAAUAGGAGUAGAAGAUAACCUUCCAUCCUACAUUAUUAAGUUUAGACUGCAAAUACCAUCAUAUCUAAAGGUUUUCCUGAAAAAAGUUUUAACUUCGAACAUAAUUUGAAACAACAAGAAAUAGCCAAACACUUUGGUAAUUUUGAAUAUGAAUUGUACGUUCUUGCAUCUUCAUUAUUCGGAUGUUGUACAGAAACUUUAGAUGGUUAAGCAACCACUGUCCAUUUUAUUUCGCAUCCUGAGUUGUCUCCUACUCUGCAGGUUGAAUCCUGAAAGGAUAGGCGGGGACUUCAAGGAAGAAGUUCAGGUGGCACUGAAAUUCUUACUUUUCUAUCUCUUAGUGCCUGAAAUAUGAAUGUAUUCUACUUAUAUUUAUAAUUUUUCUAAUUAUCAGAACCAGAGAUUAUUUUUGUAGGUUCACAGUGGUUUCCUAAGUGCAUAUGAUUCAGUUAGGAUUAGGCUCAUCUCGCUUAUCAAAAAAGCAAUUGGCUACCAGUAAGUGGACUGUUAAACAAAACUGUACAACAUUGUUCCUCCUUUCCUAUGUCUCUUUCGUACCUUCAAGUAGAAGUCGUGUCAAAUAUUUCUACAAGUCUAUACUAAGUGGACUCGUGUCAUGAGCUUAGUGUUACACUCCCAACUCUUAAAACUUGUUAUGCGCUUUUGCUUUACUGAGAUGUCUAGACCUGGCUUAGUCUUUUUUCUUCUGUUUAUCCUUCUUUUCGUGUGGGUCUUGUUGCUGCUACUGUACAUCUUAUUCUUUGCCUUCUUCGCGGUUUCUUCUUUUUCUCUGUUUAUGAUGUACUUACUUCACCACUAAACAUUGACGUCACAUCGCUUAUUACAAUUUUAAUGUAUUUUCCAGGGAUGAUGAUCUUGACACGCCAAACAAAUGGCAUGUUUACGUGACUGGCCAUAGUCUUGGUGGUGCAUUGGCUACUCUUCUCGCUCUUGAACUAUCAUCAAGUCAACUAGCUAAGUGAGCUCCUCCUUUUCUCUGCUUGUAUCUGUAGCUUGUUUCCCAUCCAUUCUAUAUAAUUUACCAUUUACCAGCAUCUCGCCAAUAGGGCAUGCAUGUUUGGUUUUCUGCUUUGUAUUUAACAUGUUUGUAGUGUUCUUUGAGAAUUUGAAAUGCCUUACUUGAGCAGAGGGUCUAUGGAAAACAACCUCUCUAUCUCUACGAGGUAGGGUAACGUUUGCAUACACUCUACCCUCCUUAGACCCCACCUGUGGACUGUUUUUUUUUUUUUUAAGAGCAGAAGUUGUAGAAUUGUUGGUAGAAUCCUAUCAAAUGUAGUUUCGAUGCUAGUUACGUAAAUAAACCUAACCAUGGACUUGUAUUCCAGUCUUAUAUCUAUACUGAUCAGUAUUUGAAUGUGUGACAUUUUGUACCCAAAACUAAUGUGCUACCAAGCUGCAGCACAUCCCUUCAAUUGUUCCAUGUUGCCACUUUGAUAUCUUCUCUUGAUGGUUUCAUCCUUUUGACCAAAUUGGACUUGUAGGUCCCCAAGUAUUGUGAUUGCUAAGUUGCUUGCUGCUUGUUCCAUCAUAAUAGAACAUCUUGCAAAUUAAGGAGUUAGUGCAAAAAGAACGUCUGCAAUUGUUAAAUACAAAUUUUCGGGCUGCCCUUGUUCUUGAAGUACUUGUGGAGAAAAACCAAGUCCUCCAUCUCUAAUCAUGCUAACACUACAUACGUGACCGUCUUAUCUUUCUUGUUGGUUGUGUUAGGCGUGGAGCUAUACGUGUGACCAUGUACAACUUUGGAUCUCCAAGAGUUGGAAACAAAAAGUUUGCUGAAGUUUAUAAUGAGGUAUUAUUUACUCUCUGCAGAAGUGAAGUGCUUAUGUUGAGACUAACUAUAUUCUAUAGCCAUUUUGGUCUCACCAUUCAUUUAUGACAAUCUUUUGUAGUUAUAAAUUAAACGAUCUUUAUUUCUGAAACAAGUUAACAAAGGCAAAAUAACAAACAAGAACCAAGAAAAGAAAGAAUAUACCGACACACUAAUAAAUACAUACAAGCUGGUUCACAUACUCAGCCUUACCUAAUUAGCUCUCCUCAAUAACACUGGAUGAAAAUGAUUUUUGAUGUUCUCUCUCGGUCUCUCCUAUGGAGGUGGCUUGUCAUAAAUGAAGUGUGAAACUCUUGAACAUGCUAUUGAAUAUGCAUUGGUGCGUUGUCUAACAUGUCAGACCAACUUUUAGCAAGUUUGAGCCAUAAUCAGAUGCCUUAUCACAUUGUUUGCCGAUAGUUCAUGGGAAUUUCUUGCCUGUUCUUCUAUUGUGACGUGGUGAACGGCUGUAACUAAAUCACUUUCGCCUGCUUUGGAAUCAUACUGAGAGCUUAAUUUUGUUAAAUUCUGAGUGACUCUAUAUAAUUAAGUUGCUUCUUAUAUUGUAGAAAGUUAAGGACAGCUGGAGGGUUGUAAAUCACAGAGAUAUAAUACCAACAGUUCCUCGCUUGAUGGGCUACUGCCAUGUUGCUCAACCUGUUUAUUUGGCAGCUGGAGAUCCGCAAAACACAAUGGUGAGUAGAUUUCAUUUUCUCACUUUUUACACUAUAAAACGUUGGAUUGGCAGAAUGUUGGCACUGUUAAGGAAGUUGUGUUUUCCCGUUAGAGAUUAAAGUGGAAAAAUGUGUCGGAUGGUUAGCUUAACCUGAAGGAAAUCACAGAAGGUUCAAAACAAUUGACCUUUGUUAUUUCUUCUAUAAAACUAUUAACUCAAUUGCUCGAAGUAACUUUUUGAUAUUUUCUUCAUAGUGUAGGUAGAAAGUAUCAAGAAGUACUAUGUCAUUCUUACUUAUUAUGUAUGGGAACCUACUAUCGUUACCUCCCUGGAAAAAGUCGGAAAGAAAAUAUGAUCAUUUUUUACAUCAUUCCUUUUAUACGUGAAAGGAGCUUGUUGUUUAACUAUAUAUGUCUCGGCACAUCACAUUUCAGGAUAAUGUGGAACUCUUGGAAGAUGGUUACCAAGGUGAUGUUAUCGGAGAGGCCACACCUGAUGUUAUUGUCAGUGAAUUUGUAUGUUUCUCCACCUUUGUUCUCCUGUAUCUUUAGUUCCUUCGUUUUGGUUCUGUGCUCCAUUUCAUCCAUUCGUGAUUUGUUCUAUUAAGAUCUUCAACUGUUAAAAUUGUACUGCUACUUACCGUACAUUUGACCAAUUGAGACUUCUGUUUAUUCAUUUUGUUCAAUACUUCGCCUAAUGGAGAGUCUCCUUGAGGCAUAAGCUUAUCAAUUCACUCCAUUAGGUUGAAGCCAUGUUGCUCGGAGUUUUGUGUUGGAUCCUUCAAAAGCUAUGCAUUGUUAGGGGAUCCGAGACAGGUUUGGCAACAUUUUUGGGAGGUCCGAGCAAGAAUUGCGGGAGGGGAGCUUGUUCUGAGUUAUUUUUGCUAUAUGGAACACAUUUCCUUUUUAUUUAAAGGUAAAGAACUCUUGAUAAUCUCGCGAUUACUUAUCGUAACGUUUUGUGCAGAUGAAAGGUGAAAAGAACUUAUUGAGAAAAUACUGAACACAGAGAUUAACAUAUUUCUAGCAAUUAGAGAUGGAAGUGCACUUAUGCAGCACAUGGAAGACUUCUAUUACAUCACUCUAUUAGAGGUAUUACCAUUCUUGUAGCUAUGUUGCUCGAACUCGUCAAAAAUGUCGACACGUACAUGUCAAAUCCUCCAAAAGUAGUGGACUUUUGAGUAUCCGACAUGUGUGCUGCAACAUUUUUGAAGAGUUUGAGUAACAUACGUAUCCAACAUGAUAUGUACUUAAACAUUUUUUUUUCUUUAAUGUUUUUCUAAUUCUUUUUUCCAGAAUGUGAGAUCAAACUACAGAACUGUUCCAAGGCCACAACUGACAGAAGAGAAGAACAUAUCGAUUGGCUAAAAUGGAAAUUAUCCAAAUUCAUUAAUGUUGAUGUUUUAAUUUCCAAAGGUUGUAAAUAACAAUAACACCAAAAAAUUGGCUACAUUUAUUGUAUAUAUGUACUGAUUUUUAUCUAUGUCAAUUGUACAUUUCUUUGGUCAUUUAUGUUAAUUGUUACAAAAUUUUAAAUGAUAGAAUAAUGAGAACAAGUAAUUGUUCUAAAAUAAUUGUCUUGAACUAAAAAUAGAAGGAAAAAAAAAUACACUUCACAAACAAUAAAGAAAUGGCAUGAAAGAAACAUACAAUCUAGAGAACCACCACUUCUUCUAUAUUUUACUAACCAAUAGUAUCAUUACUACCUAGAUCUUUGACAGAUAAAAUCGUUCGAUCAUUAAUCAGAGGUUUCGAGAUUUAAACUAUGAGUAUAGUGAAUAUCUCGAUAAGGAGUUCUAGUUUCACUUAAUGUUGAAUUAAAAAAAAAAAAACUAAUACUACCUUUUACAUAUGCAAGCUUUUUGAAAGAUUCUUAGAAAAAUUUGUUGCUUUCAUAUUAUAGCUCAUGAUUUUCAAACUUUGCCUUAAAAUGUCAACUUCCCUUUCCCUCUUGAGCUCUUGUUGUUCCUUUGAAGCUAUUUCCUCUUUUAGAAGUGCAAUUUUUUCCUCUUUUUCUUUCAACUCUUUAUGCAUCUCCUCUAAUAAUUCCAUUUGUUCUAUUUUCCAACAUAGUCCUCUUCCUAGUCAAACAAGAUCAAAACACAUUAGAAGGACAAAACAAGACGACUUGUAGACAUAACAACUGUUCGUUGAGUGACUAAUCUGAUGAAAUUCAAACGUACCUUGAUUUGUCCUAUGAAUAAGUUCAUCAAGCUCAAUCUUGAUAGCAAAAUAAAGUUGUUUCCACUUCUCUAUUGCUUCAUCUCUUCUAGCUUCUUCAUUCCUAAUUUGCUCCAACAAAUAACUUGUUGCUAAUUCAUGCCACUCUUUAUCUUCUUUUACACACAAAUUCUCUAUAGCUUUACACUUGUCUUCUUCAUCUUUUUCUUCCAAGUUUUUCUUCAACUUCUUCACUUCCUCUUUUAGCUUCUUCUUUUCCUUCUUCCAUUCUGCUUCUUUCAAUGCAAAUAUGAUCAUCUCUUGUGCAUUGACUUGACUCUCAUAUUCCCUCAUACACAUAAUUUCAUUCACCUCACCUUGAAGAAACCUUACAUUGUAUUUCAACACUUCAACCACUUUGUCUUUUGGUUGGCUUUUGUCCUUGGUUUGAAAACUUCCCAUUUCUUAUAAUCCCUAAAAGUCUCCUAUACUUUUAGUAGUUCUAGUUUUGUGUAUAUAUAGAUAGUGUGUGUGUGUGUUGGGGGGAGUGUUGUAAGAUGUAUGUGUGAUAAAUUAGUCACAAAUCUUAGGUAAGGAAACUUCUUUUUUCAAAAUUAGGUGGAGUCUUGUAAAAUUCGAAGACUGAAACACGAUACAAGUAAAAGUCUGAUAUUUAAGUGAAGUAUAUAAAGCGCGAUCGACUCUAGGAGAUUUCUAUAUUAUCAAAAAAAAUACAAACACUUGGUACAAUACAUUAACAAAAAUGCAUUAAAGGGUAUGUUAGAUCAAUAAGAAUAGAGUAUGGGACAACAUGAUUAUUAUUUUUUUUUAUGAAAAAAGGAGGCUCCUACCAUGCAAUAUGAAGUGAUGGCACUAAAUGAUACAAAGAGAGUUUUGUACUGAUUUUUGUUUUGUGGCUCUUGCAUCAAUUCAAUUAUUAUUAAUAUACAUACUGUGAAAGAUGCCUUGUAUGAAAAAAACAAAUAAAUUAGAGAAGUCACAUUUCAAGAUAUUGACAUGAAUGAAUGACAUAAUGUGUCUAUUGGGGAAUAAAAUCCACAUAUUCCAAAAAAUCACAUGUACAUCAUUUUGGAGCCUCUUCAUCAAGGUGGGGGUGGGGUGGGGUGAUUGGGUGGGUGGGGGCUUCAUUUAAAAUUUAAAAGGAAUUUAAGUUAUACGCGCUAUCGCAAUAAUCACUUAUAACAGGUUAUUCUUUUAUUUUUUGAAUUAUAGUAUUAUGCGUGAUUAAAGAUUUAAAACUUAUAUAUCAUCUAUCGACGAAAUUAUACAUUUCGAAAUUUACCAAAUAAAAUCUAGGUUUUAAAAAAAGUUGUGUGGGGGGUAGUAUGGGGGAAGAGUUUUGGAGCCUCUUGAUAAUCGAAUUUAAGUUAUAUACAUUAUCGCGAUAAUCACAAUAUUAUACUUAAUCAUAGAUUUAAAACUUAUAAACUAACAGUGUAUCGAAGUUAUACGUUUCUUAAAUUUACCUAUUUUUAAAUAUGUUGUGGGGGUGGGGUGGGGGAGGGGUAGCAUGGGGAAAGAGUUAUUGUAUUAUACAUCAAAUUUUUGUACAUAUUUUGCCAGCUAUUAAAGGGGCCUGCAAUCUUUGCUGAAAACAUGGGAAACAUUAUUGACAAAAGAAUAUUUCUUUGAAUAUUAUGCCUUUGUAUUCAUCUCAAACUUUGACCACCAGAUGGAGCAUGGAUUUAACUAGUUCAGUAUUUUCGAUACGAAAUAUAAAUAAUAAAGUCCGAAGCAAAGACAGAUGACAAUUAUUACACGGUAAAAUUUAGCAAGUUAUGAAAAAUUAAUAUAAGCUUCUUAUAAAAUAGAAUAGGAAUAAUAAGAAUUAAUCAACAGAUCGUGUGUCGAUGAGAUUAAGUAUCGUUCUAUUAUUUCAGACAUAAUUUAUUGUAUUUUCACUGUAGUUGGGAUCUAUAAUCUUGCAAAGAAUGACCCCUUUCCUUUUCUGGCAAUAAUUUAAUUUUAACUUUUCACGUGGCAUGUUUAAGACCACAAGAUUAAAGGACAUUUUGUUACAUUCGAUGAAAUUUUAAUUCAGAACCACAAGAUUAAAAAAUUCUUCUUUCUUUUCUUAAACUUUGUUCCAAGUCAAAUUAGAUAUAUCAUUUUUUAAACGCGGGAAGUAUUUGAUAAAUGAUCAAAUAAUAAUUAAAGUAUUGGAUGUACUAUUGGUCUUGGAAUAUUUUAUUUAUUAACUAGGCAAUUCUUCAACAUUUAGGUAUUUCUAGGUAGAGAAAAAAAAUGUAAUUUUAUGUACCAAAAACAAAAGACUUUUGUCAAGUCAAAUCAUCAAAUUUUGUUUUAGCGUUGUUUAAAUGAGAAAAAAAAGAGAAAAUAAAAUAAAAAAUCAUUUAGUUUGUGUCUAAUUUUUUACGUAGUAAAAAAUCUAGUUUUUUAUUUGCAUCUAUAUUAUUUUUACAAAGAAAAUAAAGUCUUUAACUUAUUUAAAACGUGGCUCAAAAAUAAAAAUUGACAUGCAUUUCUUUGACUUUGUUAGAAUAUAUAUUAUUUUUUUUAUACAAAAACGAAUACAAAUGUCUUAUUUAUGAAAUUUUUGUUUUUAUUUUCCCUUUCUAGUAGGGGAAAUUCAUCAAUUUUGGUGUUUUUUUAAUUAACAGAAAUCUAAAUUGUUUAUUUAAUAUGCCAAGUUAUAUUUGCUUUAAAAUUGUUUAAUUGUUUCCCCCUUUUAUUAUAAGUAUAUAAAAGAAUUUCAAUUGGACACUUUUAAUUUAAAUUUCAAAUUCUUUUUACAUAUGUUUUUAUUUAUCUAUUAGUAAUUUAAGUUUAUCAUAUAAAAUAUUUCAUCUCUUUAGUUCAUCAAUCUUAAGUAAAAAAUGUUUGAAAUUUUAGGACUUAUCAAAGCGAACACAACAUAAUUACAUGAGACAAGUAUCAAAAACAACCUUGUACUUGACUAACUAAACUCAGAUACACCCCCGAUACACUCUCAAUACGUGAAAUAACAUGUGUCUCAAACCCUUUUAGGAGCAUGAAAUUCUUAAUAAAAGUCGAGAGAAGUGUUGAAAAUACUCCUAAACUUGACGAGAAUUUAGGGGUUCUCACUGAUGUUACAAGUUCGGGGAUGUAUUUAACUUCAAUUAGUCAAGUAAUAAAGGGGUGUUUUAAAGGUUUUCAAUAGUUCAAGGAUGAAACUAAUAAUUUGUGCCAAGUUCAAGAGUGCUUUUGACACUUCUAUCUAAUUAGUUCAACGCAUAUACGUAAAACUACUAGAUAAAUAAGAACAAACACACAGAAAAAAAUUCAAAAUUUAACUGAAAAUGUUCUAUCACUGUGUUUUUAUUAAGAAACAGAAGUGUUCAAUUUAAACAAAACUUAAAUUUAAGUCAUUUAAUUACAAUUAACCAAUAAUAAUUAUUUAGUACAUAUCAUAUUAUUAUAUAUUUAUUGAUAUGAUGUAAAUAUCUCGUCAUAUUUUAUUGUAUUAAUUUUUUUAAAAAAAUCAUUAAGGUUUUAUUUUUUUUUCACCAAGUGAAAAUGACUAUUUUACCCUCUUUAUACAUAUCUUUGUUUUGGUAAAACUCCUUCCCCAUAUCUUCAGGAACAUUCUUAGUUAUCUGCCUCGGAACCUCCGAAUUUUAUAAUCUUAUAGGUAGAAGUGAAGAAAAAAUCAGUAAAAAUUCUGAGAAUUUGAGGUAAUUUUUUAUUGUGAUUAUAUAUGAUUUCCUGAACUUUUUUUUAUUGAUUUUUUGUUUAUUUUCUUGUGCCAUUUUGGUGUAAUUUGUCAAUUUUAUGUAGAGUUUUGCUAUAUUUGAUGUUCUUUGUCUGUGUUAGGCUAAAGGGGGUUCUUGAAAAAUGAAAAGAAGAAUAAAGUUUGAAUCUUUUCAUUUGAUUAUUCAAUUGAAGGCUGUAUUUACCACAAAGAAAGUUAAUUUAUUUAAGGGGUUAGCUUGAUUUGUGAUUUCUUCCAAUGUGUUCAAGCUUUGGUGGAUAGGGUUACUUGGUACCUAUAUUGGUGGGAGGUAGUAAGUAGCGGGGGAAUUAAUCGAGGUGCGUGCGAGCUGGUUCAGACACCACAAAGAAAGUUAAUUUAUUUAAGGCAAUGUGUCUAAGCUUUGUUUGGUGGAUACUGAAUAGGGUUACCUGGUACCAAUGAUGGUGGGAGGUAGAAGGCACCUGUGGAACUAAUCGAGGUGUGUGCAAGCUGGUCCAGACACCACAAAGAAAGUUAAUUUAUUUAAGGCAAUGUGUCCAAGCUUUGUUUGGUGGAUAGGGUUACCUUGUAAGGAUGCUGGUAGUAGGGUACCCGAGGAAUUAGUCGGUUGCAUGCAAGUUGGCGUAGACAUCACGAUAUUUAAAAAAGAAAGAGGAUAUCCCAUUCCUAGCAGCCUUAACAGUUGACUGUGGCAGAAUUCUCUCUCUGCUGUUGGUCCUUUUAGGAUUUCUGCAGAACUGUUCAAUUACACUUCGAGGUAUCUCACGCGAAAUGUUAGGACGUAUGUGUCUAGUUGUUUCAACUUUAUACAAUCAGGUGCAUACCCAAAGUUGGAAGGCAUAGAUGUUAGCUGAUGCCAAGUUAAAGGGAAACGUUUAUUUAUUAUGUCUAAUAUGAAUGAUACAGUGAAUACUUACACUUUUCCUGUCAUCAAUCUUUCAAAAUCGCUGAUGCUGUAUUUUUCCUGUCUUUUCUGCUGAGCUGAAUAGUUGGCUUAUAUGUUUUACUGGUGUUCCGUGCAUAUGAGAUGAUUUAGUACAGUUGUUUGCGAAUGUAAACAUUUCAAAACGUGUCUUCUAUAGCUUGAUUUGGAUAAUAAAUGUAUGAACUUGGAUGCAUUGUUUGUUAAACAACUUAUUUGACUAUUUUUCUUUGUUAGGCUCAAACUCCUUUUCGAUGAUUUUACACUAGUCGGAAAUUUCUUUCUUUUUCCCUGGUUUAGGGGGUCGUGAAGCAAUGAACUCCCUUUUCUUUUAAUUUUUUCGACAAAUCUUAUUAACAACCGAAAAAUAGACUUUGCUGGUUUCUAAGAGUGAAGUUUUAAAGUGUCCAUUUGGGGACAUCCGAUGAAAUUGGAACAAUAAGAGUAAAUGCUUAAGUAGAUCAUUAUAUACUGUGUUUGGUAGAGAGUGUUCACAACAUGUUUUAGAAUGUAGAAUAAGUGCGACACUAAGUAACCCGUUGUUCAUCUAUUCGUUGUGGUUUGCAAUAAAUAUUCAUCGAUUAUCAGUGUAAAAAACUCCUGAAUUUCCUCCCAUGUAUGUUCUAAAAUCGUGUCUUACAAUGCAUAGAAGAAAUUAAUGUCAGCGAUCCUUUUUGCAGUCGGUGAAAUGGCAGCAGCAUCAGCAACUACUCUCUCAGUUGGUUCCGCCACAUCCUUUGGCUCCAUAGUGAGCCCAAAAUUACAAUCAAAGGCCUUUAUUGCGAAAUGCAAUACCAGGGACUACCUUAGGAGUUUCAGUGGCCUUAAGGCAGAGGCAUUUGUACGAUGUGAAUCCGAGUCGUCAUUUCUAGGAAAUGAAAGCAUUGCAGCUCUUCGACAAUCCAUUACUCCUAAAGCCCGAAACCAAAAGCAGAGAUCUUCGAACCAUGUUCAGCCUCAAGCAUCUUAUAAAGUGGCUGUUCUCGGAGCCUCUGGCGGUAUAGGCCAGCCUCUAGCUCUUCUGAUUAAGAUGUCACCGCUAGUAUCAUCGUUGCACCUUUAUGAUAUUGCAAAUGUCAAAGGAGUCGCAGCAGAUCUCAGCCAUUGCAACACUCCCGCUCAGGUUUUUGACUUUACGGGAGCUUCUGAGUUGGCCAAUUCUUUGAAAGGUAUAGAUGUAGUUGUCAUACCAGCUGGCGUUCCGAGAAAGCCUGGUAUGACACGGGACGACUUGUUCAACAUAAAUGCUAAUAUUGUGAAAAGCUUGGUUGAGGCUGUUGCUGACAAUUGCCCAGAUGCCUUUAUCCACAUUAUCAGCAAUCCAGUCAACUCCACAGUGCCGAUUGCUGCCGAGGUUCUGAAGCAAAAGGGUGUGUAUGAUCCUAAAAAACUCUUUGGUGUUACCACCCUGGACGUUGUCAGAGCAAACACAUUCGUCGCGCAGAAGAAAAACCUGAAACUCAUUGACGUUGACGUCCCCGUGAUUGGUGGGCAUGCAGGGAUAACAAUUCUGCCAUUGCUGUCAAAGACAAGACCAUCAACUACUUUCACGGACGAAGAAGUGCAGGAACUAACCGUGAGGAUCCAAAACGCUGGGACCGAGGUCGUUGAAGCAAAGGCUGGAGCAGGAUCUGCAACACUGUCAAUGGCAUAUGCUGCAGCUAGAUUUGUUGAAUCCUCACUUCGUGCCCUUGACGGUGAUGCUGAUGUUUACGAGUGUUCUUACGUUCAAUCUGACCUGACGGAACUUCCAUUCUUUGCAUCACGAGUUAAACUAGGAAGGAAUGGAAUCGAGGCAUUGAUUUCGUCUGAUCUCCGUGGAUUAACUGAGUAUGAACAGAAGGCAUUAGAAGCUCUAAAGAUAGAGUUGAAAGCUAGCAUUGAGAAAGGGAUAGCUUAUGCUCAAAAACAAACAGUGAGUGCUUAGAGAAAGAGUUUAGUUUAGAUUAACUAUAGGAAAAGAUUCUCAACAUGACAAUUUUUGCAUGGUUUGAACUUACUAAGCCCUUUAUUCUUUUUAUUGGUCUGAACUCUACUAGUGUUUUGUUAUUGCUUCCUUUUCAUCUCUAGUCGAGGUUUAUCAGAAACAAUCUCUCUACCCCUGUGAGGUUAGGGAGAAGGUGUUCGAGAACUCUAUUCAAGGUUUAUCAGAAACAAUCUCUCUAUCCCUGUGAGGUUAGGGAGAAGGUGUUCGAGAAAGCACCGACUACAGGUGCUCAUUGAGUCGGUCCUCCGGUGGAUAAAAGUAUCUGCAAACACUUUACCCUCUUCAGACUUUUUCGACUUUAAAAUUUCAUAUAUGAAAGUCUAGAAUAGUUAUUGGUGGCUAUUUUUGAAAAAAAUAAUAAUCUAGAAUAGAAGUGGAUGAUUAAAUUUUUUCCCCCCAAAAAUCUCCUUAAAAUUUAAUAGAUAAAAGUUGUUAACAUGUCAUAUAAAUGGAGAUAAAUUAAAAAUGCUAAAUUUUUUAAUAUUUAAUAAAUCAAAAUCACUCAAAAGCAUAUUUAAGGAAUUAUUUUAAAUCUACUCGAGUCUCCAAUAUAAGUUAUUUCUUUUGUCAUAUUGUCUAGAAAAUUUGUAUGUCCAUUUUAUCUCAAGUGUUUCGUAUAUUCACAUUUUUUGGAGGUCUAUGUAUUUGGUUCAGAUUGUGAAUCGGACUUUCUUAUUCAUGAUUUUGAUAAUUAAACACUUAAACUCGAUGAACCCAACAUAUUAAACUCCUCUAUGAGAGUAUGACCAAGAAAGAUAUGACUCGCUUGCCAGUUAUACAAAUAUAUGCGUAUACCAUUUACAUAUAUACUAUAAUCCGACAGAUAUACAUAUACAAUUUGUCUCUCCACUCUCUGCCUAGUCUCGCUCAUCUCUCUCCUCCCUCUCCCAAUCUCGAUCGCUAAAUACACAUAUAUAUAAUCUGACAGUUAUACAUAGACAAUUUGUCUCUCCACUUUCUGCCCUCUCUCAUUCGUCUCUCUCCCAAUCUCGUUUGUCUGAUAUACAAAUAUAUAUGUAUAUCAAUUACAUAUAUACAAUUAUUUGAUAGAUAUACAUAUACAAUUCACAUUUCUUCACUUUCUGCCCUCGCUCGCUCUCUCCUCCCUUUUACAUGGAGAUAUAGUUUAUAAUUAAAAAAUUAUAGCUGUGAAGCAUAAUUUAAGUUAUUUUUAAAUGACUAUAUACAAAAAUUCCCCAUAUUGUGUUAUAUAAUAAAUUCUCGUUGUUUACUUCUGUGAGAACAUCCAAUGCACUCAAGACAAUCCUAUAAGAUAAAUCCAACUCUAAAUACAAAAGGACUAUUAAAAAUAAAAAAUACUUUCACCAUAAUAUUUUAAGUUUGUUUGUAGUAAAUUAAAUGUUGAAUUAUAAUUUACUAAGGAUAAACUAUAUAACUACACAUACAUCACUACCAUAUAUACUAUAUUUUAUCUCUAAUUUAAAAUAAUUACUCAUACUAUCACUUUUAAUAUUUAUACAAUAUAUUUUAAAAGAUUUAAUUAAAUACACAAAACCCUUAAAUAAAGAAAAUGAAUAAUUAUCUUAAAUCUAAACUCCUUAGGGUUCAUAAUGUUUUUGAAGUUCAAUUUUAAUUUUUUUUUUUUACAAAUUAGGUUUUAUAUUUUUUGAUUUUGUUGUUUCUCAAACACUUUAAUGGUUGAACAUCUUGAAAUCGGAUGGUUCGUUAAAUGUAUCACACACUAACAAUAUUAUGCUAAAUCAAAUAACUUUUAUUUAUUCAUUUUCACUCAUGAAUUUAUUAUUGCAGGGACCGACUCUUCAUACGCCAACAUUCACAUCGAGAAUAGACCUACGUAUAGAAGCAACUCCAUCAAGAUGAUAGAAUUAUGCCAAGUUUUAAUUAACAAAAAAAUAAAAUACACCAUUAGAUGCACACUCAAGUGUAACGAUGUUGGAUACACAUUAUGUUUACAUGUAUCUAGUGAGAGUUCAUGUAUAUAAAAAAAAAAAUUCAGAUCCUUAAAGAAAAAAGAGAAUUUUGAAAAUUUCAAACUUUUUUUGGAUUAAUGAUAAGGCCACAGUUGUGAUUUGUUCCUAAUUCGUGUGUUUCAACUACAUUUCAUAUUUAGAUACACAUAAUUAUAUGUGUGUUUACAAUGUAUUUGAGAUACAUGAUUUUAAAUAUAAUAUAUGAAAUUAAUGCUUGGUACAUCGAAUUAAUAAUAGAUACAUAUAAAAUAUACAUGAAAUUAAAUUUGGAUUCAUACUACACAUAUAAUAAAUACAUAAAAUUAGUAUUAGAUACUUCCUUCUAUGAUAAUUGAUACAUAUGAAAGCACUUGUAUGAUACUCAUAGAUCUUGUUGUUUUGUUUGUUGGAUACAUCAUAUAUUUAUUGUUUUGUUUGUUGGAUACAUCAUAUAAUGAUAUAGAUAUAUCAAGUUGAUAAAUUUUAUUAUUUGAAGAGUAAUAAAAUGAAAUUAAUCAAUUUUCAACAAGAAUCAAAAUAUGCAUGUUUUUGUCUUUUAUUAAUAAUAUCAACGAAUUUAUUAUUUCAAAUAAUAAGAAAAUGAAAUUAAUUAAAUAUAGAUACACUCUUUAGAUUUUCGACGUAUAAUAACAAACACAACACACACAAACCACGAAACUCACCAUAUUCUCUAAUACUCAUGAUGAAGCAUAGUGUAUCCCUAAAUCGCUUGCAACUAGCCUGGAUAUCAUUAGCCAGCAAAAAAUAGUAUUAUUGCUAGUAAUGGGCCUUAACAUCAUUAGCCAGCAAAAAAUAGUAUUAUUGAAUCCAUGACAAUAAAUGGUAUUACUGAAUUCAAUGUCACAAUGCCGUGAAACAAUAAAGCAACCAUAAAUCAUAGAGCGUGUUCUUUCCGUGUCUACGACAUGCAUGCCGAAAUUUUGCUUUAUUUACUUGUGUUUGAUGAAAGUCCCACAUUCUACCUUAUACCUAGAGUAUAAAUUGAACAGAAAAAGGUAAGUUUAACCCUCCAUCCAUUUUUCGCCCUCUCUAUUUUUACUUUUUGGUUAAAAAAUUCUUCUUCUAGUCUAAAUAUACUAUCAAGGUCUAUGUUGAUAUAUAUUUUUGUAAUUUAUUUUGUUUUAACACUUAUUAAUUUUUUGUUAAGCGUUGUUGGUAGUUAUUGGUGUUUAUUUUUGAAAAAAGUUUCGCUCUCUAUAAUAUUAAUCAAAUUUUUAAGUUUUAAUAUGAUACUUGUAUUAUUUAGGGUAAAGAGGAGGUACUAUAUUUAUAUUCUCUUUGUGCGAAUUGGAUGAGCUAAAGUGUCAUAAAUUCAAGAAGCAAAAAACUAUGCAUACAAUAAAUAAUUGAAUUAAAUAUUUUGCAAAAAAACUAAAACAUUUUAAGUAUAAUUUUAUAUUAUUAUAUAUGUUUUGUAUUUAACUAUUAUGUGUGAUUAUUUAUUCCAAAAAUCAUGUUAUUAGUUGUUUAUUUCAGAUUAGAUGGUUAUAAUAUUUUUAUACCAUUAAAAUGUUGUUCACUAAUUAUAUGAUCCGUUUCUUAAGUUAAGUUGGUUUGUGUUUUUCAAAUAAAUAUACGUAAUAGGUAUUAAUUAUAUGAUUAAAUAUUAAAGAAAAAUAAAAUUAAUUAUAUUAUGUAUUUCACGGCCUAAACCAAUGCAAAACUAUACCAUAAAAAUUCAAUAUUAUUUUCAUUUCUAAUAUUAGAAUUGAUUCUUUUGUUAAUAUGAAAUCACAUUUGUUAUUAACACCUUCUUCGGACUUUUAUUUAUUCUUACUCGUAUAUUAUUGCGUAAUAUUGUUUAAAUUCAUCGUUAAUUAAUAAGAGAAAGUCCUAUUUUAUAUAAUAGUUGUUCGUUUGAUUAUAUAUUUUUCUUAUUUUUUCUUUACUUAUUAUUUAAUAAUCAUAUUUUAUCCUUUACUUUACCUUAUUAUAGUAGCUCUAUUUUUAUCCAACAUUUUCUCUUAGAUUUAUCAUUCAAAUUAUAAAUAUUUGACGUUGUUUAACGACUUAGAAAGAUACCAUCUAUUCAAAUAUUGUACUUACUAAAAUACAGUGUAUCAUACAACACAACAUACAUUAUCAAACAUAUGUAACAACUAUUAAGUAUAAUAAUUUAUGAAAAAAUUAUUUAAAUACACAACUUAUUUUAUCAAAUUUUCUAAAAUUCUCUUAUCAUUUGAAAAAAAUUGUAAAAAAUCAUAUUCUCGGGUACAUCACUUUACAAGAUAUGUAUCGAGACGUUCUGUGAUGUAUUCAAAAUCUAGACGCGAUAUAUCGGGACGUUGAGGAAUGUAUUCGAAAUAAUUAAGACGUGAUAUAUUGGGACGCAUCCGGAUUCCACCAAAUUCAAAAGGGAAAAAAAGAUAAAUAUACCUCUGAACUAUCAUAAAUGACAUGCAGAUACUCUGUCAUACUUUUUGGAAAUUGAUGCUCUUGUCAUUCAAAAACUGGAGUACAUAUACCAUUUAUACUAACGAACAUACACGUUUCAUAAUCUUAUUUAUACACCGACCCGACAUUUAUUAAAUAUCAGCUUGAUAGAUAACAUUGUGACACAUGUCCCUAUUUAGUCUUUCGUUAGAGUGAAGGGUAUACAUGCUCCAAUUUUUUGACGACAGAGGCACCAAUAUUCCAAAAAGUAUGACGAAGGAUAUCUACAUAUCAUUUACAUCAGUCCGGAGGUAUAUUUGUCUUUUUCCCAAUUUAAAAAUAUAUUUGUAAUUUGAAAAACAAUAGAGAUAAAGAUAUAAUUAAAUCUUAACACUAUGAAAUUUAUGUCAAAAGUUUCCGAAUUAAUAUAUAUAUGGGAUUGAACAAAAGGGCAUUAUGGGAAUUUUGAAAAGAAAUGAUCUCUCUCUCCUUAGACACAUUCGUGUUGUGGAUUCUCCCUGCAUUUUGACGUGAACAGAAGUAACCAACCUUAGAAACCUCAAAACAAAAUUCCUGAGCAAAACAUUAAUAACAAUACAAUCAUUGGCAUUGUGAAAAGAGAGAAAAAAAACAACAAUUUUUCAUAGGAAAAGGAAAAGGAAAAGGAAAAGGAAAAGGGGAGAUUUACCAAAGGGGUUGUUUGUUUUCUUUUCCUUUUCAUUCAUAUUUUUUUUUGUGAGAAGAAAAGAAAACAAAAAUAUUGACUGAUUGAUUUCAUACCCCUUACUCAUAUUUUUCUUUCCCAUUUUUCAUUUCUAAACACUUACCUUUUCAAUUUCUUCAUUUUCUUGGAAUUUUGUUGAAGUGAAGGCCAAAGGUCACACCUUUAAAGGCAUUUUGGGAUAUAUAUUACAUAAUGAGGUGCAUUAUGGGUGUUUUAAAGGAUAAUAUAUCAAUGGUUUUUGUGGGGUUGUGAAUUUGAAGGGAAAAGUUGGAGUCUUGAUAGGUCUCCAUUGUGUUUCUUGAGAAAUGGUAUGGCAUUCUUGAAUUUUUUUUGAAGAAUUUCUAUAGUUUGCAUGUUGGGUUUUGCUUAAAGUUUUGAGCUUUCUCUUGAAAUAGUUGACAGUUGUGGUUGGAUUGUAUGAGUAUUGUUUUCUCUUGAAGGAGUAUAGAAAGGUGGUAAAAGCUAAACUAUGUGUUGUUCUUGUGAAGGGUUAUUAUUGCUUCUUGAUAACAUAAUGGUGAGGUAUAAUUCAGUGCAUAUAUGUGUUCUAACAACUGGUGGCGAACGUAAGAUUCUUUUAUUAAGGGGUUCAAACUAUGAAGAGUAAACACACGAGGAACCCAAAGAGGUUCAACAUCAUAUACAUAAAAUAUAAUUUUGUUUAUAUAUAAACAAUGUGAUUUUUCACCGAAGGGUUUUUGAAGAACCCCUUGGCUUUACCUAGCUCUGUCUGGGCUAACAACUUAAGCUUUUAGACGAGAUGAGUACAUAAUUCGACAUGGUUCAAUACUCGUCUCCACCGAGUAUCAAGAAGAAUUUCCACGUGUUAGGCUCUUGAACAACUUAGGUUUAUUCGUUUGGAUACAAUAGCCAUAUAGUUUGUAGCUAUUAUCUAGUUUCAUACAUUUUCAUGAGAGGGAAAUAUAACAUAUUUUUCAGCAGGUUAAUAUUUAUUAUAAGAGAGUGGUAGUUUUAUAGCUGUCCACAUGAAGGUGCAAAUGUAUUUUAACUUGGCCGUGUCCAUCUUGUUGAUUGACUAAUGAGUGCAUAAGCAACCAAACUUUCAUCACUCAGAGAAGAGUUUUUUCACUUUCUACUGUCGAGUGCUGCGUAUGCACCUUCAAGUUGGAGAUUUUUGAAAGAUUAAAGCAGCUGUCCCUGAAGUUUCUAUUUUGAAACAAUACGGAAGUACACGUAUGUGUUUUGGCUUUACUCACUGCGAAGUAUUUUUUUCUCCAGGCCUAAUAAAUAACUUUGUAAAAAAUAUUCCGUUAGACCGACCUUAGUAGACGCUUCAUCUUUCAGCUUUUAAAUCAUUAUGUUACUGAGAGUCAAAUUGGCUUAUGCAAGAGUAAAAUAUGUAGACAAAUUCACAUUCCAUGUGUAGUAUACAUGAUGUCUCUUAUCUUCUUUUUUUCCUGAUUCUAUGUCAUGUUCUUUUGUUCUUUUUGCUUAUGAAAUCUUCUCUCUAGUAUAUACAGCAUACUUUCAACGUGCAUCGUUCUUUAUAAUGCACAAAUGAUUUUGAUGCUCUGACUGAGACUUCCACAAUUUUAAAUGUUGUACAGAGUGUUUCUGCCAGUGUUGUGGUUGGAUCUCAUGUAUGGGUUGAGGAUCCAGAGGUAGCUUGGCUAGAUGGGGUCGUUGUUGAAAUCAAUGGGGAAGAGAUCACUGUGGACUGCAACUCAGAGAAGACGGUAAGUUUUACACUAGUAUACGCCUUAAUUGGCUUACUAUUAUUUAUCAUUCAGUGUACCUUUUCAUUGGCUUUUAAGCUUUAAUAUUCUGUUGUAUCUGUAUUGUAUUUAAUCAACAUGGAUGGUGCCCGUGGAGAAUAAUUAAAUGAUAAUGUGAUUCUGUUUAUUUGUUUCCCGCUACAAAAACUACUAAUGUAGUCAAUUUUUUUUAUCUCAGAAGAAAAAUUCUUGCCACAAUAGGCAAUAUUAUUAACAAGAUUAGAUGUGGUUAUACUGAGUGAAGGUCUGUUCACUAUGUUGUUUGUAUAGAGAUUUUUGGGAAAGCCUUUAUGAGUUAAAAUGGUGUCCAUUUUUAGUGUUUGCAGCAUGCUUGCUACCAAACUCUGGAUUACAUCUUUCUUUUUUCUGGUAUCUGAAUGUGUUUGAAAAAUCUCCCUGAAUUUCCUUUGUAGGUUACGGCCAAUCUAUCCAAUGUGUACGCAAGAGAUACCGACGCGCCUUCUUGUGGCGUGGAUGAUAUGACAAAACUUUCUUAUCUGCAUGAACCAGGAGUAUUGCAGAAUUUGCGAAGUCGAUAUGACAUGAAUGAAAUAUAUGUAAGAACUUUAAGGACGAUUCUUAUGCAUUUUUCUAAUCAACUGUAUUUCUUUUUUUAUCUUGAUAAUAAUAAAAUUCUAGUAUUAAUGUAUUUUGCUUCAUGCUAGUUAUGCGGGGAACUGUAGAGUAGCGACUGUUUAAGCUGUGAAUAAUAAUGAAAGGGUUGAUGCCAGAAAAUAAUGCAGAGAGUGUUAUAUAAUGACUGUUUACUUAAAGGGAACUUUUGUAUUAAUAUAUUUUUUCUCUGUAUGUUAAUACACAUUCUUGUUCUACAUUAGAAGGGCUGUUUGGUUCACAUGCUAGUUAUGUGAGGAUUAUAACGCAGAGAUUGUUUAUUCAUGGAAUAAUAAUGAAGGAAUUUUGUGCGAUGAAUAAUAAUGUUGCAGUUGUAUGCGGUGAAUUAUAAUACAUGACAUAUUAUCUAGGGACUACUUACUUUAAGAAUUUUUGUUUCAAGUACUUUUAUGGACAUGUUGCUAUUUACGUGUUCUUAUUCCUCUUUCAGUCUAGCAUAAAAUAAUACAUAAGUUCCAUAUAAACUCAGUGCAGAUAUUUUUUAAUACUGUCAAGAAAAUGUUAUGCUAGUUAUGUCAGGGAUAAUAUAACAAUCAAAUGCUAAUUAAUUAUGCAUAGACUAUUUUCUAAUUCCUCUGGCUUACACUCUAUUUAUUUUAUGCAAGAUUUUUUGUUGGGAUGAUUUUUGCUAAUCCUUUCAACCAAACAAUUCCUCAAGUUUUUUUUUUUUUGUAAUAUUUUGAAUAAACUGGUUAAGAAAGCUAAGAUAUGAUUGGAUGCGUUCAGACUUACACUGGGAGUAUCUUGAUUGCCGUGAAUCCCUUCAAGCGGUUACCCCAUCUAUAUGCUAAAAGUGUGAUGGAACAGUACAAAGGAAUUGCACUUGGGGAUCUGCCCCCUCAUCCUUUUGCUAUUGCUGAUUCUGCCUACAGGCAAGAUUCAUGUUUUUCGAGUGGCUUUCAAAUAUCAAAUUACUAUAUAAUCUUUAACAUUGUUCUUUUUGAAUGCAGGCAGAUGAUUCAUGAGGGGAUAAGCCAGUCAAUUUUGGUAAGUGGAGAGAGUGGAGCGGGCAAGACAGAAAGCACAAAAAUGCUUAUGCAAUAUCUUGCGUAUAUGGGCGGACGAGCUGCAGCUGAGGGAAGGAGCGUGGAGCAGCAAGUCCUUGAGGUAUGGUUAACUUUUGGUAAAUUUUCGCUGCUCGAUUUUGUUUCAAUUAAUUUUGCUGUUGGAAUUUUGAGAUAGCCACUUUCUUGUCAAGACUGGCUUUAUAAAAUCUGUUCAAAAUAAAUAUGGAUCAAUCAACAAUACCUCAAAACAUUUCUGGAUAUAUGUACAUUUUUAACUUUUGCUUUCUUCAGUCAAAUCCAGUUUUAGAAGCCUUCGGUAAUGCUAAGACAGUCAGAAACAACAACUCAAGGUGAGGAGACCAGAAACUUAGAUGCUUGUUCCUAUUCAUAUUGCACAUUCUGUUUAACUAAUACUUUGGCUUCACCAACAUGUAUUUUGGCAGUCGUUUCGGUAAGUUUGUGGAGCUCCAGUUUGAUAAAAGGGGGAGGAUAUCUGGUGCCGCCAUCAAAACAUAUCUGCUGGAAAGAUCCCGCGUUUGUCAAGUUUCUGAUCCUGAGAGAAAUUAUCACUGUUUCUAUUUGCUUUGUGCUGCGCCACCUCAGGUAAUUUCACUGUGCCUUUAUGUUUGCAAAUGCCUUCUUCUAGUAUUUGGGGUUCACUUUACCUGUAUUAGGAUUUACAUCAUUCUUAUUGCUUGCUCCUCUGGAUACAAUUUGUCUAUUUUCUAAUUAAGCACCAUUAAUAUGUUAACAAAGAGAAAGAAGUUUUUUGUUUUUUUCAUUUAUUUAUUUACUUGUUAUUUUCGUUAUUUUUGAAGAAUUACAAAGUAAGCAACAUGGAUGCAUCCUCUUGCAAUAAUAAAAAGUAAAGUUGUGUACAAUAGACCUAGUGUGGUAUGACCGCAGAAGCCGUAGCAUUAGGUGCUAUGUUCUAUUUUUCAUUUUAAGGACUAUUAAGACCAGAAAAUAUUCUCGUCUGAACAUGUUCCGUAGCAAUAUGUCAGAUCUUAUUAAAUAAAUAGAUGUGACUCCUCUUAAACCAUAUAAGCAUCAAGAUGAGCUAUCACAUAGUUCAACAGGUUAGGAUCAUACAAUGUUGUUCUAAGUUGGAGCUACUUGGUUUCUUUCCUUCUCUUUUCUUGCAGGAUGUUGAAAAAUAUAAAGUAGGGAACCCAAGGACAUUUCAUUAUCUGAACCAAUCAAAUUUUUUUGAACUAGCUGGAGUGGAUGAGUCGGAGGAAUACCUGGCAACGAGGAAAGCCAUGGAUGUUGUAGGGAUAAGUCACGACGAGCAGGUAUUAGCAUCACUGCAUCUUCGAUACAUGGGUUACUUCAUGAAAGUCUCUAGUUUUAAUAUUCAACUGCAGGAUGCUAUUUUUAGAGUAGUGGCUGCAAUUCUUCACUUGGGAAACAUUGAAUUUGCAAAGGGAACAGAAACUGAUGCUUCGGAACCUAAGGAUGAUAAGUCUCGGUUCCAUCUAAAGAUUGCAGCUGAACUAUUCAUGUAAGUGGUUUCUUCUAUUUAUAGUCUCCAGAUACCAUCGCGUUCCUUUUUUUUUUUUCCGAAGGAAAUUUCAUUUUGGUGAAAUUUUGUUUAGGUGUGAUGAGAAGUCCCUUGAGGACUCCAUGUGCAAACGUGUCAUGGUCACUCGUGAUGAGACCAUUACAAAGUCCCUUGAUCCAGAAGCUGCAGCUCUCAGUAGAGAUGCUCUAGCCAAGAUAGUUUACUCAAGACUGUUUGAUUGGUUAGUUGAGUUCAGGGUGAUUAAGUUGUAUUGCUUGUUUAGUUGUACCAAAGAUAUUUGACCCAAGAUAAAUAUUGUAUUAUUGUUCAGGAUAGUGAACAAGAUCAAUAACUCUAUUGGCCAAGAUCCCGAAUCAACUCUCUCAAUUGGUGUUCUAGAUAUCUAUGGAUUUGAGAGUUUCAAGACAAACAGGUGCUUAACCGGUAUGCUUUUGUUUUCAUCAUUCACAGAGGUUAAGUUCUUGCAGAGUGCUGGAUGAAAGUUCUGUUCUUCCAUUUUGGAUUUUUGGAAUUGAAUGUUCAUUUUCCUCUCUGAUCCAACUUAACCAUAAUUUUUUUCUCUAUCAACAUCUUCCUCUUUUACCAGAUUUAUCUUGGAUACGAUUUAUUGUGCCUGCUAUAUUUAUUGCUGCCUAUACACACAUUCUGAUUCUUAAAGCACUUUAGGUGUUGAGUUCACAUUUAGAUGAAUAGCCUUAAUAACUACUCGUGCUAGUUUAUUCAAUUUGCUUUUUGGUGCUCUUUCUUUGGUUAUGAUUAUUGAUUUCUUCUAUGCAGUUUUGAGCAAUUUUGCAUUAAUUUGACCAACGAAAAACUGCAGCAACAUUUCAACCAGGUUUGUGUAGUCAUUAAUUUGAUAGUCUCUCAUAGCUGAGAAAUGUUAAUAUAAAUACUAAAACCUUUUAUUGUUCCCUUUGCCAGCAUGUUUUCAAGAUGGAGCAAGAAGAGUAUACCAAGGAGGAAAUUGACUGGAGUUACAUAGAGUUCAUUGAUAACCAAGAUAUUCUUGAUCUUAUAGAAAAGGUGAUGUAGAACAUGAAUAUAAUUUAUCACCAUCUUUGACUUUUCUCGGAAAAUGUACAGAGUAAGAUUUAUUGGCAGAAAAUGGGAUAAGAGCAUAUACAAGUGUAUACACAUAAAGAGUUCUAUACAAAGUAGAUCUGUCUACCAAUUAUAUUUAAUCAUCAAUGCAUGUCAAAUUGUCUUAUGCUGGUUACAUUACUAUUUGAUUCACUUCUUUCCUCCACAGUUAUUCUGGUAAAAAAGGAAAACAGUAUAUGUGCUUUUAUCAUCAUUUUUCUGUGAUGUCAUAGAUUUUAAAUUUUAUUGAUAUGUUUUGGUUGCACUUGAGCCAAGGGUCUUUUGGAAACAGCCUCUCUACCUCCACGAGGUAGAGGUAAGGUCUGUGUACCCUCCCCAGACCCCACAUAGUGGGAUUUCACUGGAUAUGUUGUUGUUGAUGUAUUGAUAUGUUUUGGUUCCAUUUUGCCAUGCUUAUGUUCUGAAUACUUUGGUUCUUUCAGAAACCUGGGGGGAUAAUUGCUCUUCUUGAUGAGGCUUGGUAUGCAGGCACUUCAAUUCUUUAAUUUACUCUAAUUUUUCUUUCUCUUGGUAUAAUUGUCAAAAUUAAUCACAAAACUCAUUGGCUGUGGUGUUUACUACUUAUGUGGCUCUUCUGCCAGUAUGUUCCCAAGAUCAACACAUGAGACCUUCGCUGAAAAGCUAUAUCAGACAUUUAAAGAUCAUAAGCGGUUCAGCAAGCCAAAGUUGUCUCGGACGGAUUUUACUGUUUGCCACUACGCUGGUGAUGUAAGUAUAAAAACUAGUUCAUCAAGAUAUAUUUAACAUCACAGAAUGAGGGUUAUGCAAUUAUUGCCUAGAAUAGCAAGUGUCGCUCAAAGCUGUUUUGACUUCUUUCAUGUCAGGUCAAGUACCAAACUGAGUUCUUUUUGGAUAAGAACAAGGAUUAUGUAGUUCCAGAGCACCAAGCAACACUUAUUGCUUCAAAGUGCCCCUUUGUUUCUGGCUUGUUUCCACCUUUACCUGAAGAUUCUUCUAAACAAACCAAGUUUUCCUCUAUUGGUGCUCGAUUUAAAGUAUGUUUUCCUCUAGCCUUUGAUCAACCUUUUUACAUUAUUGCUUCAUGCCUCUGAAAUAUCUUACCCUGUACCUGAUGUAGCAACAAUUGCAAUCAUUGCUUGAGACUCUUAAUGCCACAGAGCCUCAUUAUGUUCGUUGCGUGAAGCCAAAUAAUCUUUUGAAGCCAGAAAUUUUUGAGAAUCAAAAUGUACUCCAGCAGCUUCGUUGUGGGGUACUCUUGAACAACUCUGUCUAUUACAAAUUAUACUGUCUCUGCAAAACUGGGUGCUUCACAAUUAAAUCUUUUCUAGGGAGUUCUGGAGGCUAUUCGUAUCAGUUGUGCUGGAUUUCCUACUCGAAAACCAUUUGAUGAAUUCUUAAGUCGGUUUAAGGUCCUUGCUCCUGAAGUUUUAAAUGGAAGGUAUUAUUUGCAUUAGAAUUUAGCACAAUUCAAAGAGUUCUCAAGGUUUCUAUCCAUUUCUUUCUUUGGUCUGUUAACAUUUAGAAAUUUUCUGCUCUCAUGUUAAGUCUUCUCCUUGAUAGAAUUGACGAGGUUGCUGCUUGCGAAAGACUUUUAGAGAAAUCUGGCCUCAAAGGUUAUCAGGUACUGAUUGUCAUUCUUCUGGUAAUGGUUAAUCAUAAGUAGAAAAAUCAUUAAGAAUUAUCUAUUAAAGAGAGAUUAUGUUUAUGUGCUGAAUACUUCAGCCAGAAAUCAAGAAACAAUCAGUAAAAUAUCUCCCUAUUCUUCUUUCCUUUAGGCAAGAAAUUACAAAUAAAUUACCUACCUAAACUAAUAUAGAAUCUCUCUAAUGUAGAAACAAAAUAAAAUCCGGCUUCCUAGUCUAAGAACAGUUUCUUAGCCCAUUCAGGAUCUUUGAGAUCCAUCCCCAGAAUUAGGACAACUCGAAAUCGUGCUUAUUCCUUCUGCUCUGAAAGUUCAGUGCCUUUUUUCUUUUUAAUUGGAGUAUUUGGUCAUUUAGUUGCUGCGAUUUAGUUGAGAAUCUUGUGGGAAACCUGUAAUCAAGGUUUCCUACUCUCUUGUUACAUCAGAUUUUUGUUUGUAUUACAUAACUCAAUUUUGGUAUCAUCUGUUGGUAUGAUUCUGACUUCUGUUUAAGUUUAUAAAAAUUUUACUUGUGACGAUCAUUCUAUCUAUUAUUACGUAAUUGUAGGUUGGAAAAACAAAAGUGUUUCUUAGAGCUGGUCAAAUGCCAGAAUUAGACACUCGCCGAAAUGAGGUCCUUGGCAAGUCAGCUAUCAUAAUCCAGGGAAAAGUUCGCUCAUACUACGCUCGAAAAAAGUUUUUGUUGUUACGAGCUUCAGCAAUCCAAGUCCAAGCUGUUUGUAGGGGUAUGAACCUGCUUGAUUUCUAUAUUAGUUAUACGACCACAUGCCAACAAAAAGCUAGAUUGGCAGUGAGUACAUCCUGGGUCCUGCGCACACCGUCUGUGACACUGGGAUUUGUUUUCCUUUAAAUUCAAUAAUGCCUCUAAUGGUUCGCUUAUGCAAUAAAAAAAUGUAAUAACUGUUUCAUGAUGCCUAUGCAGGCCAGACCGAACGGGCUCUCUAUGAGUGCAUGAGGAGGGAAGCUGCCUGUCUGAGGAUCCAAAAAGAUGCACGCAAGUACAUUGCAAGGAGAUCUUAUGGAUUUCUGUGUGUUUCAGCUGUUUCCAUUCAAGCAGGACUGCGGGGCAUGGCUUCUCGAAAUGAGCUUCAAUUCAGAAAGCGAAAAAAAGCAGCUGUCUUUAUCCAGGUAAUAGAGGGACUUUGUACUGUCUUUUCUGAAUUUUUACAUACCAUUUCAGAGCCAGAUUUUUAUCCUGAUCUGGUUCAGCAUUAUGAUAAUUAGAAUUCAAGUAACGAAUCCAUUUUACAUGUUUUGACUGACACUUAGCUUUGCUGUAAUUUUUCUUACCUUGAUUAUAGAGUGAUUGGCGGAGAUGUGUGAAACGUCGGCAUUAUAGGAGGAUGAAGAAAGCAGCAGUUGUGUUACAAUGUUCCUGGAGAGCUAAAUUGGCCCGUAAAGAACUGCGGAAGCUAAGGAUGGUGAGAACUUCUCUUUCUGUUGGCCUUUAUUGUUCACAAUUUUUUUUGUAUGACAUGCUAGUUUGUUAUGCCCCUUGAUCUGUGUAACUUGUAUUUAUCAUUCAUUCUCCAAGUAUGAAGUUAUGACAGAAUAACAACUAGUUCUGAAUCAUUCAACGCGAAGCAUGAAUAUGUCAAAGUUAAAUAAUUGAAUAUCCAUGUCUUGUACUUGAAUUGCUGAAUGCAGGUCGCCAAUUUAUAUAUUCAACUGUUAUCUUGCAAGAAAACUCUCUUCAGUCAUUUUCCUCCUUUAAAUUGAUUUAAGAUUCUUUGAUGAAAUUCACAGGAUAGUACAUGAGAUUUCCCCAUGUUGAACUUGCAAAUCUAUAUCUGCCAUUGUUGGAUUCGUGUUUCACGGGGUGGAGUUCAAAACCUUGAUAAGUGCAUUAAAUGUCUUGAUUUUCUUUUCUGAUUCAGGCAGCUAAAGAAACUGGAGCUCUCCAAGAUGCCAAAAGCAAGCUGGAAAAGGAAGUUGAAGAGCUGACACAGAGACUACAGGUGGAGAAGCGCAUGAGGGUAAAUAAAUUUCUUUUAAUUUUCAAGAUAACUACCAGUAUUAUAAUUGAUAAUUAGGUUCUAAAAGUUUCAUUAUCUAUAAUGUCGUCCCUUCCACUCAGUUUGACGAAAAUGAGUUCAUCUUAUAUUUGUUCAGGCCCGUCUUUUCUGCACAUCACCGUGAGUUACAGGUCCUACACUUGAUAAUUGAGACAUAUAUCCAAUAGUAUUCCUAAACUUAAGGAAUUGAAAAUAGAUUCGAUUUACUGCAGCUUUAAUCACUUAGGCCUAUCAAAGGCAAAAACACUCCAGAAACUACUGAGGAACUAAUGGUUCACUCCCAGAUUCUCACUCAGAAAUCAAUACUCCUUGAAAUGAUGUACCUGAAGGAUCACUUUUUUGAAAAGAAGAAAGCUCGUAGCAUUUAAGAAUGUACAGAAUAUCUAAUGCAAGUUAAGAACCUGGAUGGGAUAUGCAUUUCUACAUGUAUAUAUCAAUUAACUUUGUUGAAUGAUUCUCAUGCAAACCAUUUUUUGAAGAGAAUGUCCAAUUUAGAAAUGCCUAGACAAUGGUGAAGUACUUUUAUUCUUUGAAUGAAUUAAUUUCACAAUGCAAUAAAGAAACAUGGAAAUGAUAAAGAGAUGCUAGUUUAUUAUGAGGAGAACUUGUUGACAGUUAGCGGAAAACUAGUAUUAUCCUAUAGUAGGCGUUGCUAGUUGAAAUGGUGUAAGUUGCUUAGUGUUUAAUCAUGAUAUGCAGGCUUCUGUUUGCGACCUAAUGUUGAACUAUGAUGCAUGAUAUUUCCAACAUGAUGAGCUACAAUGUUUAAGCACAAUGCUAGACUUUUCAUUGUGCAUCUUUUCCAGUACCCCAUUAUAUAUAUGGCAUAAUUCUGUUCUCCUCUAUAGCUAACAAUGAUCUAUAAACUUUUUCCGAAAAUGCUUCGGUUAUUAUUUUUUAUAUGUUUAGGACUCUGAAAUUCUGCAAACAUUUGUUUGUUGAAACAAAAAAAGUGAACUGGUGAUCGCCUAUCUUAGUGCUCAACUUCUGAAUCAAAAGAAAGCAUAUACUUGUUUCUGCUUAUGAUGCAUACAUGAUUGAAUUGUUGAUGAAAAUUAAUUUCACUAUGAAGUUGUUAUUGUUGGACUUUGGAGUUGGACCAAGGUAAAACAAGAUUUGGAAAAAUUAACAGAAAAUGUAAUGUGAUUCUAUUUCAUAGUAGCAACUUCUUUCUGUACCACUAACUGACAAAAAACUAUAUUAUAUAGGACAAACUUGAGGAAGCUAAAAUCCAGGAAACAAUGAAAUUACAGUCUGCAUUGGAAGAGAUGAGGCUUCAGCUUCAAGAAACUAAAGAGCUGCUCAAGAAGGAACGUGAAGCUGGCACAAAGGUCGUGGAUCAAGGGUCCGUUAUACAAGAGGCCAAGGUUAUAGAUCAGGGGGUGGUCACAGAGGAACGUGCGGCUUCCACAAAGAUCGUGGAACAGGGAUCAGUUGUAAAAGAGGUCCAGGUUAUAGAUCAGGUGCAGGUCAACAAGCUUACAGCUGAAACUGAGAAGCUUAAGGUUAGAAUGUGAGGUUUAACUUUGUUGUAUUACUUAAUGGAUAUUGGAUACUUUAUUUGAAGUUCAAAAAGUAUAUGAAGUAAUCCUGACAGGGAAAGUUUUUCUAUUGUUUCAAAUUUGUUCUUUUAUCCUCUGUUUUCUCACUCAAGAUUAUAUCCAUUACAGCUUCUGAUGCAUAAUUUUCAUAGUUCAGUUGUCGAACUGGCUUUUAAUAUCUUGUCAAAUUCGUCGCAGGUUCUUGUUAACUCAUUGGAAAAGGAAAUUGACGAAAAAGAGAAAAAAUAUGAGGAGACAGUCAGAGUAAGUAGUGAGCGACUGAAGCAAGUUCUGGAGGCCGAGUCUAAGAUAAAUCAGUUGAAGGAUGCCAUGCAAAGGUAAUGAAAUUUUACUUAUGUCAGUUUCUUUGUUUGAAACAGUCUUCCCUUACUUGUUCUACCUUUAUAUGGUUUAGUAUUAAUCUGGGAUUAUCAAUCAUAGUUUCUCUAAAGCAGAAUGUCAAUUAUGACAUCGUCCUUCGUUCCGCAUAGUUGAAUGGUCCAACAAUAACAACUACGCCUCAGUGCCAAAUAAGUUGGGGAGUUGAAUGGUCUAAGUUUAAUAUUUUUAAUUCAUGAUAUACCUACUAAAAAUUAACUGCAUAAACCUCCUAGCAGAUUCAUGGUUCAAUUGUUUCAAUCCACCUUAGCUUCCUCCAAAUUGAAUCUAAUAUGUAGUUGACCCAAAAUUGCAUUUUGAUCUCCGCUGAAUCCAGAUCCUCUCAUAACUUUUGCAAUUGUUGGUAUUUUGUUGUCAAUACAGUUCUAAGUUAGUUUGAAUUUCGCACCAAUUUAGAUCCUUAUUUUCCCAUCUUUUUCAUUUGAUACUGAUUGAGAGAACCACAGUUCGAAAGAGCUGCUAAUGAAGGAUCCUGAGGCUGCCACAAAGUUGUUGGAAGAAGUAGAGUUCCAGGUUGCAGAUCAGGACGUAUCGGGCAAGAUUAGCGCUGAAAAUGAGCAGCUCAAGGUGAAGAUGUUAGAUUUACAUUGUGAUGUACUACUUAAUAGAUGCUCUUCUUGAAUUUCAAUAAUUACCAGAAAUUGUGGUCGGGACCAGUUUUCUUGCUGCUUCUAAUUUUCUUAUCUUGUUUACUUUUUUCUUUCAUAGGAUUAUAAAUCCAGGAUUGCAGUCUCGAUGUGUGAUUAUCAUAAUUCAGUAAUUGAACUAGCUUUUAACAUGCUUAUUAUAUAUGUUGCAGGUUCUUGUUAGUUCAUUGGAAAAGAAAAUUGAUGAAACAGAGAAAAAAUAUGAGGAAACAAGCAAAAUAAGUGAGGAGCGAUUGAAGCAAGCUCUGGAUGCAGAGGCUAAGAUAAUUGAGUUGAAGCUUAAUAUGCAAAGGUUGAAAAGUUUUUCAUAUAUGGCUUGGUUUCUUCAACAGCUCUGGCCUCUUAUCUUAUUUGUUCUUUUCAAAAUAUGGUUUUGUAUGUCAUUUAAAUAUGGUAGCUGUUAGUCUUAAGCUGGAACUGAAUCAGUAUUUUAUCGUCGUACCCAUACCUAUGUCACAACAUGUGGAUCAAGCUUGAAAAAUGCUUGUUAUAUCAAUCAGCUGUUAAGUUCAAAUUGGUAACUACAGACAUUAACGAAGAACCAAAUCAUAGAUUGCCUAUGAUUUGCAUUGAAUAUGACAGCUGGUUUACUUGGGGUUCAUGAAUAUCAAUAGCCAGUGUUCUUGAGAGGUUUUUUAGCUUUUGUAAAGAUUUGAACUUUUUGGGUAAAAAUUCAAAUUGUAGUUUAACCUAGUCAAAUCUGUUCGACUAAAGCAGAUGACGGAUCCAUGUAUAUUGCUUCUGUGUGUUCUCCAAUAUUUCUUUUAUAGCUUCUCUUCUUCUUAGAGCAAAAUUUCAACAUAAUCCAUCAUAUUUGUACAAGUUAAAUUACAGGAUUCUUUAUCAUGUGAAAUAAGUUAGUUUGAAUAUCUUUUUUAACUUAACAUUUGUAUCUCAGGCUUGAAGAGAAACUUUCGGAUAUAGAAGACCAGCAGAUUCUUCGACAGCAAGCGUUAAAUUUACCAACUGGAAGAACUUCAAGUCGUUUUGCAGUAAAAACUCUGCCUCUGAUGCCAUAGAAAUGCCAAUCUUUUUUUCAUAGCUUUCUUGUGCGUUUCCUCACUUUUUUAAAACUUUUUUCUGUUUUCCUCCUGCAGACUUCUGAAAACGGUCAUCAUGUAAGUGAAGGAUUCACCUAUUUAGUGCUUUGUUAUAUACUUCCUCUUUCCCAAUGUAUGAUACUCUUGUCAUUUUAGUACAUCCCAAAACGUUCGACACCAUUCCAUUUCUGAACAACUUUCACUACUUUUAAGAAUUCAAAUUCAUUUAAGUGUUCAAGUUUUAAAUAUUGAGAUGAUGUUUUCUCUAUCAAACUAACAUUUUAAAUAAUACUCUAAUGUUUUCUUACACUAUCACUAGUAUAACAUAUAAGUUAAAUUAACAUCUUAAAUACUGUGUGCACUCGAAUAGUCAUAUAAACUGGGAUGAAGGGAGUAACAGUCAUGUUGGUGCUUUGCAUAAUGUCUGUUCUGACAUGAUGACCGUUUUCAGGAACCACUGGCUGCAGUACCAUCAAGAAGGUUUGGUACAGAUUCAAUGAGGAGAUCCAAUGCGGGAGCAACAAAAUGGUUUGGUACAGAGUCUAUGAGGAGAUCCAUGGCUGAUAGGCAGCGGGUAUGUACCCAGGAAGUGAUUAAAUAUUUUUCAAUCAGAUUUCUUUUUCUGUUUGCCAUCUUUCUCCGAUUUCGCACUUUUUGGGAAUAUAUGGAACAAGAUAUCUUAAAAUUGGAGUUCCUAAAACAUGCUAUACAAACAUUUAUUUUAAAAGGCUUGUGGUUUGAACUCUAUUGUAUGAGUGAGAUUCACAGAUACCGAGUUGAUGGCUUAGUCAAAAUCUUUCCCGAAAGAAAACCAGGAUUAAACAUUAUCUUUGAUUUAAUGAGAAGUGGGGAAAAGAUAAGGCUGAUUGAAUUUCUUUUCUCUGAUGUCGCUAAGAGGUUGAUACAGCUGAACUUUUUCCUUUUCUGGUGGGGGAUGGGCGUUCAAACCCUUCCAAUUUUAUAUUUCUUCUUCCUUAUCUUCACCCUCAUUCCUGUAUUAUACCUUGUACUUCCUUGUUCACUGUCUAUAAUGAACAAAUAAAGAGUGCUGAUACACUCCAAACUUCUCUUGAUGCAUCUUGAAAACUACCUUCCUUAGCUUUUUCUUUCUCAGAAGUUAUGUUAUACCUAUAAAAAAGAGAAAAUCUACUGCAGAAGAUAGUAUCGGAAGGACAUAGCUGCAUAUGUUUAUCGAUGGAGUUCCCUUUUAAUCCUAAACCCUGGGCAGAAUGCUUUUUAAUUUUUUUUUUGAUACCGAGAAAUCCAACUGUAGCCAACCUUUAGGACUAGCCGCUACCUUGGAAACUCAGGGAUAAUAGGACUUCCCCUCUACCCUUAUCAACUUGAGUAUUAGGCUUAGUUAUCUUGGCGUCAGGCUUGAACUUGUGACCCAUGCCUCAAAUUGCUGUACCUUUUCCAAGUGAGCUAAUCCUUGGGGACUGAAUCAAAUGAUUUUAUGUGUGUAUGCAAUGCUUAAAGAUGUAGACAUGCAUAUACUGUUCUGCAUGAGUACAAAAACAUUGAGUUGUUUUUCUAAUUUCGUGUUACUAGUUUUUGAGAAGUUUUAUUCACAGCGGCAUAAUACAUCAGCACAGUAAAUAUUCCUCCACUUUAUUGUUGUAUGAAUGUGGUGAUCCCGUGGCUACUAAUUCUAAUAUCUUCUUUAACAUUAUGUUGCAGGAGAGUGUGGAUAUUCUUAUCAAAUGUGUCAGUCAAGAUCUAGGGUUCAGUGAAGGGAAACCAGUGGCAGCAUUUACCAUAUACAAAUGCCUACUUAAUUGGAAUUCCUUUGAAGCAGAAAAAACUAACGUGUUCGAUCGUCUUAUUCAGAUGAUUGGUUCUGCGAUAGAGGUAACUUUCAAUAUCAUGUCGAAAUCAGCGAUCAUGUUGUAUUGUUCGUAGGAGUUCAUGAGUCAUAACAUAAGUGUAAUACACAUACUAGCCUGUAUUAUACUGCUAUGUCAAAAAUGCUGUCUCUCUAACUCAAUGACAAACAUAUAUACUCAUUUUAUAUCAAUUUCAGGAUGAGACAAACAAUAAUCACAUGGCGUAUUGGCUGUCCAACAGUGCAACUUUGUUGUUUUUACUUCAGCAUACACUGAAAACUACUGAUUCAGCUCCAAGUAGACCGCCCCAACCAACAUCAUUUUUUGGUAGAAUGGCACAGGUACUUGAUUCUUUCUUUCAUCUCUAUUAUUAAAUGUGCUCCUAAAGCUAUUGAAUUGAAGUUUCUGUUGGCUAUACAUUUUGCAGUAUUACUUUGUGUAUUUGAAAGCACUUCUAUAGAAAGUUUCUGCAGCUAUUAUUUGAGUUCCCUGUUACUUAACAAAAUUGAACAUGUCUCUGAUGCUACUAUUGAUGUUGAAGAUCUGAGGUGGAAAAUAGAAAACAGAGAGAAAUAACUGUAUUGAUAUGUGUCAUAAACUGUUUCAUAAGUAGAAGAAAACUAGGAACACAAUAUACAAAAUACGGUGGUGCAUUUAUUGGACUGCUAUGUAUUAAGUUGGAACCAGUCCUUGACGACCGAACACGUCCAUCAAACUCAUAAUGGUGAACUCACUUGAGGUUGAAAAGUAAUAGUGUAAGAUCCUUGUCUGUCUAGUGUGUGAUGGAAGGCUGAAGCAUGCUCUUAGUAGUUGUUAAAGAUAGAUUGCGGAACAAGCAGAGAUUGGAACAUAGUUCCUUUAUGUAUAUUUUGGAUGAUUCGAAUUGAAAUCAAAUAUCAAUGUUUUGUGGGAACAAAGCAUACUUCAUAAUUGAAGUUUAGAUAUCUUCAAAAUAAAAAAGAAACUGAUGGAAAGGAAGAGGAGGAAGUGAAGCUGGAGCAGAUGGAAACUACAAUAACAACAUACCCAGUGUAAUCCCACAAGUGGGGUCUGGGGAGAGUAGGAUGUACUCGGACCUUACCCCUACCUUUUUGAGGUAGAGAGGUUGUUUCCGAUUGACCCUCGGCGUAGAAGAAUUGCAAGAAUAAUAUAACAACAAAAUAGCAACACCAAAGCAAAAAGAGAUUCACAUAAUAUUAAAGAAGCAUAUAAAUCAAAUAAGAUGACAGACUGAACAUAUGGCUAACAGAUCGAGAUACAAAUCAGUCGAAAUCAUUCACCAUACAAGAAAGAUAAACGAUGGAGUAGUGUCCCAAGACCUUUAUAUAAAUCCCCUUGGAAGUCCUUACAUAACCUAUGCGAGACAACAAACAAAUCAACAUCCUUUUGCACAUUUAACCCAAUACUUGGAGUUCAGUGAUCUGUAUUACUGACUUACCAAUGGCAAAUAGGUUUGUCAAAGGUUGACUCUGAUAGCAUGUCAAAGAAGAUGAGCUUCCAACCUAAUACAUCAAGGCCAUGAGUGGAGUAGUCCAAGACCCUUAUAAACCUUUGAGAGCCCUUACAGAACCGAUGUCAGACAAUCAGAAGAUUUCAGAAGGCAGAGUCGGUAGAAGUUAGGAGGGAUAAUUUUCUAUAGUUCAUGAACUAAUUGUAUAUAUAUUCUGUGCGCUGAUCUGAAAAUGGUACCAUGCUUAAUAUCUGUGAUGAAGAGGAAGUGAAUUAGAUGUAACACCGCACCAGUAGGCGGAAAUAAUUUUCAAAUUCUCAUACAGAUUGAAUUGGAUCAUAUAGAGUGAUGAAGAUCUGAAUGACGGGGAAGGAAUAAGGAGAACUAGCCAUAUUGAUUCUAACUUUAUUAAUAUGAUAUACAAUAUUCACUUAUAUAUAGGUGUGAUGCACUAUGUAAGAUACAAUCCUGCAUUUAUUUCACCAUUGAUUUACUUUUUAGGUGACCUCCUGUGUCCUAACUUUCUAGUAGUUUUUCUACUCUUAUCCUGCGAAUUUCCAAGAUAGACCAUGUAACUGUUACUUGUUUACAGCUGCAUUGGUUGGACAUUAGUAAAUCUCUCUCUGUAUAAAACAUACUAGUAGCCUAGAAUGAGGUAUAUGCAGGUUAUUUAAAACAGAAUUCCAACACAUUUCUUCAGAAAAUUUAUUGAUUAAAUGAUUGUACUUCUUUUCUAGAGUUUCCGGUCUUCAUCUGUCAACCUUGCAAUUGGUGGUCUCGACACUGUACGUCAGGUUGAGGCAAAGCAGCCAGCUUUACUUUUUAAGCUACAGCUCAGUGCUUAUGUCGAAAAGAUUUAUGGAAUUGUUCGAGAUAACUGGAAAAGAGACCUGUCUUCACUGCUGACUUCAUGUAUCCAGGUAAAUCACCAUGUUUUCUAGAAGUUCUAUGAGGAUGUUUUAUAUAUAUGUGUAUGUUCUGUACAUAUAUGUAUGUAUUCUGAACAAUAUGAAUAAUAUCAUUUGAUGCUUGUUAAUAAAAGAAUAUCUCUCAAGUAAGUCCUCUUCUCAAAUGGCACUUCUCCCUAGCUCACAAGGACUAACUGCACCAUAUUCACUGUUGCUUUCAUUAGGAUUCUGGUUUAUCUUGAUUUCAUGGCCCUUUCAAAAAAAUUCUGUUGGAUCUCAAAAUUGUGAUAAGCCGUUGUGCUUGUAACUUAAUUGUAUUUUGACUCAAAACUUCUUCGGGUUAUGGUCUUUGUACUUCAUAUAUUCAAACUUCUAAUUAUACUUGCACUUCCCAUCUUAAUUAGGCAUCUCAAGCAUCAAAAGGUGGAUCCUUGCAAUCACCACGGAAGUCCGUUGAUGGUUCUUCUCCACCCACUCCCUGGGAUGGAGUAAUUGAGAGCCUAAAUGGGCUUCUCAGUACACUGAAAGAAAACUGUGUAAGUUUCAUUGUAGGAAACAGUGUGAUGUGCUAAUAUUACUAAAACUGAUGAGUGGACUUGUGAAAUUUUUCAGGUUCAUCCAGUUUUCGUCCAGAGAAUUCUAAACCAGAUAUUCUCUUACAUAAAUGUUCAGCUGUUCAAUAGGUACAUUCUUUUCGUAUCUCAUAGCAGGAAGAUUAGAAAGAAACUCAUAGAUACUCCACUUACCAUUCUAUUUAAUCAUCAUUGCAGCCUUCUCCUUCAAAGAGAGUGUUGUACAUUCAGCAGCGGGGAGUAUGUGAAAGCUGGAUUGCAAGAAAUAGAACUUUGGUGCGGCAAUAUGAAAGAAGAGGUACUGUAUCAUUAGUACUGUAAGGGUACAUUGUUCGUAGAUUAAUAUAUAUGAACUGUAUUUACAUAUAAUUUAUCUUUUCCUUUCGCAGUACGUUGGUUCUUCUUUGGAUGAAUUAAAGCAUGCAAGGCAGGCAGUAGGAUUUUUGGUAUGUUUCUCCAAUGAACCUUUUUUUUUUUUUGGAAAAAUGUCGCUCUGCUUCAUAGCCUAAUAAUGCUCGUCUUACAUUUAAGUAUGAUUUUACGGGAACUCUUUUCUGUUACUUGCAAGUGACACCACAUAUAUGGAUAUUUAACUCCCAUUUUGAGAUUAUCUAUCACCGAACCCCUUCCAUAUAUUUUUCCCUAUCUAAAUAGCUCCUUUACAGGUUAUUAAUCAGAAGUCAAGACUUACAUCUGAAGAUCUAACAACUGAUCUCUGUCCCGUAAGUUCAUCUUCGUAGUCUUCUUAGUUGUACUUAAUUUAGAGAUUCCAAAUAUUGAUAAUACAUGGCGGUUCCAGGCUGCCACUUCUGGAAGUCGUGUUCCUUUGUUAGUUAUUUGAGUGCUAAAACAAAGAAUCCUAUUGGAGAAUUUUAUGAAGUGUAUAUAGAUCGACAGGGACUUAACCGAAUUAUUUAUGGUGUUAAAAUAUUGAAGUUAAUUUUCAUGCUACGAUACGAGUCCUUGACAUUUAUCUUGUCACAUUUGUGCAUCUGUCACUGAAUGUCUUUUUUCUGUUGGGAUCAUCUUUUCAGAUUCUGAGUAGUCAACAGUUGUAUCGGAUAUGUACACUUUACUGGGACGAAGAUUUUAAUACUCAAGGUGUAUCCCCAGAGGUAAGUCCUCCUUUCUUCAUUUAUUUUAUUUCACUCAAUGUCUUCUAUUGAUUAUGUGUAUAAGGAAUGCUCCUUCGAGACGAUCUGUUAGUCGACUAAUGUAUAUCAAUAUAAGAUAUUGGUUUGCAUCCUCCAACUGUUUGUCUUUCUGAUUAUUUUCUUCUUUCGGGGACGCUAAACCUUAGCUUUAACGUUUCCCCCUCUCUCUCUCAAUGGCAAAUUUUAACUGAACUUUUCUGCAUUUGGAUCCUAAACCAUACUGCUCGGAACAGGUCAUUUCCAGUUUUAAGGAUCAAGAAAAAGAAGACGCAAAGAAUGCAGAUAAUGCAAAUGAUGCAGAUAACAACUUUAUAUUGGAUGAUAAUUCCAGGUACUUCAUUAAUCUCAUUUGCUAUCAAAAUCUAUGUUGCUCGGACUCUUCAAAAAUACUGACAGGUGCAUGUUGUAUCCUCCAAAAGUAGUGCAUUUUUUGAGAGUCCGAGCAACAUAAGGUCAAAAUGACAAUAGAUCCUAUUCUAUCAUUCAUCUAUUUGCUACCAAUGCAGCAUUCCAAUCUCUGUUGAGGAGAUUAACAGUUCCCUCAAGGACGUUGAUUUCACCGGUGUAAAACCUGCAAAUGAACUGCUUGAAAAUGCAGCCUUCCAAUUUUUACGCGAAUAAGGCUGAGUUUUCUCCAGCAUGAAAUGCAUGUUUUGUUGGAACGACGUUGUCCAAGUCUCCACGCCAUGAAUACCAACUAUUGUACAUCCAUCAACCUAUUCAUUUUCCUUCCAGACGCGUCUGUUCGUUAUACUGUAACAUCCAAUGCCCCUUGUAAAGUUGCUCAAAAUGUAGUCUUCUUGUAAAAUUGUAGGUCUAGUUUUAGAUAGGAGAAAAGGGGGGAUAAAAGUGAGGAAAUUUUCCAACUUAGAGCUUGUUCCAUUUAGUCUUUUUGUCAUUCAUUUUAGAGUUGUCAUUAGCUAGAUUUUUUGUAACAAGGACUAAUUGGAGUACAAUAUUAUUGUAAAGAGCAAAAAUGGCCAAUUCAGUGUCUCUUUUUUCCCUCUCUUUUCAUUCAAAAUUAUCAUUUCAUACACGAGUCCCAGACUCAACUUGUGAAAUUACACUGAGUAUAUUGUUAUUUUUACACGAGUACGCGAUUUAAGUGGCAAAUUACUAUUACCUCCUUUCCAUUAUAUUAGUUGCAACAUUAGCCAGUGUUGAGAGAUCUCUUGAAAGUCAUCUUUUUUUUGCAUAUGGACACCUAGUAGAGGCUAUAUAGUAAAGAUUCCUAUAUGAAAUUCUUUUUACUCCCCAAAAGAGGGAGACAUGCGACAGAGGCGUAUCAAGGAUUUCGAAAUGAUGAAUGCACUAUUAUGAGAAGGUGGAUUUAAACGAUUUGACAUUUAGGUUCUUAUCAUUGAAAACAAUUGAAAAUAUUAAAUUAUAGGUCCAAAAAUUGAAAUGCUUGAUUAAUUAAAACGCUAAAAGUACUAUCAAUAACCACUUAGAGAGGUUUAUCCAAUUUUAGAAAGGAAAUGAAGAUAGAUAUAAAUUUCAAAGGGAAAAGGGUCUGAUAUACCCCUCAACUUUGUCAUUUGGAGCUGAUACAUCCCUCGUUAUGAAAGUGGCUCAUAUAUGCCCUUACCGUUAUACAAAUGGCUCACAUAUACACCUACCGUUACAAAAUGGCUCACAUAUACCCUUCAUUUGACGAAAGUUAAAUAAUUAGUUUUAAAUUUAUAUUUAUUACUUAUAAUUUUUAAAAAAAAAUUAUUUAGUGGUACAUAUGAUUCUUCUAUAAAAGUUCAAGGUAUAUUUUUUAAUUUUUUUCAUACAUAAAUUAUUUUUUGACUUCUUUUAUUAUAAUUAUUUGAGUUUCUUAUCCUUAUUUUGUUUUUUUCUUUCAUUCCUUAGUUUAAAGAAAAAAAAUUAAACUAUUGUUUUGUGUGUAUUGUAAUUUAAUUUCGUAUUCGGAAAAAAUUUGGUCAUCUACAAUAAGUUUUACAAGAAUAUUAGUGAAACAUAAAUAAAUUUGAUUAUCAAAAUAAUAAUUAUAAAUUAGUCAUUGAAACAAAAAAAAAGUCAAAAAAAAAUAUGUUUGACGAGGAUUUAUUUUACUCAUAUGGAAUUAUAUUUUUUAGAAAAAAAUAAUAAAAAUUUAGAUUGAAAAUUAUUAUUUUUUCAUUUCCGUUAGAGGAAAAGGGUAUGUGUGAGUCAUUUGUUUACAAGUAGGGGUAUAUAUGAGCCACUUUCAUAACAAGUGGUAUAUCAGCUCUAAAUGACAAAGUUGAGAGGUAUAUCAGACCUUUUUCCCAAUUUCAAAUUUCUACCCUCACUAAUAGGUGCACCUAAUCAUAGUUGCAUUAUAUGAUACUCCGAGUGUGGAUUUACACAUCUAAAUACAAAAAAUUAAAAAUAUAACACUAUUAUAUAUGAUUUUGGGAACGCGGUGACCCCCUCCUCAUACACCUCUGUGCCGAUAUAUACAGUUUGCCCAAAUAUGGUUGAGAUAUACAAAAUCUAUACAUUGAUAAUGUAUAUUAUAUGUAUAUGAUACUAAUAUAUACGAAUUAUAUACAUUUUUUCUGGCUAUUUUGUAAAUUAGAUCGCCUAAAGACGUUGAACUCUAACUAUUAUCUCAUAAAGCUCAAAGAAAUGGGCUUACAUUUGAGAAGACUACUUGGGAUUGGGCUCAGUGUGAGAUUGGGCUUAAUGUAUUGGGCUUCAUUUCUGUUGCUAUUGGACUGAACACAAUCCAAACAUAAGCCCAAUAAAACAACACCUCAUUUGUGUUUGGUAAGAUAUUACACGCAACGACGACGUUAAAAAUGGAUAGUCUUGAACUUUUGACCCGCACUUUUUCCUAUGAGCAAACCUUCAAGAUCGGAAGUCAAAAGUUUAGCCAUUGACCUAACGCCAACGAGGUAAAAAAAUUCAACAUCGCUCAUUUCACUGUCAUUACUUGUGAAUCUUCCGUUCUUUGUUUAUUUGUAUCAGAAAAUAUUUCGAUUCAAUAAUUUCAUUGUCGGAAAUGGGACAUGCUUAAAAUUUCAUAAAAUACAAUGAUUUUUUUUCCAAUUCUCUAAGCUUAUCUCGAUUUAUAGGGAGAAAGUCGAAACACAAUAAAAUCAAUAGACCCGCUAUCUAAUCACCUAUUAAGAAUAUUCUUUAAUAAAUCAUCAUUUGGUAUGAUUAAUGCAUGAUCACCAUUUAUGAAUUAAUUAUCAUAAUAUUAAUUAACACAGUACUUAACUUAAUUUUUUUUAUGAUUUUGUUGUGUAUUUAUGUGGUCCUAAAAUGGCUUGGGAUUUCAUUAUGAGAUUUGUUUGUCUAAUAAUUAUGAAUAUUUAAUAUAAUUUUUCAUCAUAUAACUUUCAAUAAUUCCCACUGAGCAUGUCAAUUAUACAUGAUUAACUUCUUCAAACUUCUAAUAUAUAUCUCAAAAUUUAAUAAAAAACUAAUUUAUAAAGCAUGGAAGGUGAAUACAAAAAUCUAUUAGAAAUUCAACCGUUUAUAUAAUAACAAUAUAUUCAAUAUAAUUCUGCAGGUGAGAUCUAAUAAACUUAGAAUGUAUGCAUAUUUUAUCUCCGCGACCUAUUUAUCUGCUCAAAUUCGAUAAUCACAUCACAUUAAAAAAUCAAAAUAAAUUAAUUCCAAAUGGGAUAAUUUGUCACAAUUAUUAAUCUUAAUUAAUUUAACUUUAGCUGCAAAUGCCAUGUUAAAUUUUGUUAAGAAAUCCAUUGACUAAUUAAUUUAAUUUUAGUAAUGAUCUAAAAGAUUAACUAUUCUUAGGGUCAUGUGUAAUCACAUGAAUUUCCAUGUUUUCUAAUUGAUUCCUUUAAUAUCUUUAAUUAAUUUGACUUAUCACAUGAUAUAAAUAUAUCAAAUAUUUUAAUGGGUUUUCAGUUAUUACAGUUAUGGAGUUAGUUGCAUUAAAAUCAUAUAAUUUUAUAGUACAAUCACACAACUGAAUAUAAGAAAUUUUUUAUUAACUUUUUUUUUUGUUAAUAGCACUUUUGGUCCUUCAAUUAUUAAUAAAUUCUAAUUUUGAUCCUUGUUAUAUUUGACUCAACACAUUUGAUAUUUAACUGAUUGAUAUGUGUCUUUGAUUCCUUUAAAUAUUCAUAAAUAUAUCAUAAAUAUUAGCCGUUCCACGAAUUAAUUAAUUAUCAGUGCGUUAUGUUAAGCUUGUAUUGUUACUCUAUAUUUAACGAUAAUAUAAUUCUUUCUUGCCUAAUAGGACUAAAACAUACAUUUCGAUUUAUUGAUGGUUAAAUGUACAAUGACCGCACUCAAAAAUCUAACUGAACACAUUUAACCUUCAAUAAUUGAAAUGUGCAAUUUUUUUCUAUCAUGUUGCUUGUUAAUAUUCACAAAUAAUUCAUCGUAAUUAUUAAUCGUUCCACCAUUUAAUUAUUCACGUGCUGUGUUAAAACUUUUACUCUUAUUAGUCCAUACUUCUUACAUACACUGGCUAAAAAAUACAUUUCAAUUAAUUAAAAGUUAUAACAUAUGCUUCGUCAGAUAUCUCAAAGAAUCGAAAUCAAAAUAUACUUAUAAUUUGAGGACACAAUUAUAUUAUCCCCACUUAUUUAUUUAUUUAUUUAUUGUGGGACAAAAUGUUCUUGGGAAAUUAAAUUGAAUCUAAACUUGAGAGUUUAUUUAGGUUCUUUGGAUUGAGUCAUAUUAUUGAUUAAUUAUUAAUUAAAAGGAUCUGUGAAAACUUUGUCCUUUGAACAUGAAAUCUAGAAAUGGCUUCACAACAAAGUUAAAAAAAUCUAACAUCUUAAUUCAAUGAACUAUUAAGAGAUUUAAGACAUUAUGAUGAGACCAAAAAUAUAAAAAGUACUUUUCCCAAGAAAGGAAAAAAAUGAUUGAAGAACAAGUUAUUAUAAUAUGGUCUUGUUUACUAGCAUUUAUGACAAAAUUGUAUUUAAUGGACUAUGUAAUUUGUGAGAAAAAAGGAAAAAAAUGAUUGAAAAUGCAUUAAGCAAAAGAUGUAAAAUUAUUACGAUAUAAUUGCCUAGCUUACAAGUGAUAUUGUCUAUUCUGGAUAGUUACGAAUAGUAUAAGAAUCAAUUUUAUGUCAGUUUUGUCGAUGUAGAGUUCAACUAAGUGAGAACUACUUUAAAAUUAUUUUUGUUAUUAUCCGGCUUAUAAAUAACAUUAUCUAUUUUAAAUCGUUAUGAAUGAUAUUAGAGGCAAUAAUUUGUUUUGAAUAAUGGCAAACGUGGUAUAUCUCAAACUUACGUUUUUGAUCGUCAAUUUCAAAUAAUGUACCAAGAUUUUAAUUACUCUUUUAUUAAAUAAUAAAUUCAUCCUAAUUAGCCUUUAUAGGUGUCAUCUGUCAACCAUGAAAAUUCAGUAUUUACACAGAUUAAAUAAAUACAUGACAUAUUUUUUCAUAAUACAUAUAUACAUAUCACUAAAUCAUAUGUUAAUAUUUAACAUGUGUGUCACUAUAAUAAAAAUAACUUUUAGCAGCAAUAAAUAUUAAUAUUAAUGUAGAGUGUUAUAGUCUUUACCAGCAUUAGUUAAAUGUCAUUAGAUUCAAUUUCGAUAAAUAUUUUAGGAAUAUAUACAAAGAGUACUAUUAAAUAAUUACCGCUAAAAAUACAUAUUUAACAUCAAUUAAGAAUUAAUUGCCGCUAAUUUUUUAAUAUAGUGUGUGUGUCUUAACAUUUAAUUAACUUAAAUUAUGAUAAAUUAGUAUGAUUUGAUAUAGACGUCAAAUACAUGUAAAUUUUAUCAUAAAUUACAAUUAAAAGACCGUUUAGUCGAAUAUUAUAAAUAACUUUUCUGAUAGCAAACAUUUUAUUCAGUAGUUUUUUUCGAUGCAAAUUCAAUUUAAUCAGAACGAUGACAUUAUAUAACGUACGGAUACUUAUUUAAAGAAAAACAAUAGCGAGAAAAAAACAAACAAGACAUUAAUCUAAUAUGUAUAGUAUUUAAACACAAGUUGCGCCUGAAGUCAUUAAGUCGAUAUUAUUUUCUAAGUAAUGUUCUUAUCUUUUCAUUAUUCAUCAAAACAACAUAAGAUGUACACACAAAGAAAACAUCAAAAUUGAGGACAACAUGAAGAUCUUAAGGGAAGUUGGUAAAAACAAGAAAAGAUUUUUGAGUAUUCCCUAGAUAAUUGCUUAACAUAAUUAUUGAUAGAGUUUAUAGACAUUAAUUUGACUUAAUAGAAAAACAAGUCUUCAUUCAUUCAAAUUCAAAUAUCAAUUGACCUCAUUAACUGAAUCUAAUUAUUGGAAAAACUGCCUCAAUUGAAUGUGCAAAGAAUGAUUCAUAACUAAUAUUAACUAAUUAAUUAUGUGCUCUUACACAUGCACUUCUUUUUGAAUUACUCAGGUCCGAUUAAAUCUGAAUUCACGCAUUAUAACAUGUUCAUUUCUAAGAGAUAAUACUUUUAAUAUGGUUUUUUUCUUUCGUGUCCAAAAUCUCAAAUCUAAAACCUCUGUGAGUAAAAAUACGUUAAAUCAUUCCGCCACAAUCCAGAUUAGUUAGACAUGCACUUAAUUAAUUCCAUGGUCAAUGCCAUUCAUAAGUGUAUCAAGUUUUAAUUUAUUGUUUUGAAUUAGUGAGGUUCAAUUGAAUCUGAAUUCACGCAUUAUAACAUAUUUAUUUCUGGAAGAUAAUACUCUCAACACAGUUUUUUUUUAUAUCCAAAAUCUCAAAUCUAAAACCUUUAUGAGUAAAAAUACGUUAAAUCAUUCCACCACAAUCCAGAUUAGUUAGACAUGAACUUAAUUAAUUCCAUGGUCAAUGCCAAUCAUAAGUGUAUCAAGUUUUAAUUUAUUGUCUUUUUUUCCCCUCUCUUUCUUGUGUCUUUUGACCAUGGCUUCUAUAAUUAGAACAUGACAAAUGAUUUAGGUACCAACUUGUGUUUGUUAAUUCUCAAAUCACAUGAUUAAUUAAUAUAAGAAUAGAUUAAGCUUAUUUAAUAUGUUAAAUCCAAUUUACUUAGUUUUUUUUUAAAAAAAAAUUAAUGUUGGGUAGGGCUACACCAUGGAAAAAAGGAAAUGAUUAUUGGUAGUUGUGCAUAAACAUAUGAAUAUAAAAAGUGGUAGAGAAUCUGAUGCAUGUUCUAAAGCUACUUAUAAGCAUGUAAUUAAACAAUAAAUAUAUAUUAAUCAGAUCAAAGGCGUAUUUAGAAUUUAAAGUUUAUAGGAUUUAGAUUUAAAAUUCUAUCGCGACUUAUCUGCUCCUAUAAUUUAGUGGUUUUGAAUUCAAUUAUUUGUAUUUAUUUAAUGUACUUUAACACGUAAAAAAAGCGAAUCAAAUUAAGUUAUUAAAUUCAUCGAAACAUGUAUAUAUCUCACCUUCUAAAUUCGCGCUUGUUUAGGUCUAGUUAUAAACAAAUCAAUUGUUUUAUUGGUUUGCUUUGUCUCAAGAAUCUUGAUCAAUUGCCUCAAAACAAACAUCGAUCGAUCUCAAUAAUUCAUAAAUUAAAUAUUCAGAGGUGAAUUCUGGAUAUAAAUUUUAUUCAGGAGGUAAUUAUAUUAUAGUAAGCUUAUGGCAUAUAUUAAUGUCUAGUUUGUCCAUGUGAACUUGUGUCAUGUCUCGUAAAUCUCUUUCUGCUUACAUUCCAAUAUGAAAUUUGCCUAAUUAAAUGUCUUUACCCCUAUUUUUUCCUAAUUUACUGAUUUUCGAUAAUCCUUGAUUUUAUACGAUCAAAUUUUUAUUAUUUAGUGACAUAAUAUACUCCACGCUAACUUAUUUUCUCCAUUUUUUUGUAAUAUUACGAGAUAUUAGAAAUGUAAUUGAACCUUCCUAUUUAUGACUUUUGUUAGUAAUUUUAAAAUUCAAUUAUUAGUAAUAUCUACUAUAGAGUUGACUUUUUUUUUCUAUUGAAUAAUUAAGGGGUCAAAGUGCUUUAAUUUUGACUCUACGUGGAAACAUCAUAAAACAAAAUUUUACUAAUUAAGUAGUAUUAAAAAUUGAUCAACGCGUUUGCUUCUUUAUAUCAAGCAAAAAUAAUAAAAUGUUGCCUAAAACAGAAAGUAGGAUUUAUAAGAUCUUUUACUAUUUUAUAUAUUUAUAAAAGUGGUUAAAUACAUUAAAUAAAUGAAAUUAUCUUUACAUUGAUUGAAUUAAAGAAGCAAUGUGAAUAGAAGAUUUAUGAACAUUCUAUGUGCUUUCUAAUUUUGAAAAGUUGCAAUAUUUAGGCAUAGGAAAAAUUCCAUUUCUAGGGGACGGUGGCACUUUGUUUUUACGGUGUUCGAGUUUUUUCACGUAUUUUGAUUAAUUUUUAUGUAUUAAUUUAAUAUUUAAGUUUUUAUUAUUUCGUUUUUGUUUGAUGAUUGAAAUUUGCUUUGAAGUUUGAUUUAUUUUGAUCCAUAUUAAAAAAUUCAGUUUUUGAAGGUAAUACAUUCAUAUCUAAGUCGACUAUAUAAUACUCACAACAUCUUGGGGCCUAUUAAUUUGCAUUAUCGCGCCAAGAAGUCCCACUUAAAGUGACUUCAUAAUCAUGUCAUUUUAGAGUCUGAUGAAUCUAGAUUUACAUCAAAAAAUUUAACUUUUAAAGAUAGCUCUUUAUCAAAAAUAAUUUCAUACUUAAUACAUAAAUUUAAAAUUUUUACUUAAAAUUAAAAAAAUAUUUAUCAUUAUAUCCAUUGUCAUCCAAGUUUUCUUCAAAAGAUAUGAUAAGUCAAAAAUAGGGAAAAUAUCCAAGUACCCCCUCAACCUAUGCCCGAAAUCCCAGAGACACACUUAUACUAUACUAAGGUCCUAUUACCCCUUGAACUUAUUUUAUAUGUAAUUUUCUACCCCUUUUUAGCCUACGUGGCACUAGUUCGAAAAAAAAGUCAACCAUCGUUGGGCCUACAAGAUAGUGCCACGUAAGCUAAAAAGAGAUCAAAAAUUAUUAAUAAAAUAAGUUCAGGGGGGUAAUAGGACCUUAGUAUAGUAUAAGUGUGUCUCUGAGAUUUCGGGCAUAGGUUGAGGGGAUACUUGGACAUUAUCCCUCAAAAAUAAGUAAAAGUUGUACAUAUAAUGCUUGUCAGAGGGUCGGAUUCACUAAGGGAAGGCUUUAACUUAUUUAAUUGCUUAUAUUAAAUUUUGAUUGAUUUAAAUUUAUAUAUUUAAAUUCGAUUAAAAGAAAGUGUUGUUUUAAGAAUAAAAUUCAUCCUUACGCUUUGAGCCUUAGACCUUUAAUUAAGGAAGAAUGAAAUCAAAUUUCGACAAUAAAAAUUUAUAUGAUAGAAAAAAUAUAAGAUCUUUUACUAAAAUUAUUUUCAGAUCAAUAAUUUUGUCAAGCCGUCUCAACAUUAAUAUUAUUUAGGAUAUAUAAAUUAGUUGUCAUGAUAAAUUAAGUUAUAACUGCGAUACUCUUCUUUCAUUUCAUUAAGAAAAUAUUAAGCAAGAAAUCAUCAAAAUUAUUUUAUAUCGUCAAUUUUAUCUUCUUUCAUUUCAUUAAGAAAAUAUUAAGCAAGAAAUCAUCAAAAUUAUUUUAUAUCGUCAAUUUUAUUGAGCCGUCCUGAAUAAAUAUAAUUUAGGAAAUAAAAAGUUGUCAUAAUAAUUUUAAAAAUGAUGAUGUUACUCUUCUUCCAAAGCCCUUGGAAUUAUCUAAACACAAUAAGAACAAACACUAACUUGUUAUUUUUUGCAUGAAAAGAAUAGAUUUCUUUGUUACCUAAGGUUCCAUGCACAUGCAACUCUUCUUUCCCCCACAACAUUUUUAUCUCUUUUAUUAUAUUUUAUUCAUAUAACCUAUGAUAAUGAUACGUAUUCGUUUACAUAUAUGCUUUGUCCCGUUUGAUUUUAUAUGACAUUCUUUUCAAAUUCAUGUUAGAAUGAAUGAUCUCUUUUUUUAACAUUAAUUAAUUUAUAUAUUCAUACGCCUGACGACUUAUUGAUAAUUAUAUUGUAUAUAUAAUUAAAAUGAUAUAUGAAAUGAUUAAAUAAUAUAUUUUAAAUAUUCUUAACUCAAUGAGUUAUUGUAGUUCAGUGAUUAUAUCUCUUUUGAAUCAGGUAGUACUCGUGUGAUUAAAUCUCACUAAUUCUAUUUUUUGAAGCAAAGCUUUUAUUGUGCUAUUUUUGGACAUACUUUAUGAAAUUUCUGACUCCGUCAAUAUUAACUACUGAAAACUUCUAACAUGUUUAGAACAACAAGUACUCGAAGAGUUUUAUUUUUUUAAUGCAUGAACUAGAAGUCUUUUUUUUUCUUGAUUAAACUUCGUGUUCAGUCAAAUCAAAAUAAAAGAGAAUAAAUAUUUAGUAUAGUUGAUUUUAGCAAGAACCAAGAAAUGAUUUUUUUCCUCAAUUUCUUCAUCAAAUUAAACUAAUAGUAGUGAAUGUUUGUCAUGCUACAAAAUACAAUGGUUCUAGGAUUGUGAAGAGGGUAGGCAAAUAGUUGGACUUUGGGGAUUAAUCAACAUGUGUGUAAAUCUCAAGGCUAAUUAAGUGUAGGUUAAUUAUUUGGAAUUUAAUUUAAUUUAAUUGCAACCUAAAUAUUAUAUGGUUUAUAUAUAUAUAUAUAUAUAUAUAUAUAUAUAUAUAUAUAUAUAUAUAUAUAUAUAUAUAUAUAUAUAUAUAUAUAUAUUUGGUUCCAAAUUCCAAAACAAAGAAAUAUGAGUCCUCCCAAGACACAACUAGCCGCUCUUCUUCCACCUACUCCAUGUGGAUGGUUUUGUCAACUUUUUCUCGUAGAAACGAAUUCAAAAUUUAAAUAAGAUAAAUAUUUAAAAAAAUUCGUAUAUAAAACGUAUACGUGUUUAUAGAUGAUUUUAAGAUUUAAAUGUGAUAAAUUCACCGUUAAGGUUUUUAGUGCAUUAAAAUAUGCAUAUAAGUUUACAUUAUUAUUUUUUUAUAUAAUAUGUUCAUAACUUCAUAUAUGUUUGAGAGAGUGUAAAUGAUCGAUCGAGGCACAUGUUAUUAGUCUUGAAAAAUACAAAAGUUAUUAUUCCAACUUCGAAUGAUAAUAUAAUUUUGGUUACUUUAAUUUUUAAUGCAAUUCUUAUCCAAGAUAUUUCUAUUUCUACCAUGUCACACGUGAGUUUAUGUCUCUUUACCUCAAAAUUAGUCGUUUAAUCUUGAGUCAUUAAAAUCUUUCUGAUUUAAUUCGAUUACAUUAUAUGCAAUCGAUAUGUUAUUAUAAGUCAUCAAAAUAUUUUCAAAACGACAUACUUUUUAAUUUGAUAUUCAUUAUAUUAUGUUAAGAAAUGGAGGGCGGAUUAAGUUAUGCUCCGUUUUAAAGCUCGUUUUAAUUUAAAUAACUUUUGAAUAGAUAAUCAAUAACCUACCUGCUCAUAUCUACUAAUUUAAUUUAUUUUGAUCUGUUUAAAUUCAACUCACUUUGUAUUAAGCAAUUGUAAUAUAAUACUUUAUCCCUUGAUAAUAUUGAUGUGUUAUUGUGACAUGCAUAGAGAUAAUACUUGUAGGUACAGUGGUUCACCAUGCAUUUGUCUUUGGACCAGUACCAAAUGGAAUAUAAGAUUCAAAUUUAUAAAAUUUAAAUUAUGAAUUCGCCUUCAAUAAUGAUAAGUUAGUUUGAUUGUAAGCUCCAUUAUCAAUCUUUCUUACCAACACGUGCUUUAUUUAGAUCGUAAAUUAGUCAUAGAACUUUAAUUUUUAAAGUAAAAUUAAAAUGAUUGAAUUAAGAUGAUUUAUUCAAACCUUUUUAUGAGAAAAUUAUAUUGUACAUAGAAAUUUCUAUAAACCAAUAAUGAAUAUUUGUUUCUGAAUGCCAAAUAAAUUACAUAUUUGUUGGAGUAAUAACGAAUAAUGCUAAAUGGCUAGAAAAUUUAGUUAGAAAUUUAUUAAAAAAAUUAAUUUAAAAUUAAUUUUUUUUAAUUUUAUAAUUAAAGUGUAUUAAAAUUACAAGAAUAUAAAUAUUUAAAAAAUAAAACAAAUACCAUUCUUAUCAAUCAAAUUCUAAUCAAAUUUUCUGGCGAAUUUUUUUUUUCUAUUUAACAAUAUAUUUUUUUGGAAGAGCUAUACUUAUUUCAUCGAAGAAAACAUUCUUUUUUUUUGUUCAUUUUUUUUUUGGGAAUACCAAUAAUUAGAAAUAAAAUCUUGGAAAUGCAAAACCUCACAUGUCUCUUGCAUUUUAUCUUGUUAUUUUAAUUUUUGUGUACGUUGGAUAUCUAAAGGACAAAUAAUAUUUAGAAAUAAAAUUUUGUGUUAUUUUUAUUAUUAUAUUUCCAAAUUCAUAUAGUUCUAGAAAUAUAUAUAUAUUACGAUUUCUUCUCCUUUAAGAAUUUUUCCUUAAAAAAAUUAUAUAUAUAUAUAUAUAUAUAUAUAUAUAUAUAUAUAUAUAUAUAUAUAUAUAUAUACCAAUAGUACAAAAAAACUGAGCGUAAUUUAAUACGUGAGUAAGUUAAUUUAUUAUUUUAUCAGAUUAUCAUUGAUAUUUAUUAUAAAAUGACUUAAUUAUAUAAUUAUAAUAUUUUUAAACCUUCAAAGCAUAAAACUUAAAAUUCUAGAAUGAUUAUUAUAAUAUUGACUUUUCUCUUCUUCCUUUUUCCAUCCAAUUAUAUUUUCUCUUUUUUUGCCUUUUUGUAUAUUAAAUUUGGUUAAAUUAAUUUUUUUUUCUUUUUCCCUUUUUGUAUAUUAAAUUUGGUUUAAUUAUCCACCGCCCAUUUAAAAAGCUAAAAUAAUUAACGAACUUCCUCGUGAUUUCAUAAAGUUAUGGAAUAUUUCUUUUACUUAUUUUUUUCGUAGAGAUCAAGUACGUUUAAGUAUUAAAAUUAUUACAACUUGAAUUAAUUUUAAUUAAUCCAAAGAUAAAGUUUGUUGAAUAAAUCAAUAUUAAAUUCUAUAAUCUCAAAAGCUAAGCAGAAAGUUACGCCGACUAAAACAUAUUUUAUUCUAUUUUCUUAUGUUUUUUUUUUUUAAAAAACAACAACUAAAUAUAAUAUAAUCAUUUAUUCCCACAGGCUUUUCACUGUACUUUGUGGGUGCGCUUGGUAGGAAGAAAAUAUUUUUCGCGAAAAAUAUUUUUUUAAGGAAAAUAAGUGAGAUUGUGUCUAAUACGUAAAUAAAAUAUUAUCUUAAGAUAUUUAUAUGUUAUUUAGAUAUAGAAAAUGUAUUAAAAAGUCGAAAAAUAAAGAUAAAAGUGUAUUGAAGGAUUCAAAGGUUAUAUUUACUAUAAAAUGUAAUUUAUGAAACUUGUUUUUCUUAUAUUUAUUAUGAAAAUUUGGUUUUUACAAUUUUUUGAUUAGUCGAGCGCUUUUGUUUAUCUCUUUUAUUAUUUUCGUUUCAGUUCAUGUGAUACAUUUUUUCUCAUUAAUUAUGUUCUAAAAAGAAUGACACGAUAUUUUUAUCUAAAUCAAUAAAUAGUUAAUUUUAUAUAUUUUUAAUGAGAAAAAUUUACUAUCACACAAAUAUUAUGAUGCAUUUAAUUUAACAUGUAUUAAAGUAUUAAUUAUCAAAAAAAAUAAAAUAUUAAACUGAUUAAAGUUAAAUCACAUAAAUUAAAACAGGAAAAGUAUCUGAAUAAUGGUUGCAUAUGUCUAUCAUUAUUUUUAUAAAUUAAAGAGAAAGAAUAUACUCCAUAUAAUCACACACUUACAUGCUCACAAGACCAAUUAAUUAAUCUCAUAUAUUAUAUAUAAUCACAUGAAUAGUAAUGAUUUAUUUGCCUAAUCAUUAUGAUACUUUUGAUUAACAUAAAGUGAUUAAGAACCAUAUUUUCAAUCCUUAAUUAAUUAUCAUAUGAUUUAAUUAUAUCAGAAAUAAUUAGUCCUGAUACAUGAGUAUAACAAUCUUUCUAAUAAUUUUAUGCACAUCUUCCAAAGUUUGGAAAAAAAAAACACAUAUAGACUAUAUUAAUUAAUUGAGAUUAUAUAUUUUAGUCAUGUAGUAUUACUUUAAACCAUAUUUGUUAGGAAUUAAUCUUUAAUUUAAUUAGAUAUAUAUAAUUUAUUAAUUAGUAUAAAUAUAAAGAUUUUCUAGUGUUCAAGAAACUAAGAUUUUACAAUAUCGAUCUUAAAUAAAGUAGCGACCAUGUUCAACUUGCUUAGAACAAAGAGCAAUCAGUUAAACACAGCCUAUCAAAAACUAAAUAAACAUAUGAUGCAUAUUGAUCAAAUUAAGACUUAUUAUGCAUAUAUAAUAUCUGAAAUAUCACUUUUAAAUAUCUUUUACGAAAUUUUUAAUUCUGAUAUAAUUUUUAGAUACGAUGUUAUUGUUAUUGUAGUAUUAGUUGAAACCAAAUAUUUUUUUUUUUGGGAUGUAUAGACAUUUGAUCAACCUAGAGUAACUCAAGCUUUGAUAUGUGCGUUGUCCUAAGAUGAUAUGAUGAGAUUUCACUACAAUCAACUUUGCCAAUAUUCUUCAAAAAACUAAAAAUAUUGAGAUUUUCGAUGGAAAAUUCUUAGAGAACAUUUUCUUUUACGAGUGUUUUUCAAACUGAUAAGUGACGAUUUUGAAAAACUUGUGCUCUUAGGGCAUGUAGACAACUCAAUAUGUUUGUUUUUUUUUUACUAUAAGAAACUUCCUAUAAAAUUUUAGUUGAAAAUUAGAAGAUAUUGGGAAAUAGCUACACCUCAUGUUUUUUGUUGGUUUUGUUUGUUUUUUUGAAGGGUGUGAUUAUGGGUUUUCAUGCUCAAUGGUACUUUUAGGUGGAAAAGAAUGGAAGUGAGAUAAUAACAAUUAAAAAAAAAAAAUUGGAAUGUAGUGUAAAAUUUUAUUUUAUUUUUAGAAAAUAUAUAUUUUAUUUCUUGGAAGAAAAUAAAUAUAAGGAUAAGGAGGAGAAGACAUAUUUACACACACUCUCUUUAUCUCUCUCUCUCUCCUCACAUGAAUAAAACUAUAUAAUAAGUAUCAAAAAAUAAAUCGAUGACUUUUAUUUUAUUCGAUCGAAUUUAAAAUAAAAGUCGAAUUAAUUAAUUUUAAUUUUAAUCAAAAAGUAUGAACCUCUAAUAUAUGAUAUCAAAAUUCAUAAGCAAUUAAUCACUAUAUCCAAUUCAAUUUAAUUUUAACUUUUCUCUCCGUCCAAAUAACAAACAAAUGAAGCAAAUAAUUUAAUUGCUUCCCUUUUUUUCUUUUUAUUUUUUUGGUCCAUUUUUAAAAUAAGAAAACUCAAGCAUUUGUAUCAAGUCAACACAUUAAUUAAGCCGUGUGAUGCUUUUUACUAAAAAUAGGGCAAAUUGAUUUUUCCAAAAAUCUUAAUUAUUUUGCUAUUCCAAAAUCAAUUUAUGUGUAAUUUAACCAAAAAAACAUUAUGUGGGGGUGGGAGGAUAAAUAGCUGCGGAGUGAAAAGAAUAAUAAACUUGAAAUAUUAGUUAUAAAAUUAGCGAAGACAAUUUCCUCGUUUUUAAGGAAGAAAUGUAUGUUUCAAAAGGGGUCAUAAAAUGAACUCGGAAGGGAAGCUACAAGAGCAGGAGGAACACUUUGAUUAAUCGUAGUCAAGUCGAGUGAUCAAUGAUAUAGAUUGGGUACAAUUACUGAUACUCGUUGGUGGAAAGAGACAAUAUCUCAUAAACAAAAUGUGUGCAAGAAGAUCCAGACAUCAAAAUUAUUAAAAAAACAAAUUAAUUUACCAAACAUGAAAAAAUUGAAAUUUGAUAGAUUGGAUACCAUUACUGAUACUCGUUGGUGGAAAGAGACAAUAUCUCAUGAACAAAAUGUGUGCAAGAAGAUCCGAACAUCAAAACUAUAAAAAAAGAUAUUAAUUUACCGAACAUGAAAAAAUUGAAAUUUGAGUCGGAGUCUUUUGACUAUCAUAUUUACCCUCAACUUGAUAUAUCUUAGCUGGAGCAAAUAUGUAACAAAGUGCAAUUCAAAUACAUGAAAGCUCAAAUUUGUAGGUUGACUCCAAAUAUGUGACAAAUUUAUGACUUAUUUUGGUUGCAAAAAAUAAUAAAUUAUAUUUAAUGUACAAGUUAGUUUGAGUUCACACAGGCCAUACUAUAUAGUAGCAUAGCAUGCAUAGCUUGGACAUAGAUGAAAUACUUUAUAGAAGUCUUUACAUUGAAUGUGGGGUCUCUCAUUAAUAAUAUACUCCCUCCGUCUCAAAAUACCUGUCAUAAUAAAAAUUCAAGAAAAAAAUAAUCAAUUUUCUCUCAUUUUACCAUUAGCGUCAAUUGUUCUUAAAGACUAUAAAUACCUCGACUACGACAUGUAAAUAGAGUAUAACAUUCAGAUAUAAAUAAGGAUGCAACAACAACAAUAUAUCCAGUAAAAUCACACUAAGCAGGAUUUGAGGAGGAUAGAACGUAACGCAGACCUUACUACUUCCUCAAUGAGGUAGAGAGGUUAUUUAUAAUUAACCCUCGGCUCAAGUAUAAAAGGACGAAAAUAAGAUUAAAAUAAUCAAAUACCCUUCUUAAUUAAUAUUUUCUUAAGCAUGUAAAUGAAAAAUACGACAAGUAGUUUGAAACGGAGGAAGUAUACAGAUUUAGUAGUCAAAUACCUAUUCUGAUUAAUAUUUUCUUAAAGGUCGUGUAAAUGAUGAACACGAUAAGUAUUUUGAGACAGAUGGAAGUAUAUAGGUUCAAAGGGAGUUAAAACAAUUUUAUAUAGUAUAGCUUAUAGGUAGAUACAUUAAUUAAAAGAAUAUAUGUUCAUAUCAAAACAAAGUAAGGGAGAAGACCACAAACUUAAUCAUAUGAAAAGGACAAUAAACACAUCAUUUUCAAAUCCUAAUUACAUCCCCCACACCCCUACCCAACCCCCACCCCUCUCAUGGCCAACUUCCCCCUUAUUUAAACCUCUCUAUUCCUCUAAACCCUCUCCACACAAUUCAUUGUCAACUUGAAAACUCAUAAUAUUUCUCUUUUCUCCUCCUUGAUCUUCAACAACAACAAAACAAAAAAAAAAAUUGCAAGAAAAACAAAAGUUGAGUUCAUUGCAUAUUUCUAGAACUUAUCUUGAUGAAUCAAUAUUGUAAUAGUCCUUGUUCACCACUAAUGGUUCAUGAACUUGAACAAGAAGACUUGUUUGCUGGUAGAUGUAUACUAGUAAAUGGUCCUGUUAUUAUUGGUGCUGGUCCUUCAGGACUAGCAGUUGGCGCGGGCCUUAAACAACAAGGGGUUCCCUUUGUGAUCUUAGACCGCGCCAACUGCAUUGCAUCCUUAUGGCAAAACAGGACGUAUGAUCGCCUUAAACUUCACCUCCCGCGACAAUUCUGUGAAUUGCGUUACUUCCCAUUUCCACAAAACUUCCCUGAGUAUCCUACCAAGUAUCAAUUCAUUAGCUACCUUGAAUCUUAUGCCAAGAACUUCGAGAUCAGCCCACGAUUCAAUGAGUCGGUCCACUCUGCUAAGUAUGAUGAAACAUGUGGUUUAUGGAGGGUGAAGACAGUGUGUAGAAAUGGUUCAGUCAUUGAAUAUAUAUGUAGGUGGCUUGUGGUGGCUACAGGAGAGAAUGCAGAAAGAGUAGUGCCCGAAUUCGAAGGAUUAGAAGAUUUUGGUGGACAUAUUAUGCAUGCUUGUGACUAUAAAACAGGGGAAGUUUAUGAAGGGAAGAAUGUGUUAGUUGUUGGAUGUGGUAAUUCAGGCAUGGAAGUUUCACUUGAUCUUUGUCACCAUAAUGCAAGUCCAUUCAUGGUCGUUCGAAGCUCGGUAAGUCUCAUUCAUCUAAUCCAAAAUCUUUCAUGACUUACAUCUGCUAAAGAAGAAAAAAAAAAACACUCAAUUUCCUUCAUAAAUCUGCACACGACAUAUCGAAUUCCUCAUGACACAUACAUAAGAGGUCACUCCUUUAAUAAUCUACAUGAUUUACGUUUUCUAAGAGAAAAAAACACUCAAUUAACUUGAGCGCGUUUUGUCUAUGUCCUUCAUUUGCCAGAAAAUCUGCACUUGACAUCUCUAAUUCCUCAUCACAAGUCUAUAUAUAUAAUCAUCAUAUGAUAUGUAAUGAAAUAAUCAAUCUAGAAAAUCUGCACCUGACAUCGCUAAUUCCUCAUCACAAAUAUAUAAUCAUAUGAUAUCUAAUGAAAUAAUCAAUCUUUUCAUGAAACAGGUUCAUGUUUUACCAAGGGAAAUACUCGGAAAAUCAACGUUUGAGUUAGGAGUAUCAAUGAUGAAAUGGCUAUCAAUUGAUGUAGUUGACAAGAUAUUACUAGUUGCAGCAAGGUUACUUCUUGGAAACAUAGAAAAGUAUGGUUUAAAAAGGCCAUCCAUUGGACCUUUACAACUCAAGAAUACAGAAGGAAAAACUCCAGUUCUAGACAUAGGUGCAUUACAAAAGAUUAAAACAGGAGACAUAAAGAUAGUUCCAGCAAUCAAAAAAUUUUCUCAAGGAAAAGUAGAAUUUGUCAAUGGAGAAAUACAAGAAAUUGAUUGUAUCAUUUUGGCAACAGGAUAUUGCAGCAAUGUUCCUUCUUGGUUAAAGGUAAGAAAAAAAAAUAUUUUUUUUAUUUUUAUUUUGGUUGUGUAUUUAUUUUUUAAUUUAUGGAUUGUUGUGACAGUUAUGGAAGUUGGUUUUUUUCUUUGUAGAUUCUCUGUUCCUAUUUCUUGUAGCAUUGUUAUGUAUGAUCAGGUGGAUGAUACACGUAUUCUUUUAUACUAUGGUAAUUAAUAUUUUCAGAAACAAGAUUGAGCUUUCCAAGAAAAUAGUUGAAUGGAUUAGAUCAGAGAUCUGAGCAGCAAAUAAAAUUCUGUUUUUUGUCCUUUUUUCUAUGUUCAAGAAUAUUUUCAUUGAAUUUUGGUAUAAUGAGUUUGUAUUCAUUUUUAAAAUGCAGGAAAGUGAAUUCUUUUCAAGGGAGGGAUUUCCAAGAAGUCCAUUUCCAAAUGGAUGGAAAGGAAAAGCUGGUUUAUAUGCAGUUGGAUUUACAAAGAGAGGACUUUCUGGUGCAUCUUUGGAUGCAAUUAAAGUAUCACAAGAUAUUGGAAAAAUUUGGAAAGAAGAAAUUAAACAGAAAAAUCAAUCUGUUGCUGUUGCAUGUCAUAGAAGAAACAAGUUAUCUUCCUUCUAGUAAACGACAACAACAUACUCAGCAUAGUCCUACAAGUAGAAUCUGGAGAGGGUAGUGUGUACGCACAUCUUACCUCUAUCUAUUGUUUCUAAUAGACCCUCCAAGUUACCCUUCUAAUAUAAUUUUUUUAUAUUUUUUUUUUAACUUUUUACCUUUUCUUCCUGUAAUUUUUACUUGCAAAGUAACCAAAAAAAAAAAAAAGUAAAGACCAUUUUGUGACAAGAGACAAACACAGAAAGCAGCCCUGUCCAGAGAAAUACCCAAAUUCUUCUUUGGGCAUUUUAGUAGGAAGAAGAGGCUUUUUUUAGCAUCUACUUCUAAGGAGAAAUUUGUACAAAAGGUUUAUUAAUAUAUGUACUAAUAGAAAAAAUGUGACUAUAUAUAUAUAUAUAUAUCCUUUUCUUGGUAAGUAAUUUAACCAGUAUCUUUUAAAUAGUAAGGGAGGUUAUACAGUAGUCCCUAGCCAAUAUAUAUAUAUAUAUAUAUAUAUAUAGAUUAUACACAAUUCCACACAUAUAUUAUGUAAAUCAUGAGCUAAGUUGUAGAGACUCUUCAAAAAGAUCGAUGGAUAUGUAUCGUUGGGGGAAUCUAACAUAGAUGUGACAACAUUUUUGGAGUCCGAGCAACAUAAAUAAUGAGGGCUUCAAGGCCUGUGAAGGGAAAUUAACCUUCUGAUAUUGUAAAAGUUGGUUAAAGAAUGGUCAAGGGUAAUAGGAAGGUUCUCUCACUCAAUAAAUUUUGGUCCACCUAAGUCAUUUAUUCUACUGAUGGGAUCUAUCUCUAGAACAUGGUCCACCUAGGGGCCCCAUUAAAUAUGGUGGACCAAAAUAUCCAUAAUUCCACAACAUCCAUUCUUUAAAUUUAAAGAUGACAUAGACUUUUCACUAGUUUAGUUCAAGAAAAUACCUAUGCAUAACUCUUAGAGCACCUCCAUGUUGCCAAGCACAUGGAUAGAGCCCACAGAGAAGAGAGAAACAUAGGGGGUAAAAAGAUCCCCUUGCCUUCAAGUCAAACUUGGAAGGUAUUCUGUCUAUAUUGCUAGGACUCUUUAAAAAUGUCACUAUGUGCAUGUCGGAUCUAUCCUCCGAAAGUAGCACAUUUUUUAACCAGUCUUAGCAACAUACAAUUCAAUGGUAAAAGCACAACAUGUUAUGAGUGUUUUACACUUUGUUGUGGACAAUAACCUGGUAUAUAGAAAAGGUAAAGGAACAAACUCACUAUUCAUUGAGUUUCGAACCAUGCACCAGCUAACUAGCCCUCAGAAAUUUCUCGAUUAUAAGAACGAAAAAGUCAAACUUGGAGAAUAGUUUGAUACUAUUUGAUCUUUCUAAAUCUUUCACAUGUAUAAUAUAAUAUACUUUUAAGAGGUUUCUCAAAUUGGAUAGAAUUUAGAACACCAUACCUCAGACCAAUGCCAUAUGAGUCUAGCUAGCUCAGUCAUUGUCACCUAGUAAAGUGAGAAGAUUAUCUUGAACUUUAUAGGGGUACAACUUCAUGGAUUGGAUAGUUCAAAGAGUCAUCCUGAAGUUAUCAUAUUCCCCUCUUCACAAGUCAAAAUAUUUAUAACAUUGACUCACAAUAUCUCAUUAUAACAGAUUGCCUUACCAAAAAUAGAAAAAUAUGAAAAAUAGAAACAAUGAAUAAUUUUAUCCAUCUAGCCUAGCCACACCUAUCAGCAAAUCCUAUAUGAAUCAUUGCCAUGUUAGCAUCCUAAAUUUUUUUCUCCUGUAUCAAUCUUCUUUAUUUGGUUCCUGUACAAUGUCCAUAAACUGAAAUGUCCUAAGAGCAUCACAUUGUAACAAUAGAUGCCUCGUUCAUCAUUCGAAUUUUUAAUUCUCUCUAUCUUUUCUAAUAAGAAUCUAAAAGAGAUAGGAUGAGGGAGACAGAAUAUACAUUUGAUAGUCAGUUCGAUGAAUAAAAAUCUCGAGAAAACUAUUCAAUUGAAUCAUUGGGGAAGGGGGAAGAAGAAGGUUGAUUAUAGGUUCAGAGGAGUGGUCCAUGGUUGUCUCCUUGGUAACAAAUAUUAUUUCCUGUUAUGUAACAAUCUUAUAAUAUAAAAAAAUGGGAAUUGAACUUCUUUUCAAUGAGAUCCAACAUGACUUAAAUUUCCCAUUGCACAAUGAACAAAGAACAUAAAAAAAAUUCCACUGACAGAAAAGAUUUAAACAAAAAGAAGAAAAUCCAAAGAAGUAGUACAUAUAUAGACAACCCAUAUGAGUUCCCAUGCUGUUGAAUCAACCAUGCAGCAAACCUUUAUCUACUGUCCCAUCUAGAAUUGCUUCACCACCACAUAAAAAAAAUUCUUGUAAAAACAAAUAUAGAUAUAUUAUAUACAAAAAAAGACAGUUUCAAACCUUAAAUUAAUGAAUGUAAAACACACACAGCUCAUGUUCCUCAACUUGAUCCAUGCAAAGUGUUUGAAUUUAACACUUCUCUACCAGGAACCUACAGUUUCUAUUAUGUCUUUUUGCAGUGUAACUUGUAUUUUUUUCCACACCUUGCAACCAGGGGCAGAGCUACAGUUCUGCCUACGGAUUCGACAUUAUUGAGAAAUACAAGUAAAAGCUUUUAGAUGAGAUGAUCAAACACUUCAACAGACACAACUCAAUAGCUGUAUUUGUGUUUUAAAAUUUAUUUACUACGAUUAGAUAAGAGUGUAAUCCCACCUGCAAGGUCUGCGGAGGGUUUAGUGUUUGAACACCUUACCUCAUCUCGUGGAGGUUAAAAUUUAUUUAAUAUGUAUAAAUAAUAUAUCCAUAAAUCAGUAAGCUACAUUUUCUAGAAUUCAGAACUCGUAAACUCAAAAUUCUUGUUCCGCCUCAGCUUGCAAACCUAUUAUUAGAUAUCACUUUUACCGAGAGAGAAAUACACAUGGCCUGGGUCACUAACUAUAUCCUCAAAGUUCCAUGAGAAAGCCCAUUCCUUCAUGCCCUGAUAAGCAGUCAAUUUGCAAGUGUUAACUUGAGUUGGAUGGUGGACACUACAUCUUUGUAUCUUACUGUUGCAUGUCCUACUAGAAGAGUGUGUAUCCUGUGAUUGGUGAAGUUAAAAUAUAUGAAGCUUAUAUAGGUGUCCCAUAUAAAACAUGAGAUAAUAGUGGUGGAGCACCCUUGUCCAAGGGGUGUCAAUUUGUUGAAAAAUCACAUUGUAUAGAUAGAUAAGAAAAUUCAUAUAUACUAUAUGUUGAAUCUCCUUUACUUCUUCGUGUAUUUUUACCGACUUCCCUUGGUGAAAUCACAGUCCACCAAUCAUCUUUCAUAAUCAUUGACUAAUACUUUUAACCAUUUCCAAAAGAAAUUUGAAAAAUGAAUUUACAUAUCAUAGUACUUUGAACAUGGAUUGAAACGAUGUUUCGAAAAAUAUAAAUCAUCUUUCAGACUUCACACUGGAGAUAGGUUGAAAUGACUCUUGAUAAACUACAUAUCACAUUCAGUUUGAACCAGAAGACAAACAGAACAAUAUCUUAAGCAAAGCUAAAUCAAAUGUGAUAUCAUGGAUUUACUAUCAAAAGCACAAGCAUUUGAAACUAAAUCACAUACAUGAAGAGUUGUUUUUACCAAUGGUCAACAUAGUUAAUUAUUAUAAAAGGAAUUACAAUUCUAUCAAAAAGAGUUAAUUCUGAUGUGUGUUUAAUUAGACACUAUACACGUACAUGAAGAGUUGCAAUCACCAACAUUUUUUUGAUAACCAUGGUGUACGGGUUAGCUCGCACGCACCUCGACUACUCUAUGGGAUACUUGCUACCUUCCACCAGCAUAGGUACCGGAUAACUUUGUUCACCAAAGCUUGAGUUGCAAAUGCCAAAGUUCUACCAUCAAAUUAUUCACUUUUUGGAAAGCAUUUGAUCAAUUUCUCCACUCUCGUUGUACAUGCUAACAAUUUUCUUUGCAUAUUCAGGCAUAUGUCUGUCCGCUCUGCAAUUACACAAAAAACACGUGUGAGAAAAAAUUAAUGUAAUCCAUCAUAAUGGAACAAAUAUGAAUUUCUACAGACCUUUCUUUUCCCCAUUUGCGGACUACGUUUAAGUAAUUUCUGAUUGUGUGAUAAUCUAGCGAGUAACGUGCAAAUUCUAGACCCUUCGGUCCGACCUGAACCAAGACAAACAAGUUUAAGCACAGGGAAUUUGUUGUCCUUUCUGAAAGUAACAAGUCAGUGAACAAAAAGUUCUUACUAUGUUGAGAAGAAAUGCUAUUAAAUUUCCAACAAACUUUGGAGCAGGUUGAGAAGGACCUCUUCCUGGAAAUUCAGAAAGUUUCUGCAUAAGUCUUGUGAGAUUACUGAGAAGUUGUUCAACAAAAAUAUUUACUUCAAGAACAUGUCAGAAAAGGAUUUACUUCUCGGGGUUCUGCCUUCAGCAUACUGUAAUCAACGGGGAGUAUCAUAACAAAUGAAGUAAUUGAAGCAACUUAAAUAGCUAAAUUCACUUGACUUACAAGGAUUAAAACAAAUUAAGGUUAAUCUUAAAUAAACAGUCGAUGAGAUGUGUAACAUUUCAUACUUUUUAACAGCAUUCAAAGCGAAAAGGGAUAGGGAAAAAGGUCAGAUGUUUGAUACUUGCACAUGGACCCAACAAAGAACAGUACAAAACCCGAGAGCAGAUAUCUAAUUCUGAACCAGCAGCAGUAUGUGUACAGAGAGAGCCAGCUUAGUAACAACUUAUGAAAUGAAUAAAUAUCACAAAAUACCACAUACCAAAUUUUGCUUCAUCAUCUGCCUUCACGGUUUCCACGACAAAUGGACGCCGCUUACCCUGAAAAAAGAUGCAUGCUUUGAAAUAAGUAUAUCACAAGAAAGAGUUAAAAGAAAAAGUUGUGAGAUGAAGCAUCAUGUAUUACACUACUUAUCGUCGGAGUAAUUUCCAAGAGGUUCUCGAUAAGGUUUAGCAUUUCUCUACCACGUUCAUUUCUGCAUUUGGAAUGUGCAAAAGUAUAUCUUAAACAAGAUUAUUUAAGGGUAGAGCUAUCAGCAUGUCCUUUUAAUCUGUCAACGGCUUAUAAGAUUUGGCAACACUUUACCUGACAGUAACAUACUGGGGAUGCUGCAUCAUGCUGAUUCCACUGUAUUUCGGCACACCCAUGUAUCCCACCACCAAAUCCUGACAAGUUCCUUGAAGGUAAGAUUUGAAAUGUUGGCAUAUGCACCGGGAUUAUCAAGCUUUGCUUUUAUUUAAACGAAAUAAUCUGUCACGUUAAUGUUUGGAAACUACUGUAAUAGAGAAAGACAUCGACUAAUAAAUCUUCCAAGGAGCAAAAAUACUUAAUUUUCAUGGAUAAUAAGAUAUGCAGCAUCGAAUCUUCAAUGAUACGAUUCUAGAAACCUUAAAGAGUAAACUUAUGACGGAACCAUAAUGCAUUACCAUCCAAGACCAAAAUGAGUUUGCUAAAAGAUCCCCCUUGGACCUCAACCACUGAAUCUUAUCUCCAGAUCUGUCACAAGCUUUCACUUGAAAACAGUUGGAGCAAAUGAGUGGCCAGGUCUAGCUCUAGAACCUAUAAAUUCCUCAAUGAUCGAGGCUGCCUUUGCAAAACCUCUUUCCCUGUCAGAAAACUACGCACUAGAAAAAGAUCUGUUUGUGAGACAUAAAGAGAGAAGAGAUCUAUUCAAGAUUAACGAUUUGAUGACUAUAAUACAGACCUAUUUAUAAGUUCCAAACAUAGUAGACAAAUAGACAUUUGCAAAUGCAGGAAAUUACACCAGUAAAAUUUAAUAUUCCACCAGUAACACAUCACCUUUCAGAAUCUAAGACUAAUCAAAGUAGCAUUUAAGAGUAUGCUUUCCUUUGCUAUUUGAAAGUCUAACACAUGUGUAUGUACUGUGCACAUGCUUCUCUUGGAUGUUUAUUUUGUCUGUUUCUUUGUGAAAAUUGUAUUGUGCAAUAUAUCAGGGCCUUUAAUUAUGAACAAAGAACUCACCGCCAAGCCAUUUGUGUAGUCAAAACAGCUGUAAUAGAAGGAAAUAACAGUUUACAGAUCAGCACAAGUUCAUAUUCUGAAGAAUGAGAGACAGGAAUGAAAUAUAUGAUAAAUGCGAAUGUAGGAAACGUGAAGCUUGUAUAGAAUGUUCAUUUAGACUUCUCCAACUGCAUAGCAUCUUUACAUUUGUAGACAAGCUGAAAUCCAUGUUGACAUUGUCUAAAAGAAUGUGUUAUUAGUUUGAUUGAUUUCUUUGUUGCCUAAACUGACACGGCAGGGAAUGCUACCAUAUGCAAUAAACCCAACGACAAGUAUAGUUUUACAUGGCUUAUCCAACUUGAUUUAACCCAAUUGUCCAUAUCAGAGCGACAACUUACAAGUGAGAACCAGAGAUCACAUAGAACGUAAUAAGCCCAUGACACUACCUUCGUGCACAUACUAACAUACUUAUGUAUACUUCUCCCUAGUUUAUGCUCCACAAGUGAAGGAAUUUCUCAAUACGAAUGUAACUGAAAAAUAAAUAUAUUAACUAUUAGGAAGAAAGACGGUUCCUGAAGAUUUUGUUUGUCAUCAAAUUUGUUAAUCUACAUAAUCUUUGUCUGCACACCAAAUUUUCUUCCACAGAUUUUCACCCUUACUCCAUGAACAAAGUAUCUAGAAUAGUUUGACCAAGAACGGAUAUUACGAGCAUUAUUGAGAUCAUUGUUUCUUUUGAUUCAUAAGUGGGUCCAAAAAUGAGAUGGGAAGUUACAUUUCUAUGAACUUCAUAAGAAAAAUAGUUGGCAUGCAAUAAUUUUUCGAGUAAUUAACACAUUUUUUUAAAAAAGAAUAUCCAGUAGAUCGUCUAAGUAGCUCACUUAGAGAAUGUCGCCUACGACGGUUUGACUACAUCCCACAUAAACUUCCAUAUCCAUAUAGGUGAUACCAACUAGAUAGGAUGCAGUCAUUGAAGCAUAGUUGUUGCUACGCUUGCAUAAGUGCUUGUCAAGGGUCUUUUUAUUCUUGUUGAAAACUAGUAUAUCCACGUAGGGAUAAGGGUGAUAUUUCACAUCUUUAGUUUGCUACGGUUCCCUGCGGUCCAAACCCGGUGCCGCUUUAGGUUAGGGAGCUGGACGAUACCUUAUAACACGAAUUAUUAGAUAUUGGAAAAAAAUUGACCUAACAGAGCACAAUGGAUGCUGAGGAUACAUAAAGCCACCCAAACUAAUGUAGGAUUAAUUUAUAGUUGAUUGACUAAUUGGAUCAACUCAUAGAGGGAAAGAAAGAAUCAUUUCCAUGAGCACAAAGAGAUGGAACAAAAAAAUUAUAUUCAGACUUGUCCACCACCGACCUCUGACCCAAAAAGUCUACAGGUUAAGUAUGCAGAUAUUGUUUAAAGGCUUCAGUAAAUCAAUAAUAAGCAAUUGAAAUACCUGUAACAAGAUGGUGCAAUAACAUCAACCAAGUCAUUUGCUGGUAAACAGAAAUAGGGAACCUGCUUAGUGAAAUAUAGAUCUGAAUAAACAGCAUUCAAAUAAAACAAAAGAUACGAAAAAGAAGAUGCUAUUUUACCUCUUCAAUAUGGCCAUCCAAAUGCUUCAGAUGGACCUGUUGAAAUGUAGAGCUUAGACAGAUGCUUCAACUGAUUAGAAAACUAUCACAUGCAAUUCAAUAGUAUAUCCUUUAAAUCAUAGUAAAAGAAGAAAGCUAUAAUAUGGUUUACAGGAUUAACUGUCAAAUGUUUUCAUCUAUAAGGUGAUGAAGCACAUGUGAGCUUAAUUUAGUCUUUCUCAUUUGCAAGAUCCUACUUAUUGGUAAAUUUCUGAUCCAACAAAGGAUAGUAACCCUCCAUCAAAUUCAACACGACACCAGCGGACGAGGCAUGGUACUUGAGAUAUUAAUUUGAUUUGUGUAUUUUAUAGGUAGUAGUUGAGGAAAAUUUUAAAAUAUUUUUGUAAACGAAAUUAGGUUGACAUAGAAAUGCCAAAUCAAACCUUAAUAAUUUGACUAUUCAAACAUAUUAAAAUUUGAGAAACUGAUGAAGUUGUAUAAAGUUAUAUUGUUAGUAAGAUGGUGUCAAAGAUUUUUGUACGCCCAAAAUAAAGAUGUGUCAUAUAAAAUUUAUCAGGAUGGAGACAAUAUGAUAUAUUGAAGUGCAUCUUCAUGAGUGAACUUACCUCACCAACCAAAUGAAAACAUAUUCUAGAAAAGCACCCUAGUUAUCAGACUAAGAAAGGCUGUUUACUGAUGUUUUAGAAUACAACAGAAGCAGAAAACAUAUCGUCAUGACAAACACAGAAUGUAGAAGUUGGUUUCCUUGUUCUUAUACUUGAAUGGAUAGAAUUCCAAGAUCACAGAGGUUAUGCAUAAGUUGUCUCACAAUGAAGCUCAGCUUGUCAUAAAAGAGUAACAGGAGCUUACUUUUUUUUCUUUAUGGAAGAAAUAUAACAGUAGCACACCUUGUAGUCUUGCAUAAACUCAUAGUGGAGAACUGUUUCAGGUUCACUGCUAGCAGCCUUCAGAAAUUUAUCUAAACCUUCUCGUGGUCCAUUAUCCACUGUUGAGAAAUGACAGUUAGUAUAGGUCUAUAUUGACUAAAAAUAUCUAAGAGGGGAAAGGAGAUUCUAAUAAAAAGCAGUUUAUAGAGCAUCCCUCUUACUAUAUACUCCCUCCAUUUCAAUUAAUUGUCUUAUUCCUUUUCAGUCCGUUUCGAAAAAAAUAUUUCUUUCCCUUUCCUGAAACUCUAUAAUUCCAACUUUCCACAUAGCCUGUUUGAAACCACGAGUUAAGAGGUAUUUUGGUACAUUCUACAUAUUUAUAGUUUAAGAGUUAAGACCACGAAAUUCAAAAAGUUUUCUUUACUUUCUUAAACUUUGUGACAAGUAAAAACCACACAAACAAGUUGAAACAGAGGGAGUAUCAUAAAAGAUUCCAUUGAAUCUUUGUCCAGUUUGUCCACUUACUAUAUGUCUUAUUUUCUCUCCCUGCUUCUGUGGUGGACAAACUGAAAAAAUUAAGUUGACUCUUUUUUGAGAUACUAACAACAAACAAGUACUCCUACUGGUGAUGUUAAUAGAUCAAACUUUUUGUUAUUUAAUUUAAAAAAAGAUCAAAAUUAGAUCUCCAAACACACGUAAUUACAAACAUAAUCAAAUUUCAAGCAGUUGGUAGUUAUAUUAGAAUUGAUCAAAGAUGUAGGAAAGGAGUCUAUGAAUACCACCGACUACUCACCACAGUUAGUGCCUAGAACAUAAAGUUUUUCCAGAUUCAAAUAUUGCUCCACUGAUCUUAAAGCUGCAAGUUAGGAAAUUGUUCUGCUUAAAAUACAGAGAUGUAAAUUGUAAUGACAACAUCAAGUUUGAAGCAGAGAUGAAGAGAUCAUAACAACUUGGAUACCUUGAACUUGGCAGCCAACCCCGCAGAAGAGAAGGCGCUUUACACCAGCUGCCUGUUUCCAGGAAACAAUACUGCUUACUUCAACAUUUGAACUACAAGUUAUACUAUACACUUGUGUGACAAUCCUCAGUGAAAACUGGAAUCUCUUAAAGCCCAGUUUUUAAUGCAUUAGAGCAUGCACGACUAGAAAGUGUGAAAUUCCAUGAUUGCAUUGUUAUGAAAAGAAAUAACAAGAAGCCUACCCUUACAAGUGUGAUAUGCAGAUGGUUGAUGCUUACCAAAAGAAAGGGAGAAAGCAUUUGGGGAGAAAUAAGCUCAAAUAGUUAAAAUAAAGUCAAAAAAUAACCUACGACCUUCAAAUGGAUAGAGAGGAAAAAUUUGGCAAAAAGACUCUGAAAUUGUCAGGAAAGGAAUUCAGCUCGAACCAUAAUAUGGAACAAAUCAGAAAAUCAAAAGAGCUUAUCUUAAUAAAAUCCCCGAUUGGGGCAAUUACAGUAUUAGAUUGUGGUGGUCUGACGGGGGGAGGGGGGGUGAUAGUAAAGCUAAUUUGGUGGUGUGGUGAAGAAUAAGAAAGCAUAGCUACACAAGUUCCAAUUACCUAUUGAGGAGAGAUAUGGCAUCUUCAAUCCAUGACAACAUGCUCCAUUAAGAAUUCAAUAGAGUUACACAGAUUAUAAAUGCAUUGAUGACAACAGAACAAUCAAAGAUUCUGAUGAUAAUGGAAGUGAAAGAAGAAACCUCAACUAAGGCAAGAGUAUUUAGAUUAGGAGACAGUGUCGGCUUAACACCUUUAGCUGCUAUAACUUCCUCUGGAGUCCUAUUAGAAACAUAAAAUUAAAGUUGAAGAUCGAAAUGGUUAAAUUAACAGGUAAAAAAUCAACAUGAAUACAAAUAGCUCAGGAAUUCCCAGUCACAAACCUUGCCAGGACAGGUCGAGGAGCAAAUCGAUCUUCUGGAUCACUAAACAACAUAAAAAAAAGAAGGUAAAGAGUCCAUGAAUUGCUGGGUAAUAAGUAGAAGAAAGAAACCAAAAUUUCAAGUGCAUAACUCAUGUACAGUGAAAUUAACCAGGAGGGAGAACUAAAUUAUUUUUAACCAAAUUGGAUGCAAGCCAUACCUCUGAACACAAAUAACAGCUUCCACCAUCCCAGCUUUUAGCAUCUCCACGGCAAUAGUUGUCACUAUCCCCGUCCAUUGAGCUCCUGAAUGCCAGAAAGAAAAAGAUAGGAAUAUGACCAGAUGAUUCAUAGAAAUUGGCACAUUCUUUUAGUGAUCUAGAGAGCACAAGAAAACAAGCAACAGUAAAUUGAACUAGAAUACUACAUAAGAGCAUCCAAAGUUGUACCUUCCACAGGCUUAGUUUUACGAGCAUACAAUAGAUUCUCAUACACCCCCAUAUAAAUCUCAUCCAAGGAAUCUUCUUUCCGUCCUCGUCCAUGGACAAUAGGUUCCAAAGCCUAAAGAAGAUGAUAAGGAACAGUCAACAUCAUCUGGUCACUUUACCAUAAGAAAUACUAUCUGUACUUUGAGCUACUUCAUAUAAAUUUGACCAAAAGAGAAGGUCCUAAUAGCAUAGCAUGACUGAGUUGAGAACGCAUUCCAAGGAACUGCUACUCGUAGCAAGCACUGAAGUUUUUUAGUGAGUAAUCAAAUCAUUCUUUCUCAUAAAAGAACUUACAUGCACCCCCUGUCACCCUCCACCCACCAGUCAAACUAAAGACGGAAUAAUUUUCAAACUUUACCAAGUUCCUUUGGACAAUAACCAAAAAAAAAAAAAAAUUGUAUAGAAUUGGGGAAAAAAGUUUGACCUGUCACGAGAUUACGUUGUACCUGUAAACUAUGCUAAGCUGUAUGAAAUUAUUAAACAGAAGGUAGAAAAAACAAAGAAAAGAGAAAAGAGAAGAGGACAGAUGUACACCAUAGCGAAGACUUUGAUGGAGGUCUAUGAAUGUUUUCCCAUCGCCCUAUGAGGAGUCUGAUUAGAGUCCGACCAUACUGUGUUUCAGUAUAACAUUAUCAACCCCAUAAAUUUCAGUAUGUCGAGAUUAUGUUAACAACUAGAGAAAUCAUUCUUAUGAAGAUCCACUAUACGUGUCUUGUACCUUGUGUAAUUUAUAGCUCUAUAAUAAUGCCUAAAACUUCAUUUAUUCCAUAUCUUGUCAACAUUCAAAGCAGCAUACCUUUUACCCAAGAGAGUGAAACAGAAAUAUAAAAUUCAAACAUGCUUGUCAAAAGAACUAGUUGGGGUCGGAGGCGAGGACCAGUGAACCCAUCAAGUUCUAGUAUGCAACUUUUCCUAAUAACAAAGUGUUAAAAACUCUCAUGCUCCCAACAGAAGGGAUUUUAAUGGAAGUGGAGUGACCAAAGAAAGAUGAAUUCAAUUGCACACGAGCUAAUAGUGGAUUACACGGUCUCAGAGAACAUGAACCAGUACUCUCUCUGAGCAUCUUUCUAGCUUGCAAACUUUUCUUAUGACUUCCACAACACACUGCAAUAUCACAGCCAAGUCUUGUUUCACUGCAUACACUGUACAUAUUCAUAAGAUGUAAAUCCAUAUGGAUGAGAUAGCUUUUCAAAGGACACAAAAGACAAAACAAAAUUCACAGGGAAAAUCUGCAUGUGACAAUGAAAGCAUGCAAUAAUCAAACUCCAGUAGGUCAUUUAUGACAAACUUAAGGAACAAAAACUAGGCAUAAACAAUAAGAACUGCAACUAAAAGCAACAGUAUCUACAUGUACUAAAGUAGAGAAAGACUCACUUCAACUCUAGACAUGCCAUCCCCAAGAAAGCACAUGCAUUAUUCACAUGAGCAAUGUAGUAAGUGUCACACAAACCACAGUGGCUGCAAACCAGAAACAAAAACUACCAUCAGACAAAAAACUACUAUAAUGAUUACGAAAUAGUCACAAAAUAUACAAGAAAUUAAUUUAAAUAAGUAUGAAGAUGAGUGAUUAAAUGAUACUAACUUAUAAUCCUCAAAAACAUUGAAUUAGUAUAUAAAUAAUGUUAAUUAUUAUUUACCAAUUUCAAAAAAAAUGCUAAUUAAUAUAUAUGAUAUUCUUGUGAACGUCAAAACUUAUAUUUCAGUCUUCCAAACAAUACUUCAUCAUUCAAGCUCCUUUUUUUUCCAUUCUACAAAAUUUGACCCAACUUAGGACGAAUUGAUAUGGAAAGCUACGAUGCUUCAAAGACCCAAUGAAAUGCUUCCUCCAUUUCAAAUUGAAUACUUCAGGUUCUUUUUUAUACUUCAUGCCAAAUUAAUGCCCAAUCUCCCUCAUAUUUAUAGUUCUUUCACAUUUACUAUGAAAAUUGAACCAUUAUAGUUUCCGAAAAGGGAGAACUCUUCAAACACAUAUUAGUUUAAGACACUCUCUCCGUCCGGUAUUGUUUGUCAUGGUGUCUAUUCAUAGAGUCAAACUAUAAAAACUUUGACUAACAUUUUAAGGUGUAUUUUUUCAUCGUAUUAAUAUGCAAAAAAUUGCAAUUUAUAGUACUUUUCAUAUAGUUUUAAAAUAUCUAAUUAUUUUGUUUAAAAUAUCGAAUUAAUGUGAUUUAAUUUAACUUUGAAAAUUAGUCAAAUUGACUUUCAAAAAACACAACAUGACAAACAAUAUUGGACGGAGAGGGAGUGAUUCAUAAAUAGACACCUUAACUUUGCUUAACUAACAACUAAAUACUCCAACUUUAAGAAUGCACAUCUAGACGGUCUCCGAGACACCCGGCACUAUAUGUCUAGAUGAUCAUUUUGUACGUUGGGAGUGUUUAACUCACACAGCCAAGACCAGUUAAGAUGCACACUUUGAGUGUUCAGUUGCCAAUUGAGCCCAACCUAAGAUAUCUAUCUAUGUAUUUAUGUCAUAGUUUAAAGAUAACAAAUAAAAAUAACAACUUUUUCACUAGUCUAACUUACAAAAACUAAAAACUUCAAAAAAAAAAUACAUAGAAAAAUGAUCAAGCUACGCAAUUUACCUCCCAUUACAGCAUUAAAAGCUAAAAUUUCAAUUAUAUUAAGAAAAAAAAAAGCAGAAUUAUGAACCUGCAGUGGUCUUUAGCUGGAUAAGUCCCACCAGGAGGAAUAGGUCGAGAUUUUUUCCUCCAAUCUUCUCUAAUUUUCACUGAUUUCAGGUUUUGGUUUGCAUCUGUUGAGUAAUUCAAACAACAUCAACACACAAAGUUUCAAUUUUUUUUAAAAAAAAAACUCAUAGCAAAAGUUUGUCAUUUUUUGUAAAAAAAAGUUCCUCUAAGAGGAUUUUGUUCAGUGAAUGUAGAAAUGGAGAGAAACAAAACCUUGUUGUUGUGAAGAAGAUGAAACAGUGUAAAAUUUGAAGGGUAAAGUAGAGAUUUUUCCAGUAAGAAACGCCAUUGUUGCUCUGUGUAUCUGCACAAGUGUUUUGCGCCACAAAUAUAUAUCAAAUGAGAUUCUUUUAAGGGUGGAACCAAAACGGUGUCGUCCGGUAUUUAAUUAAUUUCUACUUUUUAUUUUUUUGGAUGAGUAAAAAAAGUGAAAUAUUAAAUAUUUAGAAAAUUAAGAAAUAAUUUUAAUUAUUUAUAAACAAUGAAUCGCUGAAAGUGAUUCGAACGAAUCCUUUUGGUCCUACCUAGCUUUGCUCCUGAAUAAGUACUCGAUAACAUAUUGUGUUGAAAUUUUGAUGAGAUAAACAACACAUACCAUAUCAUUUCACUGAAGUAAAAUCAUAUAGUCGUUCAUAUGAAUACUCAAAAUAGGGUGGCUUUUAAUUUUUGUUCGUCGGAUCAAUAGUCUUUGAAAAUACAAUCGUAAGGCAUAUGUUAUGUCAUACAAAACUUAUGCCUCUGUAGACAUAAGUUCAAUUUCAAAACAUUAUACCUUAAAAAGUUCAUAAAGUCACAAAUUAUAUCUUAUAAGGUAUAGACGUAAGUCCUACAUAACAUGUCGAUGGGAGUAUAAGUUCCAUUUUCAAAACUUGGAAGAUUAAACCUAGAGAAGUUCAUUACUCGCUAUAUCUUAUAAAUCAUAAGUCCCGUUUACAAAACCAGCAAAAUUGAGAAGUUCAUGAGUCACUAUAUCGGAAAAAAAGUGGUGGUUUAAUUGGAGCAGCCCAUCAGGCAUUAAUGGAACUUGGAAGGCACCGAUAACGAUAUAAAUCAUAAGUCCCGUUUACAAAACCAGCAAAAUUGAGAAGUUCAUGAGUCACUAUAUCGGAAAAAAAGUGGUGGUUUAAUUGGAGCAGCCCAUCAGGCAUUAAUGGAACUUGGAAGGCACCGGUCCGUUAUCCUUCCACUGCACAAAGCGGAAGUUUUUCGUUGCUCUGUGAAACCAGCCUCACGCGGUCCACCCCACUUUAGGAAUCUAGUAGCCCAUUCUUUCAAUUGGACCACAUGAUCCAACUCUGUGCUUGGAUAGGGCAGGCCAGAAAUUAGCCCACCAAGCCCAGCCAUCUGGGACAGCCCAAUAUUCCACCACCUUAACAUCCCCACUUGGGUUACAAGCCCACGUUACUAAGCUCGACAUACAAUAUUGCAUCAUAGAUUAUUAUAAAAAUAAAAAGAAAUAUGUCCACUAACGAUGUGGGAAUUGGAAUAUUGCUUGUUCUCUAUAAACAAAGCAUAUACUAUUUUGAAAAUAUAAAGUUUGAUUUUAUCAUUAAUAUAUUUUGAUUUAUUAGUUUGUUGUGUUACUUGAUUUAAUUAGUACUAGAUAUUUGUUUGUUUCUUGCCUUUUUUGUUCUCAUUAAUAAUUUUGCUUCACUCUAACUUGCAUUUAGGAACUGGAUAGUAAAUCAAGGCCACGUCUUCGAUUGAGAAUAAGUGAAAAUUCUCGAGAAGAGUAACAUCUACGUAGUUAGUAUUUGGGAAAUUAAAUGGGUGAAAACCAAGAUAAAAGAUAUAAACGAAUUUAAAUUAUGAUACACGUGAAGCUCAAGCAAAUAUGAAUAUGGAGUAAAUAUUUUUAGAUUUAUUGUGGUAAUUAUUUCCUUGAGAAGCAUUUUCAUAAAGUAGUAAUUUACUCGUUGGUUGCCACAUUUGGGUACAUGAAAUAUUUACUCAAAACAUUAACAUCUCUUAGAUAUAAGUUGUUUUUCUAUGGAAGAAAAGAUAUCGUCGAAAUUAGAAUUCUCACUAGGGAGAUUCAAAAUACAUUCGAAUGAAAAAAUGGUUUUAUAGACCAAAAAGUGGAGCAGCCCAUCUGACGAUUCUGGGACUCGGAAGGCAUCGACGUGCUAUCCUUCCAACGCUUAGAGCAGGAACUAUUCGUUGCUCUGUGAAACCAACCUCACGCAGUCCGUUCCGCUUUAGGAAAUAGCAGCCCACUCCUUCGAUUGGACCACAAGGCCCAACUCUGUACUUCGAUAGGGCAGGCCAGAUAUAAGCCCAACCAUUUGGAUGACCAGCCCAACAUUCCACCACACUAAUGCCCCCACUUGGGUUACAAGCCCAUGUUAUUGAGCCCAGCAAGCAGUGUUGCUUCAUAAAAUAAUAAAAACAAAGGAAGAUUACUAUACAAUGACAAUGUGCCACAUUGUUGUCAUAAAUAUAAAAUCUAAAUAUAUUUCUAAGAAAAAUCAAAACAUACAAUUAAUACUUAAUUUUGCUUUAUAACUAAUAUGUAAAGAAAUGAAAUAUAUUGGAGUGAUAAGUGUAAGUUUUAUAAAGUGGAUAUUUGAUUAGCUAAUGUUGUAUGAAAAGAAGUGUUGAUCAGUAUCAAAUUUGUACGUUCAAAAGCUGAAAGUAACAGAAAUUAGUAUGCUGAGAUGGAUGUAUGAACGAGCAUACUAAGAAAGAUAAAAUUAGAAAUGCAGAUAUUCUAGACAAAAGGGGAGUGAAGAGAAGGCGUAAGAUAUUGACUUGUGGGGAGUCUCAAGAAAGAUAGAGAUAGGCCGAAAAAGUUACCGGAGAGAGAUGAUUGACACACCUAGACUCCUAUAGUUUAUUGAAUAAAUAAUCUAGAAAAGAGAAUAUGAAGAGGAAGGUCAGUACGUAAUCAAGCAUUGUCUAAUUUCUCUUAUCGACAUUAGUAUUACUCGCCUGGUAUCUUAUAUCUUCAACUUUUUACAUUUUUUUAUGACUUGUAUUUUCUUUUCAUACUAUCGUUCAUAUAGGUUACUUUGAUCGAGGGUCUAUCAGAAACAGUCUCUCUAUCUUUCACGAGGCAGUAAAUAGAAAGACCAAAGAAAAAAAAUGGUUGCUAAAAGCUCAAAGGACAGCCAAAAUCAUCUUUUUGAUAUAUUGGGCUUUUCUUAAGCCCCAGCUUUCAACAAAUACAACACAAGGAAUACAAUGUCAAAAGAUCUAAACAUCAUUUCCACAUGAAAAGUAAGAAACAUUUGAAGUUUUUUUCUCUCAUGAUUGACAACUAAAACACAUCUUGAUCUUCAUUACAAUGUUUGAUAAACGAAUUCUCUUGUAAACAACACGGUCAUGUUUUAUUGCCAAAACUGUCGAGAACAGCUAUUCCAUCUUCCAAAAUGCCUCUUAGAUACAAUUUGCUUCUUCUGGGGGAAAAGAAUGCAAUGUGUGUGUAUAAACCAUGGAUAAUGUACAAAAUCCAGACUCCGUUUGGCUACAAAAAUGCAGGGCUGGAGAGAAGAAAAAGACCAGCUUUUCGCAGGGAUAACUCAUCAUUGUUCGCUUGCCAUGGAGAUUAAAGAAGCUUGCUAGUUCGUCGUCUUGGUGGCCCUCCAGGAAAUAGUUUCAUGAUCCAUCCCAAUACCCGUUCCACCACCUGAUCAAAACGAGAAGCAAAAGAGAAAAAUGAACAGAAGGAGAGAUUACAACAAUCACCAAACUAAUCAAACUGGAUACUAUCAGCUUGGCAAUAUGCACCACCGUGCAAGCAGGGCCAUACUAGGUCAGCGCAUAUGAGCAGAUCUAGUGCAAUAGUUACAGUUUCAAGUGAACAAAAUAGCCUUUGCGUAGAGCAGCCUAGAGAAUAAAGGCCUUGUCAUUUAUUGUGUCCCCUCUUACUGAAACUUGAAGUUCCAUUUGCUAAAAAAAGGUAACAGCAGAAGUGCAGAACUAUUAAUUUGUAAGUAGAAAGGCAACAAAAGAUUUUUAAAAGGUUGGCAUUUUAUUAGCACUCCAAAAGCAGUAAAUUAGAAGCCAUAUCAGUUAAAGCCUUACAGAGCAAGAUAUGUCAAAUUACCUCAUCUCCUUCAUCAGCAUAUGGCAUAUUCUCAUCAGAAUAUGGCAUAUUGUCAUGUACAGAUACCGCAUCUGGUUGUCUUGCUUGGCUGUUAUCAUUUGCCAUGCUUUGAGCAGUUAAAAGCUCCAAUCUUUGUGUUUGAACUUCAAGCUUCCGAGUUAAGUCCUUGUUUAACUCCUUUAUACCCAAAAUGAACAGAAAGGCAAAUCCCCCAAGACAAUUAUAAAGAGAGAAGAACUAUUAGUAUCCGCCUUCAAACUAGCUGUGAAGAUCAAGAAAACUUAUGCAAGGAGACUUCUAUUGCUAACACUACAACAAAGCUGGCCGGAUAUUAAGAAGAAUGUCUGAGCAUGUUGUAGGGGAUGGCUAUUUAGAAAUUAGACAUCCAUAUAUGACCAAAGAAACCAUGUCCAACUAUGCAUUUGUAGUUUACUCAAAGAUACAAAGGGAAACAGAAAGAAAUCCAAAGUUCCAGGUGAAGAUCUUAACUACACACAAAAAAAGUGAAGCCGAUUAGAAUGAUGUUGCUGUCUAGCACAUGAGUUCAAGUUACCUUCAAUGUAGAGCACUGAGAUGAUUCAACUGACAGGGCUUUUGUUAAUUCGUCUUUCUCCAAGGCUAACUGUAGUCAUUCCAAGUAGUGCAAUAUUUUAGUUAUUAGUUAAUAAAUAUGCCUUGAUUUUUAAGGGAACAAAGAUGAUGGGACAAAAUUAGAGGGAGCAGAAAAUGAUCAGUCUCAAGGAUAUCAUGCUACCUCAGAAAUUAAUGUAUUAAUGUUUUGGAUCAUCCUAAUCUGAUCUGGAGGAAUGGCUGGUGACAAACUUCCGAGACUAAACUGUCCAAAAUCGGGCAGGGAAGAUGUGGUGGGGCCAUCAAUACCAACCAAAUUAGUAUCAUUUAUGGUGCCACUUGCAAUAUUAUCUUCACCUGAAUGGACACAAAUUGAAUUCUAUGAAUAUAUAUAAAGCAAAAGAUAAUUUUUAAAAAAAAACUGAAAAACAAUAUGUCGCAGUAAUUUGAGAAAUCUGAAAUACAUACGGAGAUCCUCUGUAGAAGUUGAUACAUCUAUUUUUGUAGGCAUAUUCCUGCUAGGAUCAACUGACUUUCCAUUAGCAGAAGCUAUUAGGAAUUUGGAUUGCAAGAGCUUCUUUUCUGUUUAGAAGAAGACAAUAGAGAAACAGAGAGGAAUCAUUGAUUUCAUUUCUGAUAGUUGGAUGUUUUUAUCAAGCCUGGGAUGCUUAUUUAAGAAACUUUAAGGCAGUGAAAAUGGAAAAAUUGCAAAAAUGACACAUCUCAUGAAAAACGCAAACCACCCUUUUCUCUAGGCACAAGCAGAUAUAACCAUAUCUUACCUUCCUUUAAAGCAUCGAUUGUUGAUUGCAGAUCUUGACGAUCUUUUUCAAGGCUUGCGAUUUUCUUUCUGCAAGAAGAUAGAGAAAGUUGGAUGAGAUAAAAACACAUCCCAACAGAAAUCUGCAGUUUAACGAGAAUAAGAUUUAAUUUUUUUAUUCUGAUAUUCAUUCACGCACAUUACAUCAAUGCUAAAACUUUUAUGCCAAAUUAGUAUGAGCUUGUGUACAUGCAACUACUCAAUAUGAUUCCCAACUACUUACUUUCAGAGCCACAAAUCUUUUAAAGGUAUCAUAACUAAAAGCAAUACAUUCUGCUGCCAUUUGGCACAUCCUUUUCAUAUUCAUAAAACUAUUUGUACUUACAUCUCCAAGAAGCAAUUAAGCCACACAAGUCACCUCCCUCUUAAACCAAAAAGAAAAGAGUCAUGCCCACUCUAAAAGGGUGUGAUGUCAAAAGGACAGGAAGGAGAAAAACAGAAUAUAGAAUAAAAGGACAACUAUAACCAGAACAGAGUUGCAUGGGCACAUGACAGCCUUGAUUAAUUUACAGUCUAGCCUCAAACAUACUUGUAAGAAGACAUUUCAGCUUGUGACUUCUCCAAUUCUUUCUCCAGCUUAAGCUCAUUAGAUCUUAGACGAAGUGCCUACAAAAUAUUUUAAACAAAAAUAUAAAGAGCAGAAAAGAUAAUCUAUCUCAUUAACAAAUUUAAAAAAGAAAAAAGAUCUGACCGAUAAAAGAGUCUCAAACAGAAUGGGAAAAAUAAAAAGAAAGAACAGGCACAAAAGUGACUGUUCAUAUUUUGCUGGCAACACGAAAAAGGAAAAACGAAAAAAAGAACCAACAUCCACUUACCCAAAAGGAACAGGAAAACACUGGUUUGACAUCUCAAAUCCGACUUAUAGCUCAAAACCAAACAACUGAUGGUGAAUACAGAGUCUAUAAUUCCUUAUCUCACGGAUCAAUCUGGUUAACUUAUUUAUACACUCGACUCUCACUAACUUAUAAUUUUAAAAUGUAAAUGACAUUACACUGAUUCAAUCUAUGAUAUAUGGUAAUCAAGUUGAACAACUUUCAAAUUUAAAUGUGAAACCAGUAACAAAGAGGAUAACUACAUGUAGGAUUAAAAUUAAUAAACUCACUACAUGCCUGACAAUUAUUCUGGUAUAGACAUUCCUACGAAAUUAUUUUGGUCAACAGACGAGAAUACUGCAUUUAAUUACCUUCUCUUCCAAGCCAAUCACUUCAGAAGCCAAUAACUUGGCACGCUCAUCAGCAGCAUUACAUUCCAAUUGUACAUUCGCAUAUUCCAUUUUCACGGCUUCAAGCUCACUCUGGUUUUCAUUGAAUUCAACCAAGAAAGCAAAUCACAUACAUCAAACUAAAGAAAUACUGAUAACGACUGACUCAUCCAGUCAUCUAAUUACAAAAAUUGAUAGAAAGAAAGAAGAACGUGACUUUCCAUGUAUAUAUGACAACUCAUCUAAACUAAUUCCAAUAAAUAAAAUUAGUACAACAUACAGUUCCAGAAACCUUGUCCAAACAAUCCUAGAAAUAUCUGUAAUCGGAGUUUAGAUGAUCAAAUACAUCUUUUGAUAAGCGACGUGAUUAAUUACAUCCUUCAACAGGAUUUUAUAGACACCUAAACAAGUAUGCCUCGGACAAAAUUUAAAACAAGUGAACCAAUUAUAAUCAGUUAGAGAAUCCGUUACCACUUGCCAGACCAAAUGUCAGACAAUGAGAUGGUAAAAAUAAAGACAGAUCAAAGAAAAGGACAGAACCAAGCACUAAGGUUUAAUCAUGAAUGGAUCUUUUAAGAGGGCAAUUUGAGUAAAGAAAAGUAACAAAUUGAUAAAGACUCUCUCGGGUUCAUUUUAUAUGUUGGUCUUGACUGGGAAAAUAGGUUAAGAAAGAAAGAGAACUUAUCAAAAGUAUCCUUAGAACUUAUGAACUUAAAAUAUCACAUAGCACUUCUAUGGCUAAAAAAGCAUUUUAAGUACGGUUAAAGCAAGGUUCCAUCGUUGCGUGACAAAUGGGAAAUUUAUGGAAGGUUACAAUCCAUACCACAGAAUGGAAAGUUCAAAAUUAAAAAGUUUCCGGAUACAGAAAGAGAGUAAACUAAAGAUGUGGGUGAUGUACAAAAAUCACAUUUGAAUCGUGUGAUCUUAAACAUGUUAUAUGGGAUAUUGGAAAUAACAUGUUACUCCCUCGUUUCAAUUUGUUUGUCUGGUUUUGGCUUGGCAUGGAGUUUUAAAAAGUAAAUAAGACUUUUAAAUCUUUUGAUCUUAAACUAAAGAUAUGUUGAAUGUACCAAAAUAUCCUUUAGUCUAGUGUUCUUACAUGGCAUGUGGAAAGUUCGGAUUAAAGAGUAGGAAAGAGACAUUCUUUUUUAAAGGGACUAAAAAGGAAGCAGAACAAACAAAUUGAAACACGAGGAGCACUAAAUAUAAAAAGUGAUAUUCUUUUGUAAGAGACUUAAAAGGAAAGUAAGAUACAUAAGUAGUACUAUUGCACACACCACAGUAAGAAAAAAAUAAGCAUGCUGUAAAGAAAUGGAAGAUCCAGAUAUGUAUUGCUUCAUCUUCUAACUUUACGUAAAAGUUAGCAAUUCAUGUCUAUUUAGAAGACAAAAAAUGUCUUUCAACUAGUUCUCUUCCACUCAUUAUAGUGCCAGGUGUUAAUGUUUUACGAAGUCACAUCAACAAUCCCAAAAUGAAUAGACCAGUAAUAUUUCUUAAUAAAUCAUAGAGAACAAAACAAAACUUUAAGAGGUGCUGGAUGAGAAAUAAAUGCAAGUCCUUACAAAAUUGAUAAAUAAAUCCUAGUCAUCAUAUACAACUUCCAAAAGUACAAAUAUGUUGCAGAAACAGAACAUCCAGAAGUGCCACAAGAGUUUACAAAAGGAAAAUGCAGAUUAGGUAAUACUGUAUAGCUAGGGGUAAGGAGCAAGAUUGUGCAAACUACAAACCAGAUGGGCUUUAAUCUCCUCUUGCAACCUCUCCAUCUCAGCUUUUAGUUGGCCAACAAAACUUCCCUGCAAAAGAAAUACAGCAGUUCACUUUCAUAAGGACACAUCACUAAAAAAAGUAUGAAGAACUUCAAGGAGAGGCCUGCCAUAUGAACAUGUCAUGUAAAUCUAUAAAAAAAAUAAGAAACAAAAGCACACGUAAGAACUACGGCAGAACUAAAAGGAGAAUGUAACUCAUAAGUUGAUGUGGACUCCUACUUAGUGUUGCACACCUAGGAGCAGCGCACUUUGGGAUGAGGAGGAGCUAUUAUCAUCCAUCUUUUUCCAAAUUUUAUGAUCAACACUUCUUUACACCACUUAGUUUCAAUAGGUAACUAAGUAAUUUUUUUUAGGCUGGCUAGGUAACUAAGUAAUUGCUCAGCUAUGUAACACCGGUCCUUAUUCUGUGUUAGUACCUAACAACGGUACAAUAAUCCUUUGAUAAUAAAUCUAGGAUUUACAACAAAUGCAGGAAAAGACCAGUAAUAAAAUAAUCAUUAGAUACGUCUACCAGAAAACUAAGAAGAUGACAUGUAAUUGUUUAGUAAUGCAUUAUGAUUAACAAUAAAAAUGCAAAAAAUAAUUGCUGUAAAGAUUAUCAUCAGAAGAAGUCGGUUAACUUUUUAUAGUUUUGAAAAAAUGCAUAUUUACGAACAGCAGUAUACCUGUUGAUUAUAACUAUCUGUCAAAGUUGAAUUUUCAGCCGCCAGAGACUCUGCUAGAGUUCGCGAAGCCUCAAGAGCACGUUGUAGAGAGAACUUCUCUUGUGUUAAAUCUUCAAUAUGCUGUGGAAAAUAAGCAUAAAGCAUGUUAGUGUGUACCACUAAAGAUCCUAUUACACAAUCUACAUCCUGACAAAUAUGUGUUAUGCAUGUCCCAGUAUUUUGAUAGGCAGCCCACCCCUCUAUGGAAAUGGAGGAUACCAUUUGUGAUUUAGGAUAUCAUCUGAAAGAUGAAGAUAAGUGUGCUCUAAUUAUUAGUAUACAUCAUAAAUGACUAUCCUCUCUUUUUUUUUAGCUCCAUAACCGCUAGACAUGUACAAAUGCAUGGGACCAUUCUCCAUCUGGAACAAAAAUUAAACAAAUAUGUGGGAUUUUCAUAAAUCUUGACAGUAUUAUCUGAAUGAAGUGACAAAGAUGUCCUUUUAUUAUUUGUAACUGAUCAGUGUACAAAAAACUCUUUUACCUUUAUAAACACACAGGACAUUCUAUAUUUCACAAUCAAAGAAGAGAAACAAUUGGGCAGCGUUCAGUUCACAUCAAGUUACCUUUUCAAGACAUUGAACAUACCGAUAUCAUUUCUCUUUUUUCAGCUUAAAUUGUACAUGCACAGACUAAAUAUGUAUGCAUAUAUUUUUAAAAUAAUCGACAAAACCGUCGUAUUUAAUUUAGAAAGUUCGAUAGGUAAUGGCCUCACUCCUCCAGCCUUCCCCACUUGAAUACCAACCUGGUUUCGUAGCAGGACCCAAAUUUGCUACUUGCACCUACCACAUAUAUGACAAGGUACAAAUUAACAAAGAUCUAGACAAUGAAUCUCUUGAAGUGGCUGGAUUAUUUACACACGUUAGAGAGUGUAAGCUAUUUUAGAAAAUUCUCUAAAACUUUAAGUCUUCUAUUAAAUAGAGAUCAUAUGUUUAUUACUCCAAAAGACAACCUUGAGAAUAACGUAUAUUGUUUUUGUGUUUUCAUAAAUUUUUUAAUCUAAGGAAAAAAACCAGACGUCAGUCUUAUUUGUUUCUUUCUUCCAUCAAUAGCAGACUGAAUUUUUGUAGUUAAAUGGGCGUUCCACAAUUGUAUAGUGUAUACCCAGUGUUAUCAAAAUCGAAAAGCCCAAAAAAACUCUAAGGUCCUUUGGGGGCUUCAUUGGAAAAAGGCACAAAUGAAGAAAAAGUACAAAUAUGCAUGUGUAGUCCAACAAGCAUGAAUAAUAAAUCUAUGGACAAAGAAAUUGAAAAAACUAGAUAAAGAGAAAUAUCAAUUGAUUAGUGUCACAUCUUCAGGAUUACACUACUUGGGCAUGGAAAAGCAUGCCAUAGAGCAUUGAUGACAACACUGAAGUGCCCACAAAGCGAGGCGAAGUGCUCAACAAGUUCCGUGCCUUGCUUCAGGGCUUAAGACAACACUGUGCAUACUCUGCAGAAGAUGUAAAAAUACCUGUUCUAACGCAGCAAAAUCUUCAUUUUGCUUCUGUGAAUAAAAUGGAUGUCUGUUGUCCAAAUUGCCCAUAUCUUUCUCAACAGCAUGCUUGUACAGAACAGUCCCAUUACCAGAAUUUUUUGAAGAAUUUGUUAAGUUCUCAGAACUUGAUAAACCCAGAGUGUCCCUAGGGUAAGCCAUUGAGUCAUAUGUGUCUGUAGUAACUGAUCCGAUUGAGGGAGGGGAUGCAGCAGAGACUUUUGAAAUGUUCAUGGAAUCAAGGAAAGAGGGAGUUCUCCUCCCAGUCGCCCCAGCUGUGGGCGGGGACAUCUGUGAGUAACUAGAAGAACUUCUAGCAUCAAAACUAAAACCAUCAUACUUGGAGUCCGAUGUCCAAGAAGAAGUUUUAGUUGAGUGAAGAGCAGAGCUGUUUAACUGGCUGUAUCCUUUAUCAGGCACUACAAAAUUAUUAGAUCCCACACCAGCAACAUUUCUCCCAACUUCAGGAUAAAAUUGUGUGACAGUGGUAGCACCAGGCACAUAAUCUACAAAACAUAGAAGAUAUAUAUAUUAGAUUGUGCACCAUCAAAUUGGUUUAAAUAAAUAGUGCAUACACUAAUCAGUCAGCUGGGUCAAAAAAACCAUAGAAGAACGGAAAAAAGGAGAAAAAGAUAUUAUGCGUACGAAGAUCCCUCAAAUGCACAACUUAGAUGAACAGAACAGAUGUUAACAAAAAAUUUAUCACCAUAGGAAGCGGAAGUCAUGUCACUAGCCCAGGGAUCUGUAUAACGUGGUUUGUCGUCACGAGACCCAAAUGGAUUUGAAGGUGAUACAUUAGCCGGAAAAGCACGAGAAGUACCAUCGUUAGUUACAGAAAGAUCCUUAGCAUGGCUCUCCUCUGAUAUGUGUUUACCCAUAUCAUCAUAAGUGAAAUGACUGGAAGUUCUGUCAUGAUUGAGGAAUGGAGGAAAAGUGGCUGUAGAGUGGUUAGUCGCAAACCCGAAUGGAACACUUUCUAAGGCCCCAUCACUCUCCCUCUUCCCAUUGUUGUCAUAAGUAUCACUUGCUGUUUGAGAAACCUUGAGAUUCUCAUCACUUCUAGACCCUUUAUUUUCUAAAUGAGACAAUGCUGAGAUGGAAGAACCAGAAUCAUAACUGUUGGCUAUAACAACAGCAUCAUCAUAGUAUUCGUGCAAACUAGGCGUAGCACCAGUUCUAGAAUCACUAGGAAAAAUUAGAUCAGACUUCUGGGUAAGAUCAGGCUUCGCAAAAUCAUGCUUAGCAUGUAUUUCGGAUGGCUCUAGAACAGAUCUGCCAACAGCAUCAGAUGUAGCAGCUCCACUGGAGUCCUUAGUUUUAGUGUGUUCAUUUCCUGAAUGCCGAUUAUCAACGCCUCCAUCAGAGGCAAGCUGUUGAGUAUUUGAAGUUGUCUUUUUAGCCUUCUCUGCUGCUCUCUUCUUACGAAAUUCCUCUAGCUGCAAAUGAUACAGUUGCAGAAGUAUCAGAUAAAUAAGGAGUGCACCAAAUUUUAUAAGGAGCAAAACCGGGUGAUAUUCAUUAGUAAGACAAGGCAAUUGCAACUUAGUGAAAUCAAAAGAAAAGACAAAGCAAAAAGGGAGUAUCCUACAACCUACUUCACUAUACAAGAAGAUUAAUUUAGAGGUUCGUAACAUCUUAUGAUGAUAAACAUAACUUUAGCAGUAUGCUACAACAUGUUGGCAACACCUACAUAAUUUCUUAGGAGUUCUUGAUGUCACAAUAUUAAAAAAAGAAAGAAAAAAAAAAGGAAAUACAACAACAACAACAACAACAAAUACCCAUGAAAUCUCACAAGUGGGGUAUGGAGAAGGUAGAGUAUACAGUCUACACAGACCUUAUCCCUAUCUCAUGAAGGGAGAGAGGUUGUUUCCAAAGAACCCUUCUCGAGAAAGGAUAUUUCCACUACCGGGGUAUGAACCAGAUUCCUUAAAGAUGGGAAUUGCCAGUGCGGAUAAUCCAAGUAUUCAAAUUGUUUAAGGAGCGAUCUUUCAAAAGAAUCAGCAUCAAUGUGCUUCCAAAAUAUAUCAGCACCGAUGUGGCAGCCUAGGAUACCACCUUUGGUUGCACUUAAGGAAGAAAAGAAGUACCUCGAGACCAGUCAGCCCAACAUAGUAAAAUCUUUGCACUGACAAAUGUCUAUGUUUUGCAAGUUCAAAUCCUAUGUUAACAAGUGCUUCAUUAGAGCAUGCCCUAAAAUAAUACCUGUUGUUAGUUAUUGUAAACUAUACAGCUAGAGAUAACCAUAAAAACAACUAUCACAAUUCUCAACACACUGAUUUCGGCUAAUGUUCACUUCUACCUAAAUAGAUCAGAUUAAUUAGAACUAAGAUAUGCUUCAAAUCAGACUCACUGGUUUGAUAUCUUCUACCUAUGUUAACAAGUGCUUCAAUAGAAGAUGCCCUGAAAAUAUACCUGUUGUUACUUAUUGUAAUCUAUACAGCUAGAGAUAAGCAUAAAAAAAGCUAUCUCAAUUCUCAACACACUGAUAUUUGCUAAUGUUCACUUCUACCUAAAAAGAUCAGAUUGAUCAGAACUAAGAUAUGCUUCAGAUCAUACUCACUGGUUUGCUAUCUUCUGAAUUAGUCCUUGACCAGCUUUACCUGAUUGUAUGUUUCAGAGUUUUUGGGUAAAUACAAGCCUGAAAUAAUCAAAUCUCUGUACAACCAGGCCAUCUGUAAAGCAUCACCUAGUGGUUUUUUUGUUUUUUUACUAAGGUGAAGUAUCUUAUUGACAUAAUAAGCUCAUUUCAUGCUAGAUUCGUUCAAGUAUUAAGACAUAUAAGCACUGCCCCUAUGGAAGAAGAUCUAGGCAGUGAUCUUUCGCCGUAGCCCCACUUGAAUAGAACUAUCUAUAAAACUUGAAACUCCAGAAAUUAUUCAACUACCGGGAAUCUUCAACCUCAAACCUAAAUCUUGAUGUGUUUUAACUUCAUACAUGAGAUCACCUCCAAGUAAAAUACUAAUAUUUACUGAUGGGGUGAGGAUGAGGCCAUACCAUUCCCAUCUUGAUUACAGAUCGAGUUCACAAAUCAAAAUUCAAGCAGUAAUUCUUGUUCAGGGAUGAUUAAGGAUAAAAUAGACAGUGCGCCACAAUUUUUUUCUUCACAUUCUUCAAAAUACAUGGGGAGUCCGUCCAUCACUUCGACUAGAUAAUAACUAUCUAAAGGUAUUUAUAACAAUUCAAAAGACUCUACAAAUAACAACCACUCAUUAUUUCUAACUCUGAGUAGAAUGCCAUCCAUUUGAAACCUUCUCCAAAAAUAGAAUUCAGCUCUUUUUCUUUCAUUAAGGGAAAACAGGAGGGGAUUACAAGGUGGGGAAUCAAACCCACAAACGUCCAGCUAGUCAACUAACUAAGCUACUACGAUUCCACCUAGAAUUCAGCUAUAUUUCUUAAAAGUAAUAGAUUUCAAAAGGUGGAAAUCAAGCUCCCAAAAGUUCAGGUAGCCAAGCAACUCAACUACUAACAUUCCCAGUAGAACUCAGCUCAUAACAUUCCAAACCAGUUCAAUAGAACUAUUAAUUAGCAAAAAUUCAAGUAAAUACAUUAAAUUCAACCAAAACAAAACAAAACCUUUUUUCAGAAGUUCAUUAACAUUAUCAAGGAGUUAAAUAGAAGUAUUACUUAGCAAACAAACUAAACUCAACCAAACCAAAACAAACCCUUUCUCCAUAAUUCAAACAAAACCCAAUUACCUUCUUUUUCCCAGCUUGCAAAUGCUCUUGCUUUUUUAGUACCUGAGCUGACGCCAUCCAAAAUCCUCAAAAAAAUCAAAUCUUUCCCCUUAAAUCCUCAUCCAAAAAAACCCUAAAAAUAAGCCCCAAAAUUCUCCUAUAAAAAACAGAUCAAUCAAUCUACAUUUCAUUUCAUAUACAAAAAAAUGUUUUUGUAUACAAAAAAAAAAAAAUCAUAAUCCUCAAUUUUCGGAGUAAAACGGAUAAAAAUCCGAGUAAUUAACGGGCCAAAAUUGAACUUUCGGAGAAAAUGGGGCGAAAAAAAAGCCCUAAAUUCGAUUCAGAAACAGGGGAUCUGAUGAGAUCGAAGAAGAAGAAAUAAAAAAAAAACCUUUUUUUUUCUUUUUCUGUAAAAUUACAGCAUUAAAAAUUUAAAUUUCUGUUACCUAUUUUUGUAUUUUAUUUUUAUUUUUUAAUACUGUUAUUUAUUUACAUUAUAUAUAUAUAUAUAUUUAUUUGUUAUACCCACCUGCAGUUACAGCAAUGACGUGGGGUGAGGUUUAAUGGGCUGACACGUGUACUUUUUAAAGAAAAGAAAAAAAAAUUUCAAAUCAAAAUCAUAAUUAAUUAAUAUAAAAAUUACACGGAUAACUAAAUAUAUACUAAUUUAUUAGCUAAUAUUCAUUAAUUAGGCUUAAAACUACAUUUUAGUUGUAAAUACAUCACUUAUAAGUACACAAAUACAAAUUAUACACAGUAUAUACAAGGAAAAAUUACUUGUAUGAAUGUCUUUUAAAAUAAAUAAUUAUUGAUUUUAUCGAUAUUGUUUAUUUAUAGUGAUACUAUAUUAAAUCUGUAAUAUAUAUGAAAAGUGAAUUAAAUAUGAAAUAUAUAUGUAUUACACUAUUUUUUUAAAAAAAAUAUUAUGCUUGUUUGGUAAGAAGUUGACACAUUGUAUUAUAAGUGUAUUAAAAUGUGUGAUAAAUGUAUUAUCUAUCAAUAAAACUUAUAUUAUAUGUGAAUAAUAAAUUAUUUUUGUAAUAUGAAUUAAAAGUAUAUUAUAAAUGUGUUAAAAGUGAUAAGUGACAGAAAAAUUAUUGAUAUAAAUGGUAAAUUUAUAUUUUUUGUAGUAUAUUUAUGUAAGUUUCUCUAUAUACAAUUAUCUAACAUAUCUACAAAUAUAACUAGUCUCUCUCGGCUCUCUCCUCUCACCUACUUCUCUCGAUCUCGCUUGUAUCUUUCUUCCCUCUCUCAAUCUUGCUUGUCAGAUAUACAAAGACAUAUGUAAAUCACUUACAUAUAUAGAAUUACCCUGACGAAUAUACAUAUACAAUUCAUCUCUCACCGCUCUCUGCCCUCUCUCACUCGUCUCUCCUUCUUCUCCCAAUCUCGCUCGCCAGAUAUACAAAUAUAUAUGUAUACCUCUUUCUUUUUACAUAUAUAUAACAAUUAUUUGAUAGAUAUGCACAUAUAAUUCGAUAAAUAUACAUAUAUAAUUCACAUCUCUGCCUUCUCCCGCUCACCUAUCUCCUCUUUCUCUCAAUCUUGCUUUCCGCUCUCCUCUGUAUCUUAAUCUCGCUUGCCAGAUAUACAUAUACAUAUGUAUAUCAGUUACAUAUAUAGAAUUAUCUGAUAAAUAUACAUAUACAGUUCAUCUCUCACCGUUCUCUUUCCCUCUUGUUUCAUCUCUCUCCUCUCUCUUCCUUUUCGUCUCUCGCUCGCCGGAUAUACAAGUAUAUAUGUAUACCAGUUAUAUAUAUAUAUGAUUAUUUGACAAAUUUACAUACACAAUCCAACAAAUACACAUAUACAAUUCAACUAUUUGUCCUCUCUAGCUCGACUCUCUCCUCCCUCUAACAUGUAGCUACGAAUCAUAAUUAACAAACUAUAGAUAUGGAGUAUAAUUAAGUUAUUUUUGAAUCGAUGUAUGAGAAAAUUCCCUUGGAAAAAUUGUACAUCAGUUCAAAUAUUAGCCAAAAUAAAUAUUUGUAUAUAAAAAUGAAUUAAUUUAUUCAAUCAGUUUAUACAAUAUUCUUCACGUUUUAGGAUGUUUUAUAGUGUUUGCUAUACGUGAUGUUUGUGUUAAUUGUCGUGUAAUUACGAAUUCUUUGAAUCAUAAAAAUGACGAAAUCAGUAGAUAUUAGAUUUGAAAUAUUUUACCACACAUGUAUCUUAAAAGUACGACCUCAAAACUAUAAACUAUAAUUUGAAACGAAUGAGUAGAUAGACUUAACGAAGUUUAGAAAAAAUAUCCAUUUUUUAUUAUUAUUUCAUAUUUUUUUUGGAACUAAAUUAUAUUAGUCUUCGUAUCAAUUAUCAUAUUAUACUAUGUCCUCAUCUAUAAAGUAUUAGGGUCAAUGAUACUAAUACUUUAUUAAAUUAAAUCUAUUAAUGACUCUUAUUUUAGUCCUUUUCUAUUCAUAGUUUUAUAUGGUUAAAACUAUUAAAUGUUCUUGACUCUAACAUAUAGGCUUGAACAUAAUAAAAAUAAUUGUAUGUUUUUAAUCACUAAAUUUUGAUUGCGAAUAAUUUUGAAAGUGAAAAUAAAAGUAAUUGUUUUCAUAUCAUGAGUAUUACUAAAUUAAAUUACAUUAAUUUUUACCAACCAUAUUUUUUAACCAACUCAGAUGGAGGAGGAUUAUAUUUGGGAGCAAAAUAAAAACCGUCUUCUUUAAUUACCCAAUAACAUGUUUUUGAAUCAUAUCCUCCAUCAGCACCACAAUUUCCACUAUCUCUAUACACUUCAAAUCUAGCAUCUUUUGUACCCCACCAAAAAUGACAAAAGAAUACCGUCUCACGAAAGAAACCUGAUUUGAACUUGAAAUGAAAGUCAUCGUUGAAUUUAGGAUAAUGUAUCCCAAGAUCGUUGUCUCCAGAUGCACAAUGAAAUUUUAUUUGAGGAUAAUUUUUUUGAAUACCAUCAACUAUAUGACAAGUAAUAGCAUUUGUUUGUUGAACAAAUAAUAAAAUUGAUAAAAACAAGAAGAAAGAAAAACUAUUUUUCAUUGAAAGAGAACUCAUACUUUUAUAAUUAGUUCAAUGUUUAUUUUGUCUUCUCUAGUAAACACCUUUAUUUAUAAUAGUUUUUUUUUGACUCAUAAGUCAAAACUCAUUCAUUAGAUUUUUUGACUAAUGUUUUUUUUUUUUUAAAGCAUUUUGGGUACUAAUGAACUAUGUUAGUUAGAUAAUCUUCAAUUAAUAAUAUGGAUAGUAAUUUGUGUUUCAUAUUCUACUUUUCUCUCUAAUAGUCUAGGUAGCUUUAAUUGAUUGUAACUAGUCCCUCCGUCCAUCUGGAAUUAUUUGUCAUAUUACGUUUUUUGAAAGUUAAUUUGACUAAUUUUUAAAGUUAAAUUAGAUCACAUUAAUUCAAUAUUAUUUUUUUAAAAAAUUAGAUAUUCUAAAAUUAUAUGCAAAGUACUAUAAAUUACAAUUUUUUGCAUAUUAAUAUGAUGAAAAAAUAUAUCUUAAAAUGUUAGUCAAAAUUUUUAUAGUUUGACUCAAAAAUAGAAACCAUGACAAAAAUAAUACCGGACGGAGGGAGUAUGAGAUUGGGAUGACAUAGAUUAUAAGAUCCCUUUUGAUUAAUUUAAGAAAAUAGUUUUUAAAUUAAAAAAAGAAGAAGUCAAACUUAAAUAAUUUUUAAGUAAAAAAAUAAAAAGUCGAACUUAAAUGAUUGUCAAGUCAAAAAAUAAAAAGUCAAACUUAAAUAAUUUUUAAGUAAAAAAAUAAAAGUCGAACUUAAAUGAUUGUCAAGUCAAAAAAAAAAGGCAAACUUACAUGACUGUUAAGUCAAAAAAUAAAAAGUCAAACUUAAAUAAUUUUUAAGUCAAAAAAUAAAAAGUCAAAUUUAAAUAAUUUUAAGUAAAAAAAUAAAAGUCAACUUAAAUGAUUGUCAAGUCAAAAAAUAAAAGUCAAACUUACAUGACUGUUAAGUCAAAAAAUAAAAAGUCAAACUUAAAUAAUUUCUAAGUCAAAAAAUAAAAAAUCGAACUCAAAUAAUUGUUAAGUCAAAAAAUAAAAAGUCAAAUUUACAUGACUGUUAAGUCAAAAAAUAAAAAUUCAAACUUAAUAAUUUUUAAGUCAAAAAUAAAAAAUUCAAACUGAAAUUACUUUUAAAUAAAAAAUAAAAAAAUAAAUUUAAUUAACUUUUAAAUUAAUCCAAACACACUCUAAUUAAUUAUGAUGAUAAAUUGAUUAUCCUUAAUGAUUUUGAAAUCUAGACAAUUUUAUUAGAACAAUAUAAUUUUCGAUUGAUUAUAAAGUUGUUUAAAAAUUAUACUAUGAAAUAGUUCUAAGUUGUAUACAUUGAACAAUACUAUUACAUUGUAGCAUAGUAACAUGUAAUAGCAAAUUAUUUAUUCUAUUUUGUAUAUUAAGGGCGUGACUUAAUGAUCAAUGAAGUCUAUUAAGAAUUUUAAAAUCUUACAUUUAGAUUUCAGUCGUAACCAAAACACUAGGUGAAGAAGCACAUGUUUUAUAAAUAUGGUUUCAGAGUAAUCUGAUGUUUGAUUCGAAAUAGAUGACUAUCUAUAUGAGAAUGAUGAUUCAAUAUUUCGUGAUUAUUACAUGGAUUAAAAAAGAAAUAGAUCAAUAGCAACACAAAAAUUCACUGAAAGACGUCUUUAAUAGGCAAGAAAAAGACAUUUAAGACGGAGGGAAAAAAUAAAAAGGAAAUUCAUACGACAUAAUUUAAUUCUUAGUUGAUUGACUAAGAGGAGAUGAUGCGACGAGGAGAACCGCAUCUCAAUUAUAAAUUAAUUCUAUCCUUAAUAACUCAACUAUAUUCAUAAUAUCAAAAUUUCAAUCUCUCGAUCAUUUUGAUGAAUCGCAAAACAUAUUUAAUUAAUUAAAAUGAAAUAGAGCCACUAUAAGAAUUGUCAUAGUCAUAAUAAAUUUCUUUUUUCAUUUCAUAAUGUAAUUAGAUAACAAAUAUUAAAUUACAUUAAUUUUUUUACCAACCAAAUUGUCUAACAAAAGAAGAUGGAGGAGGAUUGUCAUUGAUAGCAAAAUAAAAACCGUCUUCUUUAACUAACCAAUAACAUAUUCCUUUGUUAGAUCCUCCUGUUUCAUGCCCACAAGCUCCAGUUUCUCUAUACACUUCAAAUGAGAUAUUUUUUUUACCCCACCAGAAAUGACAAAAGAACACCGUCUCGAAAAAAAAAUCUUUUUUGAACGAGAAAUGAAAAUCAUCGUUGAAUUUGGGAUGAUGCGUUCCGAGAUCGUCUUUAUGAGAUUUACAGCGAAAUAUCAAUUGGGGAUCAUUUUUUGCAAUACCAUCAACUAUAUGGACAGUAAUAGCAUUUGUUUGAUGAAAAAAUAACAAAAAUGAUAAAAACAAUAAGGAAGAAAAACUAAUUUCCAUUGAAAGAGAACUCAAAUUCUUAUAAUCAAUUUUUUUAUUAUUAUUUUAUCUUCUCUAGUAUACACCCUUAUUUAUAGUUGUUUCAUAGAGAGCUUGUUUGGAAUUUUAUUUAUUUAUUUAGGACUCUUAAGUCAAAAAGGUCAUAAAUUAGAUUUUUUGACUAAUAAUUUUCUAUUUAUUAAUAUGAAUAAUAAUAAUAAUAUAUGUCUAAUUUAUUGAUUUUCUUACUUUAACUAUAAAUAUAGGUAGAACCGUUAAUAUGGACUAGGUCCGCUGGAUCGGCUUGGCCUAAUCCGGGAUUUAAUAGGGUUGGGCUAAGAUUUUUGACGCCCAUUUUAAUUAUAUUAUAUUAUAAUUAAAAAAUAUAAUAUAAUAUUAAAAUUUAUAUAAUUGAAGAGAGUCCAAAUUAAAAAUAAUUAGGUUAAUAUUUUUAUCUAUAUAUUUAUACUUUUACUUGAAAAAAAACCCUUAAUAAAUAGAGAUAAUUUCAGAGACCUCCCUCCAUGCUUCGCUCUAUAACACUCACCUUCCUUGUGGUUUACGAUAUUACGUCUACCUCCCCUAAUUUCAUUUUCUUGUAACCAUUUUUAAACCUAUUUAAAUAAAUAUAAAUUAAUUUAGAUUUGCCUAAUUUACCCUUAUAUAUGAAUGUUUAGAUCUAAUUUUCAAUGAUUUAUCUUUAUUCGUUGGUUCAUGUUACUUUUUCGCUUGUGUAAAUGUUUAACUAGAAAAAUCUUAUCGUUCUUGUCGAAUUUCUUUCAUGGGAAGUUCAAUUUUGUCUUCUAUUUGAAGAAAUUGUUAUCGAAAAAUGAUGGGUUAUUGUGGGGGGAAAAUUUACGUGAAUUGGUAAAUGUGAAAUAGAGAUAAAGAUUUAAUAUUUGGUGAGAAUGUAAGUCAGCUUAGUUGAAGACUUUGAUCUUUGUUGGUUUAAAAAACAAGUUUUUGUGUUAAUUUAUUUUAAAGUAUUUGUUAAAUAAAUUAUUUUUUAUAUAAUAUUUAUUAAUAAGAAGAAAUUUAUAUAAAAAAGAGUAAAAUUGUCAAAUCUAUAUUAAUUUAUAUUUAUUUUAAAUAGGUUUAAAGAAUGGUUACAAGUAAAUGAAAAUAAGGGAGGUAGACGUAAUAUUGUAAAUCAAAGGGGAGGUGAGUGUUAUAGAGCAAAACAUGGAGGUCUCUAUAAUUAUUUCUAAUAAAUAUUAUAAAAAUAAUUUUAUUUUAAUUUGAUUAACAAGUACUAACAUUAACAUCAUGUAAUAUUGUUUCGUCGAUAUUUAUGACAAUAUUUUAAAUUAUAAUUUAAAAUUUAAUUUAAUAUUAUAAAAAAUAUAUAAUUUUUUUAAAAAAGUGGGUUGACCUGUCAAGCCUGUAGACCACGUACUUGUGGGUUGGGCCGAUCAUUUUCUGGCCCACGCCAAAAAUAAGUUAGCUCGACCUAACCCGUAAAAUGUAAAAGCCUGUAUGGAUUAGUCCGGAUGGGGUGGGCUAGCCCAUAUUGACAAUUCUAAAUAUAGGUAAUUUUAAUUGAUAGUAAUUAACUAUUAAGGAUGACAUACGUUAAUAGACAACUAUACAAAAUGAUUUGAAAAUCUAGAAAAAAUUAUUUGAAACAAGACAAUUUUCAAUUGACCAUAAGAAAGCUAUUUGAAACUUAUACUAUGGAAUAAUUCAAGUUGUAUAUAUACAUUGUACAAAUUAUUACAUUAUAGUGUAGUAAUAUGUCAUAGAAAAUUAUAUUUUCAUUUAGUAAUUAAGAAUGAGGCCUAAUGAUCAAUCAAUAAAGUUGGUUGAGAAUCUUAAGAUCUUAUAUUUAAAAUAUCAGCCUCUUCUUAUCUUAAAUAUUCUAUAAAAUUAAUUGAAUUAAGUUCAAAUUGAACCGAAUACCACAAUUAUCAAAGAAAUAAAUCAAAUUUUAACUAUAGAACAUGUCCAUACACACACAUAUAACAACACCAACACCAAAUACGACAACAAUACUUAUGUCUCAAUCCCAAAUAAACCAGAUUCGAUAUAAAAUUACUUAAUUAUACAUUAGUCAUCAAUUUACUACGACUCUCUUUAAAUUUCUAUUCGAACUUGCAACCAGCAACGUAAAACAUAAGCAAGUUCAUUUAUUUAUUUUCAUACAAUUUGUUCAACAAAAAUCAAGAUGCUAACAACAUGUCUCUUAUGAGUUUAAAAGGCAAAAACAAUUUUUGGUGAUUAGGUAGACUUUCUUUUAUCAAAGGUACUUCUUUGAAUUUUUUCAUCCAAUUUUGCAAAUUAGGAAAUGAAUUUUCUUCAAUUAAUUUGACACCUCCAACAUCUUCUAUAAUUUUAAGCCAAUGACAAAUCCAUCCAAAAGAUAUAUCCACUAUCCCAAUUUUUCCUCCAAUAAAAAAUAUAUUAUUUUUCUGAUUUUUAAAAGCAUUUUCUUCUAUAAUUUUCAACAUUUCCAAGCUGUCCUUCACUGCCUUUUCUUGUUCUUCCCCUUUUGAUCUAAAUAUCAUCCAAAGAGAUACACUCUGCAAAAAGAUUUUUAAAAGAUAAAAUUUGUCACUAAAAAUAAAUGGGAAAUGGAUUUGAAAAAAAAAUACACUUAUAAUUAUUAUAGUGAAUUUUUUUUUAUUUAGUGUGUUAAUAAAUUUACUUAAUAUAAAUAUAAAAUAACUUAUCAAGAAUCAUUAAAUUGUCUUUUUUAGAAUCUAGAACUCGUAUAUAUUCAGGAUUUUGAAUUUAUGUCUACUGAAAUGUACUUAUCAAGAAAUGAAACAUGACAACUAAUAUGAGACAGGGCAGAGUAACGAUUCUGUGUAAGCACACACCUUAGAUGGAAAUGAAUCUUACCUUUUGUUCAAAAUAAUUCACCCAAAACCUAGCCAAAGCUCUUUGAUAAGAAUCAAUAGGUAACAAUGGAUAUUGAUUUGGCCAUAUUUGAUCAAGAUAUUCAAGAAUGAUCAUAGAUUCACAAAUUGGUUUUCCAUCAUGAACAAGAAUUGGAAUUUUCUUGAAAAUAGGAUUAUAUUUCAAAAGCAAAUCACUUUUAUUUGCAAGAUCUUCUUCUAUAUAUUCAUAUAAUAAGCCCUUUAAUUUAAGAGCCCAUAUUAUUCUUAAUGAAUAUGGACUUGCCCAUGAUCCAUGGAGCUUCAAAUCUUGAUCCAUUUCUUUAAUUUUCUUCAUCAUUUAGUGUCAUUUUAAAGAAAUGUUAUGCUUGAUCAACAAGAAAGUUUUGAAAUUUUUUUAAGAGGAAGUUUUGACUAAUGUACAUUUUUUUUCUUAUACUAUAAUAAAUAUUAGUAGUUAUUUAUGAAUUUAUUAUCAAUUUUAUUCAAAGAGUACGUAGACUUACUCCAUCAUCAUUAUAAUUGAGGCAUACAGAAGAUAAAAUGUAUCUAAAUUUUAAUUUUUUUUUAUCUUUUGAGAAGAUAAAUAUAUUAUUUUUUAUAAACUCUCGAAUCUAGUUAUAUACAGCUAACUCAAUUAAUCAUAUAUUUAAACUCUUCUUCUAAUUAUAUUUUAUCCUUUUUUUUUCUUUUUCUUUCAUUUUCUAUUGGGUAGGUAGAUGGUUGUUAGUUCAAUAAAAUAUUUUUCCUACUCUGAGGAUUAAAUUUGAUUAAUUCUUUUUUUUUUUUUUGUAAAAGUUUGAAUUUUGACUAGUUGCUUAUUUUCUAUUGAAUUAUAGGAUGAUGAGUACAAAUGAUUCAAAAUAUUUAGGAGAUGUUCGAAAAAAAUAAUAAUCAAAGAAAAAUAUUUUUAUUAAAAUAAUAACUUAACAAACAUAUUAAAACGGAGAAAGUAAUUAUUUAUUACAUAGUUUGACAAAUUAAAAAUUUCAAGAAGAUGACAAUAUCAUCUCUCUUUGAUUCUUUAAAAACACAAACAUUUCAUCAUAAUUAGGGAGAUUCUCUUUGAUGAUUUGUUCUUCUUUGAAAUUUUGUACCCAAUUUAAUAAAUUAGGAAAUAAAUUAGGUUCCAAUAAUUUCACACCAAUAAUAUCUUCAAUAAUUUCAAGCCAAUGAGGAAUUACUCCAAAAGCCAAGUCCACAAUCCCAAUUUUCUCACCACCAAAAAAAAUAUUUUCUUCAUCUUCAAUAAAGGCUUGUUCUUCAAUGAUUUUGAGCAUUUCCAUUGUUUCUUUGAUGGCCUUUUCUUGUUUUUCACCACUUGUGUAAUACAUUGUCCCGACACAUGCACCCUAUAUGACAAUAUAAUUGAUACAGAUCGAUUUAAAAUUUAACUAGAUAAUUUAGUUUUACAGACGAUUAUCUAACUUUAAGUUUAUAAUAAACAUCACGAGAAAUAUUAAAUAUGAUCGUAUCCCAAGAACAACAUAUGUAGGAUGCCAAAAAAUAUAAUUUUUUCUUAGUGAUAGUACAUAAACAUGACCUUUAACUUGACGUCAACGAACAAUGCCCUCCAACUUUUAUAAGAACAAGUGGACACAAGUGUCCUACAUGGCAUAAUACACGUAAAAUGCCACGUAUAGUACAAAAUUGUCUUGUAGGGUGUCAUGUAGGACUAAUGUAUUCAUUUGAUCAAUUUUUUAUACAAGUUUAAGUGUCUGGCAAGUGUAUAUCCAAAGUUAAAGGUCAUAAUUAUCAAUUAACGCCAAGUUAAGGAUCAUAUUUUUCUUAUGUGAGUACGACUACGUCAACAACAACUCACCUUACGUUGAUACAACGCAGAAAAUGAAAUCUAAUUAGUAUCUCAUUUUCGAUCAUCGUGAUUUUUUUUUUAAAAAAUGUUGUGUCACAUCGAUAUUAGGUAAGAUAAAUUACCUUGUUGAAGUAACAACCUCAUGUUUUCUUUGAUAUGUAGGUAUAAUAGAAUUGUUUCUUUGAUAUAUAUUGAAUUAUUUUGAUAUUAUAUACCGCAAAAGUUACCUUCUAAAGUAAAAUUCUUUUUGAUAUACAGGCAUAAUCGAAAUAUUUUACUAUUAUCUAUUUAAAGGUUACUUUCUAAAGUCAAACUUUCAUGAAAUUGAUAUGCCAAUUAAAAAUUGAAGAUACAGAUCAAGAAAUUGAAUUUCAAUUAUUUGUGAAAAAAUAUCAAUUGGUUGAAAACCUUGAUAAAGGAAAGAUAUGAUGUGUAUGAAUCACUCACAUAUUCUUCUGAAUUAUAUGUAUCCGCGGGAUUAAUUUGGAAAAAACAGUAGGGAUAUGCAAGAACAAACAAUUUUUAUCGGAAACGUUCCUCUAAUGAAUUCACUGAAAACAUCUAUAGUCAAAUGGAAUAUAUAGAAUUGUGAUCGAUCAAUCAAAUAUUGCAAACAGAUUAGUUUAGCUCUAAAACGAGUAUCGAAAUGAAAAGACAUACCUUAUCUCCAGCAAAUUUAACCCAAAAUCUUGCAAUGGAUCUAUCAAGAGGAUCAAUAGGAAGAAGUGGAUUUUGAGGCCAAGUAUCUUCAAUAUAUUCAAUAAUCACCAUAGAUUCAGAAAUUACUUUUUCACCAUGAAAAAGAAUUGGAAAUCUCUUAAAAACUGGAUUAUAUUUCAUAAUUAAAGAGCCAUUAUUUGAAUGUUCUUCUUCUAUAUACUCAAAUGGUAUUCCUUUUAGCUUUAAAGCCCAAAUAACCCUAUAAGUAAACAAAUUAUAAGAUGUUCCAUGGAGUUUUACUUCAUCCAUUUUUGAUAAAUACAAGAACAAAAAACUUUACUCUAAUGCAUAUAAUUGAAAUAAUAGAAGCCCUAUAUAUAUGAAAUUAUCAUGUUAUAGUUUCAUGGACCACUUUGCGUUUUUUUUUUUUAAUAAAAAAAUUAGAGUUUAAGUACUACCUAAUGAUAUAAAAAUACAAAUCAGAUAAUUUAUAAUACAUAUAUAAUCUUUUAUCAAGUGUUUGAUAUCCACAUAGGAAUAAAACGUUUCUUAACAAAGACAAUUUCAUACUCAUCAGAAGUCAGUUCUCAAGCUCGAGAAUUCAAGAUCACUGAUUAAAUAGUAUAUGAAAGAGUAAUUAUCAAUUAGUCACCAUGUUUUAUAGGAACAACAAUAUUCUAUCACUUCUAUAGCUAAAACAUCUUAACAUCGAAGUUCUGAUGUGUUUCAGUGUAAGAAAAUUAUGUUGAUAACAUUACGUAAUAAUAUGAUAAAAUUACAAUAUUUAAGUACAUGAUCUUUUGAAAAUAACUUUUUAACCUUCACGAGAUAAUAAUAAAUUCAUGUAUAUUCAAAUCUCUUUGAGUCUCUAUUUCGUGAAUUUUCAUUGAGAAUAUUAUUGUUAUCGAUAAAAUUACUAAAAUCCAAAGAUAAAGGAUAUAAGUAUGUUUUGUUUCUAGUUGCUACAUGAGAUUCCAUAUCUUUUGCCCUUUUUAGUUGAUGUAUAUUAAUAUAUUAAUAUUAUUAAACUUAAUUGUAUGGAUGUCCUUUUUAUGAUAAAAAAGUAGAUAGAAAAUAUGAUCAUAUUAUUUAGGUAAAAUCAUGAUUGAUGAUAAAAAAGUAGAUGGAAAACAUAAUCAUAUUAUUUAGGUACAAUCAUGAUUAAUUAUGACAUAAUUAAAGAUUUAAAUAAAUCAUAAGAAACAAUUUUGAUUUCAGAGUUAAAAUUGACAUCAUUCUAAUUGGUCCCAAAAAAAGUUUAAGAGAAAUAGAUUAAAUUAUAAGGUGAUUUGCGUAUAUUUUAUUUUUUCAAAAAAUUGUAUAUGUUAUUUGUUAUUGUUAUAUUAUACUUUUUUUUGGAAGGCUGAAAUCCUUAAUUAUUAGUAUUUUAAUUCUUUUUCCUAAUCUUAUAAAAAUACUAUUAUUUUUUUCUAAUUCUACAAAACAAUACGUAAAAUAAUAUAUAAUAUAUAAAAGUCUCUUUAUAAUACAUAUAUAAUCUUUAUUUAGUUUAGCUAAAAAGUCUCUUUUGACAGAAUUAACUCUUUUUAUUUAUAAAAUAUAUUACUAUUUUUUUGAAUUGUAUUUAUUUUCUUUAUGUAUCACACAUUUAUAUUUAUAUUUUUCAAAUCUCAUGAAUAAAAGUCUUAAAUUCGUUAUUGUAUACGUAUUAUUUCCUCAAAUCAUUACGAAUGUCCUCGUAUAAUUUUUUUCAAAAUUGUUCAUCAUUCGAGAAAUGUGUUUUACUCAUUAAUCUUCUAUGCAACUUUGUGUUUUUCUUCUUCUUCUUUACUAACACUAAUUAAAUUUUGUAAUAUGUAUUAAUUUGGAACAACAAGAGAUAUAGCUAAAAAGAAUUCGAGAGAAUUUUCUUUCGAAUUGAUGUACAAAUGAAUUGAAUAGACUUUUUCUUAUCGAAAUAAAAUUGCUCUAUAAGCUACUCGCAAAUUGAUGUAGAAAGUUGUUUACUAAGCUACGUGCAAGUUUCUUGUAGGAGUAUUUUUAUUUUUUAUUUUAUCUUUGAUUUUUGAUGUCUAUAUAUAAAGUUUUAGUAAAUUCAAAUAAAAAAAAUAAAAUAUUUUCUAACAAAAAUAAUUUCGUACGCGUAUUGACGUUGUUUUAUUACAACUAACUCCCUCCCCGGUAAAACCCAAACCCCGCCGGCCACCGCCUCAGCCUUAUAAAAUCCAAAAGACUUAUUUGCGAAGUAAUCAGCUCAAGAUUCUUGAUUUUCUGGACACCCUUUUACUAAUCACCUCCAAUGACAGAAACCAGAACCUGCGAGUUUGGUCAUAUAAAGAAGACCACCAUGAGUAGUGAAGAUGGGGUUUCUGGGUUGCCCUGUUUUGGGGUUGAAGAUGAUAAAGGUGGAAUCUUGGAAGAUCGGUUUGCAGAAAAAGGGAAGAAGAAAAGGAGAAUUUGUGAAAUGGGUUGGUUGAGUGAUCCAUUAGUUGUUCUUGGGACAGAUGUUAUGUUGAUGAUUUUGAGCUGUCUAGACGCACGCAGCGUGGCACUGUGUCUCCUUGUAUCUCGUGGAUGGAGGGCUGUUGCUUCUUCUGAUAAGAUUUGGAGCUCCAAGGUUUGAACUUUCAUUUAGUUGAGUUGUCAAAAUUCAAUUUUGGUAAAUUAAGGUUCAUUUCAUGUCAAAACUUUGUUACUACAAUUGUGUUUUUUUUGUUAUAUGGUUUUAUCCCCGAAAUCGCUCCUCAGUCGCAAAUUGUAAUGCUUUUUUACUACUUAUUUAUCAAAAUUGGUAUAUCAAAGCAAGAACAUUUACUAUGUUGUAAGUUUAGGAGUAGACGGAUGCCUUAGUGUGGAGGUGGGCUAUAGAGGUAUAGUUAUGCUGACGUAGGAUAUGACCUUAGAUAGGAGGUUGUGGAGAAUAUGGAUUAGGGUAGAUUAUUAGUAAGAAGUGGCGUGUUAUCUUGCUAAUCCUUCCAUACUAGUAAAGUUUCAUGUGAUUCGAUGCUAACCUCUAUGUAUUGCAAGAAACUCCUAUGUGUACUUAUGUAUACCUUAAUGAAAGCCUAACUAUUUCAGCCUUCUAAAUUGGAACUUGCUAAAAGGUUGGGAUACAUUGGAACAAUGAUCCAAAUAAUCUUAAUGUUUUGAAUUCAAAAAUGCCGCCAACCAGAUUGUGUCAAAUUAUAGCUUUAGGAACACUUUGUAUAAUCCAAUGUCUUUUCUUCAAAUGACCGAACUCUCACAAAUAAUGCAAAUACUUAGGGGUGACAGUAGUGGAAAUAGCUAGUAUGAAAUUUCUUGGCACUUACCUGCUGUGCUAAUACUCCUGUAGUUUCAUGUACUUGAUUAUUGUAUUGUUUGUUUAGUUACUGUUCCUUUUUUUUUCAAAAUGCUUUUUCUUGCUUUUUGUAAUAUUUUGAUAUAGUUUCUUCACCUCUGCUAUUUUUUUAACCUGAUUUGAAAUGUCUUAUUGGAAAUAACCUCUCUACCUCAUAAAGAUAGGGGUAACGUCUGCAUAUACUUUACACCCCCUGGACCCAAGUGGGAUUACACGGGGUAUGUUGUUGUUGUUGCAAGUUUUACAUUAUUGUUGGGUCAAUUUUCACUUGCAGCUGCAGGUCCUCUCUGAACAUUUCUAGUUGGUUUGUUGGGAAGAUGAUAAAUUGUUGAAGAUGAAUUGUCUCUUUAUGUUUCUUGCUCUUAAUUGCUUUACCAGGUAUUGGAACAUAAAUUCUUCAGGGACUAUUCUUAAAAUUGGAUCUUCUUUUCCUAAGAACAUUGGAUCUUCUUCUAUUUUAACGUCUUCCCUUAGAGACUACAAAUUAUGUAAAAAACACAUUGUCUUUGUGUAUCUUCUUGCCCAUUUGAUCUGGAGUUUAGCCCUUACAAGUAUACACAUUGUGUGCUCUUUGCUAAAACUAUGCUAUGUUAUCUUUAAAUAUCACCCCCCUCAAAAGGAAUUUUCAUCCUUUACCCGUCGCAAACAAGCAAAUAAGACCUUACAUAUUCUCUUUCUACUUGUGAGUUAUUUAUAUGAUGUGGUGGUAGCUAGUGUUAAUUGAAUCAUAUUAGUGGUCAGAAAGUAGUUUUGGAUUUUGAAGAGUUGGAAAGAAAAAAUCUGCAGCCUAUGAUUUGGUGGUAGCUAUUACAUAUUUUAAGAAAGGGAAAUUAUCACCGAGUAACUUAUGAAACUGGAGGUAACCAUAGUCAAAUAAACAUGUGAUAGAAGUUCAUUUCAAGCUGUAAGGUUAUUCCAGGAAGACCAAUGACCGCCCAAUAUAGGUAUAGUGUCUUAGACUUAAAGCUAAAAAGCGGAGCUAGAAAAGGAAAUGACUUGCAAACAAACUGCAGAUUAAGUGGUAGAAUUAGUAGUAACCAGUUAGUGUUUCAAGGAAAACUAUGGAAGUCAUGUAUGAGGAGAACUAUGCCAACACACUCGACGACUCCAUAAGAAAUUUCGAUUGUGGAAUAUGGCCUUCUGAAAGCUUAGAAGCUUAGUGUCUAUGAACCACGGUGUUGGAAGUUUGGGCCCCUUCUCAUCAAUAACCAGCCCAAAAGAUAACUUCUUUUGGGAUUUGAAAAAUUGGUUGAACCAACGUGGACAUCCCAGGCUUCAAUCUCUACUAAAACACUUGAUGUGAGUCCAUCUACUUCUGAAAGCUUAGAAGAUUAAUGGUUAUGAACCAUCACGAUAUUGGGAGUUUGAACCACCGCCUCGCCAACAAUCAGCCUAAAAGGAAAGUAGACUUUCUAGGGGUUGAAAAUUAGAUUGAGCUUUGGGAUAAAUAUGUGGAAAUCCUAGGUUUCAGUCUUAGUUAUAACACUGCUUGUGUGGGACCAUCUACUCAAGUCAUGGUGGUAGGAUUACCAUGGUGGCUUAUACUUGCGAGUUGGACUGGCUGCACCAUAGUCAAGGUGCAUGCAUCCGGAUACUAUUAAUGAAGAAAAUAAAGAGAAAAAAAAAUAUUAUGAUACUGUUUUUCUUGGAGUCAUCAACAGUUCCAUAAAAGUGAAAUGAGUUUUGCUCAGUAUUUGUUGUUUCCUUUCACUAAAUGUUAAUGAUUCAGAGUUCGUCCUUUGUAAAAUGACGUUAUUUUCUUCCUUCAUGCUCUUAGCGAGUAAACAACAGUAAAUUCUAAAUAAGAAGAGAUGAAGUCAUGUGCAAAUUUAAUUACAACUUCACAGCAGAUCAAUGACAGCAGAUCAAUGAUCUUUCUUGGCAUCUCUUUGUAGUGUGAAGAAUUAUGGCGAGGCAAAACACAUUUACCUCGGUUAGCAAAAGUAAAUGAUUUGUCGAAGUUGGUCGUUUACUCACUGUCUGUAAUGGAUGGUAAACGUGUGAGUAUUGGAACUCUCUCCUUAGCACUUCCACAUACAAUAUACGUUAAUCUUUUUCGUUUGAUUUGUCUGACGUUACUUCUUCAUAUAUUAUUUUUCUUAGAAGCGAAUAAGAAAGGAGGAUUUGUAUGAUCAUGUGUGGGAGUUCCAUUUCACCGAGGUAUGAGCCUAUUUAUAUUCCUUCUUUCUAAGUCUUACUUGCCAAUUUUGGAAGUCCAUGAAUAGGCAUUAUCCACCCAUAUAAAUCAUGCAUGGCUGCAGCUCGCACCAAAUUGAGUAGAUAUAGUUUGUACGUGCUUGAGAAAACUUAAAUCUGUACGAUUGAAGUUAAAACGUCCGUUUGAGGGUCGGUCUUUGUGUAGCUUUGCAAGUAGUUGGUAAGACUGCAUAAUACCUUCAUUUCUUGUUCAUUAUGUUUAACUUUUUGUUCUUCACUGGUCAGUUUCAUAGAGCUUUUGCCAAAAUUGAAAACGGUUUGCAUGGUUCUGUAUCCUGUAAGUGCUAUUUGAACCACUUCUGCUGCUGCCUUUGAUUGCUAUUUCUUCACAGUUUAAUGCAUCUGGAUUCAAUAAAGCUUUGAUUGGAAACUAGAGGAAGGAAGAGAAGUUUUUUGGUUUGACAAGAGAGUGAAAAAAACGAAGUGAAGCAGAUUUCCCUCUUUCCUUUCGCUAGUUUCCGUCAUAGGAUAACAAAGAUAAAACAUAAUCCUUGUAUAACUACAACCUAUACUACUUGUGUGGACGAAUCCUUAGGCGGCUCCUGAGUACUGGCGAAUGCUCGAUCCCUACAGGAAUGGAACUGGACGUCCCCUGCGCCGUUAUUUUCUUCCAGAUGGAAGUCAGACUGCAGAACCAGAUGACAAGAUAUGGGGUGGUCAUGAAUCUUGCUACUCCAUAGUAACUAGCUUGCUUGCAGAUGGAAAUAUAAGAGAACACUACGUGAGGAUAAACCGUUGGCCGCCUAUGUAUGUGACAAGGAAGGAAGAUUGGAGCUGGGAGAUCUCUAACAACUUUUGUACCUACAAGAGCAUACCAGAUGCUGAUAAAAAAGAUGGCACUGGACCUUUGUUUCUACUUCACUAGGCCUCUACAGUAGUUUCUACUUUGAAGCCAAACUAUGGAGAUGUUUGUUUGAAUAAUUGUAAGGCCUUUUGUAAAGUAUAUUUUGUUGAUAUUAAUAAGUUUUGCAAGUUUUAAUUGUUGCUACUUUAUUCAAAGUAAUGCGCGAGAUACAUUAAUCGUUUGAUAAGAUACAUUACAUUUUAUACGUGAUACACUAAUCUGAUGCGUGAAAAUGAGAAAUUUCGGAGAUUAGUAAAACUAAUAGGGUAGUAGUAGUUCUCAAACACCAUGGGAUUAGUAAUAAGACAAUUUACUGUUAAAGGGAAGUGAAAAAGAAGUACUCUAAUGAUAAUAAUAAUUAGGAAAACAAUCUUUAGCAUAACUUAAUAUUUGUCAGAAACAUUCAAGGAUAAUUUCUGCUAGAUUUGGCUUCUCUAGUGUUUUGAGGCAACUGGAAAAGCCACUUCCAUAUUGUAAUUGGAUGAAAACACAUUGAGAAGAUGGAUGAUGAAGGACGCCUAUUCAUUAAAAAACGAUCUGAAUCAACUAUAAGAGAAACAUGAAGUUGCAUUGUCUCUUAUGAUCCCAACUCGUAAUGCUAAUAGCGUUAAAGCAAUCAUCUUAAACAUGUUGCACAGAUUUUGCAGAUACAAUUUUAUUCCAAUGAGGAAAGAAAUCCGAAAGAAAGUAUGACCUCCACUGACAUGAACCAGUUUUUCGUGCUGCAUGUCCUGGAAGCUUUACCAGCAUCUCUUACCAGACAUCAGGACGAAGCUCUCCAGUUGCUGGAGGCAUCCAUUUCCCAGAGUUGUAAACACUUUCACCAACUUUCCAACCGGGAACAUCCUUCAUGAUUCUCGCCUCUUCUUCAAGAUACUUCUUCCACUCUUUAACAAAUCUAAAUAAGCAAAAAAAAAAAAAAGUAGGAUAAGUUAUAACGAGUUCCAGAGUACGAUAAAUAAACAGGGCAUGGAAUGGAAACAAAUUCAAGGAGGCUCGCCUUUCAUCUUCUUCAGCUUGAAGCAUGGGUAAUAUAGCCCUUCGGGCAGCAUAUUUUUCUUCCUUUAUCACCCUACAUAGUGAAAAUAUUAUCAGAACUUCUUCUAAAGAAGUUUGAGAUUGACGGUGGUUUUGGGAACUAUGGAGGAGGUGUCAACCAGUGCACAUAUUCCAAAACAUAAGAAGGGAGUUUUAGGUAUGUCCUCAGAUCAAACAACUUCUCCAAGCUCCUCCAAGAACCCCGAUAUCAGAGAGCUCUGACUCCUAUGUUUUCAGAGCAUGGAUAACAAAUGAUGACCCAAUAUUGAUUAAAAUAACAUCAAUGAUGCAUCUAGCCCUGAUAUUAUGCUCGAAUGAAAAUGGACCUUGGGACUAUUUCAAAUCCAAGAGUUAGCUCAUGAAUUGAAAAUACUCCACUACCAUAUAGAAAGACAAGAGUCCACACCCUCAAACCAAUGUAUGCGUAAGGUGAGAAGUGACCAAGACAACAUAUAGAUAUUAGAACAGAGACCCCCAAACCAUGUGGGGCUUAACACGGGCAUGCUCCAUUUAGAGCAUAGAUGAAAUAACAUGGCAGUUUAACAUUAGGUAAUUAAACACCAGGAUAGGUUUGGCUCUAAAUACCAAGUUGAAUUGUGUGACUACCUUAUCUUAAAACUUCAAAAUUAUUAGAGUGAAGGCACCUUUAUUUAUUUGUAUUAGGUCUUCAACCCAAACAAUUGAUGACUAAUGUAAAUAAACAACAUCCAGAGUCCCACAAGCAGUAGAACUUCAUCCCCCUAUUAGUUAAUCAUAUGAUAAAUGCUUAAACAUGAGUUUUACAUAAAGAGAAAAAGCUGGCAACACAAAAUAGAUUUUCAAACAUGUAGAAGGAAUGAGAUGCAUGCUGAUUUGAAUCACUAACAAUAUCAUAGGUGAAUUGUUCAUUGUGACGCAGUGAUAAAGCCAAUUCCAUUGAUCCAAUUGAUAGUUUUGGCUAACCAGAGAUGUGAAUAUCUUAGCUGAAAAUAAUAUCUAAGAAGAACUGCCCCAGCUGGUUAUUCUAUGUUCUUAUGGAACACCCCAACUUUACGUGAUUUACCCAAAUAAAAAAGAAAGCAUGUGAAUUCCAAAUAAAUUGUGUAGUUUAAUCCCUCUCCAUUUUGGCUUGUUUUGGAUCAUGCCCCAGUCCAUCAAGGAAGCCUAUAUCAACUGCAAUUUUUAGACAGUUGACAAAGCCAUCAAAAAAGAUCUGGAAAAUGAUUCCCGCAGUCAUUUUUCAGGUUGUUUGAAAUGAAAGAGACUACAUGUGUUUUGAUGGAAUAUCAACUGCAAAAUUGAUCAUAGCUAAAAGCUAACUUCAAUAUGGGAAGUAUGACACUAUGCUAAGAGAUUAUCUAUUGUAUUUGAAGGAGAUUAAGAUCAUAAAUUUACUAAUUUAUUUUCAAAGUAUAGAAAGAUAACCCAGGGGGGAGCACAUAAGAAGACUCACUAGUAUUGUAGUUAUUGGUGACAAUCACAAGCCUCUACAGUUGAAACCCUCUAAAGUUGAAGAUUUGUAAACUGGUGACACCUAUCCCCCACCCCCAAACCAAAACAAUGCAGACAAAUAAAUUUUCAAGCAGAUGAGAAAAAACUGGCAGCUCUCGUACUCUCUUCUUCAUGAUCUGAGUUCAGAUUUUAUGCGUGAGAAAAACUUUCAGGUUGGACAUGAGAAACAGUAAAGCUCUGGCUUUGGAAAUCGGAUUCUCGAUGACGACUAUCCUCACUUUCAAGCCAUUGAAUUUAAAGGAUUUAUCAUCUCCACGAGAUAAAUCUUUUUGGUGUUGCCAAAUGAAUUAUAAGAAAGAGAUAACUAAUGAAGACAACUUCAUUUUUAUUUUUUUUGGAUAAGAUAACAAAUUCAUUUUUUUUAUUGUUAAUGAAAACUUCUCUUAGGAUUAUACAUUCCAAUAUCUCCAUCCAAGGGUUUGCAAUAACCACACGAUGACAGUUCACCAGAGCAUCAAGACAGUCACAAUUGGCUAGAUCUGAAAAUAAUAUCUCGCACUAUUUCUUCUUUUUUCCUACGUCAGAGAAAUGUCCUUUGGGAUUCCAUCCCGACUUUGUUGGCCAACAGGUUUAAAAUUCCAGGGACUAUGUGUCCCCACCCAUCUACAGUCUACCCUCCAACCUGCUUAAAUAUCCUGCUAACUAGAAACUCCGUUAUCUUUCACUCCAUCUUAAAUUCCAUUUUUCGAGAGAACCUAUCAUUCAAAAAGAUGAUUCAUCAGAUUUCUGACUACUCUAUGAAGUUUAUAAUAUCCUUCUUCAGAAGAUACACAACUCAAAAGGGCCAUAACAUGAAAUCUGACAUAUGCAAUACCUUAAAGGCUUUCCUGUUAGCAGAGGAAUCUUCAUUAAAAUUCAUUCAUAUCUAUAAGAUCUACAGUCACUGGAAGCACCAGGACAAUUGCUGGAGUCUGUCCCAUAGAAAGGAUGGAACACAUUUAUUUUGAUGAUCUAUUAUUGCUUACCAGAUACAAAUCUGUUAACUGGUGUUUCCAUCUCAAGAAGCUUUAUAAGCACUGGAGUAUGUUAACUGUUAAGGGGAUAAUACAUUCUAUUUAACUUAAUGAAAACAACUCAAUAGUCCAAAAUCCAGAAUGCCCCUUCCAUUUGGAGCAAACUUUUCUAUCUACUGUGAAAGGAUCCUGAUUUCGAUGAUUUUGGAAGUAUGAGAAAUAACCACAGCCAGCAUGCCACAUUGGGUACUAGCUUUUAUUUCACAAUCAGACAAACCAGCAAACUAGACAUUCUGGUUCUCCUCUAACUGGAGCAGUUCUGCUGUGCAAAGAAACAACUUCUUAGAGUAGCAAUCACUUGCUUCAAGUCAACAAAUGACAAGAUUAUCAAUGAUGCACACAAAUCUUAAUAGAAAGUAAAAAAUCAAGACCAAUUUGUACUAGCACGUAAAAGUAACCUACUCAAGAUAUAAUUUUUCACAGAGUCAUCACAUUUCUGCUGAAGUGUACACCCAUCACCACAGAUCAACACCCUUGCUCAAGGACUGGUUUCAAAUCUACCACUUUCCAUUCUUAACUCAAAACUCGGGCGUAUGCUCAUCAUGAGUCACAGCCUAAUACUUCUCUUUAAUCGGAAUCCACACAUUUUAAAAACCUUUUCUUCAAUCUAAUUCCACUUACCAAUUCAGAUGAAUUGUCAAAUUCCACCUACCUUAAUCAAAUAAACUGAAAAGAAAAACAACAAGAAGCUCGAUUCUUAAUCAGCUCAACUCAACCAUAGCACACAAAUUCAGCUAACAUUUUUAGGGUUUACCAAGAACCACAAUCAGCUAUCACCCACAUAACCCAAAAAAAGAAAAGGAACAAACUUUUUCACAAACAACAAAAAUUAACACAUACCCAGAUCAAAUCAAGCCAAAAUAAACACACCCAAAUGAAUUUUCUUCUCACAAACUUAAAAAAAAAAACUCGAUUCAUACCUUCGCUUCUUAUUUCCUACGCCGACUUGGUACAUACCCCAUGAGAAAACACCAAAAGCAGUAAGGAAAAUAGCCAUAGCACUUGGACCAGUGUUAGGGAUCCGGCGAGCGAAUCGAACCGGUGCAAAACCGCCUGGUGGUGGACCAUCUUGCAAUAAGGGCAUGUCUUUCACGCUAGCCAUUCCGGCUUUCUUCCUUAUCAUUGCCUCCGUCAUUUUUCCUACAGUGUGAUUUUCCCUCUGUGCCGGAACACUGUAAUUUUGAGCUGCUUUACAGGGCUACAGUGAUGGCGAUUCAAUGGAGAAGAAAACUGCGAUUUGGAAAAAAGUUGAGAAGAAGAAGAAGAGAUGAUGGUAAUGUCGGGUCGGGUCGGGUCGGGUCAGUAUACUAACCAGUGGAAAUUUGACACGUUAGCUUGACCCUGCGGGUGAUAUUGUGAAUUCUCACUGUCCAGUGAUCCUAAUAAUUAUGCUUAUUUUUUAAAGUAAUUAAUUAUUAUUAAUGUUAAAAAUACACCUAAUAUUAUUAUUAAUUGCGAGUUUCAUAUUUAACUAAUAAUUUUUUAUUUAUUUAACUUGAUUUAUUAUUAUUUAUAUUUCAUAUUUAAUUAUUAAUUUUUUAUUAUUUAACUUGAUUUAUUAUUAUGUAUAUAUUAAGAAAAUAAUUGAUAGUGAAAUGAAAUAGAGGCAAGAAUGAAUUAUCAAUGUUAAAGAUAAAAGGUUUGAGGUCUUGAAAUGUCAUAUUAAAUUACAUAUAAUCUUUAUAGUCUGAAACUAUUAAGUAUGUGCUUCAUUAAGACACAUUUUAACUUUAUUUAAAUAUUUAAAUAUAAUAAAUAUAUAUAAUUUGAUAUUUAUAUUGAGUGCGAAUAAUUUUUCACCUUAUUAAAGUACGUGAUAAUUUAAGUGUUUCAUUAGUUUAAGACUUUGUGAGGAGUGAAAAAUUGUUCAAUUAGUGAAUACGUAUAUUUUAUUAUCGAGGUAUUACAAUAUUAAUAAUUAUAUAUCAAGUGAAAUUCAACCAUUGAGAUUUAGGUGAAAAAAAUAUUUUUAAAAACCCUUUAGGUUAUGUAACACAUAACAAAUGCAAUAAAUAAUAUACAGAAGUAAAGAAGACAUAACGAAUACCAUAAAAAUAUUACAUAAUAUUCAAAAAAAGGAAUAAUAACAAUACUAAAAUAAUGUAAUAGCCAAUAAGUAGUAAGAAAUAAUAGAUAGUAACUACGAAUAUAUUGCGAAUAAUCUCAAUAUUGACAGUAAACAAAGUUAGAUAAAAUCAGAUCAAAAAAUAUAUAAAGAUGUCUCAAACAAAGAUGAUACAACUUAUUUGACUGCAAGUUGAAUAAAUUACAACCUUAUUUAGAUUAUUAUUUCGGUGGUUGACCCAGAAAAUGCUAUAAUAAUUCUGAAAAACUAACAAUCAAAUCGUAAAUAAAUAUAUUUAAAUAAAAGGGAGCAACUUACUAUGAUGAAAACGUCAACAUUUGCCUAGUUUUUUUUUCUUCUAAUGUUGCAAUUUAUGUUUUCUUUUUUCUUCUUUUACUUUUUAUUAUAAAUUACCAACUUUUUAUGUGAACUAUUUAUUUUUAUUUUAAUUAAUUAUUAUCUUGAAUAUAUGAUUACAGUAAACCCUCUUCCAUAAAACCCUAAAACCCUAGAAGGUGCUUCUUGGGAUCUUCUAGGCCCUUCUUCACUAAAUUAAAUACCUUUGAAGCUUCUUCUUCAUCCCCACUUCUCUCUUUGUACUUCAAAAUCCCUUUCCACUUUCACUUUCAGCAGCAUUUCUCAGCUUCAAAAUGUAUCGUUUUGCAGCAAAUCUUGCUUCUAAAGCCAGGUAUUUUUCAUAUUAUGUGACUUGCUUUUUUUUUUUUUUUUGGUGUUUUAUGUGUUGGAAGAGUGAAAGAUUUGAUUUUGACAAAUACCCAUUUAUUUGUUUGUACAGUGUUGCAAGAACCAGUUCCCAAAAGGUGUGUUUUGUAUGUUUGUUUUUUUAUGUAUAGAUUAAAGAUGUGGUAUGUUUUGGAUUGUUGUUUUAAAUGGGGUUGUUGUAGAUUGGUGGGAGGUUGAAUUGGAGUAGAAACUAUGCUGCAAAGGAUAUCAGAUUUGGAGUUGAAGCUAGAGCUUUGAUGCUUCAAGGUGUUGAGCAGCUUGCUGAUGCUGUUAAAGUCACUAUGGGUCCAAAGGUGAAAUGCUUUAUCAACCCCAUUUGUGGAUAUACUCUGUUUGCUCUGUUGAAUUGUAUGUGGCAUUAUUGCUAUUUGGGGUUGUGUAGUUUGUUUCGUAUGUUGUUCUUAUAGAUAAAUAUGGUUAGUUAUAACUUGUUACCUAGCAUUUUUGUUGAAGGCGCCCUUGAAGCCCAUGAGUGAGGCUCAAAACACAUUGAGCACUUCUCGUUGGAUAAUGUGUGCUUUAAUGUCGUCGUCCAUACUCAUUAAGAUUUUUUUCGUUAGCAAGCUGUAUUUUUUGUGCAUUUUGCUUUUGAUAAUAUUUUUACCUUGUUUCCAAAUAUGUGAAGUCAAUUGUGUGUUGUCCAAAAAUUCAAUUGUUUGAACCUUGGAGGGGUUACUUGUUACUCAAGAUUGUAGCAGAAUUCAUUACCCAUGGAAAAAAAACAAAAGAUAGUAGUGAAACUCAUGCUACGAAUCUGAAUUUUGGUGAAAGAAUCUUGUUUUUAGCAAAUUAUAGACAUCUAUUUUCCUAUUCGUGUACAUUGAAUAUUAUGUUGAUCUGAUGGGGCUUUUCUCUUUCAUUUGACUUGUUCAUUUGUUGGAUCUAAUGGUUCAAGUUCAUACAAAAAUUGCAAAAUUAUCGCAUACGCACAUGCUUAAUCUUUUGGAAAUUGAUAACAUGAAUUCAGUUAUGUAGACAUGUAAAUGGGUUCCAUCAAACAUUAAAUUAUUGCCAUUUUCAGAUGCUCACAUGCUUCUUAUUGUGUUCUGGGAAGUACUCGUUAGGAUUUGGGGCAUAUGCAACUUAAAUGACAUUUAGAGGAACUCCUCUGUUUUGGUCCCUACUAAGAAGAAUUUGUUGUCCCAGCUGAAAAUUAUGUCUAACUGUCUAUAAGCUUCUUUCUCUGGUUGGCCAAACUUCCUACAUUUUGGGACAACUCGUUCUGUUGAAGCAAAAGUGAAAUAGUUGCUUUUUUUCCUCAUUGCUCCUUGCUUCUGCUGUUUGAGCUUGGAGAACACUAAGGCAGCAAUACUUUCUCUGCCGACAUACUUGUUGGAGAUGAGAAUUAUUAUUCAUUACGUUUGUCUCCUAUGUUCUGGUGGUAACAGAUUCAUCAUCAACGGUGACAAAUGAUACUAGAUGCCUAUUUUGUAGGGGCGUAAUGUGGUGAUUGAACAAAGUUGGGGUGCACCCAAAGUGACAAAAGAUGGCGUGACUGUUGCAAAAAGUAUUGAAUUCAAGGACAAGAUACAAAAUGUUGGUGCUAGCCUUGUAAAACAAGUCGCCAAUGCAACAAAUGAUGUUGCUGGUGAUGGUAAGUCUUUAGGCGUCCAGUAUUGCCUCCAGUGCUGGAGUUUGAUGUCUCUUUCUUUGUUGGACUGAAUUUAUGAAUUUCCAGCCUAAUAUAAUUGGUGAUUCUGUCUCUUCUCUAUUUUUUCAGGUACCACUUGUGCAACAGUUCUCACCCGAGCAAUAUUUGCUGAAGGAUGCAAGUCAGUGGCAGCUGGUAUGAAUGCAAUGGACCUUAGACGGGGUAUUACCAUGGCUGUAGAUUCUGUUGUGACAAACCUGAAAAGCAGAGCACGGAUGAUCAGUACAUCUGAGGAAAUUGCACAGGUAUCUUUGCAAGUUUUUGAACUUGCACAUUAAAAAUACUGCUUUUCUGGUACAUACAAUUCUCUAUCUUUUGCAGGCAACCUCCUCCCUCCCUAGAAGCCUCUAAGCCUGACCCCUCCCAACCUAACGCCAAAAAAAAAAGAGAAAGAAAAGAAAAUAAACAGUGAAAAGGAACUCAUAGGGAAGCAGUACUACUAGUAGAAGGAGAAAAAGGCAGAAGUAAAAGAUUUCCCGUGAAAGUAGAUUUAAUAAUGCACUGAAGAGUUCUGUGUAACUUCUUCUUUGCUUAAGUGAUACUCUUCUUCUUCCCAUAAGAUUUUGAUAUUGUAACUAUUGAUAGGUUGGGACUAUCUCUGCAAACGGAGAAAGAGUAAUUGGCGACCUCAUUGCAAGGGCAAUGGAGAAAGUAGGCAAGGAGGGAGUCAUCACUAUUCAAGUAAGUAAUCGUAUUGUCUAUCUAUUUAUGCAUUCUCUGUAUGCAUCUUUUGGUCACUGUGGUCCUUACUUAUCUCUGUGAGCUUCAAAAUGAAGCUUCUGAUUUCAAUAUGCUCUUGGGAUGUGGGUGGAGCUGGAGUAGAAGAUAUAUUUGCCGAGUUUAACUAAUUGAUACCUGAUGAAUAUUAGUGUUAUAUGGGAGAAUUUGGGCUAGAAAUCAAGCAUAUAGGAUUUUGAUAAGUUAUUUGUUGCCCAGUUAUGAGAAACAUCUUUUCAUAGUCCAAUUUGUAUCUAUUUGUUAUACACUUCGGCUAAUUUGUGGGAGACUUGUUACUUUAAUGAUGUGUAGCUAACUCAUUUCUACUAUCACACAGGACGGGAAGACAUUGCUCAAUGAGUUGGAUGUUGUUGAAGGGAUGAAGUUGGAUAGAGGUUACAUAUCACCAUACUUCAUCACAAAUCAGAAGAAUCAGAAAUGUGUAUGUUUUUGGCUUGCUAAUCUUAGUUAAGCUCACAUGAGUUUGCUCGCUGUGCCAACAUUCUUUACAUAUUUUGCACCAUUCUCUUGUUUAAAAUUCACUAUUCUCCUGAUGUCUGGCAGGAACUGGAUAACCCACUAAUUCUGAUUCAUGAGAAAAAGAUCUCAAGCAUUAAUGCUGUUGUGAAAGCAUUGGAGUUAGCUCUGAAGGUGAUCCUCUUACUGAGAUUAUCAGUUUGGUGUCUAUGAGAUUGAUCAUGUUGCUGUCUAUCUUACUCUUGCAGUCUUAUUUCAUCUAUGCAGAGACAAAGGCCCCUCUUAAUUGUGGCUGAAGAUGUGGACAAUGAAGCACUCGCCACUCUUAUUUUGAACAAACUCCGUGCUGGAAUCAAGGUAUACUGAUGAGUGAUCGGUAUUUCCUGUUCUGUGGUUCGACUUUUCCUCAGUCUGGUGAUUAUGUAUUGUCUGUAAAUGUCUACAGGUUUGUGCCAUCAAAGCACCAGGCUUUGGUGAAAACAGGAAAGCUUAUUUGCAAGAUCUUGCUAUUUUAACUGGAGGCCAAGUGAGAACUGUUGAACUGUGCUAAUGUAUGAGAUAGUUGAUAUUUGUCUUAAUGAUACCUAACCAACGUGUAUUACUGCUUGUUUGGUAGGUCAUAACAGAAGAGCUUGGACUGAACAUUGAAAAUUUGGAGUUCGAGAUGCUGGGAACAAGUAAAGAGGUAUUUUUGCUGCGUGAUUUGGCUGUAGUUGUUUCUUUUACUAUGUAUGUUUUCUUUUGAAUAUAUAUAAGUGCAUGAAAAAUUGUGCAUAAUGUGAUACAUGUUUGGUAUUUCUAGUGAGUUAUACGCUGGGUAGGGGGGGUCGACUUUAUAUAUGUGUCUCCUACUGUUUUACUCAUGCUUUCCUUUCCCUAGGCAACUAUCUCUAAGGAUGAUACUGUCAUUCUUGAUGGUGCUGGUGAGAAGAAGUCCAUCGAGGAACGAUGCGAACUGGUUCGUUUUGCUUACUUUUUCACCAAUAUCAGUAAAAGCACUGUACUUCUGCAUGAGGUUGAGCAUAUACUCGUGCUCUUUGUAUUUGCAGAUUAGAUCAACCAUUGAACAGAGCACAUCUGACUAUGACAAGGAGAAGUUGCAGGAAAGACUAGCUAAGCUUUCAGGGGGUGUUGCUGUGUUAAAGGUAUGCCUCUGUUAGCAACCUGUGUAAAUUAAGUUUCUAAAGAAGAAUUCAAACUUUUUUAUUAGAGGGAAAUAGUUGCAACUGUUAAUUCAGACUCGUUAUUAUAACAUGCCAUCACAGAAUGUGUAUUAAUUUUCAGAUUGGAGGAGCCAGUGAAGCUGAGGUUGGUGAAAAGAAAGAUAGAGUAACUGAUGCUUUGAACGCCACAAAGGCUGCAGUGGAGGAAGGAAUUGUUCCAGGUUUAAUACAUGUCCGUGAGUUUGUAGCAAAAUGGGAAGAUCCAAUAGUCCGAGAUUAUUGAUCCUCUUUUGUCUUGCAGGUGGUGGUGUUGCUCUUCUUUAUGCAGCAAGAGAAUUGGAUAAUUUGACAACAGCCAACUUUGACCAGAAGAUUGGUGUACAAAUUAUUCAGAAUGCUCUGAAGGUUUGCUAUGCUCCCUUCUAACCCUGCUAAUUAGCUUCUUAGUAAUAAAGUAGUUUCACUCCGAGUACUAUCUUGUGUUGUGAAUGACUUGUGACUUGGUUGAACUUUGUGUUUGCAGACGCCAGUACAUACAAUAGCCUCUAACGCAGGAGUAGAGGGUGCUGUCGUGGUUGGCAAAUUGUUGGAUCAGGACAACCUUGAUCUUGGAUAUGAUGCGGCCAAGGGUGAAUAUGUAGAUAUGAUAAAGGCAGGAAUCAUCGAUCCAGUGAAAGUGAUCAGGACAGCUUUGGUCGAUGCUGCCAGGUUAGCAUAUAACCCCCUUCCUAUUUUCUUGUUCUUCCAUCGUUAAGACUUGAGACAUUGGCCUCACAUUCUUGCCAACGUAACGCCCCUUGUGUUCUAUGCAGUGUCUCGUCUCUUUUGACCACAACUGAAGCAGUUGUUGUCGAGCUUCCUAAGGACGAGAAGGAAUCUCCUGCAAUGGGUGGCGGUAUGGGUGGUGGUAUGGGUGGCAUGGACUUCUGAUUGAAAAGCCAAAAACAGUAAUUGCAGCUGCUUGACACAUUUGGUUUAUAGAACAAAGCAAAAAAAUAAAUUUAGAUUUAUUUCCUAUUUUGAUGAAUCUUUUUACGAUAGAAAACGCGCCUAUUGUAUCAAUAGCAAGAGAGACAAGACCAUUGUGAAUUCAUGUUUUUGUAGGUUCAAAAUUUGUAGUCUUCAUUUGAAUACGCAGCUUAAAUAUAGGUCCAUUUCAGUGUUCCUUUCUGGUUUUACUAUUAUAUUGAGGUGUGAUGAAUUCAUUUAUACUUGUUCUACUGUUCUUUUUUCGAAACUUUUUGACUAUGGAGAUUGAAUCUCUCCAAGCAACGUUUUUCAGUAGCAAGCUAUGGUUAAACUUUUUCCGCAGUUGAAAUCGACAAAUGAAACAAUUAGACUCAAUAGGUGCACCCCUGACCAAAAUUUAGGAGCAUCAGAUUAAGGUGUCCAAAUACAAGAGUGGUUGAUUAUAAAUUGGACCCUAUUAUUGUUGAAGAAUUCUGAAUAUUCCUAAUAUAUUGUAUAUGAACAUUUUUGAACGAUAGCUUAAGAAAACUUCUGGCUCGUGGAAUUAGGGGUGAUAAUGGUACGAUUUGAUCGGUUAAUUUUUUCAAUUUUAAUUUUUUGUUUUAUGGUAUAUAACUUUUUAAAAUCAUUUCAAUCAUAUCGGUUUCUCUUCGGUAUUGGUAUGGUUUGAUUAGUUUUCCAUUAUUUUUUACCGUUUAUGUAUCACCUCAAGAUAUACUAGUGUUAAUGCACUUUAAUUCAUUACAAAAUAAACGAGAAUGUAAAACCUUGUUGCCGUAGUAUUGUUUGAUCUUAAAUAUUUCAUAGAAGUGCUUGGAUAUGAUUUGUUGUAUUGUUUGAUAUAGUAUCUAUUGCAGUAUCUUUUCAUUAUAAAGCUAAUUAAGUAAAAAUUAAUUAAAGAAUAAACACCCAAAAUCAUUUAGCCACCAGAAGCCUAGGAUUUAAGUUAUUUUUAUAUUUGAGAAAUGUAAUAAUAUACUUUUUAUAUAUUACUUUUAUAUAAAAGUCCGCGAUUUUAUUGAAAAAUAGUAUAAGUUGGUUUCGAUUCAAUUUGAUCGAUUUUUCAUAUUCUUUUGACACCCCUAAUUAGAACGAUAUGACCAAAGUAAAAUUUUAAACAAUUUUGAGAUCUAAUAAAAUGUAAGUUACCAAUUUUCACAUUAUUCAUAUGGGAAUAUUCUAAGAAUUUAAAUGUAAUUAUAUUUAUUCUUGUUUUCCCAAUACAUAUAUAUGAAGUAUAAUUAGAAUAUUCUCUUUUAGUUACUGCAACUUAUUCAAUGAAUUUCCAUAUUUGGCUUUUAAUGAUAUUUUAUGUAAAAAUAUUUUUACAGUAUAAAAACCAUCUAAUAUAAUAGUUAAAGCCAAACACAAGAAAAUUUGAACUUUCUAAAAUGACUUGUUCACAAAUCAAACCUAUUUUCUUGCUAUGUAUUUUAUUUUUUUGCUUUGCACAAGCAAAAGGGAGUAUUUUUGAUAGGCCAAAAUAUAAUGUUUAUGUAUGGAAUGCCCUACCAAAUAAUUCCCCUAUACUGAGGGUUCAUUGCGCAUCUAAAGACGAUGAUAUAGGGUUUCAUAAUAUUGCUCCAACAACUAAUAUCAAUUGGUCAUUUCAUGCUAGUAAAUUGUUGAAAACUAUGUUCUUUUGUCAUUUCUGGUGGAAAUCUAACGAUAAAUCUUUUGAGAUAUUCAAUGAUCUCGAUACGUGUGUUAAGGAUUCAAAUAUUACAGCUCGUGCAACUGUUUGUCAGUGGACUGUGAAGGAAGAUGGUUUUUAUUUGACUGAUGGUCAAAAUGUAGGUUAUAAAUAUGGUGAUUGGUGAAAAAAAAUAGUUUAUUUGUUUUAAUAUGUAAUAGUUUAUAUUGUUAGAAAUAAAAGUAAUUUUUUUUUAUUGUCAUUGAUUUCUCAAUAUAUUGAAUUAUUAAUUGGUGUGUUUGAAAUGAUUCUAAUCCUUUUCUAGGUUAAUGUUUAACAAUAUUUUCUUAGGUUUUUGAUCUUUACAUUGAGGUAGAAUCAAUCAAGACAGAACGCUAGUUCCAUUUCGUAGAAAAGUAUUACCUUAAUUCGACGUGGUAAAAUAUUUCAUAUUUCAAUAUCUAUUGAUUUCGGCAUUUCUAUGAUUUAAAGAAUUCACCAGUUAUACGACAAUUAGCACAAACGUAAGUAAAUGAUAGCAAACACUAUAAAAACCUCCUAAAAAAUGUGAAGAAUAACUUGUAAACUUAUUGAAUACAUUAACUCAUUUUUGUAUAUGAAUAUUUAUAAUAUUUGAAGUAUAAUUUUUUGGGGGGAAUUUUUGCAUAUAACCAUUCAAAAAUAACUUAAUUAUGCUCCAUUGCUAUAGUUAUUGAAUUAUGAUUCGUAGCUACAUGUUAGCGGGAUGAGAGGGGCGAGCGAGAGUAGACAAAAAGGUGAAUUGUAUAUGUAUAUCCGUCAAAUAAUUGUAUAUAUGUAACUGAUAUAUAUGUAUAUUUGUAUAUCUGACAAGCGAGAUUGGGAGAGAGACGAGCGACAGAUCAAGGGCAGAGAGUGGCGAGAGAUGAACUGCAUAUGCAUAUUUGUGAGAUAAUUAUGUUACUUGUAUAACUGGUUUGGAAUGUUAAUGAACUGAGUUGGUUGGCUAUCUGAACUUUAGGGAGUGUGAUUUCCACCUCGUAAUCUAUGACUUUUAAGAAAUAUAGUUGAAUUCUAGGUGGAACCGUAGUAGCUUAGUUGGUUGACUACCUGGUCUUUUUUGGGUUUGAUUGCGCACCUUGUAAUCCCCUCCAUGAGAUAGGAAUAAGGUAUACACUCUCCAGACAGCACUUGUGAGAUUUCACGAGUAUUUGUUGAUGUUGUUGUAUUGCCUUUUUUUGGAAUAUUGUGUCAUCAAGAACUCCUAAAAAAUUAAGUAGGUGUUACAAAAGUAUGACUAAACUAAUUAAAGAUACCGAGGACAAAGAUACAUUGAUAAGAAUUUGAACGGAACUAUUGUAUUACAUAAGUUAACAACACCCUAUAGAAUCUCGCAUGCGGAAUUUGAAGAGGGUAGAGUACACACAGACCAUACCUCCACCUCGUGGAAGAAAAGGAGAAUGUUUCUGAAGGAUCCCAUGCUCGAGUAAGUAAUUUCGAGUAGUUGAAUGAUCAUUUCAGUAAUGGACUCCAAAAAGGUUUUACCAGAAGAGUCAAAACAAUAUACAUAAGCAUUGUCAAGAAAACAGCCAACAUAGAACAAAAUUACAGUCGCAUACAGUAACAAAAUAAUUUUAUCCAUCAGUAUACUGGGUGAUCUCUUCCUAUUUCUAUCACUUCCCUUUCCGCUUCUUUUGCGUUCCUGCACAAUCUGCGCAAAACCAUUUCCCCUUGGGCUGUUCUUUGAGGCCAACGCAGCCGUAGUGGAACCACUCUAUUUUGCACUGUUGAAGGGAAUAGUAAAUUUUAGCAAUUGUUCAAUGUACUAAAGUUUUAAGGAGAUGAUUGGUAAGACUGAGCUGAGUACGUACAUUAGGAUUGUCGCAAGCAACCAUUUCACCAUAGCUAACUUGAUUGCAGAAACAGUAUGUUGGUUCGUUUGGAUCAACAGGCAGAUCCAAAUCCAUUCCACUUGGUGUUGCUGCAGUGGCUGUAGCUGCAGCUGCUGUAGCAAGACGUGUUCUGCAGAACAAAUUAUUCUCUUCACAACAAGUUCAAUAUAAUACCACGUAAGGACAGAUAUAUACAUUCACACAAGCGUUCAUCAGUUGGGCCACAGAAACCGACAGAUAACAACUAUUCCCCCAAGUGGCUUCCCUUGGCCACAGAAGCCGACAGAAUGGCGAAAAAAAACGUUGGGACUUGGAAAACUAACACCACUAGAAAAUUAAGCUGGUUCAGUUUCCAAGGGAAGCCACUUCUUACCAAACUCAUGGAUCAAGCAAGUUGUUCUGCUUACACUUGAUGAAACUUUUUGUGGGUCAUAAAGGAAAAGGAUAAAAUGUUUGUUCAGAAAUUACAGGGCGACUACAUUGCCGAUAAAGAAUAGCAACCUAGGGUAAAAUAUUUGGGGGCAAACGUACAAGGCAAAGCAACAUGAUAUACCUUAUUAUUUAUGUAAAUCUUCAGGCGAGUAAGAAGACGAACAUUUUUUGGUGCCGUGGGAAUUCAAACUAGUAAAUAUGAAAAAUCCAAUUCCUCCCUUACAAAGGGAAACUUUCCUAAAUACCCAAAACUCCAAAUUGUAUCAGUACCAUUUAGAACCUUACAUACUUUUAAUACAUAAACAUAACUUCAAUAGCCUGUUGAAUUUCAUAUUAGCUUGAAUAGGCCGCUAAAGAGUAACUGGAAAAAGUGAUCAAACAAUGGCGAAAAAUUCAAUGUUCAAGGGAGAUUAACAUCCAAAAUCUUGUAAGAGGAAAAAACAAGAGAAGAAAACUCUCGGCACAAUUGAAAAUAAAACUCAAACAAGGGCCUCAGUGCACAAACUCUAUUACCAUGAAGAAAGAAGAGAAGAUCUCUAAGACAAUGAGCAGAAUUCAAUGUUUAAAGAAGGAACUAAAUACUCGUACACUUGCACAAUUAAUAAAAUAUGUAAAGGAGUUUGGAGGAAUAUUUUUACUUGAAAAUUGUUGGAGGAAUAGAUGGAAUAGUGGUCUAGAGAGAUGGUGCCACCAAGGGUGGAUGCAACAUGUUGGGUGCAGGUUUCUGGGAACCAGUAGCUUUUGCUGAAAUCCUACACAUGUCUUAAAAUAUUCCCUAACUAUUUAUACUUUUUGUGAACUAGUAUUAUCGUGUAUCAGAAGUCGUCGAAAGAACCCAUAAAAUUCAACUCCUGGACCCACCUCUGCCUCUAGGUGCCACCAAAAGGAUAACCAAAAAAGACACAUAAUAGUCAUAGGAAAAAGAAAAGGAAUAUCAAACUUAUACAAAGAAGAAGCAGCUUUGGCAAAGUAGACAUCAGAAGCAGGCCAACAGUAGGCCGGUGUUACACUGGUCUUUACUGACGUCAUAGAAGCCCUGAUACCAUAUAAAAAAAAUGGAACUUGUCUAGAAUAGGUUGGUGAAUAACACAACUAAAAGCUCCCUAUAAGAAAAAAUUUAACUGAAAAAAAUAAGGAAAGGUGCGGCUAAAGCAAGUUUCCUACGAAAAGACCAUUCAGUGAUUACUAUGAUGGCUUUAUAUUCAGGAAAAAAAUAUAGCACUUACUUUUUACGCCCUCCCUUACCCUCACCAGACCUUCCAGAUUUGACAUUAUUUUCAACAGUGGUAGCAGGAGCUCCAGUAACAACAGCAGUAUCCCGUUCUGCAUAAAAGAGAAAGUUGUUCUACAGUCAGAGAAUGCAUAAGUUAUGCCACUGUUCUUGGUGAAAAGAUGAGGAAGCUGAUACAGACAUACCUCUCCGGAGAUCUUCGUCAAACUUUUUCAAGUACUGAUCAAGCUGCUGAAUAUGAGCAUCUACCUGUUGCAAGAAUUUUCUCACUGAUUGCCAUAAAGAGUAGAUUAAUGAUCCAAUAAUAAACAAAACCUACUACCCUUACCAAACCUCAAUUUCAAACCACACAAUUAUUACUUAUCUGAGAAGGAAUAAAAACAAAAGUAUAUACCAGUGAAGCAAUGUGUACAACCAAUCAUUUACUCCUCCUCAUUGUAUCAGUUUGUAUUUAUGCAUGAUAUUCAUUCAGUUAACACCUGGCAGAUCUCGUCUAAGUGCAUCUUGGAGCAUAUUUUCAAGGAAGUUCACACCUAAAAUUUAGUUUAAUAAGGGAUUCAGCAACCAAAACUAAGUUCAUGUCUGGGUUGCUCAAAUAAAAAUCUUACAGAAGCUCCUUAGUUAGUGGCCUUUAGGAAUUUAUACAACUUUUCGGGACAUGAUUUUAUGAUCACAAUUCACAAUCAUGAUCAUUUUUGUGUCCUUGAAAUAAAAUUGGAAAACUUACCUAUCCACCAUAUAUUCAAACAGGAACUUGGUAAUAAUUGUCAUUCAAAACCAGCCUCUAAGUAAUGCCGUAAGUUUUCUCUUCUGUAAUUCAGGAACAAAGGGAAUUUAGACAAAUACUUUCUUCUAAAGGUCAAGGAUUAACACUCUUCUUCAAAGAUUAACUCAUAAACAUUUCUAUAUUCUAUCCCAUUCAAGUAUCAAGUGAAUAAGACUAAGUAACUUCACGACGAUCAUCAUAAUCCAACUUACAAAGAAAGCUAAAAUAAGGAGUCUGAACAACUAAGCUUAUAGCAAAUGCACCUAGAAUAGAUUGAAGUGAAGGAACUGUGAACAUUGAACGAAACAGUUUGCUUGAUGUAGAAAGAAGAUGCAGUUUCCAAAAUCCCUACCAGAUCAUAUGCCUGAGAAGCUAGUGCAACUUUUUCAUCAGCAAUCCUGAUUGCAUGCUUUUGCUCAUCCAAUGCAUCGUCAGAGAAUUUGAUUAGUGAAGAGUCUGGUGUCACAUUACCAGCCUUAAUACGCUGUAUCAUAUCCUCUAUUUCUUUGUCACAACGUUGUUCAUUUUGGGUCUGGACUCCUGUUCAGAAAAAAAAGCACUUAUUUGGUAAUAAUGCCACAAACUAAGAAACGAAGAAACAGCAUACACAUUAAACCUGAUGUGCUUGUGUCGAGCUACAAACACAGCAAUAAUAAAUGCUAUUGAGAAUCUUAGAAAAUUACCCUAUCUUCUUUUAGCCAAUCAGGAGUAUAUUUAUCAACAUCGUUUUUUGCAUUCUAAAAAAAAAACAAAGGAGCCAGUGGCAACCAGAAGACCAAAGCAUUACUGUUCUGUUUCAGCAAUUUAAUGAGGAUAUACCAGUGAAUCUUCUACAGUUCCACUAAGCUAAUUGCAUUAGUAGACAUUUCAUUAGAUAUAAUGCAAUGGGACUCAAAAUACAUAACAUUUCCACACUCAGAAAAUUAUCAAUCGACUCAACAAUGUACAAAUGUUCUUAAUAAGCACAUCAAAAUGGAAAGUCAGAAAGAAACUAACUCGCUAAGAGAACAUUAUUAGUCCAAUAAUAUAUAAAGUUUGAACUAUUAAGUAAUACCUUGCAGACUUUUAUCCAAAUCACGCAGCAACGCAUACUUCCUCCGCAAAUGGUUCGGAAGAGCUUCGAUAUCUGAGAUAAUAUCAUCAACAUAGCAACUUGUUAAAAAUCAAACCAUGAUUGCACAGAGGAAUAACUAAUUCCUAUAUAAUUAAUCACACAUCACUCUUACACAGACAAUACUAAAAAUCACACUCGAAUACUAAAAAUCACUCUCGAGUGUUCCACGUCACUUAGGCAGCGCUUCAAUUCAGGGACCAGAACAAUAAAAACCGUGCAUCUUAUCGCUAAUCGUUUCUACCAUGAACUCAUCACUAAACAAUAACUAUUUCACUUAAUCACUAAAAUCGACUUAAUCUAAUCCAAUUUAGCUCGAAAAAAUUAGUCAUAUUGACCAAAAGCUACACACAAAUUCUCAUUGGCUAUUCAUUUAAGUCUUCGGGUAGCACCACUAGAUCUUCAACAAGGUGGAAAUUCUCGUAUUCCAGCUCGGAUGAGUAUAUUUAUUUAUAUCAUUAUAGCUAUAAACACUUGUUUCUUUUUUUUUCUAUUAACAAAAAAUCCCCUUUUUCCUCGCGAAGCGAAACAUGACAACUAUUUUAACACAUAUAAAGUACACAGCAUCCUUAGAAUUGUACUGAAUUUAUUUUUUCUCAAUUUCAGGCUUAUGAAUUCGAAACAAAAAUUCAAUCUUUACAUGAAUCUAUAGAACAGAAACUGAAACGGAUUCAAAAAAAUUCAAAAAAAAAUAAAAAUUGAAACUUACUGGCUUGAAAUUCUUCGAUGAAUGACAUUUUUCUGAGAAUUUUAAACAGCUAACGAUGAAUUAUUGAUUUUGAGUUUGAAGCCCUAAUAUGGGCUUCGAUUAGAAUUAGCUCAACAUAUUUUUACUUUUUAAAAGUUUCUGAAAUUUGUAAAAAUCAAUCUUAUAUAGAGUUUCUUAAACGGGCUCGGGGCGGAUUCGGAGCGGGUGGGUUUUCGCGGGGCGGGUUGAUCCUCUUGCGGAUAGGUGCAAGGCAGAGCGAGUUAAAGUAAAAUUCUUUUAAAAAUCUCACGUAGAACGGGGUGAAUUACGGAUUUCAUAAAUCUAUUUUAAGUAUAUUAUUAAGAUAUUGUUUUGCUGUCACUGUAUUUAUAAGAGAAAUAUAUAUGAAUCAUACUAAAUACAUGUAUCUAGGAUAUCGGAUACAACAAAAGAGCCGAAUGAAAGAGAAGGGAUGCGAGCGAAAAGUCAUAUAUACGUGUGAAUCCAUUAGGAUAUAAUAUAUUUAAAACAAAUUAUACUUAAUUUUGACCUCAUGUAUAUAAAGUCCAAAAUUUUGUAACAUUUGCAAAUAUUGCUAACUGGCAUGAAUCUAAUUAAUUAGCUCGUAAAAUAGUAGGAAAUUUAUAAAUUUCUUUUUUCUUUUUUUUUUGAAUUUUUUUAAAGAAAAUAUUGUUACCUAAUUUAUAUCGUAAACAUAUAGCCUAAAAUAAGUUAUAAAAAUUUAGCCCAAAAUUCAAUCAAAUAUACAAAAUUUGCUAAUACAAUAUUAUACACCUAAUAUACAUUAUUAUACACUUUUACAAAUAAAAACUUAUUUCGUUUGUUUCCUUGAAUCGAAGCACUAGAUUCGUCCAAAACACAUCAAAAACUACAUGAAAUCACUCAAAAAUUGAGAAUCAUGAUCCUCAACACGUACUGAUUUUUCAAAACAACAAUCCCUCAAAACUUAGCUUAUUUCCGGAAAAAUCGAAAUUCCAAAUUUCAAAGUUUUAAACUUCAACAUGGUUGAAUAUCAAUUCUCUGAUAACUAUCGCAAAAAAAAAUGAUUUUAUAUCUUUUGUGCACAUAUGAACUUCUUAUGACAGGACGAGAAGGAGUUGCUCGGAUACUAAGCAUCCCCACUGAACUUUAAAAUAUAUAUAGUUACAAAAUCUUCAUAAACAUAAUUUAACUUUAUUUCAUAAAAAAAAAAUCAAGUCGAUGAAUAACUGGUCAAUAUUCAUAUACAAAUAUCUCUUAUUAGUUAAAAAACGGAAAAACUAAAUUAGUCGAAAGAUAAUAAUCGAUUUAAGAACCCUCUUUCACAUAACACUUUCAUAUAUAAUGGCUAUAUUCUAACUAAACUUCAACAAAUCCAUAUAUUCACUUGUUCCCAAAAAUAAGGUCACUAACUCACUCACAAAAAAACAAAUAAUAAAACCAAUUAUAUCAUAUUCAUACCUAACAACUUAAUAUCAUUAUUACUAAGAUCUUAUCAAUGUACUAAAAAGAACAAAAAAGGCAGUUCAAAUCAUUUUUUAUAAUUAUCAUUGUCGGUAUAAUCUUAAAAAUAGCAUCAAACAAAUAAUAGAAACAACAUUUGAAAAGGGUAAUGCAAAAAAGACAUUUUAAAAUAUAUAUAUAUAAUCGAACCCGUGACCUAUGGCUCCUUUACAUCCCUCCCAAGGAGAUCGCCUCUUACCAAUUGAGCUGCAUCUAUAAUAGGUGAAAACGGACUGUUAUUGACUAUUUAGCCUAUUCAUUCUAUUAUGGCUGACUUGAAGACAUCACGAGAGUCCGAUCAUCAUUUCUAUCUGGAUACAAUCAUAACUUCAUUCUACGAAAUUCACGAUUUUCUUAAUCACCUUAUUCGGAUUAAGACGUGACUAAAGUGAUUAAAUUAAUAGAAGCCAUCAAAAUUCAUACAACAAAAAUAAUGAAAUCACUUGCUAAUGAUGAUUUGCUUAAUGUAUAAUCAACAAAAUUAUGAAAAUUAAUAGCCUCGAGCACCGUUCCUUUCUGUCCAACGGUACUAAUCACUAGUAAUAUAAUAAAUUAAUUAAUUAUAAUUCCCCUUAAACGCGUAAUUAACAAGGACCCCAUAUAUUCUUUUCUAUUAAAAAAUAAUUUAAAUGAUAGACCAAAACAUUAAUAUAAAAGAAUUUUUAUACCAUCAUGUCAUCUUUAUUUGUUAAAACAAGUUACAUGUUUUUAUAAUUUAAAAUAAUUUAUUUGUAGAUAUCUUUAAGGUAAAUUAGAGUAUAAAGAAAAUGUAACACUUAGAAUGUAACUUGUUAAUAAGUUUUAUUUAGAUGUUUGAACUAUGAUUUUGAUUAAGUAUAUGAUAUAUAAUAGGCAUAAUACAUAUAUUAAAUUCUAAACGUGACUUCAAAUUUUAACUUUAACCUUCAAUUUUCAUAGUGCACAAACAGACACUUUAACUAUCUAACCUUUUAAUAAAUAAACACACGAGACUUACCUGGCAAAACGCGUGAUGUGCACGUAUUUUACGCGAGUGAGGUGUAAUUUUUGAGGCCCAAACCAGAAUAAAAAUAAAAUGACAACUCUACCCUUAAUGAAUUCCUUUUAUAUAUAUUUUUAUAUUUCCAAAUCAAAAUUUCAUUUUUUUUAAUUCUAAAAAUGACGUGUAAAAUAUUUAAUUAGUUGACAGUCAUUGAGUGACUCAUUAAUACACGUGGGAGCGUUUGCAUUUCACUCUCUUUAGCUCCAAAAAUCGCGUGUUUAUUUAUUUAAAGGUAAGAUAGUUAAAGUGUUUGUUUGUGCACUAUGAAAGUUGAAGGUUAAAGUUAAAAUUUAAAGUCAAAUUUAAGGUCUAAUAUAUGUAUUAUGCGUGUAGAAUGAUAUUUUUCGAUUAGACAUUUUUUUGAUUUAAAUCUCAAAAAACAUGCAUGGCUGGCAUGGAUAUAAUAAGGUCAAACUUAUUUGCACUAACCUAAUUUUGUCAUCUUAUAUUUGUCUUGCAUGGCUAAAAGUCUUAAAAACAAUCAAAGUGUUUGCUUUUACAGCCUUAGAUCCUCUUUCUUCAUUUUCACUCUUUUACUUUUUUAUUUUACUUUAUUUUAUUUUCCUUUAGACUAAUAAUUUUUAAGAAUUAAAAUAAUAAGAUUUGGAAACAUUUGAUGAAUUAAUUGUGUACAAAAAUUAUAAAGGGAUAAAGAAAACUACUUCAAGUUUUCUUUUUUUUUCCUUGAUUUGGUUUUGAAAUGAUCAAACAUAGCAUACUACAUGAUUAUCCUAGCUAGUAUUAUAUUAUAUAUUAUAUUGUGGGAAAUAAAAUAAAACCAUGUGUUCAAAUUAUUUGUGAUAAUGAGGUUCAAAGAUGGAUUUAGAAUUUUUAAGCUAUGGAUUUUGAAUUACGAUGCUCAUUCAUGUUCUGAAUGAUUAUUUAUACAUAUUAAUUAAGUAAUUUUUAAAACGCGAAUUGAUAUAUAAAUCAUAAUAAAAUUAUUGAAUUCUACUGAAUUGAUAUAACCAUAAUGGUGGCUUUACCUCUAAUAGGGUAAGGUAAAAAUUUCGCGAGAUCAUGGCGACUCAAUAUAAUUCGAGGUCUACAACAAAAUUUUAAUUAGAGACUUAAAAUUUAAAUAAAUAUUAUUUAUUUUUCUAAAAUUUUAAAUGUAAAUUAUUACUUAAUAUCUUUUUUACAAAUGAUGUUUUCAAAUACUUUUUUUUAAUUAUUAUUUUAAAGUAAGUUUUUAUCAAUUUUACAUUGAAACAUCAUGUUAUUGAGACAAUUAUUAUAUGAAUCGAUAAUAUAGUUUUAUAAAUAAUAAGUUGCUAAAUUUUAAAUAAAGAUAACAGUUAGAAUCAUAUGAUUUGAUUCAAAAAAUUGAUAACUUGGUAUAACCUACUUUAAUAUGAAAAGUUACAAAAAAUAAAAGAAUAUUUAAUAAUAAUUUACUUUGUUCCACAAUUUUCAGCUAUUUAUUCAUAUUUUUGACAGAAUAUUACUCUAAUUAUUAAAGAUUUGAAGAAAUAGAGUGCAUGAAGAGUUAAAAAAUAUAAAUAACGUGAGUGUUAGCAAAUAUAUAUAUAUAUAUUUUUUAUUAUAAAUAAUUAUUUUUUUCAUAAAAAAAUUAAACAUGACUUUUUAAUUUAUAGAAAUUUGAGGCCUAAGGCAUUAGCCUAAAAUUUCUAAGGCAAGAACCGGCAUUGGUGAGAUCUAGAGAAGAGUCGGACCAUCAAAAUCUAUUGAUUGUGAAAUAUUUAUAAAAUUUAAAUAUUAAAUUCGCCUCUGUGUAUAUAUGUAACAAAAUGUGAAAUAAAUGAAACUCAAAAUGUACCACACAGCUAAGACAAAAUAUAUUAUGUAUAAUAAAUUCCAGCACAUAUUCACUCCAAUAGUUAUAGUCAUGUGAAAAAAAAAUUGGUAGUUGUUAUUCAUGUGAAUUAUUUAAUACAACCUCUCUAUUUAAAAAAAUAUAUAGUCUGGUGCACUAAGUUCUGACUGCGUAUUGAGUUUGAGGAAAGAGCUUAGCUACAAGGAUCUGUUGUACGUAAUCUUAUUCCGCAUUUCUGCAGAAAACUUUUUCCAUGGCUCGAAACCCUUGACCUUUUGAUGCAUGUAGCAAUAACUUUAUCAGUUACGACAAUGCUCCUCUUUCUUAUAAGGAGCUUCAUUCUCUCUCACAUGCUUUAGAGUGUCUAGUUUACUUGAACUCAAGUCUUAAACUCACACCUUCACCUCUAUCUUCAAGUAAAUUAACAAAAGGUUAGUAUUAACUUAUUGUUUAUUAUUUUCUAAUCAUUCUCUAUUACAAGUUCUUAAUGUACUUUCUUAAUUGCUUGUAUAUUUUGAACAAAGAUUAAUCAAUUAACUUCUUGUUAUAAAGUUUAAUUCAAGUGAAAGAAAUGAAGGUACAUUAUAAACAAUUCUAUAUAUGAUGCUUUUUUGGUGUGAAAUUCAAAAAAGUUUUAAAAUUUUCCUUAGUAGUUAAUAGUAGGUAAACAAAUAGAGAAAACUUAAUGAUUUUACUUAGUACUAACUAUUCAUGUAACUUAUUUUGUUCAGUAUUGUGAGGAUUCAUCAUAAAUUGACUAGUUUUACGCACCAGCAAUGUGAGCAAGCUCAUACAAGCAGAGUUAUUUUAUUCGUAAAAAAAGUAAAUUUUCUCCUUUAACAAGUUAUUCAUUAGUUUCUGAACAAAGGCUAAGAAAUUUUUGAGUGUUUGACUAUGAUUGGUGUUGUAUGUUUGUGCAAGCUAUCCAAUUUUUGCAAAAUUAUAAUGUGAUUGUUUUUUUUAAUGCGCGAUUGCUUUAAAGGUUGAAGCAAGAUGGUAGAAGAUAAAAUAGAUGACAAUGAGGUAGAACAAAGGGGAGAAUUUCCUGUAGUGUUGUUACAACAGAAGAGUAUGGAAUAUUCAAUUAUAAGCAAGAGGUCAUCGAGAGCUCGUUAUUCCUAUGGCAUUAUAUUCUUGAUUACAAAUCUUAUAGCUUGGUUUGUCCGCGAUUAUGGUGAAAGAAUUCUUCCUCUGCUUCAUUGUAAGUCCCAACAUCGCUCCACGUUGUUGACAUUGCAAUCUUACUAUCUGUUUCUGUAGUUGCUACAGAAUGUUGCAUGAUAGGUGAAUAAGUACUAACCUACUUAGUUAACAGCUGAACGCUCUAACCACUGAGCUACUCGUGAGUAACACUAGUAAGUACGAGGACAUAGAGUUCAAUUCCCGCUCUCAAUUCACUUCCUCCAUUUCUACGGGCCUUAACAGUCUUAUGACUCGUUUCAAUCUUGCUAUGACUUGAUUCUGCUUUCUAUACAACUGUUUUUAAUGAUUUCACAAUAUAUGCCUCUUGAUUCGUGUUUCAAAUUUUAUCUGCAGACUCAAAAGCAUGUGGGGAUGGCGGAAGUGAAUGUUCUCAUACGAUGGGGGUUCUUCGUGUGAGUUUAGGUUGUUUUGUAUCCUUUUUCUUAAGAAUGUAGUUCUGUAUAACUAUAUGGAAGUUUCAAAGGCUUUCGUCUGUUCCUUAAUGUUAUCGUUUUCGUUUGAUAAAUAAAAUGAGAAAUAUUUCACUCUUGCAUUCUUUGACAUACAUCAUUAGAUUUUCUUUUUAGUAAUGUUUCUUACAACAUGUUUCACAAGCAAGUUGUAUGAUGUUCGCAAUGAAUGGCAUUCUAGCUGGUGGAUUUUGAAGUUUCUCAUGUCGAUCAUUUUUACGGUGAUUCCAUUUUUCGUCCCCUCAGAUUACAUCCAGUUAUAUGGUAAGUAAAUGCUUAAGCUUUCUGAUCAAAGCAUUUCAUUUUAGCUUCUUGUGAAAUGCAACUUUCAUCUUAUUUUCUCUAUAGACUGUCUGAUCGUAUUUAGUCACUCGAUCAUGAAAUACCAAAAGUAAACGGAAAUUGCUAUCUUUUCUGCAGGUGAAUUUGCUCGAGUAGGUGCAGGGUAAUACUACUUACAAGAAUCUGCAAAAUAGUGGCUCAAAAUUUUUCAAACUUUCUUAUAAUAUUCUUUACUGAUAAUGUUCUUUUUAAGUUUGCAGUAUCGAAAGCAAUGAUUGAUAGUUGAUACUGGUUGUGUUAUGUAUUUGCAGGGUUUUUCUCAUCCUCCAGUUAAUAAGUGUGAUCGAGUUCAUCACGUGGUGGAAUAACUAUUGGAUGCCUGAUGAACGAAAGAAACAAAGGUAUAGUUAUCACUUUCAGCGUUCACGUUGUCACAUUGUGUACUUACAGUAUAUCCUUUUUGUCAAGACAGCUGCUCCCUUGGUUUAUUCAUGUCAACAGUCUGUUACAUCGCUUCCAUUUGUGGAAUUUUCGUGAUGUAUGUGCUUUACGCCUCCAAAACAUCAUGCAUUCUGAACAUAUUCUUCAUCUCCUGGACUGCAAUUCUGUUGGUAGUAAUGAUGGCUGUAUCUUUACACUCUAAGGUAUGCUUUUACUACGAACUAGUUAGUUCCCCUUUGGAUAUUUUCCCCGAAUGAUAUAAGAGUCUGUCAAUUUGAAAACUCUUUUCAGCCAUAGUAUGGAAAGAUGCAAUAAGUUCUGUGAUGGACUUAUCUAUCACUAUGCUUACACAUUUUUCUGAUUUUUAUCGUCCCAUCUGCUCGAUCAUCUUUAAGGUUGCUUAAACUGAAAGUCCCUUUCUACUGAUGAGUGCACGCGUUGUUAAUACAUAUUUUACUUAUUAUACAGGUAAAUAGGGGACUUUUGUCUUCAGGGAUUAUGGCUUCUUAUGUUGUUUUUCUGUGUUGGAGUGCUAUUCGAAGGUCAGAAAUGUAACCUCGUGCUGAUAUUAUUGUUCCCUUCUCUUAUUUGUUUAGUCUGUAAACUCGAUAUUCAGUCUCAGCGAGUUCAUAGAUCAAAAUGUUUAGUUUGUUGGAUGAUCAUCCUUAUAACAAAAGCAUAUUUGACAGGGCGAUAAACACAUGUUUAGCUGAAAAAUUUACGAUUCUUUCCCCUUCAUAAUGUAGUAGUUGUUUGGUUUUCAUUUAUGUGAUGAAGUCGAUUUGGUGACACGUUGUUUACAGUGAGCCCGCCACUCAGAAAUGCAGCUCUCAGCAACAAAACAACGCGCAUGGUGGUUGGACUACUGUAAUCGUAAGCUAACUUUUUCCUUGUUCUGUUUAGUUUGUUGUAUACCUUAUAAAACUUUUCACUGUCCUCGAUAGCUUGUCAACCUAGAAAUCUGUCAGUCCUUCGAUAGCCUGUCAAUCUAAAAAUCUGUCAGUCCUUUUUCUCGUCAUUUGAAUCUCUCAUUUCACAUGCAUAUUCACUUGUUCACUAUCUUUCUUUUUCCUUGUAAAAUAGGGCUUCUUGAUUGCUAUAUGUGCAAUCGUCAUGGCAACGUUCUCCACUGGCAUCGACUCACAAACAUUUCAGGUGAUCUUAGCUUUCUCUGCCCCAUUUACAUGGACAGAACGCGCAAAAGUCCCAAACCAUCUUUCAUCAUCAUGUGUAUGUUUCCGUUUUGCUGAGACAUGACUAUAUCUCCUUGCUCGUGGUCAUAGUUUCGCAAGGAUAAAGUUCAGUCGGAGGACGAUGUUCCCUACAAGUAUGGCUUCUUCCACUUAGUGUUCUCCUUAGGAGCAAUGUACUUUGCUAUGCUAUUCAUCAGUUGGAAUCUUGAUGGUUUGCCUCGAAAGUAAGUAUAUCUUUCUUUUUUUUCGUUUGAGCUGAUGAUCUAUCAGAAACAACCUCUCUAGUCUCUACCGUCCCCAAAUCUCAAUGCGGGAUUAUACUGAGUAUGUUAUAGUUGAACAUGUGUUAUAGCAACAUUAAUUUGAUUCAAUUUUCUUGUUUUAAUUAACAGAUGGAGUAUUGAUGUUGGUUGGGCUAGUACAUGGGUGAAGAUUGUGAAUGAAUGGUUUGCUGCUACAAUAUAUUGUAAGUCAAUUUAGUUUGUACUUAUCUUUUAUGGUAAUUUUCAUUAAUCGCGCUAGAGUCAUAAAAUUAUAUCUUAUAUAUAGAAAAAUUAAAAAAAAAUGUCAAAAAUAUCAAAUCCGAUCUCGAAUAAGGUAAGUAGGUUAUCACAACUCAUAUGUAUAAAGUUGUCAGAUAAGUAUAGGCACGUCAGUGACUCACUUGAAGUGGAGUGAUCAUACGUGUAAUUAAUCCGAAUAUAUAUAUAUAUAUAUGCGCUAUUCAUGUAUUUCUUAUAUUUUUCAAUUAUAUCAUGAAUACAGUGUGGAAAUUAAUAUUGCCAGUAGUGAGACAAACAAAAGUGAUGGAUCAUGAAGAGACAGAACAACAAAUGGACAACUCAACUUCAGUGUGAUUUUUGUUUCGUAUUAUACGUUGUUCGGACUUCUUAAAAAUUUCAACAGUUAUGCUUAUGAAUAGUCAAGUGCUUAAAAAAUCGUAUCAUUUUUGGAGAAUAAGACACGAGGUGACAAAAUGGGUAAAAUGAACCACCAAGGGAUAAGAAAAUUUUCAUGUUAUAAAAUAAUUUAUUGGUAAAGAUUCAAAAUUUACAUGAGCUAAUUAUUAUCACCCUUCAUUUACCCAUUUACCACUUCUUUGUGUUAUGCAUUUGUAAUUUUUUUUAAAAAAAUGUAAUUUUACUUGUAGAUUCUUUCUUAUUAUCAUGGGAAAUUUGAUGAAUAAUAAAAUCCCCUAAUCUUUUUUGUUUCUUUUGAAUAUAUGUUAACGAAUUUUUAAAUAAUCGAUUGUUUAUAAAGAUAAACAGUGAGGUAUUCUAUCAUACAUACUGAUAAAUUUUGUCUACUCAUAAUAUUCACUAAUAUAAUUAACACUUUGGUUAAGCAGACUUCUAUUGCUACUAGAUAUUAAUAAAACCAAAGUAAUAUGAAGUAAAUUAUCUUAGCAAUCGAAAAAAGAAAAAAAAAAGAUGAAAAAAGUGGAAGCUAUAAAUGAAAAAUAAUAAUUGAGAACUAAGAUGGAUUAGGUUUUACAAGUGGGCUAAUAUUAUCAUUAUUUUCUCUGUAAUAAACCAUUUUAUAACUAAUAAUACUAGCUUUUCACUAAUAAUUUUCCCUUUCCACUUAGAUAUACAUAUUUAAAGAAUGUAUAAUGACAUUAGAGAAUAAAUAAUUUAUACAUAUUCUAACAUAUAUAUAUAUAUAUAAUAUAUAUAUAAAUUUCUAAUUCAGUCACCGAUUUUGAAUCAGACCCACUUUCAUAAUAAACAGUUUACACGCCAUUAAUUCAAUUUAACCAUUGAGAAGUAUCGUAUCGAGCAUUUUAUAUUAAGCUAAUUGUUGUAGGUCUACUUAAGUCGAUAAAAAUUUAUAAAGUUAUUACUACGAAUAAUUUUCCCCAAAAUAUAUUACUUAUUAUUUUGUCAUGUAGAAGAAUUUUCAGACCUUAUUAUAAAUUUAUAAUAUUAAGCAAAAUCAUGUAAGGUUUUGUUGUACUUGCCACACUAAGGAGACUUUCAACAACAACAAUUAUAUUCUCACAACAAAUCCACCUUUUUUAAAAAAACUAUAUAAACUAUCAAUCUUAUGUUCAUUUUCAUACUCAAAUCAAGAAGAAGAAAAAACAUCUCAAUCAAAAAUCCCAAAAGAAAAAUGUUUAUCAAAUUUGCAAUUUUAUUUGUAUUUGUACCAUUUGUAGUUGCAAUUGAUCAUGUAAGUACAAGUACACCACAAGAACCGGUUCUUGAAUUGUACAUGCACGAUAUCUUGGGAGGAAAUAAUCCAACAGCUCGACCAAUAACGGGUUUAUUAGGCAAUAUUUAUAGUGGACAAAUACCAUUUGCUACACCACUUGGUUUUGAACCUCCAGAAGAUGGUGUUGCAAUUCCAAAUGCUAAUGGUGCAAUGCCAACAUUCAAUAUCAAUGGUGUUCCAUUAGGAACAGGUCUAGCAGGCACAAUAUUUGCUGGAGGAAAUAAUAAUAAUAAUGGACAAAAUGUGAAUACUCAAUUAGGCCCUGAUGGUCUAGGGCUAGGGUUCGGGACAAUCACGGUUAUCGAUGACUUCUUGACCUCGUCUCCUGAAUUAGGUACUGUAGACACGUAAUUCUUGACCCUCCUCUUCUUUCUUACUUUACUAGUUUCAAGUUUAAAUAUUUCUUCUAUGUGUCACUUUAAUACCUAAGUUUGGAUUUCAUUUUGAGGAUAUCAAAAAGUGCAUAAAUGUGUCUUUUAACUUGACCUCAUUUCACAUAUAUAUCCUCCAACUUUAGGAGUACAUCAAUAGGUACUUAAACUUGCAUAAAGCUGAUCCAGUAUACACAUGAGUCCUACGUGGCAUAAUAUACACCACGUAGGAUGCAAAUUGUCAUGUAGGAUGUCACAUAAGACACGUCUCUCUAUUUAUUCAUACCUAAAGUUGGAGAGCAUAACUGUGAGUUGAGGGGCAUGUUGAUGUAUUGUGCCUAUCGAAAAGUGCAAAAAAUAGUACAUAAACAGAAACUCAAACUUGGCCUGACCUGGCAAGUAAACACGUCAACUUUGAGUAUGCACGUCGAGAUACCUCAUCUCUGAGUCUUUAUAUCUCGACUCCUCUUAGUGAAAACAAAUCCUAGCUCCGCGCCUACGCUACGUAUUGAAUGAACUUUUUACAUUUUUUUAACAGGUACACAAAAACUUGGAAAAGCACAAGGAGUAUAUGUAGCAAGUUCAGCAGACGGAAGUACUCAAAUGAUGGCAUUUACAGCUAUGUUUGAAGGAGGUGAAUAUGGUGAUAGUCUAAAUUUCUUUGGAGUUUUUAGAAUUGGAAGUACAAUGUCAAGAAUUUCAGUAACAGGAGGAACUGGUAAAUUUAAAAACGCGCGUGGAUUCGCGGAAAUACGUUCACUUAUACCAGCUGGUCAACAUGUUGCUAAUGGUGCUGAGACAUUGUUGAGGAUUGUUGUUCAUCUUACUUACUGAAUUUUCAUUAAUUUGAUGUAAUUUUGUGUGUGUGUAUGUAUUCUGUUUUGUUUGAUCAAUAUGAAUAUUAAUUGUCUUGUUUCAUUGUGGCAAAGUGAAUAUAUAUCUCUAUGUAUUCCUCUAUCCGUAGAGUAUAACGAAUGUAUUGUGGAUCAAUACAACAUUUCCGAGAGGGUAGGAUGUAUGUAGACAUUGCUUUGCUCACAUCUUUGUAGUACAGAGAGGUCGUUUCUGAUAGACGCUCGACUCAAACGAAUAUGUUUCAAUUACCAUGUUUUUAAAACCAGUGCAGAUAGCAGAGUUUAUGGGAAAACAGAAGCAGAAACACAAAAGUUUUUAAACUUACGGAGACAAAAAAAACACUAGGCGACUCUUCUCAGGUAUCUUGUGAAAUUAGCCGAGGUGCGUGAAGACUGGUCUGGACACUAUGAUGACAACAAUAUAACAUAUACAAUAAACGGAAUGUAUCCAAUGUAAAACAGAAGAAGAAUACAGAGCGAAUAUUUUACCUUACACUAUCAAGAUAAGGCGAAACAAGGCUCUCAGCAUAGACAGUUGCUGCACCAACACCAUCAUCACCGUUCAUUUCACAAAUCUCCACGCGUUUAUACUCAUCAUUCCUCGAGUCAUACACCAUAACACGCGUUCCAUCAUGCAACAACACUUCACCACUGAUGUCUGAUAUCCAUAACGGUGAUAUACAAGGCCCUACUCCUUUUACAUAAGGAAGGGAAACCGAUUUCAUCCAACACCCUUCCGCGUUAUACUCCUUCAUUAUCCAUACAUCCAACUUAACUUUAUAAUAGUCACAAAACAAACAAAGAAAAUCCCCUAACUUCCCUAAUGACCAAUUCAUAGUCCCUAGUUCAAAAUCACAUGAAUCUCCUAAUAACCUUGAACCAUCAAAACCACCAAAACUAGGCAAUGCUAAACUCCCAAAUUUCUCAUUUUCUAAGUUAAGUGAAACUAUAUCCCAAUAAAUACAAGAUCCAUCAUUAUGUGCCACAGCCCAAUGAACACAUUUAUUCAAGAAAACACCAGAGUCAGAGGAAAACAGUGCAUUACUAUAUUUUUUCAUAUUUUUCCAAGAAUUUGACCUUAAACCAUAAAUCUUGAUAUUUGCACCAUAUACAUAAUGUACACCAUAAACUCCAAAAACCUCAACAACUUUGAAAUCAUGAUUAGACUCAUCAUAACCAAAACCAUAAGUAACAUCACAUCUUGGAUACUUAGUACAACUAGAAAAAGGCAAAAUCUUGUUUUUUCUAGUAGAUGGAUUCCACAAAUACAAGUUAUUAUUGUACAUGCCAAUACAAAUCAAGAACAAGCCAUUACAUAAAGAAACUCCAGCUAUAAUAUUAGAUGGAUUCCAAGGGAAAUUGAGUUUGUUGACACAGAGAUUGGAUUUUUCAUGUAAUGUAGAGUAAAGGGUGCAAGAAUAUAGAGUAUGAGGGAGGUACAUAGAGAGUAAAAGGAGAUUUUUGUGUGAUAAUUUGUUGUUUCUUGACGAUAUGUUUAAAUGGGAUUUCGAAAAAUGAGUGGACGAGAUUAACGAAAGCCAUGAUUUCGAAACUGACUUGAAUUUCAAGAGUGAUUUGACUGGUAAUCUUGAAAGUAUUUCUAUGAUGAUUUCUAGUGGGAAGCUUGGAGUAUGUGUUUGAUCAUUGGGAAUGCUGUUUUUCAUCUCAUUGUUUGUGGACAUUAUUGGCUUUAGAAUUUUUUUGAAGAAUGUUAUAAAGUUGACUCAUAAAAUGAAAAUACCAAACUUGAUAACAAAGUUUUCUUUUUUUGAUGCUCCAAUUGUCAACUCUUAUAAUUAAUCAAUUAAUUUUAUUCUUUAACAUAUCCUGUGAUUUUGUUGUUAUAUUCUAGAGUCAACAAACACAAAGUUUAUAGUAACUUUUAUAAUUAAGUCCCCUUUUUGUGUAUUUUUGAGUAAUGUUUGUGCAACUCAAUGAAUAGACAUUUCAUCUAUAAAAAUCGUGGUAGAGUGGUAAUUGUCAUCGUUUAAAAUAAUAUUUUAUCUGAUUCAAGUAUUGGUGUGCAAUUAUUUUUAUUAGAGAAUAUUUUAUAUUUGAUAUAGUACUUUUCGGCAUAUAUUUAAAUUUCAUUGAACUUUAACAAGUGUAUAAGACAUCAAACAAAAAAUAAAAAGAAAUAAAAGAAAUAUUUAUAAUUUUUUUGACAUCAGAUUAAACUGUCUACAUCACACAUCACAACUUUUGAGUGCGAUCCUUCCUCGACUCAUACUAACUUGAGAUAUUUGGACUUCAACGAACGCAUUAGACAUUGAAGAAGAAAUAAAAGAAACAAAAGGAAUAUCAAUAGAUCUUCGACAUUAGAUUAGCCCGUCUAUAUCACAUGUUUUGGAUACGAUCUCUUUCUUGAAUCAUACUUUAAUCGAGACUUCAACAAACGUAUUAGAUAUCAAAGGAGAAAUAAAAGAAACAGAAGAGUUAUUUAUGAUUUUUAUAGUAUUAGAUUAAUCUUUCUACAUCAUAUCUUUUGAGUACGAUUACUUUCUUGAAUCAUAGUAAACUCGAAAUAUUUUUUACAUCGACUAUAUUUGGAUAUUUCUAGAAACUUGUCAUGCCGCCCAUUCACAUCCCAAAUUUGAACAAGUCAUGAGAAUCAAAUCAUUCAUCAAAAUCACCAGACAACAGAAGAAGACAGUGUGACUGGGAAAACCAAACUCAACAUUCUUACAUAUAAAAUAAAAAACUAUUUCAAGAAUCUGUUUGUAAAUCCCAAGAAAAUGCACCACCACCACCACCCUCCUCCACCAACCACCACCCCCACCAAAAUCUCAACACCCUUUAUCAUUCUUGCCACCACUAUCUUCUCACUUCUCCUUAUUCUUACCUUCUCCUUCACUUCCCCUCCACCCCACCCCCACCCCAACCAACCCCACCCUUCCCUUUUCCCAAAUCAUCAACCCCAUCGUCUCCUAUUUCAUCAAAACCCAAAUGACCAAAAUACCCUUCUACCCCCACCCCCUGCAAUAGCUUAUCUCAUAUCUGGAUCCACAAAAGACACUUCAAGAAUCAUACGUUUGCUAUUUGCAGUGUACCAUCCAAGAAAUCAGUAUCUUCUUCAUCUUGAUAAAAAAGCUUCUCAAUAUGAACGUGAUGAUCUUGCACUGUAUGUUCAAUCUGUGCCUCUUUUUAAAGCUGCCCAGAAUGUGAAUUUUAUUGGAAAAGCUGAUUUUGUUUACCCAAUGGGGGCUUCUGCUUUGUCUGCUACUCUUCAUGGAGCUUCUAUUCUUCUGCGUGUUUCUGCUCAUUGGGAUUGGUUUAUUAAUCUAUCUGCUGAUGAUUAUCCACUUGUUACUCAAGAUGGUAUGAAUUAUGUGUAAAGAUGUAAUCUUUUUGAUGUUUUUACUGGAUUUAGUGUGUGUUGAUUGCCCAUUUGUUUGUCAAAACUCAAUAUGCAUGAUGGGUAAUGUUGAAGAUAUGUUCUGUUUAGUGUAAAAAUUGGGUCUUUUUUGUUUACAAGUAUGUGUAAAGAUUUAAUCUAUUGGUGGUUUUACUGGAUUUAGUGUCUGCUGAUUAGUCAAAACUCUAUAUGCAUGUUGGGUAAUGUUGAAGAUAUGCUCUGUUCAGUGUGAAAAUUGAGUCUUUAUUUGAGAAGUAUGUACAAAGAUUUGAUCUUUUUGAUGUUUUUACUGGAUUUAGUGUGUUUAUUGUCCAGUUGCUAGUCAAAAACUCUAUAUGCAUAUUGGAUAAUGUUCAAGAUUUGCGUAAUUGGGGAGAUAAGAUUAAGAAUAAGGAUAUCCGGGACAAGGUGGGAAAAGGCUUCUAUGGUGGACAUGAUGCGGGAAGCAAGGUCAAGAUGGUUUGGAUAUGUGAAGAGGAGAUGUGCACGUGCUCGAUUAAGGAGGCGUGUGAGAUUGGAUAUGGUGGGUAUGAGGAGGGCUAGAGGAAGCUAAAGCAGUGUUGGGGAAGAGGUGAUUAGAUAGGACAUGGUGUAACUUUAGCUUACGGAGGGCAUGAUCUUAGAUAGGAGGGUAUGGAGGUUGCGGAUUAGGUAGAAUGUUAGUAGGUUGUUGAGCUUUGACUCACUUCUCGACGGGUUUAGGCUCCGUGGGAGUCUGAGAGAACUGUGUUAUUUGUAGUAUUAGCCUUGUGCAUGUAUUUUCUUUUCAGUUAACACAUUGUUUCACAAAUAUUACUAUUUCUAUUCUCGUAAUAUUUUGUAAUGCUUUCCUUAUUAAUUGACAUGUUUUCUUCACAAUCAUAUUCCCUUUUUUCGGGAAUACUUUCGUUUACUGUUUUUGAGUCGGGGUUCUUUUGGAAAAAACCUCUCUACCUCCAUGUGGUAGUGGUAAGACUAAAAUCGGAGUACACUCUACCCUUCCCAGACACCACUUGUGGGAUAAUACUAGGUAUGUUUGUUGUUUGUUGUUUGUUGUUUUAAACUGUUUGUUAUUGGAUUUAGUGUGUGCUGAUUAUCCAGUUAUUGGAUGUAUUAACCGUGCUGUUGAACAUGAACAGAUAUAUUUUCCUUUUCCAUUACUGUUUAUCACUUCGAUUCAGGCAUUGAAAUUCUAUCGAAUGGAUCUAAUUAUGCCAUCGGACUCAUUUCUCAUUACAACACACUUUCACUUAGGUAAUGACUGAUGAGUAAUCUGAUGCUGUUUUCUGUUGAUUUUCAGAUCUUCUACACAUUCUGUCAUAUCUUCCCAAGGAUCUUAAUUUUGUCAACCACACAAGCUACAUAGGGUGGAGAGAGUAUGGCCAUAUCCUUUUCGUAUUAUAAGUUUCUAUAUUUCUGUCUAAGCAAGUAAUGUAUGGUUUUAGAUCUUAUUAUAUGAGCGUUUUGGAUGUUCCAGGUCAAGGAAGUUGAAACCAAUAGUUGUUGAUCCUGGGCUCUAUCUUGAAGAAGAAGAUGAAGUAUUUUAUGCAACUCAGAAGAGGGAACUGCCUGAUGCUUAUCGAUUAUUUUCAGGUCAGAUGCUUGGUAGCCAUAUUUUUGGCAUUAUGAAUGAUGAAAGGAUGAAUAUAUUUGUGUUAAGUAAUCCCCUUGAGUGUAUGAUUGAGAAAAAUAGUUUUGAUAUGAAGUGGACAACCAUAACAUUGAGUCACAACCUUUUUUCGUGCUAAAAAAAAUAGAAUGAAAAAUAAAGUACAGCAUAGACAUUUUAAAAGCAACUUUGAGUUGAAGUAGCCCAGUGCACAAUGCAUCCCAAGACUUAUAAGGGUCCUCUGAAGAACCGCACACUAAGGGGUGUGAUAUAGACAGCUACCCUAAUGCAAGCAUUAAUGACUGCUUCCAGGGCUCGAACAUGUGACCUAUACGACCACACGGAGACAACUUUACCGUUGCUCCAAAUCUCCCCUUCUGGUAUUCGAUGAAGCAGAUGACCAGAAAGUUUAAAGUAGUUAAGUGGGCAGAAUUUUGUUUCAAGUGUUCUGUUAGAAAGCACAAGCAUCUGAGUACGUCUAAAUGUCCAUCCUUCUCCGAAUCUUAAUGCAAAAAAUGCUACAAUAGAUGGCCAUGACUCUACACAUUUUAGCUACAUUGUACGCAGAAAAUCGAUUUCAGUUUAGAAUCAAAAUCUUUCAGUCUACAAAGCAUCGCCCAUGUUCCAAGUGUCUACUAUUUUAUCCUUCACCUUGAAAAGGCCCCAAUGUUUUUUUGGAAUUUAAAACUUUUUGGAUAUGCGACAACUAGGGCAAGGGUGUGUAGUAGUAGUAAAGCAACCAUCCUAUUGUGUUACUGGUUCGGUAUGUGUUUAAAUUAUUGAAGUCUAAUACUAACAAGCAUGUCCUCUUGGCUACAGGGUCUUCAUCUAGUAUCUUGAGUCGGAAGUUUAUCGAGUUCUGCAUCUUGGGCACGGAUAACCUACCCAGGACUCUGCUAAUGUACUUGUCAAAUUCACCAUCCUCGUCAUCUGUGUAUUUCCCGACCAUUCUGUGCAAUUCAAGGAAAUUCAAUAGAACAACAAUCAACCACAACUUGCGGUAUGCUUCAUUUAACUCAAGAAAAGAGGCCCUUCCACUCAAUACCAGUAACUUCAAUGACCUGGUGAUGAGUGGAGCAGUGUUUGCUGCACCAUUCGAGGCAAACAAUCCGAUUCUUGACCAGAUCGACAGUGAACUUCUCCACCACAAGUACGAUGAACCAGUCCCUGGCGGAUGGUGUUUAGGUGAAAAUGAAACUGAUAAAUGUACUGUCUGGGGAGACGCAGAAGUUCUAAGACCAGGUCCAGGAGCACAGAGACUGGAAGAAAGAUUUGUCCAGAUUUUCAGUAAUGGUACAUUUCGUUCUAGUCGAUGUGUCUACGAAUAGAGCUCCCUCAAGAUGAGAACAUACAGAAGAGACAAACACUCGAAAAAUGUUUUCUAUCGAAAACCACCUCUCUACCUCCCAAGGUAGGGUUGAGGUUUGUGUAUACACUACCUUCCCCAGACUCACACACUGGGUAUGUUGUUGACUCGAAAAGAAUUACACGAGCAAAAAUAUACAGAAGACCGAGUGCUUCAGCCCUCAUGUAGUUUUAUGUUAGCAAUUUUGAUGGAGAGCUCAUUGUUGUAUAUUGAUUAUUUUUGUUACUGUAAGGUUGUAUAUUGGUCUGUUGGGCUGGCUAGCUACUACUAGGGCAAUGGAAAUCAUUUUAUAAAAUCAUGGAUCUUACUACCUGUUCAACUUUGUGUUUUUCAUUCAACUGCAAGAGCUUAAAUGGAGCGAUAUGGUUAGUGAAGACUUGUAUAGCCGAUCUGAAAACUGGCUUAGCAUUAACUCAUUAGUUGCUGAGUAUAUUCUAUGAACCACAAUGACACAAGAAUUCACAAGUGUUGAGUAUCCAAGAGAUUACCUGUUCAAACAACUCGAUCAACUUAUUACAACAGAGAGAACAGAAAUCUUGAUUCUUUCACAUAUACAAAACUUGUACAACAAUCAUGGAAAAGCAUCAACUGUCAGAAAAAUUUUCUGAUGGGGGCCAUAGUAUUACACAUACACACAGCUCUCUUGUGUUGCCUAAGAACCACUAAUAUAGUUUCUUCUACUUCUUCUACAGUAGUACAAGAAUGUCAUUGUUUUAUGCCAAAUCAUGUUACUGAUCCAUGGUACCAUCAGGAGUUUCUUGCCCUCUACCAUUGGCAUUUCUCGCGUAUCUAUCCAGUCUAAAUAGGCGUCUUAGAACUUAUCGACAUUGUCUUCUUUUCUGUAGAGCUUGGUUAAAAGACUCCAAACAAAGUAGCAACAGCAAAUAUUAAGAAUAGAACUCCGCCCAAGUAGCCAACCUGUAGUAGAACCAAGAUAAAAUGCUUAUAAUUCAAAAUAUAAUUGUUCAGGGCAGAUUCGGGGGAAAAAAUAGGCGCUAGCUUACCAGUUUCUCAGAAAUGUAAUUGGCAAGAAACCCGCCUCCUAGAAUUGCAAUAGAUGUAGCAACCAGGUGUCCGGCAAUGGCACCACUUGCCACGCCCCAUGGAGACUGCGAAAUAGAGGCAGUAUGGCAGUGAGGAAAUAAAUGGAAGUUGGAGGUUUUGGAACUUGUUUUUAUGGCAAGCUCGGAAAAUAUAUUGUUAGUAUUGAAUUUCAUAGAAACUGUACCUGAGCUGCACCGAGUGCUAUUGUUGCAAGCAUUGAUCGAUCUCCCCAUUCCUAGGAGGCAAAAAAAGUAUUAAGAUUCCUAACUUGAAAACUACAACAGGCCUCGAUGUUCUUUAGCAACUGGAUAUAGUUACAUAACACUUUCUAGACUUUGAUGUUGUGAAUGCAAAACCACAGAAACCAGUUCUAGUCUUCCAUGUCACACUCAAACAACUUACAUGAACACUAUAAAAAUGAUACAAAUAACUAUUUUUUGUAAUUAAAUAUAUGUUGGCGUCAUGGAAGCUUGCACUCUAUCUACCAUCUACACGACAUCUGUCCCUGUUUGCAUUGGCUCUUUAUUGGAAGAAGAAAGUACAAAAGAAACAAUGCUGCAACCGGAUGAAGAUACUUACAGCAAAAAAUACGAGGCUAAAAGACUUCCACAAAAUUUCAAGUGGAUUUGUGAGCCGUUUUGAUGCCUGAAAUAUCCAUCUAUAAAAUCGUUAGAACCAGAUUUUUGAAGAUGCAAGUGAUGCAAAUAUGGAGACAGGAAAGAGAUAGAAGUCAUCCUCAUAAAUACAUGUUCUGGUGUUAAAGACAUUAGGAAGCGCAGAAAUCUCAGAGAAUAAAACAGCAUUUAUGAGUGGCAUUCAGCAGCUUUUUCACCUUUUCCUUCACAAGCUCCUCAGCUUCUGCAAAUUCAUCAAGUUCCUGACUACUCUUUUCACCAGUCUCAACAUCAUUGCUUGGAAGUUCCCAUGCAUCUUUAAUUGAUUUGAGGCCAAAAAAGAACAAGAGGGCAACAGCCGCGUAUUCUCCAAUAGGCAAGGCUGUAAUGAAAAACAAUUGGGAAUUUUAAAAUAAAUAUCAAACAAAGCUCAAGAUAGUUUGGAUACCAUUGCAGCAUGCAUCUUUGAUGGUUUGGAAAGAGGGAAACUUUAGAUUCUUCGAGGGAAAUGCUAUCGCGUAUGAAGUAUAGGUCAUUGCAAGCUCUGGAUUUUAUGUGAAACUCGAGUAGUUCUGGUGGCCAAAAGGGUGUGUUUUCCAGUGUGCAUGUGCAAGAAAAGGUACACUAGGAGAAAUGAACACUAUAAAAUACCACUACAGUCUAUACUUCGCAGGAAGAGACAUUAUCAAGCAAGAGUAAGAAGCACUGCAUAACCAAACUUGCCAAGAGAAUGUUAAGUUCUAAUAUCCAAUGAUCGGCAUACUUGAUGAGCCAGUCAUAAUGUACCAAAAAAAAUUUAUCAGUAAGCUUUCUGCCAACUAAUGCGCAUAUUAAUCAUUUACUUUCUGAAAACAUGAACACAAUUUAGGGUAAGUUUGCUUCAACAAAAGCAAAUGCUAAGCAAAAUGUGCCAAAUAUAAAGAUCCCAAGAAGCCAAUAAAAAAACCAAGAAUAAAAACAAAUGACAGUCCUCGGGUCGAACUUACUUGUUUGAAACUGAGCAGGUACUGAAUGAAAGAUCCUUCCUAUUAUGACAGAGAAGACCGUCAUAAGUGAAAGAGCACCCAUUGAUCCCAAAAGGACCUGGUCAUUGAUGCAAUUCAAGUAAGAUAUAGAAUUGAACAGAACAGAAGUGACCACAAUAUUACAUUUCUGUAUAGCAGUAGCAAGAAACACUAAAAACCAAAGUGCAUUUACAAUAUAUCAAUAUUCAAUCUACAAACUUGUGUGUGCAUUCUAUAUUAAGCCCCAUUUUUGUAUUUCAAUGAGUUUUUAUAUUUCAUUUGCUUUCACAUAAUUAGGCAAGAUUAUAACUCCUAAAUAAUAAUUAUAUAAUGAAAAAUGGAUUGCGUCCUUUUCAGUUUGAUCAAUAAUUCUACAAACAAAUCCUGCAAUCACCAAAUGAUCGUAAUCUAGGAUCCCCAUCCUCAAAAUUUCAGGCAGUACUGAUAGCCUAUAAAGAAAGAAUGCUACAAGAUACAAAAAAGAAAAAAGUUUAAGGUAUGAAACCUUCAAGCAGAAUGCUUUAAAGAUAUACCUAAGUUCAGUCACAAUUAUUCACUUUUAUUCUCUUAAAACUUAAGAUAAUUUGAUGCAAAAGAGAUAGAAAAGGAGAAGUAAGGGACAGAACGCUAAAGGUCAUACCAGUAUUCUCUUAUAUUGCAUGGCCAGGAGGGCAGCGAUGAAAAAUGUCUGUUGAAUUGCAUAUUAAAGAAAGAAUUAGUUAGAUAUUUUGAAUAAGACGAAUUAUCGCAAACUAGCAUAGCACAAAAGCAGAUCCCAGAUUAAAUAACUCAAUCAAUUAGCUGGGAAUACAUUCGUAUCAGUAGAAUGAUGUACAGUGUCAUAAGGCUCAUUCUGAAAGCAUCAAAGUUUUUCAAUAAAAGACACCAAAUAGUGAAUUUUUUGCAAAUUGAUGCAUAAAUGCUUAGCCAUGAUUAUGUGUUACACCACUUUUACACCUACAAGGUAUUUAUGUAACAGCCAGAGAUGAGACCACGAGCACUAUCCGUAUCAAAGAGAAUGAAAAGGUUAAGAACCAAAGAAAUGAAAGGGCAACAAACAGUCAUGAGUUCACGAAAGCUAAUAAGUAUAGCAUAUUGUGUCAAUCUCUCCAUUUACCUUGUCUCCAAUCUCAGAAACAAAUAUCAAUGAGAAUGCAGCAGUGAACCCUGAUUUCGAAAAUGCUGCAAUGAGUGAUGACGGUCCUCCUUUCGUGAAGGCAAUCACCGAAAAUACUAACGAACAUCCACAUAGCACAAGAGCUAUAGCGAGAGGAUAAGGAAUUUUACUUGGAAGUGCCUCACUGCCAUUCAUGAAAGUUAAACAUACAUAAGUUUCAUAGUUAGUUGCAAUCAAACUAAAACAUGUUUCCCCAUAUUAAAAUGCAUGAAGAUUCCUAGAAAGUCAGAAGAGUUCAUGUUUGAUAUAUCAAAGAUUAGGAUUAUAUAACUUAAUAAAUGUGUAACGAAAUAUGAUUGCAGCCUGAACCUCUUCCUUUCAUUCUUGAAGGAAAGAAAAUGUAAUCAAAGCCAUCUGUAAUUGUGACUGCACUGACAGUUGAAGUCAUUAUAGAUACUCUUUUCUAUUUGUGUUUUUCUAAAAAGAAUUCUUGAAGUUUUAUUAUGUAAGCAGAACUCCCGAAACAUAGGCCACAUGCCGAAAGAAGAGGUGUCUGUUGGACAUUGACAGAUGCUUUUGAUCAAGCUGCAUUAAGGUGAUAUACUUGUCAUAUUGAGAAUUUAAAUGUGAAAAUUUUUGCAUUGGAAGAAUCAGGGAACACUACUUCUUUGUUUCUUGACACCAAAUUACCAGCACUACAAGACAAUUUCUUAAGUAUAAUGUAUAUUGUUCACAUCAUAUUAAUCCAUCCCCAACAAACUUUCAUAAGCCAUUAAACUUUAUCAUCCAAUCAUCCUUGUGAUGUGAGGUUUAACAGGAUCAAGUACUUAAACAUGCACUCUUGAUAAAUCCAGCCAUUGGCUGGAUAAUAGUUAUCCCACAAACCAAAUGCACUCUAACUCUAGGGACCCUUUACAAAGAUUUAACAGCCUAUCUUCCUCUCCCCAUAUACUUGUUAACAACAUGCUCUUUAUGCAGAAAAGAAGUUUAAAGUAUUCACCAAACCUUUCACAAUUUUGUAUUUGGAUAGAAAUUCUCGUUAUUUAAUUGCCAAGUUAUAUAGCAUACAUUUUCGAUGAACCAUCAGUAGACGGCUGAUUGACUGAAACAUUGUGGCUUUCAUUUCCUUGACUUUCUUCAAAACUUCCAGAUCCGACACCAACAUUAGAUGCAUAGGGUAUAAUUCUGCUAUGCCUUCGCUGCAACUUAGGGAGCGCUCUACAUCUUACUAAAAGUAAUAAAGGCAUGAGUCAGUAACGAAAUAGAGCAACAAGAUGUAGUAGUCAGAAGGAAAGAAAUAUAAGAAUCUAAUUCUACUAGGAAUAUUAAAAAGUGGCGGAUCAAAAAUCCAGAAAUGAUCUUGGUGGGGAGUAAGAAAGUCAUCUGACAGGAAAGUGGCAUCUCGCAUCUAAUAUAAAGUGAAUUUAUUUACCAUCUUAAGGACUUUCAUUCUAUAAACUAAAUUACUUGCAGGAUUGAAGUAAUAUAGAGUUCAAAAGCCCUCAUAUAUGUAUUAAGUAGCAAUUGUCAUGUAUCGUAAUGUAAAAAAUCAUCUUAAGCCAUAAAUAUAUCUGAUACACUAAUAGUCCUUUUUCCUGAAUUAGAUCCCUAGCGACUAUAAGUCAAGCUACACUAUCUUUGACCAUGAUAUGUUCAAACAUUUUUCUAACUGAGUGCAUGAAAAAGCAAUAAAUCCAACUGAAUACACCAACAGCACAAAAUUGGAAUAACUUCAAAUUAGCCACCUUCCCCCAAACCAAAAGAGGAACGCCAGAAAAGGCCUAAAGCUUCUAAUUUAAUAUAGAUUCAUUUAGUGUUAUUUUUUCAAAUGUGAUAACAAUGAUGUCCAACUUGCACACACCUUGAACUAUUCAAUCGGGUACCUACUACAACCCACCAGCACAACUACCGAGCAACUCUACCCGCUAAGAUAUAGGCAGAAGUGAAGAAAUCAUCAACCGCUUUAUUGUCUCUGAUAGUAUUUAAAUACCUCAUCUCCCAUGGUUUUCAAACACAACAUUAACCACUAGGCUACACUCCAGCUUGCGCUCACCUUAACCUCUUCCACUGGGUACUAACUACCACCCACCAGCACAACUACCAAGUAACUAGGCCCACUAAGAUUUAGGGGAAAGUGAAGAAAUCACCAACCGUUUUAUUAUCUCUCCUAGGAUUUGAACCUUGGUCUUCCUUGAUUUUUUUUAAUGACAAGGGAAACCACAGUCGCUAUGCUUUGGAUGCGCACAAGGUAAAACCCACACUCCUAUGCAAUAGCUCACAAACCAUACAGGUAACCCGCACUAGGCAAGCCCGGUGCGACGAGCUCAAACCAGAUGGCAAAUCUCUUGCUUUUGAUGGCAAGGGCUUUCGGGUCUCCCUUGGUUUUCACACACAGCAUUAACCGCUAGGCUACCCUCUUGGGUGCUCAUUGAAUAUUUUUCCAUUGUUUUUACAUGAAUGAUGGUUGUUGAGCUAAACCACUAUGACUAGCCCAAAUAAGCUUCCUCAUAAGAGAGUAUCAUAUUAUCUCAAUAAAAAUCCAAAAUAGCAAACAUCCAACUGGAGCAAUAAGAUACCAUCCAACUCCUCAAUCAGUAAACAUAACAACAACGACAACAUACCCAGUGUAAUCCCAAUAGGUGGAGUCUAGAGAGGACAAGGCGUACACACACCUUACUUCUACCUUGUGAAAGUAGACAGGUUGUUUCCAAAAGACCCUCAGACUCAAGUAACUCAUAACAAAGCAAUGUUAAAAAUAACACACAGAUGCAAAGCAGACAUAUCAAACAAUAGUGAAAUCAUUACAAUGGGGGCAAAGAACAACAUUUCAAUAAAACUUAUACCAAAAUUUCUCAUAAAUUCAAAAUGGGGCAUCUCUAAAUUCACUUAACUACUAACAUACCCACAAAUCACUCAAUCAAAUCAAAUUCUUGAACUCAAAAUCAAAAAGGGUAUUCAUAAAAAAACUUACAUAAAGAUGAAAUUCCAGCUGAAAAAGGGGAAAUUCUCCUUGUGGGUAUUGAUUUUUUGCUAGGCAAUGAAUCCAAAACAUUCAAAAAUGAAAACUUUUUCUUCCCACCAUAACUUGAUGCUAUAGAAUUAGAUGUUUGAAGAGCCAACCCCUGCAUUUUUUUCUUAAUUCAAUAUACUAAAAACUAUAAAAGAUAGCUUUUUUUUUACUAUAAAGUCAUUUGUGAACAAAAAAUUUAAUAAAAAAUAUUUGGAUUCUCUACACUUUUUCAGGAAGUUAGUUGUAACCAAGAAGCUGAAGAACUGAUUAGAGAGUGUGGAGUUCUUGGGAUUUUGCAGAUGCCACGUGUCAUCAUGGAUCUUUUCAGAUAAACUGAUGAAGUUAAAAACGAUGUCGUUUUUUGAAGCUAUGGAUUUGGGCUUUUCUUCACCUUAGGCUGAAGGGAUGUUGUUCCUUGAAAGUUUUAAGUCUCCGGACAAAUCUUUCGGAAACAGUCUCUCUAUCUUCACAAAGUAAUGGUAAGAUUUGCAUAUAUUUUAUCUUUUCCAGACUUUAGUUGCAGUCUCUUUACCUUCACGAGAUAAUGGUAAAAUUUGCGUAUAUUAUGUCUUCUCCGGACCUUAUUUGUGUAAUUUCACUGAGUGUAUUGUUGUGUAACGUAGAAACAACGUUUACUAAAUAAUUUUUCAAUCAAGUAUUUAAAAAAUGGUUAUUAUCGUAAAGUUUCAAUUUUCAAAUUUAAAAAUGUCAUCUAGUUUUUUCACAUGUGUAAUUUGAAAAUCUGUGACAUAAAAGUUUAAGAAAAAUAAAAAAUAUUUUAAAAAUUUGUGAUCUUAAAUAUGAAUAUUACUUUGUUAAAUGAUUAUUUGAUCGCUUCAGAUCUCAAUCCGUAGAUGUAUAUUGUUAUUAUUGUUUAAUAGUCAUUUGAUCACCUUAGACCUCAUUUUGUGGGAUUAUACUAAGUAUAUUGUUAUUAUUGUUGAAUAGUCAUUUAAUCAUCUCGUACCUCAUUUUAUAGGAUUAUACUAAAUAUAUUAUUGUUAUUGUUGAAUAGUCAUUUUAUCGCCUCAUUUUGUGAGAUUAAACUGAAUAUAUUAUUAUUAUUAUUAUUAUUAAAUGGUCAUGUUAUCGCUUCCGACCUCAUUUUGCGAAAUUAUACUAGGCAUAUAUUGUUAUUAUUGUUGGGUGGUUAUUUGAUCAAGAAUGUUUCAUGUUGUUAAUCAAUGAAAUUGACCAAGUAAUUAAUGACAUCAUUUAACCCUAAUACCAAUUUAACAAUUUCCAUAAGCAUGUUACAUGCUCUCUAUAUACGUUUGAUAUACUAUAAAAAAUAAAAUAAGUGAGAUCAAGAAUCAUGCACGUUGUAUUAGAUUAUUAUUAAUAGGGAAAAGGAUCUGAUAUACCCUACAAUUUUGUUAUUUGGAGUUGAUAUAUCCCUCGUUAUGAAAGUGGUUCAUAUAUUUCUUUAUCGUUAUACAAACGGCUCACAUAUUCCCUUACCGUUACAAAAUGACUCAUAUAUACCCUUCAUUUAACGGAAGUUAAAAAAAUUAGUUUUAAAUUUAUAUUUAUUAUUUUUAAUCUUUUUAAAAAAUUAUUUAGGGAUAUAUAUGAUUCUUCUAUCAAAGUUCAAGGUAUAUUUUAAUUUUUUUCUUACAUAAAUUAUUUUUUGACCUCUUUUAUUAUAAUUAUUUGAGUUUCUUAUUUUAUUUUAUUUUUUUCUUUCAUUCCUUAGUUUAAAGAAAAAAAUUUAAACUAUUUUUUGUGUCUAUAUUGUAAUUUGAUUUAUAUAUUCGAACAAAAAAUUGGUCAUCUUUACAAGAAUAUUAGUGAAACAUAAACAAAUUUGAUUAUCAAAAUAAUAAUUUUGAAUUAGUCAUUGAAACAAAAAAAUAAAAAAAAGUAUAUUUGACGAGGAUUAAAUUUACUUAUAUGAGAUUAUAUUUUUGUAGAAAAAAUAAUAAAAAGUUGAAAUAAAAUUAUAUUUUUUUCAUUUCCGUUAGAGAAAAAGGGCAUAUGUGACUCAUUUGGUUACAGGCAGUGUUAUAUAUGAGUCACUUUCGUAACAAAUGGUAUAUCAGCUCUAAAUGACAAAGUUGAAGGAUAUAUCAGACUCUUCUCCCUUAUUAAUAAUCCACACCCAAAAACAACAAUUAUUAUAGAGUUUCAAAUUUCAUAUAUAAAACUUUUAAUUAGCGUCGCUUAUCAUUAUACGUUAGAAUGAUUUACUUAUUUAUUCAUAUAAAGAACUACAUACAUAUUAUUAUUAAUUAGAAAAUCGUAAGCAUAAAAAGAAAAAAAAAAUGACAAAAAUCAAACACCCAUAAAUACAUUCAUUAUGUGAGAGACUAAUAUCAUUAGACUAUAAGCCUCAAUAUUAAGAACCAUAAGAUAAAUCUCAAGUUAUAUUAAAAGCUUAUUUCAAAGGAAUAAAAAAUUAGGAAUUUAUCUCAAUAUUAAGAAGUCAUAAUUCAUGAGGUUAAAAAAUCCUAGCUUAUUUAUAUUUAAUAUAUAUAUAUACUUUCCAUCAAAUCAAGAAUUUUUAUUGACAAUUUGCAUAUAUAGAAUCAUAUUCUAAUAUGACAUAUAUAUUCCCUUCACAACAUUUCUAAUGGGUGCAGCCUUUUUUUAAAAAAUGUGUCGAUUCAUUAUUAGUUUGAUAACCAAAAAAAAAAAAAAAGGUGGGUGGGUGUGUUGGGGGGGGGGUCACAUAUUCGAUUUUUAAAAUUAUUAGUUAUUAUUGUUUCAAUUUAAUUUAACAUGAUUUGGUAUUUUAAUGUUCAAUUUUGAUAUUUUGCUAUAUGACAAAUUAAUAAUCAUAGUUUGUUCAACUUCGGUUAAUAUAUACUUGUGUAAUAAGUACUACGAUUUCGACAAUCAAAACAAACUUAAUUGUAUAAUACGUAUAAUUCCUUUUUUUUAUAGAGUACGUAGUCAAAAUUUCAACUUGUAAACAAUUAAUUUAUAUUAAUACUAUAUUGUAUAUCCGUUAAUAUUUCAAUAAUAUAUAUGUAAUUAAUGUAACUAUAUGUUUAGAUAUGGUAUUUGAUAUUUCAAUACGUUAUAUAAUAUGACGAUUCGGUAUGGACUAUACAUACCCAGCCCUACCAACAAUGCAUUUGAUAUGAUAGACAAACAAUAUGAGUCAUCUUUUCCUAUUGUUGAUUUUCGAAAUCACCUCUCAAAAAAAAAAAGUCUCUUGAAUUCAAACGUGAAUGCCAUUAAUUACUUAUUUUUUAUUCUUUGAAAUAACUCGAUAAAUUUAGUUGAUCAUGCGUAGUAAGCUCGCUUGUUUGACCUUUUUUGAACAUGGAUUUAUAUAGCAUAUUACGUUCGAUUAACUCAAAAUUGCUAUAGUAAAAUAAGAACAACCUAUCUCAUUCGAAUAUAAAUUUAAAUAUUCUUUUCAGUUGUGUCAACUAGAAAAAGUAUAAUAUCAAUUAAGAAUGAAUAUUAUUAUUUGUUUUCUGAGUGAUACAUGAUAGAGGAAUAUAAAAACUUAGGGAUACGAAUGAAAAUUGAACGUUACAAAUUUAAAAUGUUAAGUAAUUAGAAGCACUAAUUAUACUCUUUGUCAACAAAGCAAAAAGAGGAAUCUAGACUUUGUUGUUCUUGUAGCUUUACUUUACUAGGGAGAAAAAAAAAUUAAUUGUUUACAAUCAAAUAAUUGUUUAGGUUCAUAUGAUUGCUUUAUCUCAACUUAGAAGGGACAAUAAUGUACUUCCAAAAAUUAUAUAAAUAUUACUUUAUUUAGAUAUGUCAAGAACUAAAUUCGUGUGGCACGUAUCGUUUUGAUUCAAUAAAUAUUAUGAAUAUGUUAUUAUAAUUAUAUCAUUAUCUGAUGCAAAAGUACACGUAUCAUGUUAAUUUUCGUAUGUCAUAUAAGCUUAUUACUUUUUUCUUUCAAUUUGAUAAAAAUUUAUCUAAAAUAUCACGUGCGAUUAAACAUCAAAAAUUUAUUAAUCAAAAAACAAUUUAACAUUUUAUUAAUUAUGAUAAUCGAUAAAUUAAAUCGAACAAACGGAUAAAUAGCACUUUACUUGCCGGCUAGCUUUACAUAUUUUAUAACUAUAACAAACUAAAAGUUAAAUGUCUAAUUAUUAAUACGUAAUUCGAUUGACUUUUGUUAAAAAAAAAUAAAAAAAUUAAGAUCCUAAUAUAACCCUUGACAAAUCAAUAAUUGAGUUGAGGGUCACUAAGUACUAGUGAUUUUUUUCAAGUUCUUUUUUUUUAUUUAAAUAAUAUUAAAUCAUUAAUAUAAUUAUUUAAUCUUUGAUAUUCAUAUUAAAUUUUGAUAAAAUUUAAAUUUAUAUAAAAAAUUCUACGUUAUAAGUUCCUCAUAACAAAUGUGAUGUCAUAUCCUCAACUCAUAUUUUAUUUUAUUUUUCAUUCGAUGUCCGAUACUCGCGGCAAAAUAACGAAUAAAGUUAUGGAAGGCACAUAACAUUUUGACUCUUUUUUAAAGAUACACACGUGAGUGUCACAUGCAAAAUGGGAGAGUAGUUGGAGGCAUCAAAACUACUCACGGAGGCUAAAAACGUGGUGGGUCCCACUUUAACAGCAAGUGGACCCUACAUGGUAUAUUUUUUGAAAAUUAAUUAUUAAGAACAAAAUAGAAUAUACAAUAACAACGUAUUAUCAAUAUAUUCUUACAAGUGAGAUCUCGAAAGACAAAAAGAUGAUAUAUAUAUACUAUCAGUAUAUUUUUACAAGUGAAAUUUUUAAAGUCGAAAGAGUGAUAUAUAUAUAUAUAUAUAUAGUAUUAAUCAUAUUUUGUUAUGUUUAAUUAACUCAAUUCGAACCUAACAAAAUCAGUAAGAGAAGAAGAUAAUAUAUCAAUAACUUAAAAUACAGUAAUUGAAAAAAAAACAUAUAUAUAGUAAAUUCAAUGAGUACAAACUUGAAAAGUAUUUAAAUUAUUUAACCAUAUGUAUAUGAAACAUUUUUUUAAAAGUAGGUAAUUGUAUUAUACAUAAUCAUUAAUCACAUAAAUAAUUAGUUUAUGCAUUAUGAAUAAUUCUCACUUUGUAAAUUGUUAGAACAUAACAUUAUUAUAAAAUCACUCAAAAACUAAAAAAAAAAUCAAUAUUCAUAGCAUAUUUUCAACUUAAAAAAUAAAUAAUAUUUUUUUAAAUUCCACAAUUUUUAUAUCGAAACUUUCACUAGAUUUUCUCCAAUUAAAUUUCAAACAUUUGACUAAAAUAUUUUUUUCAAAAUGAUUUUUUAAAAAAAUAAACCUCCAAUUAUUACAAUUGAAUGGAUAAUUAAAAAAAUCACAAGAUUAUCGCCGCCACGUGCGGUGUCUGAUAGUCAAAAAGAUUUAUUUUUUUCCGUAAAUUAAAAAUAAAACAAAAAAUACGUGUCAGUUUAUGAUUGGCUGUAUGACGUGUGAUUUGGACCUUUAUGGAAACAAGGAGACAUCGGUUCAAUCGCCCGACCCGUUACGUAAGCGACCCGUAAUCUAUUCAAAGACAUAAAUACCCCUUUGAUUAAAUUUAUUGGCAGUCAUAUCCUAACAAGUAAUAAGACAGGUAUUCUUCAUGUUAAUGUGUACUUUCACUUGUCAUGUAGCAAUCAUUUGGCCUAUUCAUAUAUUUUGCCUUUUCAUUAUUAUAAUCGAGCAAUUAAAUAUAUGAUAAAAUAUUAAUAUUAAACGAGUUUGAUUCAAAAUUUAAAAAUGUAUUUUACUCAUAUUGCGAGAUCGAAAUGUAAACGUGAAGUCAGUAUUAAGAGUUCAGGGUUCUAAAUUUUCUUCUCCUUCCUUACCAUUGAACUAUUAGUAAGUUUUUCUUUUUAAGGGUUCACAAGUUAUAAUUCCUUAAUUUUGUCAUAUAAUAAUAGGGUCUACGAAAAAACUAUUAUAUUCGUUCGACGUAUGAACCCCCACCUAUUUUCGCUCAGUCAGAAUGUAUUUACAUUCAGUUAGUCAAAUUAAGGAGUGUUUUUAAGACUAUUAAUAAUUCGAAGAUGAAACUAAUAAUUCAUUAUCGAAAUGUUUUCAGUAUUUUUGUCAUGUCUUCUUUUAAGUAUUAGCUAACAUGCAUUAGGCUCAAAAGUAUUUUUAAGAUUAUCAAUAGUUUGAAGCUGAAAUUAAUAAUUUGGUGUCAAAAUAUUUUCAAUAUUUUUGUCGUCUCUUCAUUUUAGUUAGCAUGCAUUAGCCUCAAUAAGUCGUAAAAUAUGAAGUUCAUUUUUAUUGAGCAUCUAACUAUCUAAAUUUUGUUGAAUUUGGACGAAUGAUCUAGUUAUUUAGCAAUAAAAUUUGCAUAUUUAUUUAAAUUAACAAAAGAAGUAUAAUAAGUCAUGAACAAUUUAAAUGAAAUAAAAAAUACAAUAAAAUUUUAAGAAUUUGAACUUAAAAUAAUUUGUUUCACGUGAAAUGAAUCAAGAAGUAUAAGAUUUUGACUACAAAGUAAUUUAUAAAUACAGAAUAUUAAUUAUUAUUUUACUAAUACAAGUGUUAAAUUAGUCAAGUAAUUGUAUAAAUUAGAGGAACUUAAUUGUAUAACUAAAUCGAACAUUUCUUUCUUGGUAAAUGAAUUCGAAAGGAUGUAAUUUUAUUUUAUUUUAUUUUCCUCAAUGUGAAAAUAAUUGACGUCUUUUCCACAUUCUAAACGCCUUCUCAAAUUAUUUAUUUAUUUUUAUCAGCAUUUAUGUAUGAAUAAUAUGAUAAAAAUAUGUUAACAGUUACAAUUUGCAAAAAAGAUUUCAUUCCUUAAAUGUGAUAAAUAAUAUUAAUUUUCCAAUAGUAGUACAUAGCAUAUCCAAUAAUCAAUAUGCAAUUUCGCCAUAUUUUUUAAUUGAAGAGGUAUAUCGAAAAUUACUUUUCUAUUUUUAUAAAAUAAAAAUAAAAUUACAUAUUUUUAUAUGAAAAUAACACCAAGUCAAUAUUUUCUAUUAUUGUAUAUCUCUGCUAUAAUAAAUGUGCAUAUCGCGACAAAUUGAGAUAAUUUUAAAUUUAUUCAAAUUAAAUAAUUAUUUGCAUGGAAAUAACGCAAUGUUAAUGUUUUAUCAUAUUUAAUUAUAUAAUAAAUGUGCAUAUCACGACAAAUAAAAAUUAUUCAAAUUUGAAAUAAAUAUAAAUUUACUUUAGUAUAAAAUAUUCAAACUUGAAACAAAAAUGAUUUAUUUCAAUAUUCAAAAAGUCAAAAUAAUAGUAACUGCAAAAAUAUGGAUUUGCAGCUAUCAAAUUACUCCAAGAUCACAUAAAUAUUGUUUUCCAUCUUUAUUUUCUCCAUGUUAUUUAAAAAAAAAAACAAAUGGCAAUUCCAAUUUAAUUUAAUCAUAACUACAAAAGAAUAAAGGAAAACAGUUUUAAUUUUCUUUAUUAGAUUAAUGAUAAAUAUAAAUAUAUUUAUCACUAUUACAUAUUCCAUGAUAUUAUCUUAAUUUUUAAUUAAUUUAAUCUAAAUAUCAUGUGAAUAUAAUAAUAAUUUCCCAUUCGAAAUAUAGAGUAGGGAAAUAAAGGAAAAUAAUUUAGUAUAAGGAAAAUACCGUAAACUUUGACCAAUAUUUGAUAUAUAUAUUUGUUUCAUAGUAUUAAUAUGAAAAAGAUUACGAGUAUAAAUUUUGAAUAUCUAUCUUAUCAAAAAUUUUGAAUAUCUAUCUUAUCAAACAUUUUAAUUAAUUUAACCUAAAUAUCAUGUGAUAAUAAUAGUAAAUUCCCAUUGGAAAUAUAGACUAGGUAAAUAAAAGGAAAAUAAAUGUAGUAGUAGAAAACAUGGAAAAUAUUAUAAACUUUGACCAAUAUUUAAUAUAUAUUUUUGCAUAAUAUUAAUAUAGAAAGGAUUACAAAUAUAGAUUUUCAAUAUCUAAAUUAUCAAAAUAGUUUAAUCAACUUAAUUUAAAUGUCAUGUGAAAAAACAAUAAUUUCCUAUUGGAAAUAUAGAGUAGGCAAAUAAAAGGAAAAUAAUGUAGUAGAAAACAAGGAAAAUACUAUAAACUUUGACCAAUAUUAUAAAUAUUUUUUCAUAGUAUUAAUAUAAAAAAAAUUACAAAUAUAGAUUUUUAAUAUCUAAAUUAUCAAACAAUUUAAUUAAUUCAACCUAAGUAUCAUGUGAUAAUAAUAGUAAUUUCCUAUUGGAAAUAUAGAUUAGGUAAACAAAAGGAAAAUAAUGUAGUGGAAAACAAGGAAAAUACUAUGAAAAAAUAUGUAAUUUUAUUAUACAUGUGAAAAAAAAUUACAAAUAUAAAUUAUACAUAAUUAAUGUAUAAAAAAAUUAAUAUUAAUAUAAAAAAGAUUACAAAUGUAGAUUUUAAAUAUCUAAAUUAUACAAAAUUAAUUAAUUAAUUUAAUCUUAAUAUCAUGAGAAAAUAAUAAUAAUUUCCUAUUGGAAAUAUGGAGUAGGAAACUAAUUUAGUAGAAAAUAAGGAAAAUACUAUAAACUUUGACCAACAUUUAAUAUAGAGUAGGAAACUAAUUUAGUAAAAAUAAGGAAAAUAUUAUAAACUUUGAACAAAAUAUAUACAUAUAUAUACGAAAAAGAUUACAUAUAUAGAUUUUAAAUAUCUAAAUUAUAUAUAAAAAAAAUUAAUUAAUAAUCUAAAUAUCAUGUGAAAAUAAUGAUAAUUUCCCAAUGGGAAUACAGAGUAGGAAAAUAAAAGGAAAUAAUUUAGUAAAAAUUUUAUAAAAACACUAUAAACUUUGACCAAUAUUCAAUAUAUAUUUUUUCAUAGUACUAAUUAUAUAAAAAAGAUUUCAAAUAUCAAUUUUAAAUAUCUAAAUUAUACACUACUUAAUUAAUUCAUUUAAUCUAAAUAUCAUGAGAAAAUAAUAAAAAAUUUCCGUAGGAAAUAUAGAACAGGGAAAUAAAAGGAAAAUAAUUUUGUAUAAGAUAAGGAAAUUUCUAUAAACUUUGACCAAUAUAUAUAUAUAUAUAAAAAUAUAUAUAUAUAUAUAUAUAAUUUGAAUAUCUUAAUUAUAUAUAUAAAAAAUUAAUUAAUAAUCUAAAUAUCAUGUGAAAAAUAAUAAUUUCCCAUUGCAAAUAUAGAGUAGGGAAAUAAAAAAGAAAAUAAUUUUGUAGCAAAAAGGAAAAUACUAUAAACUUUGACUAAUAUUUAAUACAUGCUUUUCAUAAUAGUAAUAUGAAAAAGAUUACAAAUAUAAAUUUUGACUAUCUAAAUUAUACAAACUUAAUUAAUUCAUUUAAUCUAAAUAUCAUGUGAAAAUAAAAAUAAUUUCCCAUUGGAAAUAUAAAGUAGGGAAAUAAAAAGGAAAGAAUUUUUUAGAAAAUACUAUAAACUUUGACCAAAUUUAAUAUAUAUUUUUUCAUAGCAUUAAUAUGAAAAAGAUUACUAAAAAAUAAAUAUCAUAUGAAGAAAUAUUAAUUUCCCAUUGGAAAUAUGGAGAAGGGAAUUAAAAGGAAAAUAAUCUAGUAGAAAAAAAAGAGAAAAUACUACAAAAUUUGACCAAUAUUUAAUACAUUAAUAUUUUCAUAAUAUUAAUAUAAAAAACUUACAAGUAUAAAUUUUGAGUAUUUAAAUUAUAUAAAUAUUAAAUUUUAUAAUAUCUCUAUUUAAUUAUUAUAAAUUCCCAAUGGAAAUAUGGAGAAGAGAAAUAAAAGGAAAAUAAUCUAGUAGAAAAUAAGGAAAAUACUUUGACCAAUAUUUAAUAUAUAUUAUUUCACAAUAUUAAUAUAAAAAAAUAACAGUAUAGAUUUUAAAUAUCUAAAUUAUAUAAAUAUUUAAUUUUAUAAUAUUUUUAUUUAAUUAGUUAAUAUUUUUGACUAUAUUAUUGAACAUUUUUAGAGUUAAUAUUAUAAUUAUCAAAAACAACUUUAUUUUUAAGACACAAAUUAUUUUCUUAUUAGUGAGCGUUUUACCUCCGAUAAUAUUAAUAACUCCUUCAAAAGAGAACCAAUCUUUUUCCCCCCACCCACCCCCUAACCCCACCCACCCCACCCACUCACUAUUUAUUUAUUUUUUUCCUUUUCAUUUUUUUUUCUUCUCUCUAAACAAAAUCAAACCAAACCCUUAUUCCAUUUUUUUCUCUUUCAAUUUCUCCCUUUUGCUCUCUGUGUGUGAAAAAAACAAUGAAAAUGGAGGAUUUGGACCCAACUGCAUGUUUCAUGGUGGAUGAUGACCUUCUCAACUUCUCUUUGGAAGAUGAAACUGUUGAAGAAGAUGAUGAAAAAUCAACUAUUACUAGCAAAGACCCACUUUCUUAUUCUUCUUCGUCUUCAACAAACCCUCUUGUUAGCCUUCUUCCCCACCCUGUAAGUCACUUAAAUUUCACUGAUUGUUAAGUUUUUUUGUUCGAUUUUCACCUUUUAUACACUACCCAGAAGUUUUUAUGGACCGGAAAUGGUGUUUUCCGGUGAGUGAACAAAACUUCCGGGGGUUUGGAGGGUAUUUUGUAAAUGAUGAUGAAAAAGGUGGGUGGUUUUGAAACGGUUGUUGAGGGAAGACUGAGAAAGUUGAUUGACUGGGUGAAAGUUGAGAGGUGUUUAGAGAGAAUUGAAUUUUUUUGGACUAUUUUGCCCUUGUAACCCUAAGAAUCAUGGAUGAAUGACAUAUGGGGGACUGGUGAUUAACAAAAAAAAGUUUUUUUUUUGGAAUUUAAUUUAAUUUUUAAUUAAAAUUGGGACUUUUUUGUUGUUGAAAGAAAUGAAAUGUGGGGUUAUUUUGGGAAUUUUGAAAUGUCUACAACAUGACUUUAUAUUGGUUGUCACUAUGUUUGAGCUGUACAAAUAAAUGUGCCAUAUCAGUUUCAACUUGCAUUCCAUAAUGUACAAAGACAUUUUUGCCCCUAACAUCAAUGAUUAUUUACACUCCAUUUUGUCAAAGUUGUGAAUUGUACUAGUUGGAAAUAUUGACUUUUUGUUUCCUUUUAGUCGAGUCGAGUGUUUAUCGGAAAUGACCUAUCCACCUCACACAAGUACAUUCCUUUUGUUGGAAAAUUACAUUGUGUAACUAGUUAAAAAUAUAUUUUUUUACAUUACGUAUUGACACCCCUUGACGUCUAGGCGAUUUUACUUAUCUUUUAGUGGAAAUUCGGACUCUACCGGUGCACACACGAGAAAGGUGUAAGGUCGGUGUACAAUCCACCCUCUCCAGUCCCCACUUGUGGUGUCUCGCGGUGUAUGUUGUUGUUCUUGUACUGUGUACAAUGUCUUAAGCCUAGUACAUAACUAGAUUCCUUCCUAGAUAUUUUUUAUUUUUCGAUAUAAUCUAAAUAAUACAGUUAAUUGAUUUUUAUUAUAAGAAAACUUGUAAAUUAAACAAUUAAAUUGAAAACUUGUUUGAAAUAAGUGGCUUAGUUGAGAUUAUUAUGUAUUAACAUAUUGCAUUCUGUAGGAGUGUGUAGAGGAAGAGUUGGAAUGGCUGUCAAACAAAGAUGCAUUUCCAGCGAUAGAGUUUGGCAUUCUUUCGGAGAACCCGGGUAUGGUAUUUGAUCACCAUAGCCCGGUUUCAGUGCUGGAGAAUAGUAGCAGCACUAGUCACAGCAGUGGCAAUGGUGUUGUUAGUGGAAAUGCUUAUACGAGCUGCUGCGUCAACUUAAAAGUUCCGGUUAAUUACCCUGUUCGUGCACGGAGCAAGAGAAGACGUAGAAGACGGAGAGGUGGAUUUGCUGACAUGCCAAGCGAGCAUUGUCUGCCGGUGACACAACCGAGUUUCAAGAACGUUAAGCAGCGUGAGCCAUUGCUUUCUUUACCAAUGAAUUCAGCUAAGAGUGCUGCUAGCAUUGGGAGGAGGUGCCAACACUGUGGAGCCGAUAAGACCCCACAAUGGCGGGCAGGCCCUCUGGGGCCAAAAACACUGUGUAAUGCUUGUGGUGUGCGCUAUAAGUCAGGCAGGCUGUUACCAGAGUAUCGCCCGGCUAAUAGCCCUACUUUCUCGGCUGCUGCGCAUUCAAACUCCCACCGGAAGGUUUUGGAGAUGAGAAAGCAUAAGAUUGGUGUGGGAGGAAUGUUGAUUCAUGAAGCUUGUGGAUAUAGGGUAGGACAGUAGUGAGUCAUCUGCAGCGUCUUUUCAGAUAUUUUUCUUCAUUUACUAUAGUUAGCAUAGACUAUAGGUUUUUGUUGUAAUGGUCUUGAUGGUCGGUGAUUUGCUUUGGUUUUCCAUCAAAAUCCACUAGGAAUUUUGAACUAGUUUGUUUUAUUAUAUGCUUUUAAGAUAGAAAUCCAGAAAGAAGAGCUCCUAACAAAGAUUUGGUUGUUUUUUUAAUCCUUCCUUCUUACCUCUGUCAUUUGCAUGGAUUGGAAAUGAUACAUUUUUGAAUCUUGAGAAUGAUGUUUGUGGCAGUUGCUGGGAAUGUACUUGCUAAGCAGUUUUAACAGUUGCAGAAGGUGGUGUUCGCUCGAGAUGGAGGUAUUGAAGUUUACAGUGUUCUAAUUGUUUCAGGGGUUUGAUCAUCUUGCUUUGGUUUUUACCCCUUUAUGUAACGAAGCGUUCUGCAAUGUAUUGUCUAUUUGUUUGAAUAAAAGAAAGAAGAUGGAACUUAUAUGCAGAGUUCUCUUCUCAUUGUUGAAUGAUGAUUAUAUUCUGAGCAGUCUUCAUGUUUGAUUUUUGAAGCUGAAGAGUUGUUUGCUAGACGAUUCUGAAACUCGAAUCUGAGGGCUUCUUUGUUUUCUAUGUUGAGUUAACUCUACUUGUUCGACCAAAAAAGCAGUGAGUUUAACAUAAUGACCUUAUGUUGACUAUGAUUUGCUUGUUUUUCUUGUUCUAAGUAAGUGUUUUUGGCUUGAUAUACUAGUGCUGAAGGACUAGUAUGAAAUGUUGAGUUGGGACACAGAUAUUGAGUUGGUCUCUUGUAGUAUAAUCUGUAAUAUUUGGUGUUUGUGUCACAGGUUGAGUACAUCUCGAUUAAUUCAUGGAGUAUCGCUACCUCAUUCCAGCACACGUGCUAGUAACUCUGUCCUCCAUAGUUGGAAAUUGCUUAUUGUUUUUGUUUUUGCUGAAAUUUGAACCUCGGCUGAGUUAUUCAGUACCUGUGCUGGUGCGAGUCAACAUGUAUCGAGUAAAAUACUUCAAGUUUUUGUUGGGACAAGAUUUGACAAUGUCCACCAAUUUUUUUAAAUCUAGUUUAUUAGCUCAUUAGUUAGGUAAGAGUAGAAGUGACAAUACAAAAUGUUUAGUGAUUUUUUUUGUUUCUUUGUUUUGUGCUUAUCAGUGACUUGGAUUCUAUCUUUUAAUAGUGGUCUUGGUUGGCUUUUUUCUUUGAUCUUGAUGGCUUUAACAUUUGCUUUUAAGUCAGUUCCUGUAGAUGACACUGAACUUUUGUUGUGUUGUGCAUUUUAUAAACCUUAUUGUUUGUGAAUUAUAUCAAUUUUAUACUAGAUUUUUUUACAUAUUAGUCAAAGGCGGCUGCACUCAUAUACUAUAUAUGUAUUUCUCUGAGUGGCUGCUAUUUUCUCAUGGUGUCACUAAUAUGUGUGUUGUUUGCUAGUUUAUGGUCACAUAUGAUGAUGACAAUAAUGAGUGAUUUUAAAUGAUUUACUUGCUUUGACUCAUUGCAUAGUUUCAAGGUUCAGGUUGUUCGGUGUACGAAACAUUUUACAUGAAUGCAAGGUGUCCUACUCCUAGGGUAUGUGUUUUACUUGUAGGUGGCUUGCCUCGACACAAGUAUUACUGUCGGUGACACAAGUAAAUUAUUGCUUCAAAUUGUGGCCCUAACUCGAGACCAACUUGAGAAUCGACCAUGAUUUGGGACUUGACUCCCGAACUCAUUGCCUGACCCUAACCCUUGACGUGAGACCGACAUGAGAAUUAACCCUGACUUGGGACUCGACUCCCGACCUCAUCCCUCGACUUGGGACUCAGAAUUCAAACCUAAACUAUUCCAAACCCAAGACCCGACUCUCGACCUUGACCUUUCCAUCCGAGGUCGGUUCGUAGGGUCGGGGCAAAGUCGAAUUUUGGUGAAUUGUACUUUGACUUUAAAUGUAAUGUAGAUAAACAUAAUUAGAAACUAUUUCUUUAAAAAUUGAUGAUCAAAUUAUCAGAUUUAUAAUAUUGAAGUCUAAAGUAAAUUAUUAUCUAUCACCUAACUCAGUUUGUCAUGCGACCCGCUUUUACCCUUAUAAAAUAUAAACAGACUAAAUUAUUUCAUAUUUUAUAUUGACUGCUCUCAAUCCGUCCAUUUGUCAUCACUAAAUUAGUGAACAUAAAUAAGAGUUUGCUAGGGUACUAUUAGUGGUUAUAAAUACAAAGCAUAUUCAUAGGCCAGCUCUUAUGGAUAAACCUAUAUUAGGAGAUAUUUUUUCUUUGCCAAUUUGACAACUUAUUUGCACUACAUAAUUAAUACUCAAUGCCUUUAAAUAAUAAUUCACUACCAUGCUAGCUUUUUUUACAAAUCAAAUUAUGGUUCCUUUCGAAUAUUUACCUUUUUUUAAUAAAUGUUUUUGACCGAUUAUAAAAAUUCUGACUCCCAUACUAAUAAAAUAACUCAUACAAUCCAUGACUAAGCUACAAUUUUCUUGUGUACAAUGAAUGAAUGGUCUUUUCAUGUUUGGUUUCAUUGAGAGAAUAAGUGAGACAUGUGUCCCAUGUCUACAAAAGAAAUAUUCACAUACAAUAAGUAGGACAUCACACAAUCUAUGUGAAGAUUUUCUUUUAGGUUUUAGUGGUGGAUAUAUUCCUUUUAUAUAUAUAUAUAUAUAUAUUUUAUUUUUUUUUUGAACUUCCUAAUUUCUAAAAUUAGCAUUAUUGGUAUUGUAUAAACUAUUGAUACAAUAUAAAAUAGUUUUUUAUGAAAUGAUUUGCAUAUGUUUGAAUUAUUUACACAUUUGAAAGUAUAUAUGUGUGUGUAUUUGUUGAUCCAAAUAUCAAAAAAGAAAAAAAAACAAGAGUGUGCAAAAGCCUAAACGAUCAAUAAAUCGAAUCGAUUUAUUGUUAUUCAGUUAUUGGUCAACAAUAUUUCAAUGGUUUUAUAUAAGAAAAUUGUCGAUUUGUUUUUGGCUCUUUAAUAUUGGGCUAUAUGGUUUAUCGAUAAUUCAUUAAGAGGAUAGCAAUUUAUUCCUUACCUCUACAUAAAUAUUAAAUAUUAAAAUCACUUAUUUUAUUUACUAGUUAUUGUCUUUGCCCUUUAUCCUUCUAUUCACACUAUUGACCCAAUUCUUUUAUUUGUGUUUACACCUGUAUAGUUCUUUUCGUGUUUGUUCUCUUUAUUUUAUGAGCAUUCUUCAAAAGUUACAUUAUUGUCCAUUCAACAGUUGGAUUAAAUUAUUGGAGAAGUCAUAUAUUUAUUGUAAGAACAUUUUUUUAUUGGUUAAACAAAAGAUCAAACCAGAAAAAAUUAAGAUCAAUACACCAAAAAUCGAAAAAGUAUUUUAUUAACUUAGUAUACUCAAAAAUUAAUAAUUAAUAAUACAUAAAAUCAAACCGAACUGAUAGUUUCCCAUAUCACCUUUAUCUCACCCAUUUGUUUGAAAAGAAAUGUGAUAGAGGGUAGGCCCUAUUUGGCCCAAUAAUAAUACACUAAUCUAACUUCAAUUGUGUGGUAGCUAGCUAUGUUUGUUUGCCUAGUGAAAUUUCUCUUUCAAAAAUCAAUGAAAAAAUAUAGAAUUUUUUCAAUAAUUUAAAACAUUGUUUUUCAUCUUUGGUCACAAAAUGGGCCUAAAUUGUAAGACAUUUCACACAUUAUUUCAUCAAUAAUUAAGGUUGUCCCUAUAUGAAUAAGCAAAAAAUUAACUCUAGUAAUUAUGAUAUCUUAAAAGAAUCUCUUAAACUAAUUAUCAUAAAAUCAUAAUGAAUAUGAGUGCUAUACUUAUUCACAUUUAAAAGUUUUACAAUUAAUUACUUUGAAAAUAGUGGAACUAGUUUUUAAUUCAUCCAUUUCAUAAUUAAUAGGGGUAAAAUGGUCAACUCACUAUAUGAAUUUGUUUUCUUAAUCAGUAUGCAAAUUCAAAAGUGGACAAAUAAGAGAGUUUGACAUUACACCCCACAUUGGUCGUACUCGAUGCACGAGACUUAUCUAAUUUUGUAGUUUUUUUUCUUGUAUGAUUUGUCGGCUACUCCCCCGUCCCUUUUUACUCGUCUAAUUUUAACUCUUCAGUUAUUAUUUUUGACAAAUUAAGAAAAUAUAAUAUAUUUUUUUUAUCUAUUACGCCUUAAAUGCUUCAACAUUGAAAUAAUCAACCAAAAACCAUAAAUACGAACUCAUUCAAUGUUGAAAAGAAUGCCAUAUAAAACCGUUAUUAUGACUCUUUAUUUAGAAAAAUAAAUGUUAUUUUUCUUCUAUUUUCUUAAAAAAAAUAAAAGAAAAUAGUCAAUUUUUUAUUGUAAAAUUAUCCAAAGGCACGCAAUUUUAUUGUUUGUUAUAUUUUCAAUUCGUUCAUAUUAGCAAAUCGUAUCAUAUAUGCGAGUCCGAAACUAAAACGGUACGAAAUUUUAACAAAAAUUUCAAAACGGUAAAUAAAAUUUUAUAUUAACCAAAACGGUAAAAUCGCUGCAGGCGCAGCGACUUAUCUCACCUGAAAAAGUAAAAUCGCUGCUGAGGUAGCGAUUUUGCAAAAAUUAUUUUUUUUUAAUAAAAAAUUGAAAUCGCUGCCUAAGCAGCGAUUUCAAAAUUUUGCUUCUUCCAAAUCGCUGCUUUGGCAGCGAUUUCAUAUUAUUUUUUAAUUAGAAUUUUUUUUUUAAAAAAAAAAGGUAUAUCGCUGCAGUGCCAGCGAUUUAUAUUAUAAAAAAAUAAUUUUUUUUGGUAAAUCGCUUCACUGGCAGCGAUAUACCUUAUUUUUUUAAAAAAAAAAUUAUAAUUAAAAAAUAAUAAGAAAUCGCUGCCAAAGCAGCGAUUUGGAAGAAGCAAAAUUUUGAAAUCGCUGCUUAGGCAGCGAUUUCAGUUUUUUAUUAAAAAAUAAUAAUUUUUUCAAAAUCGCUGCCUCAGCAGCGAUUUUACUUUUUCAGGUGAGGUAAGUCACUGCGCCUGCAGCGAUUUUACCGUUUAGGUUAAUAUAAAAUUUUAUAUACCGUUUUGGAAUUUUUGUUAAAAUUUUGUACCGUUUUAGUUUCGGAUUCUCAUAUAUGCUUACGCUAACAUUUACGAUUUGCUCAUCAAUUAGGGACCAUAAGUGUAAUUAUACGUUCUAAUUAGUAAUAAUUAUGAUUGCUAAUGAGAAAUAUUAGACAAAAUCAUCACAAACACAUAAAAAAAAGAAUUAAAAAAUAUUUUUUUUUAAUAAAGAUCAGAAGCAUAUGAUUGAGAAGAUAUUUUUGUUUAAUUAUUUUGGUCGGUUAACCCUAACAUGCAUAGCACAUGGAACAAAAAGAUACUUAUUGCUCUAAUUAAAUAGAGAUAAUUAUUAGUGCAUGGAAAUUUUGAUAAAUAUAAUUUUAAAAUUUUAGUGCAUCUAAUGCAUUUCCUCCUCUAUUUUUUUUUUUAAAAUAAUAUUGUUGGUAGGAAUUGUCUGUAAUUUAGUAGGAGUAAAAAUAAAUUAUUUUUAUCAAUCGUGAGACUGAUCGAGUAUAUCUUUAAUAGAUGAGAAGUUUUUAUAAAGCAGGUUAAAAUAAAUAGUAAUUGCUAAGUUUAAAUGAGAAAUGAAUAGUUAUUUAGACAAAAAUAAAUCGAGAAGUUAAAUUUAAUGAGUUUAAAAUUUAAGAUAUUUGAUAAUAAAUGUAUUAAAUCAUUCAAAUUAUGAAAUCGAUUUUUAUAUGAUAUGAUAAAAACAAUAUCUAUAUAAGAAAAGAGAAAGAGUAUAUAAAGAUAAAUUAUCGAUUCAUAUCUCGAAAGAUUUUACACUUUUCUUAGGAAAAAGUUUUAUGUCUUGUUUCGAUUAAUCUAAAGAUUAUAUAAAACUUUCUAAUUAUUUACAUAAAGUUAUUUUCUUUGGGUUUUGCUUCCAAAGCCAAAAAACUUUUUCUUUUUUUGACUUUUAUAAGAAAGCACGUGCCUUUUUGUUAUAAUAAAAAACUUAAUGGGAAAGGUUCAAAUUUGGUAUAUGAAGGGAAAUGUUUUCUUAUUAAUUUUUUUAUUAAAAAAAAUAAGUAAUUUAUUUAUUUAUUUUCUAGUGUUAGGUAAGUAAGUAGAAAAAUAAAAAAAAAAUAUUCCGAAAAUAUCUCUUUAAGUAAUUAAAAAAAUGAGGGUAGGUGUCAUGGAAUUGGGGUGGGGUGGUCAAGGUACUAAAAUACGAUUCAUAAAAGUUGUUUUAUUUCCUCACUUUAUAGAAGUAUUUCUCGAACUUUAAGAAAAUUGUUUUUCAGUAAAAUAUUUGAUAUAUAUAUAUAAUUUAAAGAAAAUAAAUGUACGCUCUUACUCAUCAAUUUUAGGGUUUUGUUUAUGGUUCGAAAUAAGUCUCGGGUUAACCUCUAUUAUAAGUUGAUUAUUAGUAGCUUAGUCGAUUGGUUACCCAAGGUCUGAUGAUCCAAUUUUGCGUUUUGUAAUUUUCUUCCACUACCUCGUUUAUUUUUUUUUAUAAAAAAAUAUAUAUUAUAAUUAAAAACACAAUUAAAGUUAAGUGUGGGUAUUGGGCCUUGUUUAGAUGGUUUGGGAUGUUUAGAAAGAAAAGUGGACAGGCCCAAUAAAAACAAGAUCAACAAUUGACAUAAUGUAGAUCAAAUUAGAGUACUAAUUAUUUCUUUUAUAUUUUCAAGGUUUCGAUUUCAAACUCCGAGUAUAAAAAAAGUUCUCCGUAUUGAGCGACAGAGUGGUUCCCUUUCACGAGGGCCUCUAUUAGUCGAGCUACUUGAUAAUCUUUCGUACUAUAAAUAUAGAUCAAUAAAGAAAUUCUUUCUUCGUUCAUUUUAAUCGUUCAGUAUUUUCACACAUAAAUUUUUUAUUUUACCUGUCACUUUUAACAUAUUAAAAAAGAUAUUUCUUUUUCUUAUUUUACCUCAACAUUAACUACUUAUUUUUCAAAGUCUAAGACUUUGCACCAAUUAAUAUGAAUAUUAAUAAUUUUUCUUACGGGAUAUACAAAAUUCAAAAUGGACAGAUAAAAAUAACAAAACGAUAAAUUAUUGAAAAUAAUAAUUAUUUCGAUCUUCUCCGCGUUAAUGAUGCAUUUGUCAGAGGAGUUUAGGUACAUCAAAUAUAUAGUAAUUAAUGUACUAAUUUAAUUAAUUAGUUUAUAAUAAUGUAUUAAUUAAUUUGGGUUUAUAUUGACCUUCAGCGUUGACCACGCUGUCAACUUUGGCCAGCUCGAUACCCGCUGAAUACAAAUUUAAUCUAAUUGCUCUUAUUGACAUUUUUACCCUUGUUUAAUUAAUAAGAUAAUUAAAUUUCCAAGGAUAAAAGAGUAAUUAUUCGAUAAUUUUGAAUAAAUUAGGCAUUUGUUUAUAUGUCGUACAACAUAAUAACGUACGAUACAAGAUUCAAAAAGAGGGGGUGGGGGUCAACUAGUUUUGAAUAUUUUUGCUAUAUAAAAUUGAAUUAUUCAUUUUUCCAAGAAUUAAAAAUAAUUUAGGUAGGCCACAUCUUGCACUGAGUAUAAUGACAGUUUUAAAAAUUUACUUACGACAUCUUAGUUUUAGAUAAAGAAAUUUUAUGAGAGAUACUGGAUAUAUAAGUAGAUAUGUUUUACAUUUUAAUGACAUGCUUUAAAGUCGUGAAGUUCUUGGCUUAAAGAGAGUAAUGUCCACUAGUGAGUCGUGCCAUUACACAAUACAUAUAUUAUUAGAGUCACUCUUAUAUUAAUCUCGUCGAUGUGAGCCAAAAUUCAAAUAAAUUAUGACAAAUUUCAGGAAACAAAUCUCAAUGUUGAGCCUAGGCAAGUUCCAUAUGAUGGGGCAAACCUCGAGACGAGAAUACUGAUUCCAUAAAAGGAGAGUGUAUUUGACAUCCCAAAUUAAGAUAAAAAUAAUUUCACAUAAACAAACUAUAGAAAUAGACAAACUAUAAAAGAGAUAUCGAGUAUAUAAAUAAACAAACAUUACAACAUCACUAGCAUAAUUUUUUUUUAACAUGAUACAUGGAUCAAUUUCUUUCAACAUGAUGUAACAUGAUGGAUAAACAUCCGCAUACAAUAUAUUUCUAAGAAUAUAUUUUACCAAAACUCAAAAUAAUUUUAUUUAUUCCAUCAUAAAUUACGAUCGAUAAAUUUUUAAAUAAAUGUAGGAAGACAAGUACAUCAAAUAUACAUAAUUAUUAAAUUUAAAAAGGCUAAGAGAAGUGUAAUUUAUUUAUUGGUUUGAUUGUGUUUGAAAGUUUUUUGAGUGGAAAAAAGAGCCAAACCCCAAGAAGAGUAAAAAAAAGAAAAUCAACAUAGGGAUUAGAUGCAAACACUCAAAAUAAUUAAAAGUCUACUCAUGAUAUGACACCUCCAUCAAAAUAUUCUUUUUGUUUUUAUAUUUUUCUUCCACACCAAUACUUUCUCCGUCCAAAAUUAUUUAUCAUAUUUUAUUUAUCGAAAAUUAAUUUAACUAAUUUUCAAUGGUAAAUUAGAUUAUUUCAAACAAAAAAGUUGGAUAUUCUAAAACUAUAUGAAAAGUACUAUAAAUUACAAUUUUUUGCAUAUUAAUAUAAUAAAAAAAUACAUCUUAAAAUGUUAGUCAAAUUUUUUUUAGUUUGACUCUAAAUAUAGAAACCAUGACAAACAUUACCGGAUUGAGGGAGUAUCAUUUCUAUUCUCUUUUAAUUCCAAAUACCAUUUGAAAUUUAGUUCCACAUAAUGUUUUAUUUUUUAAAUUAGUUUAUAAGUCUCAGUUAAUUUAAAUUUAUAUCGUAUAAAAUAUGUGUAAGGUUAUUUUAUAUUUUUGGCCUACUCAAUUUUUUUUAUCAAUAAUAAGGAAAUCAUAUCUAUAUCAUUGUAACUCUUAGUAAUUAUUGCAGUAAAAAAUACUUAUCUCUUAUGUAUGAUAUAAAAGUUAAUUGAUUUUUUGUAAAAAUAUUAAUUUUUUAUCCAACAAUAUUUGUCUACUAUUGAUUGUGCAUACUUCUUAAAAAAUUAUAAAUAGAAGGGUAUUUAAUCAUAUUACCCUUUGAAUAUAUUUAAAAAUAUAGCAGAAAAAUUAUUAUAAUUAAUGAUAAGGAUAAAUUAUGAACUAUAUGUAAAAUUAUCUAUUGAUUUCAUAAACUGAAUAAUUACCAUUGGACUAGCUAAUAUAGUAUAAUGGACAUCUAUUAUUAUUAAACGAAAAAAUUACUCAGAGCAAUAUAUGAAGAAUCAAUAUUAUUCUCCAUCCCUUUUCUCUAUUUUUUUCCCCAAAGUUUUUGAAGGAAAAUUUUCCAUUAAUUUUGAUAUUUUUUAAGUUUUAAAACAAAUGACCACUAAUAGAAUUAUACACUAUAGUUUAUUACAUUUGAUUGUCCACCAAAAAUGGAACCCUACCAAUUUUUUUCAAGGAUCAAAUAAUUAAUACCAAAGACUAAUCACCAAUAUAGGUUUGUGUGAAUCAUUGAUUUUGACAUAAAGUAAGUGCUUUAAGAGGCUAUCAACUUCAAUACUCAUGGUUCCAUUGGUCCACAUUUUUUUUUUGAGUUUGGUAGGUCCCACCUUAUACUUGGUUGCAAAAUGGGUCCCACUUGAAAUUGGUGUUUAGAACCAAAAAGGAAAGAAAAUAGACAAAAAAAAUAUUUGGGUGUUUUAUCUUUAAUAUAAGAUGGUAAUAUUAUAUCAUCAAUAAUUAGAUAAAUACAUUAUACAUAGUCUAUAUGAGUUUCAUUUUAGAAUACCUUUAAUUAUGAAAAUUAUUUUUAUCAUAUUUAUCGUUUAACUGAAUAAACGAAUAUAGAAGGAUUGAAAUUGAACAAGUGAAAAUAAGAAUGUUGUGUUCUUCAAAACGAUGUUUAUCUAUGAACGUUCAAAUCGAUCCCUCAACAACCUACAAUCAAGAAGGUUGUAAUUUUCACAGCUAUAUAUAUUAGUUAUAUAGUUUCAAAUAUUAUCGAAUUCGAUCAUGAUAUGAGUUAUUUAUGUCCUUACAAUAAUAUCGACUCUACUUGAGUAUGACUUACCUGCUUUUCACUCAUAUAAAAUUUCAAAACUCAAUUUUCCUUCUAGUUAUGAGUCAAAGCGAUAAACUACAUAAUACCAUCAUGAAAUGUCAUAAUCGGAAGUCUCGUAUUCAAAUUUCACGAAUAGAGUACAUUAGAAAAUGAUACCAUAGCAAAGCAUCACAUCUGACUUCAUUUUCACUACACACAAUUUUCAGUGCCAAAAGAAACCCCCCAAAAAAAACAAUUUAAAACAAAAACUCCAAAACCUGUCCUAAUCUCAGAAUUCCACAAUAAAUAAAUUAUUUGCAUUUAUUAACUUGUAAUGCCUAAAAGGUUCACAAAUUUUUAUACUUUUUCAAGCACUCAAAAAGGCUAACUUUAUGAUAUAGAGAAGCCAAAAGAGAUUAGGACUUUUGAGAUAGAGUGAAAUUAAAGAAUCAAAGAUAUUAUAUAUAAAUUAGAAGAAGAAAAAAUACAUCAAGCUAUUUUGAAGUCCUCAUCAUCAUCAUAUAUAUUGAAGAAAUUAAAGCUUAGUGAAAGCAUGCUUUGUCUGCCAUUAAAGCUUCAAUGAAGAACUCAUAUCCAUCCUUUCCAUUUACCUAAAAGAUCCUUCACUAUCAUUGCCAUUUGGAAAAGAAUUGGUUUUUUGAGUUAUAUUUUCUUUGAAUAAAAUAAAGGGGUUUUCUUGAUUCAGUGUAUUUGAGUUUUUCCUUUUUUUUUUUUUUGGCUUGUCCUGAAAUAAAGGUUGAAUCUUUCUCAUUUUUAUCCAACCCUUUUUUCAAAAUCUUGCAUGUAUAUAGGAAGAUCCCCACCAUUAUUGGAAAAAUGUUGGAGGUUCUUGGUUUUAGAUAUAGUAUAAUCUUUGAUUUUAUCUUUUCCUCAAUUCAUGAAUUCUAUGGUCUUUGCUCUGUCAUCAUCUAAAGGAAUUACUUGAAAGUUCUUUGCUUUUUCUGGGUGUUUGGUGGAAUUCAGCUCUUUUUGACAAGGUGAUGGACUCAAUAGCCUAGAGGUAUGCUAAAGCUUAGAUCUUUAAUGAGUUUCUUAUUUAUUCCUGAAUUCCUCAUUAUUUAGUUGAGUUUUUUGGGCAUUUCUGAGUUGAUUGGAGUCUUUGAAGUUAGUUGAUUAAUUGGUAUAUAUAGAACUUUUUCUGGUUUGUCUAGUUUGUCUAGUUAGUAUUGUCUCUUCUUGAUGAUUGACCUUAAGGGUGUGGAGGGUAGGACUUGGAUUAGGAUAGUAGGUGGGCGGUGACAAUGCGUUGUCUUGUUGUCCGUUCAUAUUGGUAGACAUACUAUUGCUCAUUCUGUUACUAUCUAUUGAUUCCUUAUACCUUGAUUGUGUACUGUUUUGUUGUAGUUUCUGUUCUGCUACUCUCUAUUGUUUUGCUAUUAUGUGUUGAUUCUUGUAUUUCCUUUACUUCUUUUUCUGGACUGUUUUUCUUUGAGCCGAGGGGCUAUAGAAACACCUCCCUACCUCUGAGAUAGGGGUAAGGUUUGCGUACACUGUAGUCUAUACCCUCCCGAGACCCUACUUUGUAUGACUACACUGAUUAUGUUGUUGUAUUUUAUAAGUAUUGACACAUAGUUGGAUUAACAGGUCUAACUGAGACUGUCUUAUUGGAAGUUUGUUAUGAUGUCUGGAGAUUUUGAAUCAAGAAGUGGUUUGGUUUUUCUAAUUUGGAUAAGUGCUUUGUUGGCUGCUGUACUAUUGCUGGUUUCUCCUGCAGAAGGAUUGAAUCAGGAAGGAAUGUACCUUCUUGAAUUGAAGAAGAAUUUCCAGGAUCCGUAUAACUAUUUGGGGAAUUGGAAUGCAAAUGAUGAAACUCCUUGUGGUUGGGUAGGUGUGAAUUGCACUUCUGAUUAUAAUCCAGUUGUGCAAUCGCUUUAUCUGGGCUCUAUGAAUCUUUCAGGCACGUUGAGUUCUAGCAUUGGUGGUCUUGAACAUUUAGCUUAUCUUAACCUGCCUUACAAUCAACUCACUGGGAACAUUCCCAAAGAGAUUGGAAAUUGCUCAAAAUUGCAGUCUCUCCAGCUCCAUUAUAAUACUUUUUACGGUCCAAUUCCUGCUGAACUGUAUAACCUGUCUAAUUUGAAGGAUGUGAACAUUAGCAGCAACAUGAUCUCUGGUCCUAUUGCUGAGGAGUUUGGGAAACUCUCAUCUCUAGUUACUUUUGUUGCAUACACCAAUAAUCUUACCGGUCCAGUGCCUCGAUCUAUUGGAAAUUUGAAAAAUUUGACAAUAUUUCGAGUGGGGCAGAAUGCAUUUUCUGGAAGUUUACCUACAGAGAUAGGUGGUUGCGAGAGCUUGGAAUCUCUUGGUCUAACACAGAAUUGCCUGGAAGGAAACAUACCGAAAGAACUUGGCAUGCUUAGUAAGUUGAAAGAGCUUGUGCUUUGGGGAAAUCAGUUCUCUGGUUAUAUUCCAAAGGAACUUGGAAAUUUAACACAAAUUCAAUUGCUUGCUUUAUAUCAGAACAACCUGAUUGGAGAUAUUCCUGCUGAAAUAGGUAAACUGAAAAAUUUGAUGAAGUUAUACCUAUACCGGAAUGGAUUAAAUGGUAGCAUUCCAAGGGAGAUUGGAAAUCUUUCUAUGGCAACAGAAAUUGAUUUCUCAGAAAACUUUCUGAAAGGAGAAAUUCCAGUUGAGUUUGGCCAAAUAAAAAGUCUGAGACUGUUGUUUCUUUUCCAGAAUCAGCUCGAAGGCGUUAUACCAGAUGAACUUACUACUUUAAAGAAUUUGGUUAGUCUUGAUUUGUCAAUUAAUUACCUAACAGGUCCUAUUCCAUUUGGUUUUCAGUAUCAAAGGGAAUUGGUUCAGUUACAGCUUUUUGAGAAUUCUUUAACUGGUACUAUUCCUCAACGUCUUGGCAUUUAUAGUCGACUUUGGGUGCUUGAUUUAAAUAACAAUCAACUCACAGGAAGAAUUCCUCGAUUCGUUUGUCAGAAUUCCAAUUUGAUUUUGCUGAAUCUUGCAUCAAAUAAGUUGCACGGAUAUAUUCCAUCCGGUGUUCUUAAAUGUGAUUCAUUGGUGCAACUUCGUCUGAACGAUAACAGGCUAACAGGGACAUUUCCUUCUGAGUUGUGCAAAUUGAUAAACCUGUCUGCUGUUGAACUGGGGCAGAACCAGUUCACUGGUCCAAUACCUCCUGAUAUUGGAUAUUGCCAGAAGUUGCAGAGGCUUGAUUUCUCAGGCAAUAGUUUCAACCAGUUGCCUAAGGAGAUAGGAAAUCUUACCAGGCUUGUGACAUUCAAUGUCUCAGCAAAUUUGCUCACUGGACCAAUACCUCCAGAAAUUCGUAACUGCAAGGCACUACAAAGACUGGAUCUCAGCAAGAACAGAUUUACUGAUGUUAUACCUGAUGACAUUGGUAGCUUGUCGCAGCUAGAACGUCUUUUGCUUUCAGAGAAUAAGUUAUCUGGAAAGAUACCAGCAGCAUUGGGGAGCCUCUCUCAUUUGACUGAGCUGCAGAUGGGCAGUAAUCUACUGUCAGGUGAAAUACCAUCAGAGUUGGGUAAUCUUAGUGGCUUACAAAUUGCAAUGGAUCUUAGCAAUAACAAUCUCUCUGGAAGUAUACCACCUAACCUUGGUAAUCUUAUCCUAUUAGAGUACCUUUAUCUCAACAACAAUCAUUUGAGUGGUGAAAUACCAAGCACAUUUGGAAACCUGACAAGUCUCUUGGGUAUUGACUUCUCAUACAAUGACUUGACUGGACCACUGCCGGAUAUACCACUCUUUCGGAACAUGGAUAUCAGCAGCUUCAUUGGAAACAAAGGUCUUUGUGGUGGGCCUCUAGGUGAAUGUAACGCAUCUCCAGCUUAUGAUGCCAAUAAUUCUCCUAGAGUCGAGAGUGCAGAUUCUCCUCGAGCAAAGAUUAUUACUGCAGUUGCCGGUGUAAUUGGUGGAGUUUCUCUUGUUUUGAUUGUGGUAAUUUUGUACUAUAUGAGGCAGCAUCCAGUUGAGAUGGUUGCAACCCAGGAUAAAGACCUGGAAUCUUCAGAUCCAGACAUUUAUUUCCGUCCGAAAGAGGGGUUCACUUUCCAGGACUUGGUUGAGGCUACAAACAAUUUUCAGGAUUGUUAUGUUCUUGGAAGAGGAGCCGUUGGAACAGUUUACAAGGCAGUCAUGCAGUCUGGACAAACGAUUGCAGUCAAGAAGCUUGCUUCUAACAGAGAGGGUAAUAACAUCGACAAUAGCUUCCGUGCAGAGAUCUUAACUCUAGGAAAGAUUAGGCAUCGUAACAUCGUAAAGCUAUAUGGCUUUUGCUAUCAUCAGGGUUCUAAUUUACUUCUCUAUGAGUAUAUGGCCAGAGGUAGCUUGGGUGAACUGCUUCACAGUACAUCUUGCAGAUUGGAUUGGCCAACUCGCUUUAUGGUGGCUGUUGGAGCUGCUCAAGGACUUUCUUACUUACAUCAUGAUUGCAAGCCCCGGAUCAUCCACCGUGAUAUAAAGUCCAAUAAUAUUCUGAUUGAUGAGAAGUUUGAAGCUCAUGUUGGUGAUUUUGGUUUGGCAAAAGUUGUUGAUAUGCCUCAAUCUAAGUCGAUGUCUGCAGUUGCUGGCUCUUAUGGCUACAUAGCCCCUGGUAUGUUCUGUUUUCUCCCGGACAACUUCUUAUGUUCCUUUGUUAUCUAUAGAAAUAUGUCGAGAAAUGUACUGCCAUUUGAUCCUUAUUCCCACAUAUCUAUCUGUAUAUUCACUCUGAAAGUGUUACCUGUUUUUGUUGAUUUGAAUAGGAUUUUCUUGUUGAUAUUAGAUAGUUUGAAUUGUAUGCAACGUCUAUUUCUUCAAUUAUCUGAAGACAACAAUGAAAUGCUUUUAACUUUUAUCUGUUUAUACUUCUCAAUUUAUAUGUGUUCUAUGCCAGGAGAAGCCAUACAAACUGCUCUAUGUAUCUUACGCGAACUUUGGAGACUCUUCAUGAUACAUGUGGAUCAUUCUUGUUCCACAUAUUUAUGUUCAUUUAGAUAUUCGACCAUGUGUUGUUCUACUUUGAAAGUCUAAUUUUUCUCUUUGUGAUAUGAAAUGGAUAUCUUGUUGAAGUUUAGUUAAAAUUGUUUAUGGAACAAGUUAAUUUCUUUGAUGAAAUGACAGAAUACAAGAAAAAAUGCUUUUAACUUUCUCCCUGUCUAUGUAGUAUCCCUCUCGUAAUUUUCAUUCUGUGUUAUAUAACCAUUUUUAUCCUUUUCAAUUGAUGUUUUCUUCCUUCUCUGUUGCAGAAUAUGCUUAUACCAUGAAAGUUACGGAAAAAUGUGAUAUCUAUAGUUAUGGGGUAGUCCUUUUGGAGUUGCUAACUGGAAAAGCACCCGUACAGCCCUUAGAACAAGGCGGUGAUCUUGUCACAUGGGUGAAGCAUUAUGUUAGGAACCAUUCAUUGACACCAGGGGUACUCGAUAGCCGAUUGGAUUUGGAAGAUGUAAUUACUGUUAGUCAUAUGCUUACAGUUCUUAAAAUUGCUCUAAUGUGCACUAGCAUGUCCCCGUAUGAUCGUCCUUCAAUGCGCGAGGUUGUUCUGAUGCUGAUUGAGUCUGAUGAGCAAGAAGGGAACUUUAUCUCAUCUCCAGUUUAUGAUCUCCCUCUGAAAGAUAAUUCCUUCUAGAUGAGCAUGUAAGAAGCACAUCUCAAUUAACUUUGAUAAUUUUUUAGUACUAAUUCUCCUUGUAUUUUUUUUUCUUAAUGGCUAAAUUAUAGAUAUUCCCAUGUAUAUUUCUCAUAGUGAAAAUUUCAUCAAUCACUUUCUAGAACUAGUUUGGAGGUGAUUGAUGUUAUUUCAAUAGUUCUCCAUCUGAAGGUUAUGGAAAAUAAUAUGCUUUAUGCUUUUCUCACUAUAUAUCGAGGGCUUCCUAGAUGCAUCUUCUAUAAUGAAAUUCUAGUUUCGGUAUCUUAUUAUCUCGUUGUUGUUUCUGUUUGUUGCUAUUGCCUCUUUCUCACUGUUUGUUCAGUCGAGGGUCUUUUGAAACAACCUCUCUACCUUCUCAAAGGUAGUGGUAAGGUCUGCGUACGCUCUACCCUCCCCAGAUUUGUGGGAUUACACUAGGUCCGUAGUAGUAGCUGUUGUAAUGUACUGUGCAUAUGUUCACUGAUAAGUACUUGGUAUCUUUUGUCUCUAUUUCUGGACUUUUUUGGUCUAACCAUCUGGUAUUCGAAGCCCAUUGGUCCCUACUAAUCGAGACUCGUGCCAGGCAGGCCCACUUAAGGAGUAAAGCUCCCUACCAAGAAGUUCUCCAUUUCCGGGGCUUGAACCAGACAUAUCCGAGUCACAAAGGACUGUCAUGUUGUUGGCAGGGACAGUUAGCUCUUAAAUUUAAAUCAUCUUUGAGCACUGCCUUAUGGUUCAUAUUUAAUUGUCCGCUUCAGGCCUAGGUCCACAUGGAGUUGUCUUUGGGGCUACGCCACAUCGAGCCCCAAAAGCACACGUACCAUGUGGACUAAUGCUAUGCUUUACAAAGCUCUUCACUAUUCUCUCCCCUUUCUGAUGUGGAAUUCACCUAAGGUAUCACAUGCACCCCUUUUUCAAAAGCUUACCAAAGUAAAAGCAUGACUCACCCUCAUUGGCCCACUCUCCGUCAUGGACAUCACAACAAUCUACUUGAGCAUUGGUGGACAAUAUUACCUGAUACUUGUGCUAGUGGGAGCUAGCCCGAAUAACACCGUCAUGAAAAAAAAAAAGUUAGUCUGUAGCCGAAAAUGUUGCCUCUAGAUGUGUUCUUGGGUGUGAUAUUUACAAUCUGCUUUGAGUUGCUUUCAACCUCUGUUGCUCAGAUCCUCCAAAAAUACAUAGCUUUAGAACAAUCAGACACACCUGGCUAUAUUUUUGAAGAGUCUGAAUAACGUAGCCAUUUUCUUGUAAAUACAGUAAGAUACAACUUCAACAGAUGUCUAUAGAGGAAUUGAAAUUCUAAUCUUUAUGAAAUUUGAAUGUGAUAAAUGCAAAAAAAAACUAAAUAAAAGACUAUAUAUGUAUGAAAAAGAAACAUAAAUAGAAAUUUAUCUGUCACUCUGUUAUAGGAGAUUAUAAUGUUUAUACAAUAUAGAAUAAAGUUGGUUCUUCAAAUAGUAAUUCUAGUACUUAUAAAACUAUUACUUUCUCCGUUUUGAAAAAGAACGACUGGAUUCAGAGUACGAAAGUCAAAUAACCAAAAGUUCAUCGUGAUUACUGAUAUCAGAGAUUAAAUUUACAUAGUUAGAAACUCACACACAAUCUUGAUUCAUACUUACCUAUUUCUCCCAACUUAUUAGUACAAGUCCUUAGUUUUUCUCUCUUUUGCUACUAGGGAACAAAGGACAUGAAAAUUUAUUUAAAAAAAGCAAACACUUCAUAGUUGAAACAAAAGAACUACUGCAACAAUAAUAAUAAUACUGCAGAAGUUUAACAGAUAAAAACUUCAAUUAGCAAUUAAUAAUACUCAUUAAUCUACUUAUAAUUUAAGUGCUUCUCUGAAGCAUCUCUUGAUACCUCUUGAAAGAUUCAAGCUUUUGUAAUCUCAUCCUUUUGUGAAACUUCUUGAUGAACAAGUCUGCAACGUUAUCGAUCUCGUCUUCAAGCACAAAGUUCUCUCCUUCUUCCUCUUUGAAAUUCCUUACCAUGUCUAUAGCUGAUGCAUUUGGAUCACCUAAGUACUCGUCCUCUUCAUCGAACAAUGAAUGUGUUAAAUCCGGAUACUUAUCAUCAUCAUAAUCGUAGUUUUCUCCAUUGCUUAAUAGUAGUAGUAUCUCUUCGUUAGCCUCGUUAUGCUGAUAGUGUACAUGAUCCUCACCGACUUCAGGGGCGUGGUUGUAGACUAGUACAAUGGCCUUGUUGUUUUCGUCUUCGUGAUCUUGAUCUUUAUGUCCUAAUAGUGAAUGGAUCUUGUGAGAAAUGGCCUUAGUUCCUAGGCCAGAUAAAGAGAGUUUCUUGGAUUUGAGCAAUGAUAAGACCAUUAACUUAGCUUUUAUUGCCUCAGUUUUGCUUUUGAUGGCUGUUGAUUUUGAUUUGGUUAGUGUGGAUAGUACUGAAAUGACAUGUUUUAGGAAUUUAAUUGCUGAGUUGUUCUUCAUCACUACUGAAAUAAUCUGAAAAAUCAUCAAAUAGGAAACAAGUUUUUAAGUCAAGAUAUAAAGUAUUGUAUGAAGUACUCAUAUUGACAUGAUAACUCUAGUUUGUAUGUCGUGCACAAAACAUUCCGCAUUAGUAGGGUUCUAGCAAAGAUCUUAUAUACGUCGAUGCAUAAAGCAUCUUGUAUUAGCAGGAUUCUAACAAAGAUGGUGCACAAAACAUCCCACGUUAGCAGAGUUCUGGAGAAGAUUUUAUAUAUGUCGAUGCACAAAGCAUCUCGCGUUAGCAGGUUUAUAGGAUGGAUCUUGUAUGUCCAUUUUGUGGAGUAAGAACAACAAGAAUUAGUGACAAACAACUUCUAUCGCUAAACGACAAUAACUCGUUACUGAUUCAAUUUAACUACAAAUUACCAAAAAAUCUUGUUAGUUACGAGCUAAAUCGUACAAACAUGUGACAGAAUUACAAACUAUUGAAAAGUAUAUAAUGUACUCCAAACAUAGAAUAAGAAGAGUUAUUAUUCACAAAUCUUACCUUAAAGAAAUUGUUCAACACCAACCCAAGAGCAAACUUCUUUUGAAUAUCAAUUUAUACUUGGCCAAAAUUACAAGUGAUCUCACUUUGAUAUGGUUUAAACAGCCAAAAUUUUCUUCACAACUUUUCUUUUCUAGCUCCUUGUGUGACACAUCCAAAAGUAUUUGUAGGACACUUUAUAUGGUUUCUUUCAACUUCAAUAUAUAAAGCUAACUUUGAUAUUUCUUGGGAAGUGCACAUCCAUCAACUUUCUCCCCACCUUACACCUUUUUAAAAAAGACUUUACUAUCGGAAACACGUUUAAAGUGUCGCGUUUUGUGAGUUUCAAAUUGAUUCGUAGUUUUCGUUGUCUAUCUAAAUUAUAUUCCUUAUUUAAAUACAUAUCGACGCUGAGUUGACCAAAUAUUUGUGCCUAGACGACAACAUGCGCUUGCAGGCCAGCUCAACAUUGAGGUGUGUUUAAUCCAAAGAGCGACAAUUGAAGUGUGAAAUUCGCGAAAAAAAUGAUGAUUUUUGUUAGAUAAUUAAAAUAUAAUGGAUAGUUAUGGUGUAAAAUAUGUGGAAACAUAUGGUAAUAAUGUAUGCGUACAUUCUAUCCUUCUAAGUUUGAUUUGUGAAAUUUUACUGAAUAUGUUGUUGUUGUUAUCUGAACCUCCUUUCGACCCUGCCUUCGACAAAGACAUGAUAAUAUAUUAUAUUUACUAAAAUAUUUAUAGUAAAGUACGUAACCUUCAACUUUCUCACCACGUUACACUUCCAUUUUUAAGUGUUAAAUCUUAAUUACAACUCUUUUUCUCUUAUACUUCCUGGCUAGCUUCUAAUUUUAUCUGUGUUUGGAUCAUAAUUAAUUUUCGAGUUAGAGGCACAUUCAGAAUAUGAACUUUAUGAGUUUAAGGUCAGAUAUUCUAUAACAAUGUAAUUUAUUUAAUUUUUUGAAUUCCAUAACUAACAUUAUAUAUAUAAUUUCCGUUUUUACUUAUAAAAGUCUAGAUAAACAAAAGAAAUCACAUAAUUAUCUUUGUUUUUAUGAUUUUCAUACUUCUUAAUUUCUUCUCUUCUUUUAACUUUUCAUUUUUCUCACCACAUGCUAUGCACUAAUUCACAACUUUACCAUAUAUUUGUCUUUUUGCCUAAACAAAAGCAGUAUCUUUUCCUACUUUCACUAUCAACAAAAUAAUACAAAAUAAAGUUUACAUCAAUAACUUUUCCAUGAAGUAACUCAAAUUAAAUUUCACUUUUCUUAUUGGUUGAUACCUAUAUAAAUUGGUAGGGGAAAAAGAUUCUUGCUUUAUCGAAAGGGAAAAAAGUGUAUCGAUCGUAGUAGAUUUAAAAUUUUAUUAAUGUUGAGAAUUUGAAUUUGAAAUUGCUUGAAUUUUAAACCUUCUUAAUUAUUGUGCCAAUUAUAGUCUUAAAUUCAAAAUCCAUAUACAUAUUCACAAAAAAAUAACGUAUAUAUACCAUGUAACUUUUUAUGGAGAAAUUUGGGUGAACACCUCACGUUCUACUGGAUCCAAUUUGGGAUUAAGAACAUGAUUAGAAGCUAAUCAAGACCAAUUAUAUGAAAAAGUAUUUUAGUGUAUUAGAUAAAAUUUCCACUUUAAUACACAUGCUAAAAAAGAUAUAUAAAGUUCAAUAUAAUUAUAAUUUGUAAGUUCCCUAUUCGUCUAUUCUUUUUUUUUUUUUAAUUUCCCUUUUUUUUUCUUUGCUUAGUGAUGAAUCAAAGCUUAUUUUAUCUUCUUUUCUUUUGUUUUCUUUUAAAAGAGAAGAUUGUUUGGUACGAAAAUGUUUUUUCAUUUUUUCAUGUUUGUCAGUUAAAUUUUUUCAUGUUCAUUGAAAAAUAGUUCACGAGGAAAAUGACUGUCGUAGUUAAAAAUAAGUUCUACAGAUAUCAUUUCAUAUUGAUUGUGUUUGCCUCACCUUUCAAAACUAUUUUCCGCCACAUUCCAUCGCCCCACUACUCCCACGUCACACCUUUAUGUUCACUUUUUAUAUUAUUUAUCUAGAUUAUAUACGAAUAUAAAAUAUUUCUAAAACACAUGUACCCUGCCUCUUUUUUGUUUCUUCGAAACUAAGAGUUCACGUGGGUAGGCAAUGCAUUUCUUAUUUGUCUAUUCUUGUUAUUAAUACUCAAGAUUUUUUAAAUAUUAAAUCAUAUUAAUUUAUUAUAAUUAAUAAAUAAUUAAAAUGUACAUUGGUUAACUAUAAUUUAGUGAUAAAAAGAUGCGUUAUUCUUUAUUUUAUUUGAGUUCGAUUAAACUUUUCUCAAUAUAUGUUAUUCUUAACGAUUGAUCAACAUGUUAACCUAUACGUUUUAGUUAUUGAUGAGCAUCAUUUGUUUUUGGAGCAUAAUUAACCCGUUCUAUUAGUUUAUUUAUAGUUGCGUGGAGAAACUUGUCCCAAUCAAUAAUUUAUUCAAUAUUUAUGACUUUAUAAAUAAUCGAGUUAGCUGGUUCUACUCAAACAAAUUAAAAUAUCAAGUGUCAAUUCCACCUUAAAUUUUAGGCUCGAAACGUGACAAACUUUUGUUAUAAGAUGUCAGUUUCCAUCGAUGGAACUACAAGAUAUUGUCAUGAGGUUUCAAUAGUAAUCACUUUUGUCGCAACUAAGGGAGAAAAACAAAAUGUGCUAUAUCAUGUAUACUUAUUAAUGGGCCUGGGCUGGAUUGGGCCAAAAGCCAGAUCAUUUAUGGGUAUAUAUAUAUAUAUAUAUAUAUAUAUAACACAAGUUGGAUACAUAAUAUGUAGCUCAGACACAUUAAAGAAUAUCUCGAGAUACAUUUAAAACCAUCUGAGAUACAUAACAUUUAGCUCGAAUACAUUAAAAACUAGCCCGAAUAUAUUAUAAAAUAAAUCGGAUACACUAAAGACUGACUCAGAUUCAUUAAUAUGUAGCUCAGAUACAUUAAAGACUGAUUCAGAUACAUUAAUAUGUAGCUUGGAUACACUAAAGGAAUAAGAAAUUUUAGAGUUUUUUUUUAAAAUAGAAGGAGAUAUUGGAAAUAAGAAAAACAUUGACGUGUAUUUCAGUAAUUUUUCCAUAUAUAUAUAUAUAUAUAUAUAUAUAUAUAUAUAUCCUUUACGUUUACUAACUAAUAUAUAAUUAAUAUACAACAACAAUAUUUAAAUCAUGCUCGUGGGGGCUUUGGGAGUAGAAUAUAUGCAAACUUUAUCAUUACCACGUGAAGCUGGUAAGACUAUUUUCAAAAGACUCUCGACUCGAGUACAUGAAAAGGAAAAACGACAGUGAAACAGAUAUAACAAUUACUACGAAAAUAAUAAUAAUAACAAAAUAAUGUAAUUAUCGAAACAUCAAAUGUUUUAAUGCUAUGUCAAGUUAAGACAUCGAAUAUCGGUCCUUAAAUAUUAAAAGGGAGAAAACAAAGUGCUAUGUUCCUUAAAUAUGCUUAUUAAUGGGCCUGGGCUGGAUUUGGUCAAUAUCCAGAUUAUUUAUGGGCCUAGAUACAUAUCCUUUACAUUUGCAAUUGUAAAAAUUAAUUAAUUAAUUUCAUUUGUAAUUUCACAUAAUUAAUAAAUUCACAAUCUCAUCAUCUCAUUAAUAUACAACAAACAACAAUAUUGAGAUUUCACACGUAGAUUCAGAGAGAAUAAAGUAUACAUAAAUUUUAUUCCAUACGUGGAGAUAGAAAAGUUAUUUUUAAAAGAUUCUUACCUCGAAUACGAUAAAUCAUGAUAUAAUAACUAUUACGAAAACAGUAACAACUAAUAUUACACACUAAAACAUCAAUUAUAUUAGGUAAAAUAAAUUAAUAUAACUUACCGAAAAAACGAAAAUUCGGUAAUAAAUAAUAAUUCAGGCGUUUCAUUUUUUAAUUUUUUUAACAAACAGUAGUUUCUCGCGGGAGACUCGUUAAGCUAAAGACGGAAAUUUGGCGGUAAAAAACCUAACAGACAAAACACGUGUCGAAUUUUGAUUGGCUAAUCCUACAACGUUGUCGGCUAUGUAUGGACAUAAACCAUAUGACAUACACUUUAUGUAUUUUCCCGCCCUAAAGUUAGGGUUUAUAGCUAAACAGAGCAAACAAACAAAUAAAAAAAAAAAGCAAAAUUGGUCAUAGAGAUAGAGAGAGAAAGGCGAGGGAAAAUUAGGGGUUUUUUAGUUUUUGAAGAAUUUGGAUCUAAUUAUACAGAUCUGAGAAAUUUGUAGAAUUUUGGGUUCUGGGUUUCCGUUUCUUUAGUUAGUUGUGGAUGAAUAUGGAGGAGCUGAAGAAUCAUUCGAAUUCUGAAGAGAAUGGUUCGGUGGACUCUCUUGAAGUUCGAUUUAGUGAUUUCUGCAAGGUACGUUUGGUUUUGUUGAGUUUGAUUUUAGGUUGUAAAUACUUCAGCUGAUUUUUUUGGGCUUGAUUCAGUUGAGAAAGAAGGAAGAUUUGGUCGUUGUUGUGUUUUGUUGGUUAAUUUGUUUAAAAAAAUCAUUUUUGUGAAACCCCAUGUGUGAAAUAUUUGUUCUUUAACGGUUUCUGUUAUGCGUUUGGCGAUUUUAGUAUUUUUAGCAUUUGUUGUUUGAUUUACAGAAUGAGUUUCUUGUUUUCUGCAUUUUUUUAGUUGUAGCGUCGAGACCCAUGUAUGCAAAUUUUGUUCUUUUCUGGUUUUGUUUAUGGAUAUGACGAUUUUAAUUUUUUUUAGGUGGGAUUAUUACGUUUGUUGUUUGAUUUACAGAAUGUGUUUCUUGUUUCCUGCAUUUUGAAAUCGUAGCUAAGAGGCCCAUGUGUGCAAAAUUUGUUCUUUUUCUGGUUUCUUUUAUGGGUGUUGCGAUUUUAAUUUUUUGUUUUUAGGCGAAUUUUAGUAGUUUUUUCAUUUGUUUGAUUUACAGAAUGAGUUUCUUGUGUUGCAUUUUCUACUUGUAGCUCAAAGACCCAUGAUGCAAAAAUUUUGUUCUGUUACUGAUAUGGUAAACUUUGGAUUUUAGUAUUUUUUAACAUUUGUUGUUUGAUUUACAGAAUGGAUUGUCGAUGGGUGAGAGUUUUAUGGUAGAAGCUAGAAAGCUGUUUAUGGACAGUAAACAUCUUUUACUGUCAAAUAAUGCUGCUAUUGGAGCUAUAACGGUAAGUCCUCAUGAUUCUAUCUUUUGCUAAUUUAGUGUGAAAUGACAAGUUAGGUGGUUUUAAUAUGGACUAGAAUUGACUUGAGUGUGUUCUUUAACAGCCGGAGGAAGUUGAACGGUAUUGGUUUGUGUUUGUUCUGUUCUCGGUGAAGAGAUUAAGUGAGAAUGAAGCUAGGAAUUCGAGUAAUGGGAAUGAAGGAAAUGGAUUUGAUCUAUGCCAAAUUCUGCGAGGGGCGAAACUCAAGUGCGUUUAUCUAAUGUUCUUGUGUUUCUUGUAAAAGUCGUGAUUUUAUCUCUGUUCUUAUGAAUUUUGUUUCGUUUUUUAGUGUUCUAGAUUUCUUCAAAGAAUUACCACAGUUUAUUGUUAAAGUUGGUCCAGUAUUAAGCAACCUAUAUGGUUCAGAUUGGGAGAAGAGACUUCAGGUAAUGAUGACGUGGAGGGUUAAUCUCAUGUUCUGCAGCUAUUGUUGUUUCUAUUGGCUCUCUUUGUCCUAACAAUGUGGCACAGUUGGUGGUGACACCGUUGUUUCCAAUUAUAGACUGUGACAUUCUUUUUUGUACACUAAAAAGGAAAGUGUGCCACAUGUAUUAGGACAGAGGAGUUAUAUAUUAUUAUUAAGCAUUUAUUCAUGCACUUAAAAUUUAUUUGAACUGUUGUAUUAGGCAAAGGAAUUGCAGACCAACUUUGUGCAUUUGAGCCUUUUAAGCAAGUGAGUACUCUUUUCAAGCACUAAUUUCCUCUACUUAUAUUGCUUUGUGAUGCUCAUUCCGUUAAUACUCAGGAUGUGGCUUUUUGUGGUACAUCUGAUAACAAUUUUACUGCUUUUAGGUACUACAAGCGCGCAUAUCAGGAGCUGUUUUUGUCAAGUGAUAACAAUGAAGUAAAUCAGUCUGCUACUUCUAAUUCGAUUGUCCUCUUGCCACAGUAUUAUCGUUUUGGCUGGUUGCUUUUUCUUUCACUUCGCGAACAUGUAUUCAGCCGCUUCAAGGACCUUGUGACAUGCACAAAUGGUUUAGUUUCUGUGCUGGUCAGUUUCUACUCUAUUUAGUUGAUUCCUUGGAUUCUGUCUGGUUUAUUAUGUUGUGUGUAUGUUGUAUUGGGCAUGCUAAUAAUAGACUCUGUUUAACUUGUGUGCAAUGUUGUAAAGGUUAAGUCACGAAGCUAGGUGCACCUCAGGUUCGGUGCUUAGCAUUACGUAAGUGUUUAGUACAAGCACUAGAGUGCUUAAGGUGAAACUCAAUGGAAACCUCCUUUUUUUUUCUAAAUUGGUAACUUAAGAGGCCAGUGGCUUUAUUGAUCAUCUGCACCAAAAUGCAUACUUCAGCAAAACUUUUCAUUUACACCAGCUGAGCUGGCACAUAUAUACUCCUUUUUGUCUUUGACAUAACUAGCACAGCAGUUAUGUGUUCAAGAAUUAAAUACAGUGCAUCUAAUCAUCUUUCCCAUUGCAAUUCUAUGGAUUGGAUCUUACCAUGUUGCUCUUAAGAAAUAGGUGACAUGUCUGACUACUGUUUUACAACCAUGGUGCAGGCAAUCUUAAUAAUACAUGUGCCUGUAUGCUUCAGAAAUUUCAACAUCAAUGACUCCCCACGAUUUGGUAAUUAUCUUUACAUAUUUUGCAUUAAGAGAGUUGGGGUUUUGGUCCACUACCUCUUCAACUUUUCUGUUUGGAGAUCUGUGAUGUCGUAGACCUUGUACUAAAAAGCUGAUUUUCUUACAGUUAAGAAAGGAGACAAAGUGGACUUGCUUGUUUCAUUAAGCAGCAUUUACCAGACCUCGAUAGAUGACUUGAGGGAGACCAUGGACAAAGUUAAUAAUCUAAUAACAGUAAAGUUGAAGAAGGAACUUUGUUUGGCUUCAGAAUGCAGGGCAAAGAACCUGGACAAUAUCGACGCAGGUUUGUCUCGACAUCAGCAAUCUCUUUCUUUAGUUAAUUUUGAUAUUUCUGAAAGUUAGGAUGUUUGUUGCAGAUGGUUUGACGUAUUUCGAAAAUUUACUGGAGGAAUCAUCUUUAUCGUCAAGUAUAUGUAUACUGGAGAAGGAUUACAAUGAUGCAAUUCAGAACAAGGGUGAAUUGGAUGAGAGGAUUUUUGUCAAUGAUGAGGAUAGCUUGCUGGGGUCAGGGAGCUUGUCUGGAGGUGCAGUCAAUAUGAAUGGAAUCAAGGUUUGUUCCAAGGAUAUCUUCAUUUUGUUAAAGCCAUCAUGCAGUAAAUUGAACACUCUUUGAAACCAUUUGUGUUUGUCUUAUGUUGUGCAGAAGAAAUUUGAUGCAAUGGCUUCCCCAACAAAGACAAUUACAAGCCCACUCUCUCCUUACCGUUCUCCUGGUGCUUCCAAUGUUAAUAGCAAUCUAAAUUGUGGUAACUCAAAGAUGGCAGCUACCCCUGUAACCACAGCGAUGACAACUGCCAGGUGGCUGCGUACCGUCAUAGCUCCACUACAGGCAAAACCUUCACCUGAGUUGGAGAGAUUUUUGUCUGCCUGUGAUAGGAAUGUAUCAGCUGAUGUGAUCCGGAGGGCUCACAUUAUUCUGGAGGCUAUAUUUCCAAGUAGUGGUCCUGGGGAGCAUUGUGCGGCUGGGAGCCUGCAAAGCACAAGCUUAAUGGACAACAUAUGGGCAGAGCAACGUAGAUCUGAGUCUCUGAAGUUGUAUUAUAGGGUUCUGCAGACUAUGUGUGUCGCAGAAUCCCAGAUUUUGCAUGUGACCAAUUUAACUUCGUUGCUAACCAAUGAGAGGUUUCAUAGAUGUAUGCUUGCCUGCUCAGCUGAACUAGUUCUUGCCACUCACAAGACAGUUACAAUGUUGUUUCCAGCUGUUUUGGAGAGAACAGGAAUUACAUCUUUUGAUCUCAGUAAGGUGAUAGAGAGCUUCAUCAGGCAUGAAGAAAGUCUUCCUCGAGAACUGAGACGCCAUUUGAAUUCACUCGAAGAAAGACUCUUGGAGAGCAUGGUUUGGGAAAAGGGCUCUUCAAUGUACAACUCUUUGACUGUUGCAAAACCAUCACUUUCUGCAGAAAUUAAUCGUCUGGGCCUGUUGGCUGAACCAAUGCCAUCCUUGGAUGCUAUUGCAAUGCACAUUAACCCAUCUUUGGGAAAUUUACCACCAGUGCCACCUUUACAGAAGAGUGACUUGGCCCCUAAUGGUAUCCUGUUUUCCCCUAAUCUUGAAGUUUCGUAAAUACUAUGAAGGUUUAGUCCUGAAUGGUGUGCCUUCUUAGAUUCUUGGGAGGAAAACUAACCCAACUUUAAUCUUAAAUCAUUAAUCUUACUAGGUCAUAUCUGUGAUAUCCGGUCACCGAAGAGAUUGUGUACUGAAUAUCGUAGUGUGCUGGUUGAGCGAAAUUCCUUCACAUCACCUGUGAAGGAUCGUUUUCUGGCUCUCACCAAUAUAAAGUCAAAGUUUCCUCCACCUUUGCAGUCUGCGUUUGCAAGGUACUUUCGAGUUACAGUUGGAUUCUUAAGUUUUUGUUUGCUCAAUAAUCUAGGGAUCUGUAUUUUGCUAUUAAGUGUUAAUCUUUUGAACUUUAACAGUCCAACAAGACCAAACCCUGGUGGUGGAGGGGAAACAUGUGCUGAGACAUCCAUCAAUGUAUUCUUUGGCAAGGUAAAACUGUCAAUUAUUCCAUCAGUUUUUAUGUUGAUUAUGCUGUGUCAAUCUCUUUUUGAAGUGGUUAUCACAUUUUUAAGUUGUUCAAAUGCUCACAUGCUGGUUAGCCAUUUAGUGCCAGAAGUGCUCCUCUGGGUUCUCAAUUUCCAACUUCUUUUUGGAAAAGAACUUACAUCUCUUUAACAACCAACUUUUUAUCCAGUAAUUUUUGACAUGAGAUCUUGAUUUUAAUCUUCUGGUAGCUCCUUACAAUAUUUAAGUAAAUGUGAACUGUGAAUGGCAGAUGCAAAUAGUGGGAUCUAGCAGUUCGAAUAUGGAUAUCCUGGAUUCUGAUUCUUCUGUUAGAUGCUAAUUAGAUGUUUUUUCUCGAUCAAGUUCUUUGGUUUAGCCUGCUGAUUAUUUGACCAUUCCUUUUUUCUCUUAUGUCAUGUUCCACCUAGAUUGUGAAGUUGGCUGCUGUCAGAAUCAAUGGCAUGAUUGAGCGGCUACAGCUUUCUCAACAAAUAAGAGAGACUGUAUAUUGCCUUUUUCAGAAGAUUCUCAGUCAGAGGACAAGUCUUUUCUUCAGCAGACAUAUUGACCAGAUCAUCCUUUGCUCUUUCUAUGGAGUUGCCAAGGUAAACGUUGGGGGAAAAGGGAGAUAGCUGGAGCUGAUAGUCUGUAAUUCUCUUAUUUCACACCUUGUUUCUUGAUUAUAUUGCAGAUUUCACAACUUAACUUGACCUUCAAAGAAAUCAUAUACAACUACCGAAAGCAACCUCAGUGCAAACCACAAGUUUUUCGAAGUGUUUUUGUUGACUGGACAUCAGCGCGUCACAAUGGGGUAAUGUCAUCAGUCUUUAGAUCGUUGACACGAGUCUCUUACAGUUUCUAGAACCACUGACCAAUUUCUUUUGGAUUUAAAACAGAAAACAGGUUCAGAACAUGUGGAUAUCAUCACGUUCUACAAUGAAAUGUUUAUUCCUUCUGUUAAGCCAUUAUUAGUUGAGCUUGCACCUGCUGGAAAUGAGCAAAAGAAUAACCAUGUUGAAAAAACCAAGAAGGACGGUGAGUUCUCUUUAUUAUGCGGUUGUGAAGUACUAUUUUUCUUCUCGUUUGGUUUCUCUAUAUGAUUUCUUUCUCAUGUACAAAAUUGUCCAACCUGUGGCCUUUUUUGUUUUCUUCAUCUCAUUCAGGGCAAGGACCAGCAUCCCCCAGAUCAUCUUCAUUUCCCAGUCUCCCCGACAUGUCUCCAAAGAAAGUAUCUGCUGUUCAUAAUGUUUAUGUCUCCCCGCUGCGAUCAUCGAAGGUUAGUGUCUAUGUUUUUCCAGUGUGACUUGAAGUUCAUAUUUCGAAUGUUUCAGAGUUGAGAAAUAUGGGAUUUUGAAUGAAUAUACCACCUUUCAUGACCCCUCUUUGGUCCAUUAUUUCUCGCAUUCAUCUCUUAUUUCUGAUUUCAGAUGGAUGCGUUGAUUUCCCAUAGCUCUAAAAGCUAUUAUGCUUGUGUGGGAGAAAGCACUCAUGCUUAUCAGAGCCCCUCAAAAGAUUUGACAGUAAUCAACAACCGCUUGAAUGGGUACGUGGUUCUUUUACCUAUCAGCAAAACUCCUUUAUCUAAAUACAAUUCGACUCAAAUCCUCUCAUCUGCAGCAAUCGGAAGCUCAGAGGCGCUCUUAAUUUUGAUGACGUUGAUGCUGUGGGCUUGGUUAGUGAUUCCAUAGUUGCCAACACCCUUUACCUUCAAAACGGGAACUGCAUAUCAUCACCUCGUGCAGCUGUGAAGACUGAGCAGCCCGAGCCCUAAUACCUGGACAAACUUGCACUGUAAAUAGGCUUUCGGAUUAUGACAUUUCUUUUUCCUAGUUUUUUAAGGGUAUCCUAAACGUAGAGAGAUGUAUAGGGGUGUUGAAUGAGCGGUAUGUUUAUGUAAAAUGCCCGCCACCAACCCGAUGCUUCUUUUUUAACUGUUGAUUUCUGAUUCUGGGAAUAUAUAUAGGGAUAGAUAGUCUUGUUCCUUAAUAAGAGUAAUAGUUGUACAUUACACCACUGGUGUUUUUCUCUGAUUUUUCUCAACAACGAUGCUCGUUCUCUUCGAUGUUUUUUUUAGGAAAAGAAAAUAGCCAAGAAUCUGCAGAUGUUGUUGCUGAAGCAAUUAAACUUGUUAGUUGUACUGUCCACUGGAAAACAAUUGCAAAAUGUUAGACGAUAGUUUAUGUUUCGUCUAAAAGAAUAUGCAAAGGAUAAUCAAAUGUUAGAUUUGAGUGUAGCAAUAUCUGAAUUGGUAUUUUUCUAGAGGUAUGUAUAUGUGCACAAUUUCUUAAAAUAGUAUAUAUUUUGAUCUUACCUGGCGUAGGCAUUUACCUUACAGCUCGAUUAAUUUGGAUUCAUGCUGGUUAGGGCUUCACUUGGAGGGGCAGCACUCUCCUAUCAAAGAUCUGUUUAUAUCGGAGCUUCUUUGAUUAAUUUGGGUAGGGCUCCAAAUAGGGAUAGUGCUUUCUACGGAAGACUUUUUCAUAUCGGAGCCCAAUUAAUUUAGAUUUGCGCUAGGCAGGGCUUCAUUUGGGGGUAAUGCUCUCUACCAAGGACUUUUUCACAUCAAAGCCCGAUUAAUUUAAAUUUGCGGUAGGUAGGGCUCCAUUCGGUGGUAACACUCUCUACCAAAGACUUUCAUACCUUUUUCAUAUUGGAGCCCCAUUAAAUGGAGUUGCGGUAGGUAGGGUUCCAUUAGCAUCGGGGUGUAAACACUUUCUAUCAAAGAUUUUUCAUACCUUUUCCAUAUCGAAGCCCGAUUAAAUGGAUUUACGGCAGGUAGGGUUCCAUUACCUUUAGGGGUAACACUCUACCAAUGACUUUUUCAUACUGGUGCUCAAAUAAUUUGGAUUUGCGGCUGGUGAAGCUACAUUGGGGGGGGGGGGGGGAUUUAGCACUCUCUACGAAGGACUUACUCUCAUACAGCUUGAUUAAUUUGGAUUCGUACCGAGUAGAGCUUCAUUUAGCGGUAGCGCCCUCUGCAAAGAACUUUUUAUAGCGAAGCCCAAUUAAUUUGGAUUUGCGGCAGGUAGGGCUCCAUUUGGAGUAGCACUCUCUACCAAGGAUUUUUUAAAACCUUUUUCAUAUCGGAGCCCAAUUAAUUUGGAUUUGCGGGAGGUAGGGCUCCAUUCCGGGGUAGCGCUCCCAACGAAGGAUUUUUUCAUAUCUAAAACUCGAAUCUGCAUCUUUUGGUUAAGAAAAAAACAACUCCAUCCAUCGCACCACAUUAAAUGGUGACCUUAAAAAAGAGCAUUUACGUUAAUAUUGUCUCAUAUAGUUUCUUUUCAUUGUUCUUCUAUUAUAAGAAAUAUAAUAAAAUAAAUAAAUCAUUUGCUAUAACUAAUUGAUUUCUAUAUUAAUUUAUUUUCUUUUAAACACUAAUAUCCUAUUAAUUGAAAUACAGAAAAAUCAUUACAAAAACCUUAAUUAUCUUACCUUAAUUAAACGCAUUGCAAAAAUCAACCAAAACAAAAAAAAAAUAAAAUUACUUUUGUAUAAAUCUCAAAGAACCUUGUAAAAUUUCUUAUUAUUUUUCUCACUAUGGCUAAUUCAUUAAUCUACAUUAUCUUAUUUUUACUAAUCACUCCUCUUGAAUUAUCAAUAGCAAAAAAAUGUUUCUUUACACCAAAAUACGAGAUCCAUGUUAUCAACAAUCUUCCUAGUUAUUCCCCACAGCUAAAAAUUCAUUGUCAAUCUGGAGACGAUGAUUUUGGAGAAUAUUUUCCAUUGCUAAAUGAAGAUGUCAAUUGGUCAUUUUGUGGGGAUCUUUUUGGAAGAAGUUUGUAUUUUUGUCAUUUUUGGUGGGACGAAAAAAAUAAAGUUUUUGAUGUUUUUAAUGAUAUAGAAACUUGUGUUAAAGAUGGACAAGUUCCAUAUUUUUCAAGAGAAUGUAUAUGGAUUGUGAAAUCAGAUGGUUUUUAUUUGGGACAUUAUAAUGAUAAUGGAAAUAUCAAUAUGUAUCGAUAUACUGAGUGGUCUUAAAGGAAUAUAUGAUGUAUUUUUUUUUUUUAAGAAUUAUGGUGAAAAUUUAUUAUGAAUUUUAUUGUGGAUGUUCUAAUUGUACAAGUCAAAAAAAUAAGAAUGAAUUAAGUUAUUACCUUGCUUAUUUGAUUCAUUUUUACUUUAAUUAUCACUCCUUAAGUGCAACCAUUAGUUGAAUUAGGUUCAAAUGAAUGUUAAGUUUGAGAAAACCUUUUGGUGGUUUAAGUCAAUUUUUUUUUGAUAUUUUAUUAGUAAAAAAAAAUAUUAUCUCAAAAGAAUUUGAUUAUAAUCUGAGCAAGUAUUAUGACAUUAAAUCCAAGCCCCCUAUCACAAUCCUAGACUCAAUCCGGUUCGAUCCCAAUUCGAAUAUGACCCUAGUACAGUGACGGAGGCAGAAAUUUUACUAAGAAUGUCCAAGGAUAAUGGGGUGUGGCUGUCAAAAUUCAUUAAAUGGACACUUAUUACCACUGCGCCAAAGGCACAACUUUUGGUAAGAGUGUCGAACUUUAAGUUUAUAUCCUUUACAGAAUUAAUUUGACAUACAUAUACAACAUAAUUUUUUUGACGCAGGGUGUUCAGUUGGACACCCCAGGUUGGCUCUAGCUAGGCCACUGCCCUAAUAACCGAUCUCAAGAUCGGGUGUUGGAUCUCGGGUCCAGAGUGAGUCUUAGGUUGGAAGUAACUUUUCAAUUGAACUACACUAUCAUUAAGCGAAAAUUUGGAAAAAGAUGACUAAUUGUUUCUUGAUUAUUUAAAUUGACAAUUAAUUUUAGACAUCUACUUUUAGUAUACAUGCCUCUUUGUUGUUCUCUCUCGUCUCUCUUUCAAUUUCAAUGUAUCUGAUAGUAAAAAAAAUGUAUAAUUAGGUGUAUCAGUCUAACUUGAAUUUGGUAUGAAAUUAUUAAUUAGUGAUAUAAAUUAUAAUUAUUUUAAACUGGAGGAAGAAUUAGUAAAUAUAAUAAAUUUUAAAAAAAAAUUUAAGUAGUUUUUUUUUUAAAAAAAAAAUGAAUACCCCCCACCUCACCCCCACAUAAUAGUACAAAUUGUCACCCUCCUUUUUUGCACGAUGGCAAUAGGGUUUUUUCAAUUUAAAUGACGGUAAUAAUUAGGAAAUAUGUUUUUUUUAGAGUCGUUACUUGGAAUUGAGUUAUGGUGUUCCAAGUCACAUUUUUGUUUAAUCCCUAAUCAAAAGGAAAUGAUUCUUUAUGUGGUCUGCGAGCUAGAAGUUUGAGUAAUGAAUUUUGUUGACUAAGAAAAAGGUAUUAGGCAUCUCUCGAAUCCCGUGAUUCUAGCACGAUGCUUUUAUUAACUUUUAUUCAUUUUUCGGAUAUAUUUUUAUAGGUCAUGAUUUGCUCACAUUUUUUAUUUGUUGAACAUUUAUUUGAUUUAAACCUAGAUGCGUAACCACAUUCUUAAUUUCUAUAUUUAAUAGCUUCGAAGCAUAACUGCUUUAUUCUCUCGAGUGUGUUACAUAUAUUCUCGAUUUACACCUCUUGGUUUGAAUAAAAUAAAAAUAAAUUAUCAAAAUAAUUUGAUCAAGGUGCGUCACCACAACUUUGAAUUUCUUUUAAGUGUUUCAAAGAAGAUAUUGUACUCACAUUUUUAAUUGAAACAAUAUUUAACCUAUCUAAAUUUUCCUACAAAAAUUAGUUUGUCAAUUUUUAAGCAUGAAUCAAGUGAUGCUGCACUACAAUUGUUUAAUCAAAAUUUAUCAAUCUCAUGUAGUUUUAAAUAAUAGUGAUAAUAAUAUUUCAUUUUAGACAUACAUACCGUAGUUAGUAAAUCGGUUGAAAAUUAUCUUAUAUUAUAUUUAUAAGCACCUAAAAGAUCAAAGCAACACACAUAUUAUAUAGCAUAAAAAUAACUGAAACUUUUCUAAGCACGAUCAAACAGAGAAUUCAUUCAAACUAGCAACACAGACAUAAAAAAAAUAAAAAUUAAUUAACAAUCUAAAAUUAAAAAUAAAAUAUUAUAUAUAUAUUUUUUAUUUUUAGAUAUUUUAAAUAAACUUAACAAAAUUAAAAUAUCUAACUUAGACAUAAAAAAAACAUUUAAAAAAUAAAAAAUAAUAUAAAACCUUAAAUUCGGUCAAAAACACAUCAAAUUUUUAGAAUCCAAAUCAAUAAUUAUUUGUCAAGUUGACUAAAUUUUUAUUUUUUGGUAUAUAUAAAAUCAAGAACCCCUCUCUUCCUUUUCAUUUUCAAUACUUAGCUUCUCCCAAAUAUGGCUUUCUCCUUUAUCAACAUUUACUUCUUCUUGUCAUUAUUGAUCACUCCUCUAGACCUUACCCUAGCUAGAAGAAAAUGUGUUAUUCAAACAAGGUACGAGGUACAUGUUAUCAACCGUCUUCCUGCUAAUACUCCACAAUUAGAACUUCAUUGUGCGUCAAAGAAUGAUGAUCUUGGAUAUCAUUAUCCUGCUAUAAAUCAAGACUUUAAUUGGGAUUUUUGCGAGUACAUUAUGGAUAGGACAUUAUUCUUUUGUCAUUUUUGGUGGGGUUCAAAUGAUAGAUCUUUUAUUGUUUAUAAUGAUCCAGUCUAUUGUGUGAAAAGAGGAAAAUUUAUAAAUUAUCUACACUAUUGUAAAUGGGAGGUGAGGGCAGAUGGUUUUUAUUUGGAAAAUUAUAAUGGUACUAGUAAAACAUAUUAUAUGGAUCACAUUUUUAAUUGGACACUUUAGGGAAUAUGAUAUUUAUAAUUUGUAUUCUUAUUUAAAUAAUAAAUUGGAUUGGAUUUUAGUGUGACUUUCUUUCUCAUUUAUUUUUAUGUUUUUAUUUUUAUGACCUCAUUUGUUUGCAAUUAACGAGGAUUUGAAAAGAAUCUGAAUAAUUCAGAUCUAAGUCUUUUAUGAGUAUUUAUCUUUUCUUAAAAAAAUAUCUUUUUAAUAAAUUUAAAUACUUUUGUACAAAUGAUGAUCGUAAAAGUUUUUUUUUUUGUUCAAAUCAAUUUCUUCUUCCUUGUCUCUUUGAACUAUCAAUCAAUCAUCUUAAUAUUUUUAGCUUAAAUCGAUAAAUUAUCAAAUCUCAUUUGAAUAUUCUCGAAUCCGAUUCUCCGUAUUUAUUUUGUAUUUUUAAUGCUAGCUUUUAGUUGAGAAAUAAUGGUUUAAAAUGAUUAAAAAAAAAAGAUAUUCACAAUUAUAGCCAAUCAAAGAGGAAAUAAAGCACCCAUGAGUACAUUUUCUAUCAUUUAUCUUUAUAAUAUUUAAAAUUAAGGAGUGUUGAAAUAUAAUAUCAAAGAAAAAUAUAUUUUUAAAAAUUAAGGAUUUCUAAAAUAAAUGACAAGACAAAAAUAUAUGGUAAAAAGGAAUUAAGAGAAAUAAUAAUUUAUGAUUCUUAAAAUAUGUGAUUAAUAAGAAAAUAUAUUUUAAAAUUAAGAAGUCUAAAAUAUUUGGUAAGAGAAAUAUAUGGGGUAAAUGGUAUUAUGAUAAUUAAUAAUUAAAGGAUCAUAAACUAUAUGAAAUAUGUAAAGUAGUUAAUAAGGGCUAAAUUAAAUUUUUUUUCCGAUUAAUUUAUUCUAAAGUAAAAUUGUUACAUUAAUUUCUUAUGUCAAACAAGACAAUUUUUUUUAAAUUUAUGUAAGAAUAUUUUAAUUUUCUAAAUUUAUGUAGGACAAUUUUUUUUUUUUUUUGUAUUUAUACCUUGUGGGUUAGAAGUAACACAACUUAUAUCAGAUAAAACUUUGAUAAAUUUGGUCAUAAUUAAUCACACUUUGACCCAUAAUUUUUUAUAAAAUGAGAAACGUCGGAAAAUAUAAGAAGGAAUUUACAAAAUUCUUUGAAAUUUAUAAAAAAUUAAUUUUUUUUAAUAUAUAUAUAUCACUUUCUCUUUAUAUCAUUCUACUUAAGUUUAUAAUGAUUUUACUUUAGUUCAAAUGAUUAGGGUGGCAAUUUUAUUAUAAUAAAAAAUAAAUCAAUAAGAUCAAGAGAAAUCAAUUAGUGAUGGCAAAAAGAUUUAUUUAUUUAUUUAGAAAAUGAAUCAAUAAGAUCACUAUAAAUCAUUUAGUGAUAGCAAAAGGUUUUAUUUAUUUUAUUAUUAUUCCUAUAAUAGAAAAACUAAGAAAAGAAAAAAAAAACUAUACAAUUAUAACGUAAAUGUCCUUUUUUUUUUUAACGAUUUGUCACUUGCGUAUUUAGCUCUUGAAAAAUAAUAAUAACAUUUUAGGUAAUAUAUGAUUUGAAUAUAAUAUUUACAUAUAUAUUAUCCAAUUUUAUAGAUAAUAUUAUACCAUCGUCUGACGUUUGCAAUAUUUCUUGGCUUUUUAUUUUGAUUUGAUUAAAUUUAGAUUAUUUUUUUCGUGCUAUAAAACCCCAAAGUCUAUCCCUUUUCUUUUCAUUUUCAAUACUCAUAUAUUCUCCUUCAAUAUGACUCUCUCAUUCGUCAACAUCUUUUUCUUGCUAGUGUUAUUGAUCGCUCCCCUUGACCUUUCGUUUGCGAAAAAAUGUGUUUUUUCUCAAAAAUACGAGGUGCAUGUUAUCAACAAACUUCCUGCUAAUUCUCCGAAAUUACGACUUCAUUGCGCGUCGAAAGAUACAGAAAUUGGAGAUCAAAUUCUUCCUAUAAAUGGAGAUUUAAAUUGGUCGUUUUGCGAGUCGUUUCUCGAUACUACUUUAUAUUUUUGUCACUUUUGGUGGGGUCCAAAAGACAAGUCUUUUGAUGUGUUUGAUGAUCCAACUUAUUGUGUCAAAAAUGGUAAAAAUCCAAAUGUUCUAAAAUAUUGUAAAUGGGAAGUGAGAGAAGAUGGUUUUUAUUUGGAACAAUAUAAUGCUAGAACAAGUACUUAUUAUAUGGAGAAGUUAGAACAAUGGUAGGGAAUAUAAUUUUUUAAAUUUGUGUUACUGUUUAAAUAAAGUUUAAUGAAUUUUUUAGUUAAUUUCUAUCUCAUUUAUCUUUUUUUUUGUUUAUAUUAUUUAGUGAUAGAUAAGUUUUUCCAUCUCUUUGAUAUGUUAUAUAUAUAGUCAUCGACUGGAUAUUACUUGAUAGCAAUCGUCUUCAAACAAGACGUGAAUCGAAGAUAUCAAUCUACAUUAUUAUUAUGUUAAAUUUUAUAAAUCAUUUUGCCUAAAAGUUUGAUAGAUUAAUCAUUUUGUUUUAACGAUUAAUCUAAUUUAAUAGACUCAUCCAUGGAGUGGUAAUAAUAGUAUUUUUGGCUAAUUUUGUGAAAAGUCAAAAAUAGUUUCUUUUUUUUAGUUGGUUGGUAGCAAAAGUUACUUUUCUUGAAAAAUUAAGUUUUACCACAUUGAUUUAUUAAUAGUAACUUGAAAACGGUUAUCAAAUAUUUUCGACUUAUAUAAAAGAUUAUAAAAUUUGUAGUAACUUAAAAACUACAAACAAAAUUGCUUCUAAAAUAACUUAACUAAACACAAAUUGCUAAUUACUCUCUUGAAACACUUUCUCUUCAAUCUUCUCACAAUAAUUUACUAUAAUGUACGAGGCAUUUAAAAUUGGUGACUCAAAUUCAUAAUUUUCAAAUUAAAACAAAAAAAAAUAUUUAUCACUCAAACAACUAUAUUUUAUCAAAAUUUUACAAUAUUUCAUAUAAGUCAAAAAUAUAAAUAGAUAUGGAGAGAAAAAAAAAAAGGCAAAAGACAUUAAAUGCUAAUUAAGUGCUUUUGAAAAAGAUACGAAGUAGUUGCAACCCCAAAUCAUGAUUUUGUAAGAGUAUGACAACUCAAUUAUUUAUUACUUUUCUCCGAUUAACAAAGAAUGAUCUAGUUUGAUUUGGCACGAAGUUUAAGGGUAUAAAGAAGAUUUUUAUAUUUUAUGGUUUUAAACAUGCCACACGGAAAGUUUGAUAUAAAUGGUUGGAUCAAAUCAAACUAAUUACACUAAUGUUUUUUUUUCCUUAUAUAAAUCACCAUAAUCCCCCUCUCCCCUUUCAUUUUCAAUAUAAUUAUCUUUUCUCCCGUAUGGCUUUCUCCUUCAUCAACAUCUUAUUUUUGUGGUUAUUGGUUACUCCGCUUAACUUUUCAUUAGCGAAAAAAUGUUUUUUUACGAAAAAAUAUGAGGUACAUGUUAUCAACAAACUUCCUCCUAAUAGUCCACCAUUACAAGUUCAUUGUGCGUCGAAGGAUCAAGAACUUGGAAACAUAAUUCUUCCCAUCGAUGAAGAUUUUAAUUGGUCGUUUUGCGAGAAAACUUUUACUGAUAUUUUAUACUUUUGUCAUUUUUGGUGGGAUUCGAAAGACAGGUCUUUUGCGGUGUAUGAUGACCCAAUUUAUUGUGUCCAUCAUGGACCAAAUCUAAAUAUACUACAGUAUUGUAAAUGGGAGGUGAGGGAAGAUGGUUUUUAUUUGGAACAAUAUGAUGCUAGUAAUGAAACAUAUUACAUGUAUCGUAUUAAUAUGUGGUAUUAGAGAAUAUAAUGUUUUGUUUGUGAUCUUGUUAAUUAUAUUAAGUGAAAGGAAAUAAGAUGGAAAUUUCACUUGAGACUUUCUUUCUUAUUUAUAAUAUAUAUUCUUGUUUUUUUAAUAUUAGAAAAAAAUCAUUUUUUUUACUUUGUUAUAGUCCUCGAUUAAAAAUUUGACUUAUUUAUAUCUUGCUGUUAUAAUUUUAGCUUGAAUUUGUCACUAAAUCAUUGACAAACCAACAUUAUAGCUAGACUAACAUGUCCAAAUUAAUCAUUGUGAAUGGCUUAUUUUUAACAAAAAUAAAAAAUAAAAAAAAUUGGCGUGUAACUAUUGAUAAUAUUAAGUAAAUUUAACCAAAUUAAAAUAAACAAUUUAAUUAAAGAGAAAAUUAGUCAAAACACAUUUAAUGGUAAUUCAAUGCUUUUGAAAAGAUACAAUUAACAGUUGCAAUUUAAAUCAAGAUUUUGAUCCUAAUCAAUGGAUAACUUAGUGUGAAUUUGAGAUUCAAUUUAAUUAAGAUUUGACAUAAUUAUAGAAUAAAAAAUAUUGCAAUAAUGUGUUUAUUUUUUGUGUUAAUAACUUUAAGGGUAUUUUAGUCAUUUUAAGGAAAAAUAGUCAUCAUUUGUAUUUUUUUAUUGAGUACAUCGAUGAUUUAUUUUCAGUUUCAAACACUCUAAUCGGAAAUAUAAUUAUUUAGGAAGAAGUUUCAUCAUAUGUUUGAUCAUAAUAUUUUUAAAAAAUAUUUGAUUUUUUUAUAGAAAAAUAUAAUUUUUAUCUAUAAGCUAUAAAAAAUAAUACUCAUAAGUUUGUAUUAUCAUUUAAUAAUAAACAUAUUUCGUCAUAAAAUUAAACUAAAAGUUAUAAGCUCUUACAUGCAUAUAAACAAUUUUCAAAUUUUAUUUUGACAAAUUCUAUGAAACAAUAUCAUUACAUACUUGAGAAUCAAAUAACAACAAACUCUUUAUAAAUAAAAAUAAAUUACAUAAAUUUAGUGAGUCUGUUUAUGGUGUGUUUCUCAAACUUGUCAAGUUGGGAUUAAUAAAUGAUGAACUAUUUUUAUAUAUAAAAAAAAGUUUAGGAUAAAUUCUAAAUUUGUAAAAGAAUUCCUAAAGAUAGGAUUUGUCCCCAAAACUUAAUUUUUUCUAGUUUUUGGGAGAAAUAUUUUACCAAAAUUAUCUACAAAAAUGACAAUUUUGUAUGAUUAACAGUUUUUGCCAAAUUGUUCUUUUUCCCCAAAAACUACUACUACCUUUUAAGGGGAAACAGGUCAUAAAUUCAUAAAUUCAACCCCUGCACUUAAAACCCCCUUUUAAUAUUUCUACCUUUUUUUUUAGUAAAUAAACUGAUUUUAUUUAUUAUCAACUGAGAAUUAAUACAAAGAAAAAAAAUAUAUCAAUUGUACUUACUAGCGGGGCGGACCCACCAUUACCUAAUCGUUGAAAAAUUAUAACGUAUAGAGAAGUCAAAUUAUAAUUUGAUAAAUAUAUAUAUACUUAACACCUUUUAAUGCAAGUAAAAAGUUGGGAAAAAGGUUCAAAUAUGUCAUUAAACUUUUAGAAAAGACUCAUUUAUUCUAUCAGUUAAAAAUUUAGCUCAUUGAUGCCAUUAUUUUUUAACAAUUGUUCCGCAAAAUCAUUUUUGACACGUGACCAAUUAUAAUUCGGACUCGUCAUCAAUUUUUUUAAUAAAAAAAUCAAAAAAAUAAUUCAAUUUUUAUUCAGAAUUUUGAUUUUUCAUUAAAAAAAUUGAUGAUAUGGCCCAACUAUAAUUCGACCAUGUCAUCAAUUUAUUUAAUAAAAAAAAUAAUUCAAUUUUUUUUCAGAAUUAUAAUUUUUUAAAAUAAAAAAUUGAUGAUGUGGCCGAAUUAUAAUUGACAACGUGUCAAAAUGAUUUUGCAAAAUCACCAUUAAAAAAUAAUGACAUGAAUAAGUCUUUUCUUUAACAGUAAUGACAUAAAUGAGCCAAACUUUUAACUGAUAACAUAAAUGAGCCUUUUCUGAAAAUUUGAUGGCAUAUUUGAGUCUUUUCUCUCAAAAGUUUUGUCUAGUGAUUAAGGCGUUGUAGAAAUUUCUUAAAGUUGUGUAUUCUUAUCCUAUGAACCUCAUAAUUAUUUUUUUACUACAACUAUUGACACACAUUAAUGACAUCACAAUACUUAUAAUUACGGGUGUAAAAAAUGAGUCAAACUAUGGGUGACCCGUCCAACCCAUCCAAAAUUUUAAGGGGUGAACUCAAGAUAAUUUGAAUUGAGUUACAUCUCAAUUCAUUCAAGUCUUAACCCAUUUUAUGAGAAUUGAGCCCAAUUUAAUCUCUAAUUUCAACAUAUUUUAAGACUUUUUAUUGUAUUGAUGUAAUGUAUAUUCCUACUUCCUAUAUUAAAUGUUUGAAUUAGUAUCUAUUUUAUAUCUUUUAGAAAUUAUCUAUUCAUUUAUAACUUUUUUAAAAGAAUCUUCUUGUGUUGAAAUUCAAACAGUGGUAAUAAAACUUAACUAUAUAAUAAAAUUUUUCAGAUUAAGCGAAUCAAAUUAGGCAGGUCAAAGACCCAAUCCGUUUUUGAGUCAAUUUGAGCCCAAAGUAAACUUGGACGGGUCAGAAUCCAAUCCAAUUCUAUUUCAACUGAACCCGUCCAUUUGACACCCCUACCCUACUUAUAACUAUAUAAGCCUCCUCUCCUCUUCAAUUCAUUUGCAAUACUUAGCUUCUCCCAAAUAUAAUAUGACUCUUUAUUUCAACAUCUUUUUUUUCUUGUUAUUGAUCACUCCUAAUCUUGACCUUUCGCUAGCGGAAAAUUGCUUUAUUUUACCAAGUUAUGAGGUACAUAUUAUCAACAAACUUCCUACUAAUACCUCACAAUUGCAAGUUCAUUGCACGUCAAAGGAUGACGAAACUAGAAAUGCAUAUCUUAACAUAGAUGAAGACUUACAUUGGUCAUUUUGCGAGUCAUUUUUUGGUAAUACUUCGUUUUUUUGUAACUUUUGGUGGGGUUCAAUGAAUAAGUCUAUUACAGUGUUUGAUGACCCAGGCACUUGUGUUCAUAGUGGUCAGUAUACAAAUUAUCAUUACUCUUGCAAAUGGGAAGUAAGACAAGAUGGUUUUUAUUUGGAGAUGUUUAAUUAUAAGAAUAUGACAUAUUUUAUGGAUCACAUUAGUGAUUGGUCUUAGGGAAUUAAUAUAAUAUGUUCCAUUGAUGUUUUGUAUAUUUAAAUUUGGAAGGAAAUAUAUUAUCAUGGAAUUUUAGUGUGGCUUACAUUCUUAUUUAUCUGUCUUUUUAAUUUUGAAAACAAAAUAAAAUUCUAGAUUAGCUUUUGUAUUUUGUGGAAAUAAUAUAAUGAGAUUAAAAAUAAAUAAAUAAAGGUUAGUAGGACCAGAAGACUUAUUUACUUGAGCCAUGUCGAACUAUUGACAUAUCGAGUCUUUUAUUUAUAUCGAUAAUUAAAUGAAUCAAAUAAGCGCCUUAUAUAAAGGUUAGAGAAGGACAUAGCUAAUUGAUAAAUCUCUCACAAAAUUUAGAUAUGUGGUUAAAUAAAACUAUGAAAUAAGUUAAAUGAAAGUAAUUAUGUAUUUUCCUAACUUAUAAAGUUUAGAUUUUUAUUUUAUUUUAUAAAACACCAAAGUUUCCUCCCCUUUUUCAUUUUCAAUACUCAUUUCAUUUUUUUUCCAAAUAAAGAUUUAGUUGACUUGACUAUAUUCCACUUUCUUUCCUUUUUUUUUUUUUUGGUUAUAUUCAAUGGUAAGGUAAUUCAAAAUCUUUUGUAUACAUAUAUAUAUAUAUAAUUGUAAAACAUAUCAUAACCAAAGAACCCCUUUCUACCCUUUAAUUCAUUUUCAAUACUUAGCUUCUCUAUCCCAAUAUGGCUCUUUCCUUCAUCAAAAUCUUUUUCUUGUUGUUAUUAAUCACUCCUAAUCUUGACCUUUCACUAGCGAAAAAAUGCUCAUUUUUUACACCAAAGUACGAGAUACAUGUUAUCAACAAACUUCGAAUUAAUAACCCACAAUUGAGAGUUCAUUGCGCGUCAAAGGACGAUGAAAUUGCAGACAAGUAUGUUGCCAUAGAUGAAGACUUACAUUGGUCGUUUUGCGAGUCAUUUGUCCUUAAGACUUUAUAUUUUUGUCACUUUUGGUGGGGUCCAAAGAAUACAUCUAUUACUGUAUUUGAUGAUAUCACCUUUUGUAUACACCAUGGAAAAUAUGAAAAUCUUCUAAGAUAUUGUAAAUGGGAAGUAAGAGAAGAUGGUUUUUAUUUGGAACAAUAUAAUACUACUGCUGGGAAUAAGACAUAUUUUAUGGAUCAUGAAAGUGAUUGGUCUUAGGAAAUAUAAAAUGUCCCAUUGAUGUUUUGUGUAUUUAAAGUUGGAAGCAAAUAUAUUAUGAUGAAAUUUUGUCCUUUUAAUUUUGGAAUUUGCCCUAGUUCUUCUAUAGUUAUUUUUCAAUGGUCAUCAAAAUUAAUUUCAGUUCAAUUCAACACCUUUAGCCUAUAUUUUUGAGAGAAAAAAUUGUUAGAUAAUUCACACAAUAAGUUCAUUGAUCGGACGCUACAGAGGUGUAUUCAGGAUUUUGAGAUGAUGGGUGCACUGUUAUAUAAAGGUUGAUUUAUGAUAUAUAUUUGAUCGUUUCGAUAUUUAGAUUUUUACUAUUAAAAAAACGUUAAAAUUUUAAAAUCGUUAGUCUAAAUUAAUUCGUAUAUACCAAUUACCACUUACAGAAAUGUUAUCUAAUUUUAGAAAGAAAAAAGAAACAACAUAAAUAUAAAAUUAUUCCCUCUCCCUUUUCAUUUUCAAUACUUAUCUUUUCCUUUUCUACCUUUCCAAAUCAAUAUAUUUUGAUCAUGUUCAAACUCAUUUCUUUUUCCAAAUAAAGAUUUGUUUGACUUGACUAAGAGCCUGUUUGGCUCAGCUUAAAAGCUGGUCAUACUGACUUAAAAGCUGAUUUUUGACUUAUUUAGCUGUUUGACAAUACUCAAAAUAACUUAUUUUAAGCUAAAAGUUAAAAGUUGGGAUACGGGUGCUUUUUAUUUUUUAGCUUAUAAGCUGUUUUAAGUUGACCACAUUUUUAUCUUUUUGCCCUUAAUAUUUUCAUAUAAUCUCCAAAUUACCCACAUAACCCUAACAUCUCUUUCUUUCAUUUUUCCAUUUUCACGUUUGACACAACAACUUCAGCACUUUUAUCCAAAUGCAUAACUGCUUAUUUUAAAAAUAAGUUUCAGCACUUUUAAAAGUACUUUUUUAAAGUUGCUUUUAAUAAGCCCAUCCAAAUGGACCCUAAAAUCAUUUUUUUUAAAAAAAUAAAAUCAUAACCCUUCUCUCCCCUUCACAAAAUCACAUACUUCAUUACAAUAAUCAUUAAGGUAAAAGAUUUAACAAUUUUCACUCAAAGUAAAACAAAUUAAAAUUAAGGUAAAAGACAUUUAAUGGUGUAAUUCAAUGCUUUUGAAAAGAUAUAAAUAUAUAGUUGAAUCCCAAAUCAAGCUUUUGUAAGAGUUGACUAAACUCGAUUAUUUUUUUCUCUAUAAAAUAAAGUAAAAUCAUAAGCAUCAAUUUAAUUUUCAAAAUGACUCUCCUCUCGAUCAAUAUUUUCUUAAUAUUAUUACUAUUGAUAACUCCCCUUAACCUUUCAACAACAAAAGCAUGUUUCCUUACUAGAAGGUUCGAGGUACAUGUUAUCAACAAUCUCCCUUUCAACUCCUCAAAUCUUAAAAUUCAUUGUGCUUCUGGUGACGAUGAUCUUGGUGAUCAUUAUCUUUCCGUUAAUCAAGAAUUUAAGUGGUCAUUUUGUCAAGCACUUGCAUGGACUACAUUAUUCUUUUGUCAUUUUUGGUGGAAUUCAAAGACUAAAUCCUUUAAUGUGUUUGAUGACCCAGUACAUUGUGUUGAAGAUGGAUUACUUCCAAAGGUUACAACACAAUGUGCAUGGGUGGUGAAGUUAGAUGGUUUUUAUUUAGGGACUUAUGUAGGCCCCGGAAAAGUUACAGAUAUGUAUCGUUAUUCUGAGUGGUAGUCUUGUGUAUGUGUAUUUUAAUGGUAAUUACAGAUGAAUCUCUAUGAAAAAUAGUUGUGGACGAUCUGAUAAAAAUGAUGCUCGAUCUAGCUUUGAACUCCGUGUAGGAGAAAAGAAGGUUUAACUAUAGCAUUUUUUACUCUUUUUUUUUUCAAUUGAUGUUCAACUAAAUCCAAUUUACGCAACAUAGGAUCCAUUUCUUGAAAGUGUUGGUACGAAAACAAAAUGAUUUUCUAAAAAAUAUUUUUUUUGAAAGUAAAUAGGUCUCUUACUUAUUUUAAGUGCUUGAUAAGUAAAUAAGAAAGCGUUAAUUUAAAAAUAUUUAUAUUUUAUUCAGCAAAACACUAUAGAGACGGAACGCAAUGUGGAAUAGGGUGACAGGGUGGUUGGGAUGGUCAAGGGGAUUAAAUAGAUGGAAAUUUAGGAGACAAUAAACGUGGAACGCCACCAGGUGUACAAAAACAACCAAAUGUAACAAAAUGUGAAAAAAAAUUCCAACAAAAUGUAGUUUCAUAAAAAUAAUUAGAUUAUUUACUUAUCUUUCUAAUAUGAACUCGAUCCCACAAAGUUUAAAUGCAUAGUUAAAACUUUGAAACAAGUCAAUUGUAUAUAUUAUUAUACCUAAGAUGAAAAAGCUAAAAAAUAUUUAAUGAUUUCAAACUUACUUCAAAUUGUCAUAGUCCAAGUCAAAAAAUUAUAUUUGACUAAAUUAAAUUAAAUUCUUUUUGUUUUUUAUUUAUAAAAUUCCAAAACUCUCAUACCUUUUCAAUACUCAUUCACUAAAAAUGUUGAUCAACAUUUUUUUCUUUUUGCUUAUCACUCCACUCAACCUUUCAAUAGCAAAACAUUGUCCAUUUGGUUCGAGAUACACGGUAUAUGUUACCAACAAACUUCCUUUCGACUCUUCAAAAUUGUCAUUUCAUUGUGCUUCAAAAAAUGAUGAUCUCGGAUAUCACGAUCUUGCUAUAAAUCAAGUGUUUAAUUGGUCGUUUUGCGAGGCAAUUUUCAGUAGAACUUUAUUCUUUUGUCAUUUUUGGUGGGGUUCAAAAGAGAAAGCAUUCGAUGUGUUUAACGAUCCAUAUACAUGUGUUAAAGGUACAGGAAAUCCAAAUAUUUUAACUAAUUGUAAAUGGGAGGCAAGGGCAGAUGGUUUUUAUUUGGAAUUGUUUAAUAGUACAAGUGAGACAUAUUAUAUGUAUCAUUAUUUAGAGUGGUCUUAGGGAAUUAAUAUGUUUGUGUCAUAUUUUAAUUUAGAUAAAAUGAGAAGUAAAAAAAAAAAAGAAUUCCAAAGUGUAUUAUUUCUCAAUUUCUUAUCUUUUUACUCUCAAUUUUUUCCUUUAUGUGGGAACAUUAUAAUGUCUUCUAUUUAUUUUUUUCUAAAUAAGAAUUAUUUUUACGACGUAAAAUCAUAUAUUAACACCUCGAUACAUGGAGGGAUCCAUCGAUAUAUGCGAGGCUUUUUUUAUUCAUAAUUAAUGGUGUUCGACAUUUACUAUAAUGCACGGGAGGACUUGUAUACUUCCUUCGGAUAAAAAAAGGGCAAGUGCAUAAAUCUUCAAUUUUAGUACUCCAAUUUAGUUUAAGGGACAAUUAUAGUGUGUGUAUAUAUUAUGGUAUUUUGUGAUUCGCAAUUUUCGAAAUAACAUAGCCGAUUUUUUUCAUGAACAUCCAUUAAGACAUUAGCAAUGUAUCUAGUUCGUCCCGCGAGAAAAACAGACAUAUUUUUAAGUUCAAACGAGUGGGAAAAUAGGUAAACACACAUUGUAUCAAUUUGGUAUGCUAUAGUCCAAGAAUUUUUUUGUGAUCCGGAAUUUCCAAAACGAAAUGGCCAAAAUUUUUAUGGACGUCCGUUAAGACGUUAGCAAUAUACCUAAAUGCAUCCCACGGGGAAAACAUAUACAUUUUCAAGUUUAAACGAGCCCCAAAGUAGGUAAAUCCAGAUUUUGUCAAUUUUUGUGUGCUAUAGUCCAUGGAUUUUUAUUGAUCCAGAAUCCUCGAAAUAAAAUGAUCAAAAAUUUUAGUGGACAUCCGUUAGACCGUUAGCAAUGUACACAUUUCGUCCCACAUGGAAAAAAAACGCAUUUUCAAGUUCAAACAAGCUCUAAAGCAGGUAUGCGUAGAUUUUGUCGAUUUUCGUCUGCUAUAGUUCAUGAAUUUUUUAUGAUCCAGAAUUCUCAAAAUGAAAUGAUCAAAUUUUUUCAUGGGCGCCCGUUAAGACGUUAGCAAUGUACCCAGUUCGUCUCGCAGGGAAAAUAGACGCAUUUUCAAGUUUAAACGAGCCCAAACCAUGUAAAUCAGGAAUUUUGUCAAUUUUUGUGUGCUAUAUAAUCUAGGAAUUUUUAGUGAUUCAGAAUUCAUAAAAUGAAAUGUCCAAAAUUUUUCAUGGAUGUUCAUUAAGAGGUUAGCAAUGUACUUAGUUCGUCUCGAUGGGAAAAUUAGUGUAUUUUCAAGUUCAAACGAGCGAAAAAAUAGGUAAAUGCAGAUUUUGCUAAUUUCAUGUGCUAUAGUUAAUGAAUUUUUUGUGAUCUGGAAUUCUCGAAAUGAAAGAGUUGUGAUUUUUCAUGGACGCCCGUUAAGACGUUAGCAAUGUAUCCAAUUCGUCUCACAGGAAAAACACACAUUUUCAAGUUCAAAUGAGUCCCAAAACAGUUAAACACAAAUUUUACCGAUUUAGGUAAAUUGCUACAUAAUUUAGUCAUUUGUUAAUUUUUUAUUUUGGUUGGUCUAAAUUUUGCCCAAUUCACUCAUUUGACAUUAUUUUGUGUUUGUAAAACUUUAACAAAUAAAUGCAUUUGUGAUAUAAAAGGAAACAUUAUCCUAAAGAUAAAAAUGUUUUUUUCAAGGAAAACUGUUUAAAAGCAUUUUAUUAGGCUUAAGCCAAAACGAAGUUAGGGGCAUGUCAUCAAUUUUGAAAUUAAAUAUAAAAAAAAUAUAAGAUGAAUAAUAGGUAAUUUGUUAUCGAAUAUUAUUCCUUUAAAAACUUGAAGAUUAUUUUUUUCAAAAUGUAUCCACUUAAUUAUGUCAUGAUCUUUAUUACGUUCUCUAUUCCAUAUUAACUGAAUUGGCGAAAUACAUAUUUAUUAAAAAAAACAAUCAAUGACAUAACUUAUAUUAUAUUUUUCACUAUUAUUUUUUGUAAAAGAAUGAAUAUAACUUUACAAAUAAUGUAAUUUAUCUCUUACAAAAUAUUAAUAAAAAUAUAUUAUAGGAAAAUGGCAGAUAUAGAAAAUACUUCAAACGAUCCAUCAACUUUGAAAAAUUCAACUUAAUUUGAACAAUGAAAUUAAAGGAUAUAAUCAAAUCAAAUCAAAAUCAAAAUAUUGAGGAAUUUACUAAAGUAGAAUAUUUAUAAUUAUUUAUUAUUAUUAUUAUAGUUGAGGAUUUGACUAAAUUAGAAUAUUUAGUAUAUUAUUAUACUUAUUAUAUCCAUAUUUUUUUUAUAUAUAAGUCUAGAACCCUUUUUACUUUAUCCAUACUUUUUUCCCCUCCCUUAAUAUGACUAUUUACUUGAUCAACAUCUUUUUGUUGUUACUAAUCACUCCUCUUGACCUUUUGAUAGCUAAAAUAUGUGUCACUUCGACUAUAGAGAUACAUAUUUUCAACAAACUUCCUAAUAAUUUACCGCCAUUGGAAAUUCAUUGCGAAUCUAAGGACGAUGACCUAGGAAGUCGAUCUCUCGCAUAAAUGAAGACUAUUACUGGAGAUUUUGCGUGGCGAUUACCAAUAGGACUUUAUAUUUUUGUCGAUUUCGAUGGGGUUCAAAAUAUGUAGUAUUUGAUGCAUAUAACGAUGCACUUUAUUGUCUCAAAGAUCUCACAGUUCCAAAUCUCAUUAACUAUUGUAAAUGGGAGGUGAGAUCAGAUGGUUUCUAUUUGGAACAAUAUAAUGUGGUUAGUGAUACAUAUUAUAUGACUUAUAUACAUGGAUGGCAAUAGGGAAUAGGACCAAUGUUUGUGUUAAUAUUCACGUAAAGUGAGAAAUAAAUAAAUAAAUAAGAUUUCAUAACUUCUUGGAAUAUUAUUUAUCUUUCUUAUUUUUUUAUAUAUCACAAUCUUGUAUUGAUUAGGUAUUAUAAAUGACUUAAUUAUAGAUCUGUUUAUUCAGAAUAAUUAAUUCCUCCUCCGUUCAUUUGCAGGUCACGAAAAUCCCACCUUUUAAUUUACUUAUUACCAUUAUUCCCUAUAAGUAUUACAAAUUUAAAAAUCUCUCAUUUUCGUGCAUCACAUAUUCACAUUAAUGUAUCUGGCCCAUCACAUUAAUGUAUAUCGCACAUCAGAUUACUGUAUCAUGUAUAAAAUGUACCUCGUGCAUCAAAUUAUUGUAUUUGCACAUCAGAUUAGUGUAUCUCUCACAUCAAAUUAAUGUAUCUCGCGCAUCAAAUUAGUGAAUCAUGUAUAAAAUGAACCUCGCUCAUCAAAUUAGUGUAUCUCGCGCAUCAGAUUAGUGUAUCCCGCGCAUUAAUUUAAUGUAUCAGCGCUUAUUAAUAUUGUAUAAUUUUAAGGAAUUUUUGUAAUUAUAAAUUUCUAAAAAAAAUUAUAAUUUUUCCUUAAAAGUAUGUAAUUUAUGUAAUUUACCUAUUUAUUUGUUCAAUCCAUCAGAAUUGGGUUGAUAUGUAGACUACCUGUUUAUAUAUGGAAAUCUAAUGAAAAUACUUUUUUUUUUGAAAAUAUUUAAUAUAUUAUAUAUAAUCAUAAUGAAUAAAAGAACAUUAUUCUGAUCAAAUUAUCUUAUUUUAAUAUGUCUAAAUUCUGAUCAAUUCACAAAUUUUGACUCCUUUAAUUUUGUAUUUGUAAAACUUUUAAAAACAAAUGCAUUUAAUGAUUUGAAGAAUUUAUUUAUUUUAUUUAAAAGGACUAAAGAAGAUAAAUUUUUUUUUAAGACAACUGUUUAUUAGGCUAAACAAAAAUGUUAUUAGGUUCACGUUUUCAAUUUUGAAUUAAAUAUAAAAACAUAAAGAUGAAAUUAACAGGUAAUUUAUGUUGAUUAUUUUUUACAUAUAUUUUUUUAAAAAAGAUUUUCUUAAAAUUUAUAACUUAAUUAAAAUUUUUAUUAAUAUUAUGUUUACCUUUAAAAGUUAAAUAAUUAAAAUACAUACUGUCUGUCAUCUCAUGCCAAAAUUGAAAUGAUAGAAUCAAAUUUAAAGUAAUUAAUAUUACUAUCCAAAAAUCAAGACUUUUCCAAGUAGACUAAACUAGAAUAUUUAUUAUUAUUAUUAUACUUAAAAUGUAAUAUUUUUUUUUUGUAUAUAACUAUAGACCCCUUUUACCUUUUCCAUAUUUUUUUUUCUCCCUCAAUAUGGCUACUUCUUUUAUCAAAAUAUUCUUGUUAUUAUUAAUCAUAUCCCCUAUUGACCUUUCAAAUGCUGGUUGUGCUACUACAGAUCUUCAGGUACACAUUAUCAACAAACUUCCUGAACAAAGUAUAUUACCGUUACAAAUUCAUUGUGAAUCGAAAGAUGAUGACCUUGGAAUUCACAAUCUUGCUAUAAAUGAAGACUAUAAUUGGCGAUUUUGUGAGGCAUUUAGUGAACGUACUUUAUAUUUUUGUCGAUUUCGUUGGGGUAUAAAAUAUAAAAGGAUUGAUGUGUUCAAUGAUGAUUAUACUUGUCUCCAUGGUCUAGAAUAUCCAAAUCUUCUUAAUUAUUGUAAAUGGGAGGUGAGAUCUGAGGGUUUUUAUUUGGAACAAUAUAAUUCUACUACUGAUCAAUAUUUUAUGACUUAUAUAUUCGAAUGGCAUUAGGGAAUUGUAAGAAAUUAAAUAAAUAAUUAUAAAAAUUGUUGUUUAUUAGUAUCAUUUAGAUUUAUCAUUCUUGUUUAUUAUUCUAUCAUUUUUAGCAUUUUGCACUUUAAUUGCUUGCAAAAUCAUAAAAAAAAAUGAUUAUUUUGCAAUAAUUUCCAAAGGACAAAAUCGGAAAUAAAUGUAAAAAAUAUGUAUCACUGAGACCAUUGAGGUACGUAUUUUCAACAAACUUCCUAUACUAAUUUAUUGAAAAUUUAUUGCGAUUAGAAGGACGAUUACCUUGGAAUUCACCCUCCUAUCGUAAAUAAAAACUAUCAUUAGAGAUUCGAAAUUUUAUAUUUUUGUCGAUUUCGAUGGGGCUGACAAAUAUAGAGUAUUUGAUGUGUAUAGCAGUGUAUCACUAACAACAUUAUAUUAUAACAAUAUAAUGUGGUUAGUGAUACAUAUUACAUGACUUAUAUACAUGAAUGACAAUAGGAUAUAGGACCAAUAUUUGUGUUAUUGUUUAAGUAAGGUGAAAAAAUAAAUAAGAUUUUAUAAUUAAGGGAAACUGUUUAUUAGGCUAAACAAAAGCGCAGGUUUAUGUCUUCAAUUUUAAUAUAUAAAACAUAAGAAUAUAAGAUGAAUAUAAUAGGUAUAUUGUGUUGAAUAUUUUUUCUUUAAAAAAUUGAUGAUUACUUUUUAUGUUUUAUUAAAUAUAAUAUAAUUUUUACCUUUAAAAAUUAAAUAGAUACAUGAAUAUAUGUCCUCUAAAAUUGCACAUGCCAAAAUUGAAAGAAUAGAAUCAAAUACAAAGUAAUUAAUAUUACUAUCUCAAAUCAUGAUUUUGAUAAUUAGACUAAACUAGAAAUUUUUUUAAAUAUUUAUUUAUUACCAUGGCAAGUUCAUUGUCAAUCGGGAGAUGAUGAAUUUUAUUUGCAACAAUAUAAUGUUUUUAAUGACACAUAUCAUAUGACAAGAAGAAUAUAAGACAAGAGGAACAAUAUAAGAUCACAAUAUUUCUUUCAAGUAUUCACCAAAUCUUCGAGUGUAUACAAUAUGAGUCCUUAUGACUCAUUAUAGCGUAACAUAGAGAUAUACAAAAGAUUAAUCAUAAACAUGACAUUAUAUGAAUAUAAUGAGGGAGGUUAUGAAAAAAAAUGCAAGAGUAAUAUUUAUAAAAUUAAAGGUUAUAAUUAUCUUUAUAAUUAAGGAGAUUAUGUAGUAAUUUGUUGAAGCAGUGGACAUCAACAUUAUAUUGGUUUGUAACAAGAAUUACUGAAUUUAUUGUUAUUGCCCCUAAAAAUGAAUAGUAAAAAUAUUUAAUGGAUUCAAACUAAAGUACUAAUUGUUGGAGUGAAAGUCAAAGAUAUUGUGGAUCUGACUAAAUUGAAUUAUUAUUAUUAUUAUUAUUAUUAUUAUUAUUAUUAUUGUAUAAAAUUGUUGAACUCAUUUUCUCAAUAUAGCUCUCUCAUUUGAUCAACAUUUAUUAUUAUUAUUUAUUGGUAAAUAUUAUUAAAAAGCAUUUUAGUUGGUCCUCAAAACUAUAAAUUCGUUGUGCCUCAAAGUGUGAUGACUUCAUAUAUCACAAUUUAACUAUAAAUUAAGACGUUCGAAUUCAAAAUUUCUGAUUAAAAAUAGAAUUGUUUCAUAAUAAGUCUUAUAAUUCAUAAUUGAUAUUUAUUUUUUCAUUAAAUGCAACUAAAUAAGGCAUAGAGUGAUUAAUGUGUUGCAAUCCAAAUCAAGAUUUUGAAGACUUUUGGCUAAACUAUAUAUAUAUAUAUAUAUAUAUAUAUAUAUAUAUAUAUAUAUAUAUAUAAACAAGAACAAUUUUAACUUUUUCCAUACUUUAAUUCUCCCUCAAUAUGUCUAUCUCCUUUAUCAACAUCUUCUUGGUGUUACUAAUAACUCCUCUUGACCUUUCAAAUGCUAAAACAUGUCUCACUACGACUAUGGAGGUACAUAUUUUCAACAAACUUCCUUUUAGUUUAUUGCCAUUGCAAAUUCAUUGUGAGUCAGGGAAUGAUGACCUUGGACACCACUCUCCUACGAUAGACGAAGACUAUCAUUGGAGAUUUUGCGAGGCACUUCUAGAAAAUACUUUAUAUUUUUGUCGAUUUCGAUGGGGUAUAAAAUAUAAAAAAUUUAAUGUAUUCAAUGAUGUGACAUAUUGUCUUUAUGGUUUAAAAGUUCCAAAUCCUCUAAACUAUUGUAAAUGGGAGGUGAGAUAUGAUGGAUUUUAUUUGGAACAAUAUAAUGCUAUUAAUAAUACAUAUUAUAUGACUUUUUUACAUGAAUGGCAUUAGGGAAUAGGACUAGAUAAAAGAAAUAAAUAAAAAAAAUUUCAUAAAUUCUUUUGUGUUUGACUACAAUACUUUGGAGUAUCAUUUAAUCUUUCUUAUAUAUUAUAUUAUUAUUAUACCAAUCUUGUUUUUAGAAUUUAGAUAAUGGCUUAAAUAUUUACUUCAACAUAAGCGGACGUUUGGUUCCGAUUCAUUUUUUUUUCAAUUUUUAAAAAGUGUGCACUAAAUAUUGAAAUCGAAUUAGUUAUCGACAAACUUCCUUCUAAUUCUCCGCAAUUGAAAGUGCAUUGUGCCUCAAUCGAAUAAUGACUUGGGAGACCAUUAUAUAUCGUGUCAUAAAUAAAGAUUUUAAUUGAUCAUUUUGUAAUUUAUUGAUGGGACUUAAUUUUUUUUUGGUCAUUUUUGAUGGGAUUCAAAAGAUAAAAUAUUUGAUGUGUUUUACAAUAAAUAUUUUUGUUUUAGAGACCUAAAUGUCCUCAUUUACUGAUGGAUCAUUUUACAUGACUCAUGCUUUUAAGUAUGAAAUGUAAAAUAUAAUAGAUGAAAUUAUAUAAUUAGAUAUACUCCAUUACCUUAUAUAUUAUUAUUAUUAUUAUUAUUAUUAUUAUUAUGUAUUUUUAAAGUAUUUUGUAUUUUUAUUACUAAUUAAGAGGUCUUUAUCAUAUAUUGAGAAAGGUACAAUUAAAUAUAUGUAUUUUUUCCUACCAAAUACACUAAUAGGAGAGAGGCGAGCAAAAUUUAUUAUGUGUUCCAAAUAUAUAAAAAUCACAUUUGAUACAUGUAUCUGAAUGACUGGUGUGAUUCACAUUUAUUUUGAUAUCACAUACAUAAUAGAUUAUUUGGUGAGCGAGAUGGAUGGGAGGGAGGCGAGAGGUAUAUAUUAGGUAUCACAUAUACAUGUGAAUGAUAUAAUUAAUGUGAUAGUGCACAAGUACCCCCAGACUAUGACCGAAAUUUCAGAGACACACCUUAACUAAAAUAACGUCCUAUUACCUAUUGAACUUUUUUUUGUAAUUUUGUGCACCUUUUGUCUUACGUGGCACACUCCGUGACUUCACACAAUUGAGGCGUAUGAGACAUAUUUGGAUGCCACGUAAGCUAAAAAGGUGCACAAAAUUACUAAAAAGUAAGUGUAGGAGGUAACUAGGACCUUAAUUUAGUUAAUAUACGUCUAUUGAAAAACUGGCUGAGACGACGGACCUCACGACGGACCGUCAUGGGUACGACGGACCGUCGAGGGUGUCUCGUUCCAAAACACUUGGGAAUUCUGAAAUUUGAGUGCUGAAAUCGACUCUCUGAACUCUGUGACGGACCUGCAGGACGGACCGUCACAGGCACGACGAACCGUCGUGAUCCGCCGUUUCAAAACACUUCAACUCUUGAGAAUUUGGUACAGGGAACGAUUCUCUGAACGUCGUGACGGAAGUGCAGGACGGACCGUCGUAGGUACGACGGGCCGUCACAGACUCCUUAAGGAAAUCGAGUCUCUGACGAACCUGCAUGACGGACCAUCGCAGGCGUGACGGGCCGUCACAGGUUGCGUAAUCCCAGUCGGAGUCGGAUUUCUGGUUAAGUUUUAAAGGGGCGUUUUGGACUAUUCCUGCUAUAAUUAUAUAUUUUGUGGGUUUAUAUUAAUAACUCAAUUUCUUGGUGGAUAAAAGAGGUAACCUUGAGUUAAAUUGUGGGUUAUUAUUGUCAUCUUUUACACUUAAUUACAUGUUAAUUAGGGUAAAAGAAAGAGGGUUUGAAUAAGAAAAAUAGAAAGAACAAAAAGAAAAGAGAGGGGAUCGAACGAGAGAAAAGGGAAACGAAGAGGAUAGCAAAAAUCUUAAGGAAUUGCUUGCUUGAUCACGAAAUCUUCGGUGGAGGUAGGUUAUGGUUUCUCUUACGAUAUUCGUAGUAAACUCUUAAUAGCGAAUGAUAUGUAUUGAUAAUAUUGUAAACCCUGCAAUGUGCUUACUUUUAUGCUUGCAUGAAAGUAAUUAUAUAAUUGUGAUUAUAUAAGCAUGAUGAAGUUAUUGAAUCCCAAAUCUUGAAAAACCCUAAUCUCUUUGUUAAUGAUGAGGCCUUGGCAUAAAAGAAGGCGUGAUGAACUAAAAUAAUGAGAUUGAUGAUGCUUUGGUAAGAAAGAAGGCUUGAUGAAUUGAUAGAAGGAGAUUAGGGGAUCGGGUGCCACGUUCCGGUAUCAGGAUAGUAUAUGAGGAUCGGAGUGUCACGUUCCGACACCAGGAUAGAAUAUGGAUCGGGUGCCACGUUCCGAUACCAGGAUAGAAUGAGGAUCGGAGUGUCACGUUCCGACACCAGGAUAGAAUAUGGAUCGGGUGCCACGUUCUGGUAUCAGGAUAGAAUGAGGAUCGGAGUGUCACGUUCUGACACCAGGAUAGAAUGAGGAUCGGAGUGUCACGUUCCGACAGCAGGAUAGAAUAUGGAUCGGGUGCCACGUUUCGGUACCAGGAUAGAAUGAGGAUCGGAGUGUCACGUUCCGACACCAGGAUAGUAUAUGGAUCGGGUGCCACGUUCCGGUACCAAGAUAGAAUGAGGAUUGGAGUGUCACGUUCCGACACCAGGAUAGUAUAUUGAGGAGCGGAGUGUCACGUACCGACACGAGAGGAAUAAAGAUAAUGGAUCUUGAAAGAUGUUAAUAUACUCAAUCUAAUGAACCUAAAUCCCAAAUGAGUAUGAUGAGGAGACGUGAGUCCUCAUUGAUGAGCUUGGUGUUGUAACCAAGGGUUAUGGUAAUUGUAAAUGCUACAUGUUGAGUAUCAUAGUUGAUUUUAUGAUAUUACUUGGUAUAUAUAUUGAUUUCUAUUUUGAGUUAGCCGAUGAUAUCUACUCAGUACCCGUGUUUAUACUGAUCCCUACUUUUAUGUUUUCUUUUUGUUUAAUUGUGGAGUGCAGCAAACGUGCCGUCAUCUUCGACUUAACAGUAACUCUAGCCAGUCUUCAUUACUCCGGAUAUCAGGGUGAGCUAAUGCUUCUAGCUCGGACUGGAUCUUCCUCUUCAUGUCUUGAUGCCUUGAAGUUCCGGCGUGGACUAGCUUUUAUGUAUUUUUAGCUUAUUAGAAACUCUUAGAUUUAGUAAUUUGAAGUAGAUGUUCUUGUGAUGAUGACUUCCAGAUUUUGGGAAAUAAUAGUUAUUGAAUUGGUUUUUAUAAAUGAGUUUAAGUCUUCCGCAUUACUUUAUGUUGAUAGUACAUUGAAAUGUUAAGGUUUAGAUUUGGUUGGUUCGCUCACACAGGAGGGUAAGUGUGGGUGCCAGUCGCGGCCCGAUUUGGGUCGUGACAUGUAUCAAAUUAUUUUUUGUAUUUUUUUGAUAUACGCCUUGCAAAAAAAGUUAAAUUGAAGAUUUUUUUUUAACAAAUAAAUUAUUUUAUUUUUAUUUUUGUCAUAAAAUGUUCUCUUUUGAAUGCAAAAUGAAAUUUACUAUAAGAUAUAUCCUUUUCAGCUGACGGAAGUGAAAAACAAUACUUUUAUAAUUUUUUAAUUAGUUUAAAUAAAUUCAUAUAAGAACACAUUUUCUCUAUAUAAUACUCCAAAAAUCUCUUUUACUAUUAAAGCAAAAAAAGUGAAUAAAAUUUCCAAAUAUCAAGAUUUUAUGGAUUAAACUAAACUCAUUUUUUUCUCUAUAUAAGACUUUAGAAUCCCCUUAUAUUUUUGUCAUACUCAUUUUCUCACUAUGACUAUCUCCUUCAUCAACAUUUUCUUCUUGUUGUUAUUACUCACUUCAUUUGACUUUUCGCUAGCGAAAAAAUGCUUUUUUACCGAAAAAAUAUGAGGUACACAUUAUAAAAAAACUUCCUCUUAAUUCUCCGCAACUGAAAAUUCAUUGUGCAUCGAAGAAUGAUGACUUUGGAGACCAUUAUCCUGUCGUAGAUGAAGACUUUAAUUGGUCAUUUUGCAGCAAACUUUUUGGUGAUACUUUAUACUUUUGUCAUUUUUGGUUGGAUUCAAAUGAUAAGACUUUCGAUGUUUUUUAACGAUAAAAUUUAUUGUGUUCGUGAUCAGAAGAUCCCCAAUUAACUAAAGUAUUGUAAAUGGGAGGUGAGGUCAGAUGGUUUUUAUUGGGCAACUUUCACAUAUAGCAAACAAAAAAUUCAUAUUUGUAUGCUAUAGCAAACUUUGCAUAAUUGUGCUCCAUAGCAAACAUAAAACUGUAUAAUUUGCUAUACAUAUACAAUUGUAUAAUUCGCUGGCCUAAAUUGUAUAAUUCGCUGGCCUAUUUCGCUGCAAUUGUAUAAUUUGUUUUGCAUACAGUUGAAUCGAAUUAAAAUGAAUGUAUAUUGCAUAAUUAUAAGUGUAUAGCAAGAAGAUAUAUGUUUUUCUCGCUUUAUACAAAAAUAGAAACACAAUAUAUAUACAAAAACAGAAACACAAUAUAUACACUUCUGUUGUAUAAAGCUAGAGAAAAUUGUAUUUCACUGCAAUUGUAUAAUUCGCAAUUGUAUAAUUCGUUGGCCUUUUUCUCUGCAAUAUUUGAAGUAAAAUGUUUGUAAAUUGUAUAAUUAAGUGUAUAACACGAAGAUAUACAUUUUUGCAUGUGUAUAUACAAUUUUCUCUCGUUUUAUACAAAACAGAAACAAGAUUAUACACUUCUGUGUAUAAAGCGAGAGAGGCGAGCGAGAAUGGAGAGUGGCGAGUGAGAUUUUUGGGAGAGAGACGCUGGAAAAUUUUAGCUAAUGUUUGCUAUGGAGCACAAUUAAAUCAAGCCCUAGUUAUUCCAUUUAAUUUAAGUUAUUAGUUUGCUAUUAUAUACUAUUUUCCCUAUAAAAUAUGAUGCUAUUUAUUUUUUUAGAGCUAUCAAUAUGGGCUAGCCCACCUUAUCCGGGCUAACCAAUAUAAGCUUUGCAUUUUAUGGGUCAGGCCGGGCUAGCACAUUUUUGGCGUGGGCCGGAAAAUGGUCGGUUCAACCCACGAGUACGGGGCUAUAUGUUUGCCGGAUCAGUCCACUUUUUAAAAAUUAUAUAUAUAUUUUUAAUUAUUAAUUUAAAUUAUAAAUUUUAAUUUAAAUAUAUUAUCAUAAUAUGACAAAACAAUAUUGCAUGACGUUGAUGUUACUACUUGUUAAUCAAAUUCACAAAUAAAAUUGUCUUUAUAAAAUAUUUAUUAAGUUAAGUUACCAUUUUUUUUAAAAAAAACUAUUAAGUUAGUUUUUUUAAGUAUAAAUAUAUAAAUAGAAAUAUUAACUUAAUUGGUAUGAGUUUGGAUUCUCAUCAAUUUUAAAUUUUAAUAUUAUAUUAUAUUUUUUAAUUAAAUUUUACUGGCCUACGGGCCAGCCCUAUCGAUAUUUCUCAAGCCCCUCAAAUCAAUAGACUUAUUCAGGCCGGGCUAAAAAACCUUUUUCUUAAAUGGGAUCUAAAAAUCUUUGUUCAACCCUACUAAAUCCCGGGUUAGGCCGGACCGGCCCAACGAGCCUAGUCCAUAUUGACGGCUCUAUUUUUUUCUAUUGUAUGGAUGGGUCAAAAUCACUUGUCAUCUUUCUUCUUGUUAUCAAAUUUACAACAAAAAAAGUUUAAUAUAUUCAUCAAUUUUGUAAUUUAGACGUGAUAUAUCUUUAUUAAAAAAAUAACUCAUAGUGAUACAUUUUUAUUAAAAAAGAAACUUAUAUAUAUAUAUAUAUAUAUAUAUAUAUAUAUAUAUAUAUAUAUAUAUCAUUACAUAAAUGACUUUGCUUAUAUUCUUUUCAAUGGACAUAAGUGAAUUAAAAUAAAUGAAAGCUCAUAUAAAAAAAAAAUAUUUGACCCUUUUAGUAAUUUUAUUUAUAAUUUUUUUUACUUGGCUUAUAUAGUAUGUGUAUCAUCACUAAGAAUAUAUUUUACAUGUGCAAUUAAGUAGAAUUGCAGAAUUUGGUCCCAAAAAUUGAAUAUAAAUAACAAUUUUCUAUCUUAACAAAUAAUUUUGUAGAUUAAAUGGAGAUAUUGUGUAUUAAUUUCAUGAAUUAAUUAAGGUGUCAAUAUAUAUGAGUUUUUAUGGAAAAAAGUUUGCAUCAUUUAAUUAUAAAUUCAAAUGUAAAAUUUAUUUUUAAUCAUGGAAAGUGAAUAAUUAACUGAUUAAUUUAUAUGGUAGGUAAAUCAUUCAUGGUUAUUAAUCACACUUAAUAAUAUUUUUAAUUAAUUGCCCAUAAAUUCAGUGAUAUUAGGAGAAAAAAGUGAAUAAAUUUUCAAACUAAACUUAAUUAUUUUCUAUAUAUAAUACUCCAAAAAAAAUCCUUUUACUUAACUAUUAAGGGAGGAAAAAGAGAAAAAAUUAUCCAAAUCAAGAUUUUGUGGAUUAGACUAGACUCAUUUUUAAAAAUUAUAAUACAACAGAAAUUUAUUUUAAUAUUAAUGGAGAAGAAGUGAAUAAAUUUUUUAAGAUUUUGUGUAUCAAACUAUAUAAAACUCUAGAAAUCUUUUUUUAUUAUUAAGGGAGAAAAUGUGAAUAAAUUUCCAAAUCAAAAGAUUUUAUGAAUUACACUAAACUCAUUUUUUUCCCUAUAUAAUACUUGAGAAAUCCCUUUUAUUUUUUUUCAUCCUCGUUUUCUCGUUAUGGCUAUCUCGUUCGUACACAUCUUCUUCUUAUUGUUAUUAUUACUCACUCCCCUUCACCUUUCACUAGCAAAAAAAUGCAUUUUUACCGAAAAGUACGAGGUACACAUUAUCAACAAACUUCCUCCUAAUUCUCCGCAAUUAAAAGUUCAUUGUGCAUCGAAAGAUAAUGAUUUUGGGAUGCAUUAUCCUAUUACAAAUGAAGACUUUAAUUGGUCGUUUUGCGGUUUACUUUUUAGUGAAACUACUUUAUACUUUUGUCAUUUUUGGUGGAAUUCAAAAGACAAGGCUUUUGAUGUGUUUAACGAUAAAGAUUAUUGUGUUCAUAAUCAAACAUUUCCUAAUCAUCUUAAGUAUUGUAAAUGGGAGGUGAGGUCAGAUGGUUUUUAUUUGGAACAGUAUAAUUCUGAUACUAAACAAUAUUUUAUGAGUCAUUAUAUGGGUUGGUCUUAGAGAAAAUAUUUAUGUACAAUAAGAAGGAAAAUAAAGAUUGAUAUUUCAUAUUCUUCUUUCUUAUAUAUUUAUAUGCCUAUCUUGUUUUUAUGAUUAAAAAAUAUGAUGCUAUUUUAUUUUCUUGUUUGUAUGAAUGAGUUGAGUCAAUAUUACAACUUAGAAUCUUAUCGGGGAAUUAGUGACGGAGUCAGAAUUUUUAAUAAGGGAGUUUAAAAUUCGUAUAAAUAGACACACGGUAUAAAUAGUAUAAAUAAAGGAAUUGUAUGAAGUAUAAUUUUAACCAUGUAUAAAUAGUAUAAUUUUCUGUCGAAGGGGGGUUUGGAUGAACCCCCAUCUACCAAGGAAGCAAAUGAAUAAUUAAAUAUAUACUAGUUAAUUAGUUAAUUGAUAUAACUAAAAUUUAAAUUAAUUAUCAUUCACCACUAAUUUCUAGGAAAAACUACGUAGCCGAUUUUCUAUUGUAUAAAUGUAUAGUUUUUAAAUUUUGUAUAAUUUUUAUAUAACAUAAUUUGUAUAAAUAUUUAAAGUUCAUAUGUAUAUGCGUGUACAAAUUCGCUAUUUUGAGUCUAUAUAAAAGUAAAUACAUUUAAAAAUAUAUUUGACGAUUAUUCUUACAAUUUUAUUUGAAAGUUUUUUUUCUUUUUUUGAUUAUAGUAUGUGUAUCAUCACAAAGAAUAUAUUACUUGUACGAAUUGCAAUAUUCGUCCUGAAAGUUGAAUAUUAAUGACAAGUUUCUAUUUUAAAUUUUUAUUUUGUAGAUUAAAUAGAUAUAUUGUGUAUGAUUUCACUGCUUAUUUAUAUUAUUAUUAGUAAUGAAAUUGAGGUCACAAUAAAUAUAAUUUUCUAUGGAGAAAGUUUCACCAUUUAACUAUAAAUAAAAUUUUAUUACUUUAAGUGAAAUCUUUUCUGUAUUUAAAAUUUAACUAUUUCCAAGAAGAAUAUAAUUUAUCAUUAAUUGUUUAUAAAAUUAGCAAAAAAUGUAAAAUACAAUUUAUGUCAUAAAAAAUAAAUAGUUACAUAUUUAUAUGGUAGUUAAAAAAGUUUUUAUUUCUUAACUAAUUAAUAAUUUGUAGAUUAAAUAAAUAUAUUGUGAUGAUUUUAAAAAUUAUUUAGUCUUCUUGGCAUAGUGAAAACUGCUUACUUCUAGAAGCAUUUUUUAAAAAGUGUUUUUGACAAAAAACAAUUUGUAUUUGAAAAAAUUAUUUAAAAAGUGUUUUUUUCAAGUAAAUUGUGUUUGAUUUUUUUUUUGAAAGUAAAAUUACGAAAAAGGAUAAAUAUCAAUGUCUUUUUAAUAUCAAGAUUAUUUUAUUCUUUUCUCUACGUAAACUUUUUCUUAUGUAAAUCCGGUGUGUUAUCUAAGUCUUUAACUAGUCCAUAACUAUAUUAUAAAUAUCUAUUACAAAAGUCUUAGAUUAAAAUUUUAUCUUAAGUAAAUUAAAAUGUACAUAUUGAAAUUUUCAACCAAUAUUAUACAUAGAUAAAUAAAUAAUUAAAUAUUAAUAUAAGUAUUAACAUGAUAACUAAAUGUAAUUAAAAUAUCAAGAAAAAUAUUUUCAAAAAUCAUUCUACGAAUUAAAUCACUAUAUAUCUAUUUUCUUAAAAACCAUCGAGCAUAAUUUUUCAAGUAAUAUAUAAACGUAAAAUAAAUAAAUAAAAUUAUUAUAUAAAAAAUAAAAAAUAAUAAUUUUGAAUAAAACUUAAUCAAUCUUAUGUGACAUGCUAACUUACCCGAAGUAGAAAAUCUACUUCUACGUUUAUUUAAAAACAAUUUUAAUGAUUUACAAAUAAUUUUAAAAUAUUUUUUCGAAACAAAAAAAAUAUAUUUACCUCCUAAUAACAAUGUCAAACAGACUCUUAUACUAUAUAAGUCAAAACUUUAUAUGGUAGCUAAACAACUCAUGGUCAAAAAUCAUCAUUGUUGUAGUUUUAGUCAACUUCCCAAAAAUUAACAAUAAAAAUAAGUUUUGUAUUCAACUCAUUUUUUUUUUCUCUAUAUAAAACUCUAUAAAUCCCCCUUUAUUUUUAUCAUAAUCAUUUUCUCAAUAUGUAUUUCUCCUUUAUCAACAUAUUUUACUUGUUAUUGAUCAUUCACCUUAACCUUUUACCAGCAAAAACAUGCAUCCUCUCCGAUAAGUACGAGGUACAUGUUAUCAAUAAACUUUCUUCUGACUCUCCGCAACUUAAGAUUCAUUGUCAGUCAAAGAACGAUGACCUUGGAGAUCAUUAUCCUGUCGUAAAUGAAGACUUUAAUUGGUCUUUUUGCCAUGAUGUUUUUGGCCAGACUUUAUACUUUUGUCAUUUUUGAUGGGAUUCAAAAGACAAGGUUUUCGAUGUGUUUGACAAUCGAUAUUAUUGUGUUGAUAAUCCAGAUAGGCCCAAUUUAACAAAUAUUUGUAAAUGGGAGGUGAGAUUUGAUGGCUUUUAUUUGCAACAAUAUAAUGAUACAGAUAAAACAUAUUAUAUGUAUCACUAUUUGGAUUGGUAGGGAAUAGGAUCAAUGUUUGUGUUCUUGUUUAUGUAAGGAAAAAUAAGAUUAAUUAAUUAUUGUGAUUUCAUUAUUUUUUUCUUUCUUCUUUAUACCUAUAUCAUUUUCUUUAGAUAUAAAAUGUGAUGUUAUUUUUCGUUUGUAUCAAUGUGAUGAAUCAGUAUUAUGACUUUCAAUCUUAGAAUUAUGGGUGUAUAUAUUUGAAUUGGUUCAGAUUUUUUAAAUAUUAAAUAUAAAUUGAGUCUCACAUAUAUUAAAAUCUAGUAAAAUGCAUAAUAUUAUAAUAUGACAUUGCCAAUUGGCCUACAUAAUUUAAAAAUUAAUUAAAUGCAUAGAAAAUAUAUAGAGAAAAUCUCCCAAUAAAUAAAAAUAUCGAAAUAACUGAAUUGUGGAUUAUAUUGUGUUCUGCUUUGAGAAUAUGAAUCUUCAAUUGACAAAUCUCCAAACUUUUCCUCUAAGAAAAGAAUAAAUCAAAUAAAAAAAGUAAUUAAAUAAUAUUUUUUUAAAAAAAGUCAAAACAUUUAUUUAUAAUACGCUAACUUUCCUUUAAAAAAGAAAAUAAAACUUAAAGUAUCAUAAGUAAAUCUUAAGAAAAUCUUAAAAAUAUCAAUGUCUAAUUUAACUAUUUUUCAAUAAAUACAAUUAAAUUAAGAGGAAAUCUUAACUAUUUUUUUACAAAUGAACAAUUGUAACAUUUCACCAAAUAAAUCAAAUAAAAUUUUCUCUCAUCUGGAUGUUGUUUAGUAGAAAGGAUUUUCUUGCUAAUUAAUGAAAGGUGACUUAAAUUAAAUCAAAUAAUUAAAGAAGUUUGGUAUGAAAAGGAUCUUUAAUGAAAAACUUAAGUAAAUUCCACUAAUAUAGGAGGUAAUUACUCAGAUGACUCUAGUAUAAUUAAAAUUCCUCAAAAGUCUUAGUUAAAAUUUUAUUUUAAUUUAAUUAAAACGUAAAUAUUGUAACUUUCAAUCAAUAUUACACAUAGAUAAAUAAAAAAAUUAAAUAUUAUUAUAAUAUUAAUAUGAUUAAUUUAAAUAUAAUUAAAAUAUCAAGAAAAAUAAGUUUUAAAAAUCAUUCUAUAAAUUAGAUCACUAAAUAUAAAACAUAGUAUUAUUUUCUUAAAAACCAUUCUACAUAUUUAAUCCUACAAAAAUAUUAUUGUUACCUUUAUUUCUAAUUCUAUAAAAUAACAUAUAAAACAUAAAAUAUAAUAUAUUAUUAUAAAAAUGGAAAAUAAAUAAAUAAAUUAUUAUAUAAAAAUAAAAAAUAAUAUUCUUUAAGGAAUCUUAAUCAAACUUAUGUGACAUGCCUCUACUUUUAUUUUAAAAUAGUUUUAAGAAUUUGUCAAAACAAUUGAUUUUCAAAUAGAAAAUUCUAAACAAAAAAAUAUCUUACCUCCCAAUUGAAUAAUAAGUUAAUGCUACCAAGAAUAUAUUUGCAAUAAUUAUUUUUAAAUGUCUAUUUAUGUUUUUCCCCAUCGGAGACUUAUUUGUUCAAUCAUUUCUAAAAGCUUAAUUAAGUUAUGCAGUGAAUAUUUUUUUUAUUUUAAUUACAUUUACAAUCUACUUUUAUUUUGAGCCUAUACUGUCAGAAUAAUAAUUAAAUUAAACUAUAUCUGCUAAAAUAAGUAAUAUUAUAAUAUGAGAUUGUCAAUACAAUUGGCCUACAUAAUUAAAAAAAAUAAUUGAAGGCAUAGAAUAUGUAUAAAGAAAAUCUUCCCAUAAAUAAAAGUCUCCAAAUAAUUAAAUCAUGGAUUCUAUUGUGUUCUGCUUUGAAAAUAUAUAAAUGUUUAAUUUGUAGAUCUUCAAACUUUUUUUCUAAUUAAAGAAUAAAUCAAAUAUAAAAAAAAAUAAUUUUUUUGCUAAAAAGAAGUCCACGCAUUUAUGAGAUAAUACUUUAACUUUCUUUAAAAAAAGAAAAUAAAAUUUAAAAUAUCAAGGUUUAAUUAAUGAUUUUUCCAUUUAUACAAUUAAAUGAAGAGGAAAUUUAAAACAUGGAUAUUUUAUUCUUAAAGUCAAAAUUUUUCUAUAUAUAACUCCAAAAACUCCCUUUACUUUUUGUCAUAGUUCUUUUCCAACAAUGAAUCUCUCCUUGUUCAACAUUUUCUUUUUCUUGUUGUUAUUGAUCUCCCCUCUUGACGUUUCAUUAGCCAGACAUUGCGUCGUAGAAGGUCCGUUACAGGUACAUAUUAUCAACAAACUUCCUCCUAAUGGCCCACCACUAAAAUUUCAUUGCGCGUCGAAGGAUACUGACCUUGGAGAAUAUUCACCAGCCCCAGAGGAAGACUUUAAUUGGUCGUUUUGCGAGUUGAUUGGCUUUAGAACAUUAUAUUAUUGUCACUUUUGGUGGUACUCAAAAGUGCAAAUGUUUGAUGUAUAUAGCGACCCAUAUACUUGUAUUAAAGGUCAAUCAGCUUUCAAUUUUUUAGAGUAUUGUAAAUGGGAGGUGAGAGAAAAUGGUUUUUUUUUGGAACAGUAUAAUGAAACUGAAAAAGCAUAUCAUAUGAAUCUAUUAUAUGAUUGGUCUUAGGAGAAUAUAUAAGGGCCAAUGUUUGUGUACUUUGGGUUUAUUUAUGACAAAUGAAUAUUAAAAACUUAUUUUAUGUUUCUUUUGUCCUCAUCUUGUUUUUUAAGUAGGAUUUAUUUUAAUUUUUUGUAUAUAUAUAUAUAUAAAAAUUGAUAAAAAAAUUUCUCCAAAUAAAUCAAAUAAAAAUAUCUCUCAUCUGGAUGUUGUUUAGUAAAUGGGAAUUUCUUGCUAAUUAAUGAAUGGUGACUUAAAUUAAAUCAGAAAAUUAAAGAAGUUUGGUAUGCAAAAGAUCAAUAAUGGAAAACUUACAUAAAUUUCAUUAAUACAGAAGUUAAUUACUUAUAUGACUCUAUCAAUAAUAGAAAACUUACAUAAAUUCCAUUAAUGCAGAAGUACUCUAGCUUAAAAUAUUACGUAACUUUUAAGAUUUUAGUACGGCUAGAUACAUUCAGAUACAUGAAUUUAAAAUUAAUUGUACUUUACAUUGUAUUUAAGUAGAUUCGUAUGUAUCUGAGAUACAUGACAAAUCUCGCCCUAUCUCACUAGCAACACCCUAUGUAUAGAUACAUGAAUUUGUAUGUAUCUACUAUAGUUCAUAUUUAUCAAAUCUCGCUCGUCUCUCUCCCUAUUUUAGUGUAUCUGAUAGUAAAAUUAUAUGUAUUUGAGUGUAUUUUUUUCAAUAUAUAAUAGAAAAAUCUUAAUUAGUGGUAAAAUAUGUAAAAAAAAAAUUAAAAACACAGAUAAUAAUGAGGUAUAUGAUAGUACAAAUAUGUCUAAUUGUGGAGUUCUCUCAUCAAUUAAGCAAUGAUGACUCAGUUUCCAUAUAUUAUUUAUGGAAAGUAAUUAGAGCAUAAAGGAAAGAAAAAAUAUAUUUUUUUACAAAAAACAUAAAAGUAGAGGAGAGUGUUGAUCAAAUGGAAAGUAUAUCUAUGUUUAAUUAAUCAUCUUCCAUAAUUUCAAUUAUAUCAAAGUUUUGUGAUUUUAUUAUAGGAAAAAUUAUAUCAUUAGACAUACUUAACUAUCAUAUAUAUAUAUAUAUAUAUAUAUAUAUAUAUAUAUAUAUAUAUAUAUAUAAUCUAUAGUUUAAAAAUAUUACUUAUAAUAUUAUUUUUUAAUAAUUAUAUCAUAUAUUUUAAUAGUUAAAUCAGAUACACAAUCCCUCGAAUAUGAUAUUAAAUAAUUAUCUUAACAUAUAAUUUCUUCAUAUAUCUAUUGAUUUGAUUUAAAUAUCGAAGAAAGAAAAUGAUUUUAUAAUAAAUCAGAAAUUGAAAAAGCACACCUAAUAUUAUUACUAAAUAUUUGGUAAUAGUUAAUCUCAAUCAGAAUAAUGUUGCUUGAAAAUAGAUUCAUCAUGGAUAUAAGAUCCCAAUAAAUACCAUUUGAUAUUAUAUGAAAUGUCAUGAUCAAAAUCUGAGCGUGAUGGCACUCGGUUUAUCCUAACAAGACAAGUUAGUUAGAACUUAAUCAUUAUAAUAAAGUGUGGGAAUAAAAUAUAAUUAACUUAAUAAUACCCCCAAAACCUGGUUGUCACGUGUACAAGCCCCUAAAUUAUUACAAUUGAAUUAAAAGCAAACACUAGUCUCAAAUGAACUUGUUUCUAGAAUAGAACAAGAUCAUAACUAAGAGAAAGAAAGUCUGCUGAGACGACAAACAACUACCUCACAAAUCUCCAAGAAGCAUCGGAAAAGAAGAGAAUGACAUGUACCAUAAAAAUCCAAGCUCAUAACCUACAAAUAUGGACCCAUGGGAGAUAUAUUUGUCCAUGCAUCUAUCGCGGCGCACGACACGACCCUCGAUAAUAGUAACCAUCCGCGGCGCACGAUACAUCCCUUGAAAUAUAAUAUACAUCGCGGCGCGCGAUACGUCACUCGAAAUGGUACAUCCACUUUAAGUUCUCAUUCUUUCUCAAUGCACAUAACACUUGUCACAACCAUGUCUCAGAAUAAUGUAAAUGACAUGUUCACAUAAAUAAUAAGGAGAUGACCAUUUUCAUAACAUUGUAUAAUUCACAACAACACAAACAUGGUAUCACAUCAACAAUGAUUCAACAAGCUUUCAGACCUUUCUCAACACAUCACACAUAAACAAUUAAUCACAUUGCCUUUUGUUAUCCCUUUUUGUUCAUUGUUAGAAUUAAUCAAUGUGGACAAGUCAACCCACCACCAAUCCCGUUACUCCCAAACAUAUACCCCAAAGAAAUACACGCAUUCCAUACAGUUAACAAGAGUUUAGAAAUCCACUUGCCUCGAAUAAUUAGGAAUUCACUCUGCCACAUUAGCCUUCCACUUUCGUUGAGCUCCCAAAUAAAUGCAAUCUAUUCACAUAAUAAUCACAAUAAGAUUUUGAAACUAGCAACACUCACAUUACUAUGUAUUUAACCUUGGCCUUAAAAAAUUCAUCCAAAUUUAUAAUCUUGUUCGUAAUUUUUGGUGCCAAUUAAUAUUUCAAUUCUCAUAUUACUCAAAUUUAAAUUUAGGGUUAAAUCAUAAUUUCUCCCAAACACUAUAACUCUAAUAGUAUAAUAUAAUACACCCGAUAUUUAAUUACUUAAAAAUUUUAAUGUAUCAAACAUUAGAUCAUAAUGCGAUAAUAAAAUAUGACCCACUUUGAUGGGCUAUCCCCCAAUUCAAUUUCCUUUCUCUUACCGUACAAUACCCAAAAAUAAUAAUGACAACCCUUUUGUUCUUUUCUUAUAGUUUCAAACAAUACCACACUAAUAAAUUAUACAUAUGGACUUAUCUCAUUAGUCACAAACUAAAUUUAUUACUUAAAAUAAAUAUAUCUGUCAAUUAAAUAAUUGAGGUUAAAGAAUAGCUCUGAACUUUUCAACCCAACUUUACUGACAAAUCAAAAUUAACUCAGGUAAGGGUGAACUGAUAAUUUUAUAAAAUUUUAAAAAAUGAUCUUUCGGGUCAUUACAUGAAAAAUGAUCUUUAGUGACAAUUAAUUAAUCAUAAUAACUUUGAUUAUCGAUAAAUAUUGACUGCGAUUGGGUUGUUUAUAUAUAUUAGCAAGGAUGGUGUUGUUCAAAAGUAGUUAUGAAGAUGACUUUACCUUAGUUUGUUUUUGUAUCGUGAAGGAACAUUUUGAAUAGAAAAUUCUCGAUAGAAAUUAUUUUUUCUUUAAUUAAAUUUUCUUUAAUUAAAUAAAUUUCUUGUAAUAUGAAUCUGAAUUAGACUAAGUUAAAGAAAAAUUAAGAAUAGCAUUAGUUAAACAAAAAGAAUUUUCUAAAUAUAGAAAAACUUAUAGAAAUCUCACUAGUUUACGAACUAAUUAUUUAAAUAUAUUCUAGUUUACCUUAUUACGAAUCUUACAAUAUUUUUGUGCAUCUAGAUACAUGUAUCUCAGGAUACAUGAAGUCAAAUUAGGUUUAAUUUGUUCUGUAUACAUUGAAUCCAAGUAGAUUCACAUACAUUACAAAUCCCACUCGUGGCUCCCAUCUCCCUCGCCACUUUCCUAUGUAUCUGGAUGUGAACCAUAACCAUAACGAUUACGUAUAUGUGUGUGUCUAUGUAUCUAAUAUGAUUUGCAUGUAUUUAAUAUGCAUGAUUAUUUCACUCCCCUUUCUCCAUUUUUAGUAUAUCUGGUAACAAAAAUGCAUAUAUUUAAGUAUAUGUUCCUCAAUAUAUAUGAUAGAAACUCUUAAGUAGUGAUAAAAAUUAAUCGAUACUGAACUCUACUAACGUAACAUUGGUGAACCCGCAAUCCCUAAUAUUGUGGAGCCUUAUCAUCCGUUACAGAAAGAUGGAGAGAGAUGUCGACAAUAUGUAAUUAAUUAUUUGCAAAUAUAGAAAAAAAAUAUAUGACAUGAAUGUAUGUCUAAAAACUAAUUUUCCCUAAAAAGAAAAUAUAUCAAGUAUCAAAUUUGUUGUGAUUUUGAAAAAUGCGUUUCAUAAUCUACUUGUGUUUGUCAUCAAUUAUGAUACACUUUUGUUAACAAAUAAUUAAUAUUCUUUAAAAAGAUAAUUAUAUGAAAAAUCUAUUUAGGCUACAAAUCACCUUCACAUUGAAUUUUCUUAAAUAAAAAAAUCACUUACCAAAUUAAUUUGUGGUGAUAUGACUAUAUAUGUAUAUAUAUAUAUAUAUACCAUCAAAACUCUUAAAAUGUGAAUAAAACUAUAUUUUUCAUCCUAAAAUUUUACUCUCACUGUGAUUUCCUCUUUAGUGAAAAUCCUUUUCUUGGUAUUUAUCAUGCCCUUCAAUAUUGCGGAGGUAUACGAAGUACAUAUUCUCAAUAAUCUUCCUCCAAAUACACCCAUGCUAGAACUUCAUUGUGCAUCUGGUGACGAUGAUUUUGGCCAUCAAUAUCCCGAUAUGGGAAAGGAUUAUAGUUGGACAUUUGAAGAUAAUUUUUGGGCAACCACAUUAUAUUUUUGUCACUUUUGGUGGGGUUUUAAAGAAAAUGUAUUCGAUGUAUUUAACGAUUUACGUUAUUGUAUCGAUGGUGGGGAUAAAUUUGUUCCAGAACAUACUACCACAUGUAUUUAUGGAGUUCAAGAAGAUGGUUUCUAUUUUGGUACUGAAAUUUUAGGUAAACUAAAUCUCACAAAGUAUGCUGAUUGGUUAUCAUCAUGAGAAAUAUUAUUAGCUUUUAUUUAUAUUUGAGAAAGUAAAAAUUAUUUCUUAUUUAUUAUUUUUGUAUUUCAUUCUAUGUAUAUGGAUGUGUUCAAUAAGUUGUUGGAUAUAUAGUAUGAAUUUUCAAUUACAUUCACUAAUUUGAGUUAAAUGAAAUAAUAGUUAAAAAAUAAUAUUAGAUUUUUUAAAGGUAUGAAAUAAUUUGUAUAUCCUUUUGAAAGAAUUAUUCUGAAGCUAGUACUCAAACUAGAUACAGGAGCUUGUGCUUGCAUAUAUUUAUUAUCUUUAUUUUAAUUUACGUAAAAAGAAUAAAAUUUUGAAAGUUAAUUAAUUUUUUAAUAUGAUUUUGUAAAUAUUUAAAGUUAUUAAUCAUUAUGAUUUUUAGUAAUCGUACAAUUAUUUUUAAAAAAAAUAAAGUGUAAAGUGAUAAAUUCAUUUCCAUAAGGUUUCUAAGAUAUUUGUAUAAGUUAUAAACUUUUAUAAUAAUAUAAAGAGUAAGGUGUUAAAGUGCUUUCCAUAAUGUUUUGGAGAUAUUUUUAUAAAUUAUAAAGAGUAAAAUAUUAAAUUGCUUUCCAUAAGAUUACCAAAAUAUUUAUAUAAGUUAUAAAGAGUAAAAUGUUAAAUUGUUUACCAUAAGAUUUUCAAGAUAUUUAUAUAAAUUAAAAAGAGUAAAGUAUUAAAUUGCUUUCCAUAAAAUUUAAUCAAUAAUAUUUUUCUUAAUCUGGUUGAUUUUGUGAUUAUAUCAUGGAGAACACAUUUGGUGAUAUAUCUAUUAUUUUUCCAUAUAAAAAAAAGGUAUUCUAUAAGAAUAAUCCCAUUUGAUUUUCAAUGAAAAAAUUAUCCUAAUUAAGCAUAUAAAGAAUAUAAAAAUAAAUUAAUUUUUUUCUUAAGAUGUUUUGCUCCCUAAAUAGGAAAAAACGUAAAACAAUACAAAUAUUUUCCAUACUAUUUGUCACCAAGCAAAAAGCAAGAAAAAUUCUCCUACAUAAAUACAACGUCAAAACACUUGAACAAAAGUAUUCCAUAUACAAAACUAAGAAUAUAUACAAUAUAGUAUAUUCUAUCAAUUUUCUCAAAAUGGCACAAUUAUUAAUCCUCUUAUUAUUAUUUAUCAUUCCCUAUAACAUUCAUGGUUGUAAACCCUCAUUUGACAUUCACAAUGAUCUUCCUCAAAAUACUCCUCAGCUAGAAUUUCAUUGUGCAUCUGGUGACAAUGAUCUUGGUUAUCAUUAUCCUGCUAUAGGGUCGGAUUAUCAUUGGUCAUUUUGCGCAACUCCUUCUACGUUAUUCUUUUGUCAUUUUUGGUGGAAUGGAAAAGAUUUAUCCUUUGAUGUAUUUAACACACUAGCUGGUUGUGUUACUGAUGGUCAUGUUCCAGACUAUGUUGUUAAUUGUCAUUGGCAAGUGAAGGCCGAUGGUAUUAAUUUAGGUUAUUUUGAUAAUGAUGUUCAGCAAAUUAUAUAUACAAAAUACCGUGAUUGGUAGUAAUAUGUAUUUCUUUUGAUAUAAUAUAUAUAUAUGGUUUAAUUUUGAAGACUUGCAAUAUUCAUGGUUGUAUUUUGUAUCAUUUAUUUAUAUAAAUAUAUAUAAAAAAAAAUUACCAUAUGUUUAAUUAUUUUAAACAUUGUCAAUAAUCUUCCUUCAAAUUUAAUACCAAUGCUACAACUUUAUUGUGCAUCUGCUGACGAUGAUUUUGGUCAUCAAUAUAUAUGUUCCGUAACAAGGUUAAUGGGUGCUCGAUCACUAGGCAGAUUUCAUGUGGACUUGCCUCUGUAGAUACAUGUAUUUAGUGUAAUUUGUUGUCACGACCCAAAAAUGGACGUGAUGGCACUCGUCUUAUCCCACCAAGACAAGUCAGUCUAAAAUUCAACCAUUACAAUAAAGUGCGGAAAUAAAAUAUAAGCAACUUAAUAAAACCCCCCAAAACCUGGUAGUCACGUGUACAAGCCUCUAAAAUAUUACAAUCGGAUCAAAAGAAAAUAUAAGUCUCAUAUGAUAUUGUUUCUAGAGUAGAACAAAAUCAUAAACAAGAGUAAGGAGGGAUGCUGAGAUGACCAACAACUACCUCACAAAAUCUCCAGGAAGCCUCGGAAAAGAAGAGAAUAUAUCAUAAAAGUCCGGGCUAGUAACCUACAAAAAUUUGUAGAAGCAAGGGGUGAGUACCAAACCACACGGUACUCAGCAAGUAAACCUCUAAACACAAGUUAAGGGGAUGAAAUACGGUACUCCUACCACCCCCAACCGAACCUCCACAACUACAACCUGCAUAAACAACAGUCCAACCUAACAACUCACAGUUUACAUAGAACGUAACUCAACAAAAACAUUUAGACAAAUUACAUAUCCUCCACAACAACACUUUAACAAAUUAUAUAUCCUCAAUAACAAGCUCAGUAUUCAACAAUCACAAGUUCCGCAAAAAGACAAUCACUAGAUCAGCAAAACACAAUAUCAAGUUCACUAAUGAUAAGUAUGUGCAAUGUAAUGGAAUGCAAUGUCAAGUAUAAUGAUGCAUGUCUGACCUAGUGAUACACACCCGUUGUCUCUCAGUCUGGGACCCAUGGGGGACAUAUCUGUCGCGGCGCACGACACGACCCUCGAUAACAGUAACCAUCGCGGCGCACGAUACGUCCCUCGAAAUAUAGUAUCCAUCGCGGCGCGCGAUACGUCCCUCGAAAUAUAGUAACCAUCGCGGCGCGCGAUACGUCCCUCGAAAUGGUACAUCCUCUUUAAGUUAUCAUUCUUUCUCAAUGCACAUAACACUUCCACAACCAUGCCUCAGAAUAAUGCAAUGACAUGUUCACACAAAUAAUGAGAAGAUGACCAUUUUCAUAACAUUGCACAGUUCACAACCACACAAACAUGAAAUCACAUCAACAAUAAUUCAACAAGCCAUCAAACUUUUCUCAACACAUCACACAUAAAUAAUUAAUUACAUCGCCUUUUGUUAUCCCUUUUAUUUCAUCAUUAGAAUUAAUCAAUAUGGACAAGUCAACCCAUCACCAAUCCCGUUACUCCCAAACAUAUAUCACAAGGAAAUACACGCAUUCCAUACACUUAACAAGAGUUUAGAAAUCCACUUGCCUCAAUUUAUCGAACAAUCACUUCGGGACUUUAGCCUUCCUCCUUUUCGUUAAGCUUCCAUAAUAAUGCAAUCUAUUCACAUAACUAAUCACAAUAAGAUUUUCAAACUCAAAACACCCACAUUACUUUCUGUCUAGACUCGAACAAAAAAAAGAAAUCACUCAAAUUUAUAAUCAAAUACCUAAUGUUGAUGUCAAUAACAUGUCAUCUCUUUCAAUUUUCUCCAAAUUUCAAAUCUAGGGUUAAGUUCUAUUCUCUUCAAUUAUCACAAUCUAAUAGUUUUGACAUGAUAUAAUAUACCAAUAUUUAAUUACUUAUUCCAAAAUACUAAACCAUAUUAAUAUGAAAAACCCAUGAAUCCCAAAAAAAUUAACAAGGAAAUUAUAAGUAAGUUCCUCCACUAUUUCCUGACGGAGUGCAUUCAUUGUGUUGAACUACAAUAUUAAUUUGUGUGAACUUAUUCUAAGUUCUAAUUGUAAAAGAAAAUUGAAAAUCAUAAAAGUUGCUCCACUAACCUCUGCAAGUACUCAAACAACUACAAAUUAAAGACGUUAAUAUAAAAUAAGAUGUAAAAACUUUUCUUGACCAAAUAAUUAACUAAUCAUUACAUUGACAUUAGUUUACCAUCAUAUUUCUCCACUAACUGUGGCACCAGAAGAACCUCAAACAGUAACGAAGUGAACUAGUCUAGAAACUAAUAUACCUGAAGCACACACGUAACUCCAUCGACGCCGCAACUAAGGUUUUGGAGUUCCAAUCGGACUCUUUCCGUUUCCUCUUUAAUUAUGACUCAAAAUUUAACCCUAUUUAAUUUAAUUAGUACAUGGGUCCAGUGGUAUAGGGUUAUGGACCUGUCUCAUUAACCACUUAUUAAAAUAUAUAAUAAACAACUUUUUUUAAAAAUAAUAAUAGUUGUUUAAUAGUUUAAAAUUCUCAAACCAAAUUUGACGAUUGAGCAUAAAUGACUCGGGAUAAAUGUCGAGAGAGCUAAAAUGAUAAUUUUAUGAUAAUUUCCAGAAAUUACCUUCCGAGUCAUUACAUUUGUAUGUAUUUGAGAUACAAAUAAAUAUUGCUCGCCCUCUCUCUAUUUUAUGUAUUUAAUAGUAAAAAUACAUAUAUUUAAGUGUAUUUUCCUCAAUAUAAGAUAUUAAUUUUCUAAUAUAUGAGUUAUAUAAAGAGUAAGGUAUUCAAACUGGUUUCCAAGAAAUGUAAGGAAAAGGGUCUGAAAAAUAUUAGUACUUUGGCCGAAAUUGCUAUUAUGAUAUCAAACUUUAUAGAGGACUUUUUACCCCAUGAACUAUUUAAUAUUGUACUUUUUAUCCCCCCCCCCGAACUAUUUAAUAGUGUAUUUUAAAGGUAUAUAUGUGCUCACGUGGACACAUUACUAUUUAUAAUCAAUCAAUAUUUUUUAUGUCCACGUAUAUAUACCUUUAAAAUACAUUAUUAAAUAGUACAUAAGGUAAAAGAUCUUUUCCAAAGUUUAAUAUUGUAACAACAAUUUCGGGUCAAAGUUCAAAUAUUUUUCAGACCCUUUACUCAAAUAUAUAUAAGUAUAACAUAUAAAGAGUAAGGUCAUGUUAAAUUGGUUUUCAUCAGGUUCGAGGAAAUAUACAUAUAGAGAGAGAGAAAAUCUUUUUAGCCAGAAAAUUUGGUCAGAAUUUAGCCAGAAUGAUAUCUAUGUUAUUUUAGCUUUUUAAACAUUUUUACCUUUUUUAAUUUAAUAUAUGUUAACUAAAAUGGAAAAAAGAUAAGUUCAUUUUAAAAUAAAAAAUAUUAUAAUUUUUUUAAUUUUUUGACCAUUUAGCACUUUCAAUAUAUAAAUCCUAAAAAGUAAAGUGUUGGAUUAGUUUCCAUAUAUAUAUAUAUAUAUAUAUAUAUAUAUAUUUCAAGAUAUUUGUAUAAGUUAUCAAAGGCGUUAAAUUGCUUCCCAUAAAAUUCCCAAUAAAUAUAGUUAUACUUAGUAUAGGUGUCUACGAGCUCGCAAUUGUUUGUUAACAUGUCUGCUUGUAUAAUAGGGAUAUUAUUGGUAUUUUAUUAUCUUUUGCUUCUUAAGUUUCUUGUACCUUAGUGCUUUAUAAAUGUACCUUUUCUCCAUUUAGACCAAAAAGACAACAACUUUUAAAUAAUUACCCAUAUGUCCCAUCAAAAUUUUGCUUUAAUUUAAUCUUUGUCCGAUUCACUUAUGUUGGUUGAGAAUUAAUUACUACAUAUAUUGUUCAGGAAAACAUAUACAUUGAGUGACCAUUACUAUUUUUUUGAUCAUUUUACCUUUAUAAAUCACAAUCAUUAAUAAUAUUAUCAAAAUUUUAUUCGAAUGUCACAUAAAUUUAAAAAUUUAUUUUAAUUUAAAUUUAUGUGAUGUUUUUCAUUUUUCGAGAGUCAAACAUUUUAAUUUUGACUAAAAUUUUGAGUGUGAAAUCUUCAGUUUUUUCAAAAUGAAAUUUAUAUAAUUUUAAAUACGUCAAAAGUACUAUAAGUCAAAAUGAUCAACAAUUCAAAAUGUUAAAAAGAUCUAUCAAAAACAUACAAUAAAAAAUAGACUUCUUUAAAUCUUAAAAUCAAAAUAAAUAUCACAUAAAAUAAAACGACGAAGUAAUAUUAUACCCACGUUGGCGCGAGUAACCUAAUAUCUAGUACAUAGAAUAAAAUACAAAUUAAAUAAUGAUAAAUAAGAUAAUUGAUAAUUGAUACUAUAUAAUAAGAAUGCAAAUAUACUAAAACAAAUAAUAAAUAAUUCCCAUUACAUAAUUUUUCUAAUUUUUACUUUACCAAAUACAAAAACUAAUAAUAUUUUUCAUGAUGAUAACCAAUCUGCAUACUUGGUGAGAUUUUGUUUACCCAUAAAUUUUCAGUACCAAAAUUGAAAGCAUCUACUUACACUCCAUAAAUAUAUUUUGUGCAUCAUUCUUACACUCCAUAAAUAUAUUUUGUGCAUCAUUAAAUACAUUUUCUUUAAACAUGGAUCCAAAAAGAUUUAUCUUUAAAUAAUCAACUAUAAUCCUUUUUCAAAUCGGAAUAUUGAUGACCAAAAUCAUCGUCAUCAGAUGCACAAUGAAAUUAUAGCAUUGGUGUAUUUGGAGGCAGAUUAUUGAGAAUGUAAACUUCGUAUUAUUCUACAAUUUUAUUGAAAACAUGACAUAAAUCAAUUCGAUUGAUUUUUCAUAAUUUUUUGUACACCCCUAACGAUAUGAAGAUAUUAAUAAAGAUAUUAGUGUUAUAAUUUAUAUAUUUCUAUUCGAUAUCCUACAACUUGACCUCAAUAUAAUAAUUAUUUACAUGUCAAAUAAAACUAUCAUUGUGAAUAAAUAAAUCAUAUGGUAAUUUAUAUAUAAUAUCAAAAAAAAUACAUAUUACCAAUCACGGUAUUUUGUAUAUAUAAUUUGCUGAACAUCAUUAUCAAAAUAACCUAAAUUAAUACCAUCAGCCUUCACUUGCCAAUGACAAUUAACAACAUAGUCUGGAACAUGACCAUCAGUAACACAACCAAAUAGUGUGUUAAAUACAUCAAAGGAUAAAUCUUUUCCAUUCCACCAAAAAUGACAAAAGAAUAACGUAGAAGGAGUUGCGCAAAAUGACCAAUGAAAAUCCGAUCCUAUAGCAGGAUAAUGAUAACCAAGAUCAUCGUCACCAGAUGCGCAAUGAAAUUUUAGCCGAGGAGUAUUUUUAGGAAGAUCAUUGUGAAUGUCAAAUGAGGGUUUACAACCAUGACUAUUAUGCAUCAUGAUAAACAAUUGUAACAUAAAGAGGACUUUCACUAAGAAAUAAACCAUGUUAAAGAAAUAAUUAUUAUAAUGCUUUUGAAUAUAAUAUAUGUUUUUUGUGAUAUACAUAUCUCUCUAUAUAUAUAUAGGGAGAAGAGAUAUAACUUAUCUCGAUCCUUUUAAUUUGAAGGGUAAUUUGAAUUAAUGACAGUCAACCUUAAUUUACCUUUUAUAUAGUUUGAUUAGAAAAUUAAAUGAAAGGUGUCAAAUAAAUUUUGAUUUGGUCAUUGGUAAUAUAUUGACCAAGAGCUGGUCAAAUCCUCUUUAAAUGUAGUAAAGCAAAUCUAAGACCAAAUUAAUAUUUUCAAAAUUUUCUAAUCUUUUAUAAUAUAAAGAAAAGAACACUUCAUUUUUCAACUUUUAUAAUUCAAUCCAAACCAUUUAAAAAAAAAAAAAAGACAAAAAAUUAUUUUCUUCUCCUUCUUCCGACUUUCUCUCUUUUGUUCUUCUUCUUCCUUAGAAAUCCGGAAAUACAACUAUCUCCAUUAUUUUCCUCCUCAUCUUGUGACUCUCUCCUCUUUCUGAACUGAAAUCGUGUUCGACUUAAAAUGGAUAAGUUAUUUUAAGUCGAAAUAAACACUUAUUUGAAAGAAUUAAGUCCAAAUCCAAUUUUUAUUUGCCUGAACCGAUAUUUGAACCUCUUAUUGUUUUUUAUCUGUCCUAAGCUAAACAGUCAAUUAAUGAAUAAUAAUUACUUCACUAAAAAUGCAUUCUAACUCAAGAAUGCUCAUACAAGGCGGCAUUUAAGUGUAACAACUUCAUAUAAGCAAUUAAGAGGACACUUAAUAACUAACAAUUCAUUAACUACUAUGCUAGCUGAUAACACAUGUAAAUCAAACACCAGAAAUCAUAAGAAAUAAGAUUAGUAGCUGAAAAUAAUAUUCUUAAGAUGAUUACCUCCUAAUCACAAACAAACGUAACUAAGGAGCAUGGAUAAGGGGUGGGUCGGUUAAUUGGAUAUAAGAAAUUGGGUCGAAUUAUCGCUUUAAAGAUUAUAAAACGGCUAAAACAACUUUAACAAAUAACUAAAAGACAACUUUGAAUUUUAUAACGUCAAUUAUUUCAACUCGUUCGAAAAUUUCAAAAAUUAUUUAUUAUUGAAGAGGAUCAAAAUUGAAUAUCAACAUAUAUCAUGGAUAAAGCCGUCAAUAUGGGCUAGACCCGUUGGGCUGACCUGGCCUAACCCGGAUUUAGUAGGGAUGGGCUAAGAUUUUUGGAGCCCAUUUAAGAAAAGAGUUUUUUAGUCUGCCUGAAUAAGUCUGUUGAUUUGAGGGGCUUGAGAAAUAUCGGUAGGGCCGGCCCGUGGGCUAAUAAAAUUUAAUUAGAAAUAUAAUAUAAUAUUAAAUUUAAAAUUAAAGAGAGCCCAUGCUCAAAACAAUUAGGUUAAUAUUUCUAUUUAGAUAUUUAUACUUUUACUUGAAAAAACUUAAUAAUUUUUUUUUGUUUCUUGAAAAUGGUAACUUAACUUAAUAAAUAAUUUAUAAAAACAAUUUUACUUGUGAAUUUGAUUAACAAGUAGUAACAUUAACAUCAUGUAAUAUUGUUUUGUCGAUAUUUAUGAUAAUAUUUUUAAAUUAUAAUUUAUACUUUAAAUUAAUAAUUAACACACACACACACAUAUAUAUAUAUAUAUAAAAGUGGGCUAGCCCGGCAAGCUUGUAGCCCACGUACUUGUGGGUUGGACCGGCCAUUUUCUGGCCCAUAUCAAAAAAGGGCUAGCUCGACCUGACCCGUAAAAUAUUAAAGCCUGUAUUGAUUAGCCCGGAUGGGGUUGAUUAGCCCAUAUUGACAGCUCUAAUCAUGGAGAACACAUUUGAAGAAAUAGUCAAUGAAUAAUAAAAUAUUUCUCUUAUACAUAUUCACCAUCAAAGCAUAUUCCAUAUACAAAUCAAUCAAUCAAUCAUAUAUUGUAUAUUCUAUUAAUUUUCUCUCUCUCUCUCUCUCUAUAUAUAUAUAUAUAUAAAGCAAAUGUUACAUUACUUCCCAUUAAAUUCUUAAUACAUAUAAUAUGGGAAAAUUGUAUAUAAUAGCAAACUAAUAACCUAAAUUAAAUGAAAUAGCUAGGGUUUAAUUUAAUUGUGCUCCAUAGCAAACAUUAGCUAAAAUUUGCCAACGUCUCUCUCCCAAAAAUCUCGCUCGCCACUCUCCAUUCUCGCUCGCCUCUCUCGCUUUAUACACAGAAGUGUAUAAUUCUGUUUCUGUUUUGUAUAAAGCGAGAGAAAAUUGUAUAUACACACGCAAAAAUGUAUAUCUUCGUGUUAUACACUUAAUUAUACAAUUUACAAACAUUUUACUUCAAAUAUUGCAGAGAAAAAGGCCAACGAAUUAUACAAUUGCGGAUUAUACAAUUGCAGUGAAAUACAAUUUUCUCUAGCUUUAUAUAACAGAAGUGUAUAUAUUGUGUUUCUGUUUUUGUAUAAAGCGAGAAAAACAUAUAUCUUCUUGCUAUACAGUUAAAAUUAUGCAAUAUACAUACAUUUUAAUUCAAUUCAACUGUUGCAAAACAAAUUAUACAAUUGCAGCGAUAGGCCAGCGAAUUAUACAAUUUAGGCCAGCGAAUUAUACAAUUGUAUAUGUAUAGCAAAUUAUACAGUUUUAUGUUUGCUAUGGAGCGCAAUUAUACAAAGUUUGUUAUAGCAUACAAAUAUGAAUUUUUUGUUUGCUAUAUAUGAAAGUUACCCAUAUAAUAUUUAUUUACUAUAAGUCACCAAAAGAUAGAGAUUUUCUUGUCAUAAUUAAAAGAUAAGGAAAUAAAAUAUUUUUCCCCUCUAUUUAUUCACCAUCAAACUAUAUUUUUAAAGGCAAAGCUUGUUGUCAUUAAUUCAAAUUACCCUUCAAAUUAAAAGGCUCGAGAGAAGUUAUAUCUCUUCUCCCUCUAUAUAUAUAUAGAUAUGUAUACCACAAAAACAUAUAUCAUAUUCAAAAGCAUUAUAAUAAUUAUUUCUUUAACAUGGUUUAUUUCUUAGUGAAAAUUCUCUUUACGUUACAAUUAUUUAUCAUGAUGCAUAAUAGUCAAGCCGCAUAUUGUGGACGUCAAGUGCAUAUUCUCAAUAAUCUUCCUGCUAAAUCUCCUAAAUUAGAACUUCAUUGUGCAUCUGGAGAUGAUGAUUUGGGAUAUAACUUUCCUGACGUGGGAGCAGAUUUUCAUUGGAAAUUUUGCGCGGCACAAUGAACAUUAUUCUUUUGUCAUUUUUGGUGGGGUGAUAAAGAUCAAAUAUUCGAUGUAUUUAACGAUAUACAGUAUUGCGUUCACGAUGGAAGUGGUUGUGUUAAAGAAUAUACUAGUGAAUGCAUGUAGAAAGUCCAGGACGAUGGCUUUUAUUUGGGUUAUUAUAAUCAUGAUGCUGACAAAGUUAUUUAUACGAAAUAUCGUGAUUGGUAAACAACUUUUAUCAUCUUUAUUUAUUCGAAUAUUAUUCAUUUAUAAAUAUAAAUUUAUAUAAUAAAUCUUAAACUUUUUAGUGAAAAUUCUAAGUGAGCAAUGCUGAUGGUUUAUAUACAUUGAUUUUAUUUUGAUAAUAUUUCUGGCAGCUCAUGUCUAUUAUUAUUUUAAUUUAACUAAAAGCAUAUAUUAACAACUGUCAUUUUUUUAAAAAAAAUUAUUUUGAAAUUUUAUAAAAAUAACCAUGAAAAAAAUGUCCUAUAAUAAUAAGACUAGUAGGAUUAAAAUAUAGGAUCUCAUUAAAUUUUUACAAAUGCUUUAACUAGUAGGCACUAGAUUAAAUCUUUAAUUUGUGUCAAAUACAUAUCAAUAUUUGUAUAUAUAUAUUUAUUAAAUUAAAAUUAAUCUGUAUAUAUAAUAUAAUUUUUCGAUACUCUUCAGAUAAAGAUGGAACCGCCCCUGCUAUGGAUACUACAUGAAUAUAUAUCUUUCUUUUUUAAAUGAUAAAAAGUGGACGAUAUUUUGAAGGGAUUUAUUGCUUUUAUAAUAACUAACAUCAAAUUAAUCUCAUAUGAUAUUUCUAUACUUCCAUUUAUUUAGAGAGAUUGCGCUAUAAUAUAUACUAUUCUCAUUUCUCUCUGAUUUAGAUUAUAUGUCUUAAUUACUUUUUUUCAUUUAUAUCAAAAAGAAUGUGCCUUUUUUUAAAACAAUUUUUUUUUUACAAUUUUUUACGUGACAUGUUUAAAAUUAUAAAAUUUAAAUCUCUUUUAAUAUUUUAAAUUUUGUGUCAGAUAAAACAACGGAACAAAUAAAUCUUGGUUCAAUUGCUCUCGAGCUUGAACUCUUGUUUCAAUAGGACUUUCUCUUAUCUUGCUUAUCAGUUAUCACUUUCUUAUUUUGCUCACAUAUUUAAUACGUGAGAUACAUGCUAAAUGUAUUAAAUUUUUUUUAGUGUUAGUGAAACUACACCAUUAUUUACUAUAUUUAAUUUGAAAAUCUUUUCAUUUUUUUGAUAAUAUAGAAUUUUAAGUUUGAAAAGAAAAAAAGAAGGACUAGCCCGCCCCAUCACUCGGCCCUUCUAGGAUUGGGUCGGAAUAGGUUGAGCAUUUUCAGAUCCUUUCAAAUAAAGGGUCUAUCCGCUCUAGCCCCUCAAAUUCUACGGCCCGUGAGGCCUUCUACGUAGGAAAAAGAACAUAAAAAUACACGAUAAAAACAUGUAUUUAUGCUUAAUAUUUCUUUUAUUUAGAUGAAAUACAAUAAUUAUACAACAAUUUAUAAUAAAAUGACAUAAAAUGUAAAAUGUGUCAUGACAGCUUAAAUAUAAAACCGCCAAUAAUUAAAAAUCAUAAAACAAAUAUAUGUAAGUAAUACCUAAGAAUUAAAUUACAAUAAAUACUUUUUAAAAUGUAAAAUAAUUCAAAAAAAUUGGAUAUAUAUAAUGUCGUUAACAUUAUUGCAUCGUCGUAUUUUCAUGAGGGUUUCGUCUUCCGAAGUUCUCAAAAUAAAAGAUUUAAUUAGUAAUACGUUGUUUCUUCCGUUCAUUUUUAUUUAUCUUUUUAGAAAAAUAGACAUAAUGAUAAUUUUAAUAUCACUAUUUGAACAUAUUCCUUCCGUUCAUUUUACUUGUCAAAAUUUGAUUUUCAAAAAUCAAAUUGCAUGAACUUUAAAAAAUAUUUCAAAAUAUAUCUUUUUCGUCUUAUUAAAAUGAAAAGUAUUGCACCUUAUAGUAUUUUUCAAAUAAUUUUCGAACAUCUAAAUUUUAAUUUAUGGAUAAUUCAAUUUAGCUCAAAAAGUUAAUCAAGUUGACUGGUAAUUUGUAAAACAAUAAUAUGAUAAGCAAAAAUAAGUAAAUGGACAUAUAAAUUCAACAAUAUGGAAAAUUAGGAAAUAAAUAUAAUAUUUAAUAAUAAGGAUAAAAUAGAUAUAAAUAUUAAAGUAUCUCUUAAUUCUUUAAACUAAAAAAAGAAAAUCAAAUAUAUUAUUUUACCUCGUGAACAAGCAAAAAAGGAGAUUUAAUAACUUUACAUGCAAUUCAUGAAUAUAAUAAGAUUACAUAAAGAGUAAUGUGUUCAAUAGCGCUUUCCAUUAUAUGUAAUUUAAUAAAUGUUUUGCUUAUUCUAGUUAAUUUUAUCACCAUUUUAUGGAAGACAUAUUUGAUGAAGUGUCAUUUUUAUCCAUUACUUUUUUAUUACUAAAAUCAUGAAAAUAAAUUGAUGUCUUUUUAUGAUGUUUUGCUUCCCAAAAUAAUAAGAUAUUUUACGAUGUUGGUAUCCUCAAUUAAAAGAAUUUCCAAAAAAAUAAUAUUUCUCCUAUAAAUAUACCAUCAAAAUACUUACAAAAUUCAUAUUUCAUAAAAGCAUAUAGUUCUUAAUAUAUUCUCAAGAUGGUUCAUUUGUUAUCGAAGAUUCUCUUUUUGUUAUUAAUCAUGCCCUACAACAUUCAAAGUUAUAAUUGUGAUAAUCCUCUUUUUACCAAAAUGUGAGGUACAUGUGCUUAAUAAUCUUCCUUUAGAUUUCGAGUAUGGUCUAGAACUUCAUUGUGCAUCUGGUGACAAUGAUUUUGGACACACGUUUCCUAACGUGGGAGAAGAUUUCAAAUGGAGAUUUUGAGGAUUGUCUAAUACUUUUUUUUUUGUCACUUUUGGUGGGGCAAUAAAGAUCUAGUAUUCGAUGUAUUUAAUAAUCUAGAUUAUUGCGUUCAUGAUGGAGAUAAAUUUGUUCCACGAGGUACUAAAAAAUGCAUAUGGGAUGUAAGAUAUGAUGGUAUUUAUUUGGGAUACGUUGAAGGUGAUAAAACUUACACCCAAAAAUAUCGUGGUUGGUAAUUAAAUAAUUAUGUCUUUUAUUCAUAAAUAAAUUUGUAAAAGCUUGUUAGAUUGAAUAAUAAUAUGUGGAUUAUCAAGUGUCAAUAUAUUAUAUAUUGAUUUUUUCUUUUUAUUUAUUUAUACUUGCAUUCUUUAUGUUAAAAGGAAAAUAACAUGUAACUAACGUUUGAUAUUUUUUUUAUUUAAAUCAAAUAUAAUAAUUAUGUAACGCUAUACAUAUAAAAAUAAUUUACAGAAAAUGUGAAAGAAAGUCAUGGUAGCUUAAAUUUAAUAUAUUACUAUUAAAGAGAUAAUAUGUAUUGUAUUGUCGAUAUUUAUGAUAAUAUUUUAAAAUUAUAAUAUAUAAUUUUAAUUUAAUAAUUUUACAUAAAUUUUAAAAAAGUGGGUUGGCCUGACAAGCUUGUGUAGCUUACGUACUUGUGGGUUGGACCGACCGUUUUCUGGCCCACAUAAAAAAUAGGAGUAGCCUGACCUGACCCGUAAAAUGUUGAAGUCUGUAUGAAUUAACUUGGAUGGGGUGAGCUAGCUCAUAUUGACAGAUCUAAAAAUCAUAAAACAGAUAUAAUUACUAUUAAUAAGAGAUAAUAUAAAUAUAGUUAGUGAACUUUCUUUGAUUUGGAUUUUGCUUAAUUUACUAGACAUCUAUGGUUUGUGAUUCGACAACAAAGUUAAUAAUUAGACCACCCAAAGUUGUAAAUUUAAACUCCAGGGCGACAUAAAUUUAGUCAAGACUUUAAUGCGAAUUUUGUAUAUAACGAGUGAAGUUUUUUUCAUAUAUAAAAGAUUAACAGUAAUAUGUUGUCCUCGUCUAAUUUUACUUAUCCCUUAAAAAACAAUAGAUAGAAUGACAAUUUUAUUGUAUUAUCAUUUAGAUGUAUUACCUUGUUCUAAUAUAGUUUAGCUCAGAAAAAAUAAUUAAAUUUACUCUCAUAAAGUAAAAUAUGAUAAGUAACAAAAAAAUGAACUGAAAAUAUAAAUUCAACAGAACUAAAAUUUGGGAAAUAUAUAGUAAUUAAUAAUAAGAAGAAAAAAAAAAAAAUAUAUAUAUAUAUUAUCUCAUUACUUUUUUAACAAAGAAAAUAAAAUUAAAUAUUCUUUUUUGUACCAUGGACCAUAAAAAAAUGGAAAUUAAAUAACUUUCCAUAUGCAAUCAUAAAUCUAAGAUUACAUAAAGAAUAAUGUGUUCAAUAGUUUUCUAUUAUAGGUAAUUUAAUUAUUGUUUUGUUUCUUCUAGCAGAUUUUAUUAUCAUUUACUUAAUAACAUAUCUAGUGAUUGGUAAUACAUAAAUAUUUUAUUUGUAAAAGGCAUAUUUUAAAAGAAUAAAUAAAAUAUGAACUUUCUAAGUGCCAAUAUAUUACAUUGACUUUUUUUAUUUAGUUUAUUUUAUAAUUGCAUUCUUAUGUCAAAAGGAAAAUAAAACUAUUUACGUAAUUACAACAAUCCAUUUAUUUAUUUAUAAAAUUAAGGAUUUAGUAUUUGGUAAUCACAACUCAAUAAUAAUUAAUUAAGAUUUGACUACAAAAGACCCAAUUAAAUGGAAAAAACUAUUUUAUCGCAAGAUAUUUUUCAUUUUCAAGUGACCGUAUUUAGACAAGUUUUAAUGAAAUAAUGGAAAAUUAAUGUUAUAAAAUAUAAUUUUCUAAAAAAUAUAUAAAUCUCAACAUAUUUUUUCUCCUAUAAAUAUACCAUCAAAACACUUGUAAAAUUCAUAUUGUUCUUAUUAUUUUCUCAAGAUGGUUCACUUGUUUGUGAAGAUCCUCUUUUUGUUAUUAAUCAUGCCCUACAACAUUCAAAGUUAUGAUUGUGCAAUUCCUUUUCUUCCAAAAUAUUCGGUACAUGUUCUCGAUAAUCUUCCUCCAAAUUCUACAGAUCUAAAAAUUCAUUGUGCAUCUGGAGACGAUGAUUUGGGUGACAAAAUCCUUAAGGUUGGAGACGAUUUCAGAUGGGGAUUUUGUGCGUGGACUUGGACGUUAUACUUUUGUCACUUUUGGUGGGAUAAUAAAAUUUUGAUGUUCGAUGUAUUUAACGAUCAACAUUAUUGCGUUCACGAUGGAGUUAAUAUUAUUCCAAAGGAUACUAAUGAAUGCAUAUGGCAAGUCAAGAAUGAUGGUAUCUAUUUGGGAUAUUAUGAUGGUGAUAAACUUAAUUCUCAAAAAUAUCGUAGUUGGUGAUUAAAUUAUUUUUUUUUUGUAAAAGGCAUAUUAAAAGAAUAAAUAAUAUAUGAAUUUUCUAUUUAUUUAAUUUAUUUAUGAUUGCAUUCUUAUGUCAAAAAGGAAAAUGAAACUAUUUAUGUAGUUAUAACAAUCCACAUUAUUUAUUUAUUUUAAGUAUUUAGUAUUCGAAAAUCACAACUCAAUAAAUUAAGGUUAACUACAGUUAAGACCCAAUCAAAUGAAAAAAAAAUUAUUUUAUAUCAAGAGAUUUUUCAUUCUUAAUUUUGGUAUACACACAAUCUUUGAUGAAAGAAUGAAAAAAUUAAUUAUGUUAUAAAAUAUAAUUUGCUAUUUAUUUUUCGUUGAAUCAACUUAUUUGGAAAAUGCAUAGAAAUAUUGGGGGGUGGGGGGGGGGGGGGGGGGGGGGGGGAUUUCAUUUUCCUAUGUGAAAAUAUAUUUUUUCUCAACGAGUCAAUCAAAAUAUCUAUAAAAAUAGUUAUUAAAUAUUUUUUAUUGAAAAAAUUAUGACCUUUUAAUAGUGAAUAUUGUGUAAUAAUAAUUUCUCAGAAAUAUAUCAUUUAUAAAAAUAAAAUAUUUAUGAUAAUCUGUAACGACCUGUUUAGUCGUUUUGAGCAGCAGAUUUUAUUUCUGAAAAAAACAGGUUGAGGCGACGGACCCCACGACGGACCGUCAUGGGCACGACGGACCAUCGCAGGGUCUCGUUUCAAAACACUUAGAAAAACUGAAAAUUGGGUACUGAAAUCGACUCUCUGAACUUCGUAACGGAAUGGCAGGACGGAUCGUCACAGGUGUGACGGACCGUCACAGAUUCUUCAGAGAAAUUGAGUCUCUGAACUCUGUGACGGGCAGCAGGACGGACCGUCGCAGGUGCGACGGGCCGUCACAGACUGCGAAAUCCCAGUCUGGGUCGGAUUUCUUGAUACGUUUUAAGGGACGUUUUUGACUAUUCUUGCCUUAAUUAUAAAGUUAGUGGGUUAAUGUUAAUAAGUCUAAUUACUUGGGGGUUAAAAGAGGUAACCUUAAGUUAAUUAGUGGGGCAUUAUUGCCAUCUUUUAUUCUUAAUUAUAUGUUAAUCAGGGUAAAAGGAAGAGGGUUUUGAAUAAAGAAAAUAGAAAGAACAAGAGAGAGAGGGAGAAUCGAACGAGAGAAAAGGGAAACGAAGAGGAUAGCAAAGGUCUUGAGGAAUUGCUUGCUUGAUCACGAAAUCUUCGGUGGAGGUAGGUUAUGGUUUUUAUGCUAUUCGUAGUAAACUCUUAAUAGCGAAUGAUAUGUAUUGGGUAGUGUUGUAAACCCUUCUAUAUGCUUAAUUAUAUGCAUGCAUGAACGUGAUUAUAUAAUUGUGAUUAUAUUAAGCAUGAUGAAAUUAUUGAAUCCCGAAUCUUGAUAAAAACCUAAUCUCUUUUUAAUGAUGAUGCCUUGGUAAGGGAGAAGGCUUGAUGAACUAAAGUAAUGAGAUUGAUGAUGUCUUGGUAAGGGAGAAGGCUUGAUGAGUUGAUAGAAUGAGGAUUAGGGGAUCGGGUGUCACGAACCGACACGUAGAUUUAGGGGAUCGGUGUCACGAACCGACACGUAGAAUUAGGAAAUCGGGUGUCACGAACCGACACGUAGAAUUAGGAGAUCGGGUGUCACGAACCGACACGUAGAUUUAGGGGAUCGGGUGUCACGAACCGACACGUAGAAUUAGGGGAUCGGGUGUCACGAACCGACACGUAGAAUUAGGAGAUCGGGUGUCACGAACCGACACGUAGAAUUAGGGGAUCGGGUGUCACGAACUGACACGUAGAUUUAGGGGAUCGGGUGUCACGAACCGACACAUAGAUUUAGGGGAUCGGAGUGUCACGUACCGACACAAGAGGAUUAAUGAAUAUUGAGGGAGUGGAGUGUCACGUACCGACAUAAGAGAAAUAAAGAUGAUGAAUCUUGAAAGAUGUUAAUAUACUCAAUCUAAUGGACAUGAUUCCCAAAUGAGUAUGGUAUCGAGGCUUGAGUCCUCAUGUGUGAACUUGACGGUAAUUGUUAAUGAUAUAGUAUUUGUUGUUGCUACAUGUUGAGUAUCAUAGUUGGUUUUUCUGAUAUUACUUGGUAUAUAUUGAUUUCUAUUUUGAGUUGGCCGAUGAUAUCUACUCAGUACCCGUGUUUUGUACUGAUCCCUACUUUUAUGUUCUCUUCUUGUUUAUUUGUGGGGUGCAGCAAACGUGCCAUCGUCUUCAACUCAACAGUAAUUCAAGCCAGUCUUACUAAAUCGGAAAUUCAGGGUGAGCUAAUGCUUCUAGCUUGGACUGGAUCUUCUUCUUCAAGUCUUGAUGCCUUGAACUUCCGACAUGGACUAGCUUCUUAUGUAUUUUUAGCUUUUAGAAUACUCUUAGUUUAGUCGUUUAAUCGUAGAUGUUCUUGUGAUGAUGACUUCCAGAUUUUGGGGAAUAAUAGAUGUUGAAUUUUAGAAGUUAAUGAAUUGGUCUUUAUUUAAUGAGGUUAAGUCUUCCGCAUUACUUUCUGUUGAUAUUAUAUUGAAAUGUUAAGGUUAGAUUGGUUGGUUCGCUCACAUAGGAGGAUAAGUGUGGGUGCCAGUCGCAACCCGGUUUGGGUCGUGACAAAACUAGGUAUCAGAGCAUUAGGUUCGUUGGUCUCAUCACACAAGAACGAGUCUAGUAGAGUCUUAAGGAACGGUAGGGGGCGCCUUUACUUUUCUUUGAGAGGCUAUAAGACUUUAGGAAAAAUCCAUUCUUUCUUUCUUUCUUUCGUGCUACUACUUGAAUCCAAUUGGUAUCUAGGUGAUACAAAUUGGUAUCUGACCAUCUUCACUCUCUUUCGCAGAUGGUUAGAACUAGAGCAACGACUACGCCAACACCAACACCAACACCGGCGGGAUAGGGUGCGUCUGAGCAAGCCACUGGGGCUGUUGCUCGAGGAAAAACAGCGGCAAGAGGCCGUGGUAGAGGUCGUGGGAGGACGUGCUCUAGGGGAAGAGAACGAGCAACUAGCCUAUCUGAUACUAGGGCAGUGACCCCUCCACCGACUGAGGAAGUAAUAAAAGAAGGGGAGGAUGGGGAAACUGAACAAGUGCAGAAUGAGGGAUUGCCACCCCAACCUACCCCAGAGAUGAUCAAUCAGGUUCUCGCCUAUCUCAGUGGGUUGUCUGAUCAAGGUCUAGCACCUCCAGUGUUUUCUGCGCCAACACCUCCGGUUUCAGAAGUGCAACAUGCAGCCACUAUGGCUCCUCGUAUGGAUGCCUCAUUGGACAUAGGCACAUUUCCACGUCUGACUACUGGGCCUAUAAUGACAAAUGAUCAGCAUGAACUUUUCAGUAAGUUCUUGAAAUUGAAACCUCCGGUCUUCAAGGGUGCUGAUCGGAAGAUGCUUAUGAUUUUCUGGUUGACUGUCACGAGCUACUACACAAGAUGGGUAUAGUAGAAUGGUUUGGUGUGGAGUUUGUGACUUAACAGUUUCAAAGGAACGCCAAAAUGUGGUGGCGGUCACAUAUUGACUGUCAACCAACAGAGGCACCACCUAUGACUUGGGCCUCAUUCUCUAGCUUGUUUAUGGAGAAGUAUAUCCCCCGAACUUUGAGGGAUAGGAAAAGGGAUGAGUUCUUGAGCCUAGAGCAAGGUAGGAUGUCGGUCAAUGCAUAUGAGGCUAAGUUUCAUGCUUUAUCCCGGUAUGCCACCCAACUAUGUUUCAGUCCACAAGAGCGGAUUCGCCGUUUUGUGAAGGGGUUGAGGUCAGAGACGAGUUUAAUAGUUCUUACUCUAGAGGACAAGGUUCCGGAGGUUACUCAGUUCGACCCAUUCAGUCUUCACUACAGACUGUAGUUGGGGGUCCACCUCAGACCGGUCAACACUUCUCUGAGAGACCUAUGCUUGACUCCAGAGAGUGUUAUGGAUGUGGGGAGACUGGACAUAUUAGGAGGAAUUGUCCAAAACAGAGUUAUAGACCCCCAAUGGCUAGAAGUAGAGGUGGUCAUGGUAGAGGCCGUCAUUCUGGAGGACGUGGUGGUCGAGGUAAUGGUGGUCACCAAAACGGCCGAUGUGAUGGGCAAACUGGAGCCACUACAUCACAAUAUGGUAGGGGCAAUGGACAGACAAACGAUAGGGCCCAUUGUUACGCUUUCCCUGGGCGGUCUGAAGCGGAGGCAUCUGAUGCUGUCAUCACAGGUAAUCUUCUGGUUUGUGAUUGCAUGACUUCUGUAUUGUUUGAUCCUGGAUCCACGUUUUCUUAUGUAUCUUCCUCAUUUGCUAAUGGUCUAAAUUUACAUUGUGAAUUACUUGAUAUGCCUAUUCGUGUUUCUACUCCGGUGGGUGAGUCUGUGGUAGUUGAAAAGGUAUAUAGGUCUUGUUUGGUGAACUUUGUGGGGAGCAACACUUAUGUAGAUUUGGUUAUCUUAGAAAUGGAUGAUUUUGAUGUAAUUCUGGGUAUGACUUGGCUUUCUCCGCAAUUUGCGAUCUUGGAUUGUAAUGCUAAAACGGUGACGUUAGCCAAGCCUGGGACAAAUCCGUUAGUUUGGGAGGGAGACUACACUUCCAAUCCGGUGCGUAUCAUCUCCUUUCUUCGUGCUAAGAAAAUGAUUAGUAAAAGGUGUUUAGCUUUCUUGGCACAUCUUAAGGAUGACACUACCCAAGUACUUUCGAUUGAGUCGGUUUCGGUGGUUCGCGAGUUUCUGGAUGUGUUCCCUGCAGAUCUUCCUGGUAUGCCACCAGAUAGGGAUAUUGAUUUUUGUAUUGACCUUGAACCGGGUACUCGCCCCAUUUCUAUACCCCCUUACAGAAUGGCUCCCGCGGAGUUAAGAGAGUUAAAAGCCCAACUCCAAGAGUUGUUAAACAAAGGCUUUAUUAGACCAAGUGCAUCUCCUUGGGGUGCUCCGGUUUUGUUUGUAAAAAAGAAGGAUGGGAGUUUUCGAAUGUGUAUAGACUACAGACAACUAAACAAGGUAACCAUAAAGAACAAGUAUCCUCUUCCCCGCAUUGAUGACUUGUUCGAUCAGUUACAAGGUGCUUGUGUCUUCUCUAAGAUUGACUUGAGAUCCGGUUAUCAUCAAUUGAAAAUACGGGCAACGGAUGUGCCAAAGACUGCUUUUCAAACGAGGUAUGGGCAUUACGAAUUUGUAGUGAUGUCUUUUGAUCUUACGAAUGCCCCUGCUGCGUUCAUGAGCUUGAUGAACGGGAUUUUUAAGCCAUAUUUGGACCUCUUCGUGAUCGUAUUUAUUGAUGAUAUAUUGGUAUACUCAAAGAGCAAGAAGGAACAUGAAGAGCAUUUGAGAAUGGUAUUGGAAAUGUUGAGGGAGAAAAAGCUUUAUGCCAAGUUCUCCAAGUGUGAGUUUUGGCUAAAUGCAGUGUCCUUCUUGGGGCACGUGGUUUCUAAGGAUGGAGUGAUGGUGGAUCCUUCUAAGAUUGAGACAGUGAAGAAUUGGGUAAGACCUACUAAUGUGUCAGAAAUAAGGAGCUUUGUUGGGUUAGCUAGCUACUACCGUCGAUUUGUCAAGGGAUUCUCUUCUAUUGCUUUCCAAUUGACGAACUUGACUAAGCAGAAUGUUCCAUUUGUAUGGUCGGACGAAUGUGAGGAAAGCUUUCAGAAGCUCAAGACUUUAUUGACUACCGCACUCAUUCUCACCUUGCCAGUGGAAGGUAAGAAUUUCAUUGUCUAUUGUGAUGCAUCUUAUUCGGGUUUGGGUGCAGUGCUAAUGCAAGAGAAGAAUGUGAUUGCUUAUGCUUCAAGACAAUUAAAAGUGCAUGAACGUAACUAUCCAACUCAUGAUUUGGAAUUGGUCGUGGUAGUGUUUGCAUUAAAGCAAUGGAGACACUAUUUAUAUGGGAUUAAGUGUGAGGUCUAUACGGAUCAUCGUAGCCUACAGUAUGUCUUUACUCAGAAAGAUUUGAACUUGAGACAGAGGAGAUGGUUGGAACUACUGAAGGACUAUGACAUCACUAUUUUGUAUCAUCCGGGGAAGGCGAAUGUUGUAGCGGAUGCUUUAAGUAGAAAGGCGGAAAGCAUGGGAAGUCUAGCUCACUUGCAAGCUUCUAGACGCCCAUUGGCUAGAGAGGUUCAGACUCUAGCUAAUGACUUGAUGAGAUUAGAAGUAAAUGAGAAGGGAGGAUUGUUGGCUUGUGUGGAGGCAAGAUCUUCUUUUAUUGACAAGAUUAAGGGAAAACAGUUUGAUGAUGAGAAACUAAGAAGAAUCAAAGAUAAGGUAUUGCGAGGAGAGGCUAAGGAAGCACAAAUCGAUGAGGAAGGUGUUUUGAGGAUCAAGGGAAGGGUAUGUGUACCCCGCGUCGAUGAUUUGAUCAACACUAUUCUGACAGAGGCUCAUAGUUCAAGGUAUUCUAUACAUCGUGGUUGGUCUUCCAAAGACAAUGGGUAAGUAUGAUUCUAUUUGGGUAAUUGUUGAUAGGUUAACUAAGUCUGCUCACUUCAUUCCAGUCAAGAUGACUUACAAUGCAGAAAAGUUAGCCAAACUUUACAUCUCGGAAGUGGUGCGAUUGCAUGGGGUUCCACUAUCCAUCAUAUCAGAUAGAGGUACGCAGUUUACUUCUAAGUUUUGGAAAACAUUGCAUGCGGAAUUGGGUACUAGGCUGGACCUCAGUACUGCGUUCCAUCCUCAAACCGAUGGUCAGUCUGAGCGAACGAUUCAAGUGUUGGAGGAUAUGCUUCGUGCGUGUGUGAUAGAAUUUGGUGGCCAUUGGUAUAGCUUCUUACCCUUAGCGGAAUUUUCAUACAAUAAUAGCUAUCACUCGGGCAUUGAUAUGGCUCCAUUUGAAGCAUUGUAUGGUAGGAGAUGUAGGUCCCCCAUUGGUUGGUUUGAUGCGUUCGAGGUUAGACCUUGGGGUACUGACCUUCUGAGAGAUUCGAUGGAGAAGGUGAAAUCUAUUCAAGAAAAGCUUCUAGCGGCUCAAAGUAGACAGAAGGAGUAUGCAGAUCGGAAGGUUAGAGACUUGGAGUUUAUGGAGGGUGAAUAAGUCUUGCUGAAGGUUUCGCCCAUGAAAGGGGUGAUGCGGUUUGGUAAAAGGGGUAAGCUAAGUCCAAGGUACAUUGGUCCCUUUGAAGUACUUAAGCGAGUAGGGGAGGUGGCUUAUGAGUUAGCCUUGCCUCCAGGGUUGUCCGGAGUGCAUCCGGUAUUCCAUGUGUCGAUGUUGAAAAGAUACCAUGGGGAUGGAAAUUACAUUAUCCGUUGGGAUUCAGUUUUGCUUGAUGAGAAUUUGUCUUAUGAGGAGGAACCUGUUGCCAUUCUAGAUAGAGAAAUUCGCAAGUUGAGAUCAAGGGAGAUUGCAUCCAUCAAAGUUCAAUGGAAGAAUCGACCCGUUGAAGAAGCCACUUGAGAGAAGGAGGCGGGUAUGCGAGAAAAAUACCCAUAUCUGUUUACAGAUUCAGGUACUCCUUUUCGCCCUUGUUUUCCUUCUUGUGAUCGUUCGGGGACGAACGAUGGGUAAAUUGGUAUCUAUUGUAACGACCUGUUUAGUCGUUUUGAGCAGCAGAUUUUAUUUCUGGAAAAAACAGGCUGAGGCGACGGACCCCACGACGGCCCGUCAUGGGCACGACGGACCGUCACAGGGUCUCGUUUCAAAACACUUAGAAAAACUGAAAAUUGGGUACUGAAAUCGACUCUCUGAACUUCGUAACGGAAUGGCAGGACGGAUCGUCACAGGUGUGACGGACCGUCACAGAUUCUUCAGAGAAAUUGAGUCUCUGAACUCUGUGACGGGCAGUAGGACGGACCGUCGCAGGUGCGACGGGCCGUCACAGACUGCGAAAUCCCAGUCUGGGUCGGAUUUCUUGAUACGUUUUAAGGGACGUUUUUGACUAUUCUUGCCUUAAUUAUAAAGUUAGUGGGUUAAUGUUAAUAAGUCUAAUUACUUGGGGGUUAAAAGAGGUAACCUUAAGUUAAUUAGUGGGGCAUUAUUGCCAUCUUUUAUUCUUAAUUAUAUGUUAAUUAGGGUAAAAGGAAGAGGGUUUUGAAUAAAGAAAAUAGAAAGAACAAGAGAGAGAGGGAGAAUCGAACGAGAGAAAAGGGAAACGAAGAGGAUAGCAAAGGUCUUGAGGAAUUGCUUGCUUGAUCACGAAAUCUUCGAUGGAGGUAGGUUAUGGUUUUUAUGCUAUUCAUAGUAAACUCUUAAUAGCGAAUGAUAUGUAUUGGGUAGUGUUGUAAACCCUUCUAUAUGCUUAAUUAUAUGCAUGCAUGAACGUGAUUAUAUAAUUGUGAUUAUAUUAAGCAUGAUGAAAUUAUUGAAUCCCGAAUCUUGAUAAAAACCUAAUCUCUUUUUAAUGAUGAUGCCUUGGUAAGGGAGAAGGCUUGAUGAACUAAAGUAAUGAGAUUGAUGAUGCCUUGGUAAGGGAGAAGGCUUGAUGAGUUGAUAGAAUGAGGAUUAGGGGAUCGGGUGUCACGAACCGACACGUAGAUUUAGGGGAUCGGGUGUCACAAACUGACACGUAGAUUUAGGGGAUCGGGUGUCACGAACCGACACGUAGAAUUAGAGGAUCGGGUGUCACGAACUGACACGUAGAAUUAGAGGAUCGGGUGUCACGAACCGACACGUAGAAUUAGGGGAUCGGGUGUCACGAACUGACACGUAGAUUUAGGGGAUCGGGUGUCACGAACCGACACAUAGAUUUAGGGGAUCGGAGUGUCACGUACCGACACAAGAGGAUUAAUGAAUAUUGAGGGAGCGGAGUGUCACGUACCUACACAAGAGAAAUAAAGAUAAUGAAUCUUGAAAGAUGUUAAUAUACUCAUCUAAUGGACAUGAUUCCCAAAUGAGUAUGGUAUCGAGGCUUGAGUCCUCAUGUGUGAACUUGACGGUAAUUGUUAAUGAUAUAGUAUUUGUUGUUGCUACAUGUUGAGUAUCAUAGUUGAUUUUAUGAUAUUACUUGGUAUAUAUUGAUUUCUAUUUUGAGUUGGCCGAUGAUAUCUACUCAGUACCCGUGUUUUGUACUGGCCCCUACUUUUAUGUUCUCUUCUUGUUUAUUUGUGGGGUGCAGCAAACGUGUCAUCGUCUUCAACUCAACAAUAAUUCAAGCCAGUCUUACUACAUCGGAAAUUCAGGGUGAGCUAAUGCUUCUAGCUUGGACUGGAUCUUCUUCUUCAAGUCUUGAUGCCUUGAACUUCCGACAUGGACUAGCUUCUUAUGUAUUUUUAGCUUUUAGAAUACUCUUAGUUUAGUCGUUUAAUCGUAGAUGUUCUUGUGAUGAUGACUUCCAGAUUUUGGGGAAUAAUAGAUGUUGAAUUUUAGAAGUUAAUGAAUUGGUCUUUAUUUAAUGAGUUUAAGUCUUCCGCAUUACUUUCUGUUGAUAUUAUAUUGAAAUGUUAAGGUUAGAUUGGUUGGUUCGCUCACAUAGGAGGGUAAGUGUGGGUGCCAGUCGCAACCCGGUUUGGGUCGUGACAUAAUCAUCAUUUCAUCGUAGUAAAUCUCAAAUAUGAAUAUAUAAAAGAAUAAAAAAAUUAUUAAAUGAUGUCCAUCAUUUAUGAUAAUAGCUUAAAAUUGAUGGUGUUAGUUUUUGUUUUUAAUGUAAAAUUAUUAGAAAUCUCAUAGUGUAAGGAACAAAUUACAUUCAAUUCUUAUUCAUUUUCAGUUUAAAAAUCUCUUAAAUUUUUUAUUUUUUAAAAUGAUAGAAAAUAAUUUUAAAAAAUAGAAUAAAAAAAGAUGUGUAGUAAAAUAAUUUUUCCAAUAAAUUCUUUUUUUUUGUAAUAUUAAAUGUCAAAUAUCAAUAACACCUAUUGCUUCAGUGGUAGCGAUAAAAUUUUCAAACAAAUAUUAUUAUCAUAAUGACGUUUGACUAUAAUAAGACUAAAUUUCAUUCACUUUUAAUUGUAAUGGUCAAUUGAUAAAUUUUUUGAUUAAUAUAAUAAGCUAUAAAUUAAUAUGAGAAUCUGAUUGAAUUAACUAUUAUUUAUUGUGUGCUUCUUAUGAAGGCAAACAUUUUCUGAUGUUUGAUUGGUCAAAUAUUUUGAAAAUAUUAUUUUCUAAAAAACAUUAACUCUUUGAAAGAAAAAUGAGCUCGCAAGACAAGAAAAGAAUUAGAAAAACAAGCUCUACUAACUAUCCUUACCACUUCACCCCACCAGUGGCUGGUCAAAGAUUUUUAUUUACGAGGUUUGAAAAAUAAAAAUAUUAACUUGUAUAUAAGCCAACAAAAUAUAAUUUCAAGGAAGUAAUAGUAUAUAAUUUUGAUGACAGAUCAUUCAAAUUUUUUGGAAUUUAAAACCACGCUUAACUAAAAAAUAAAGUGCUAAUGCAGUGAUUUGAACCCUUGACAUGGAGGUUAAUUUCCAAGGGACCUAUUACUAGGCUAUCUAUUUCAAUUUGUCAUUUAGCGGGUUCAAAUUUUAUAUAUUCACAUAAAUAUAGAAGAUUUUCUUAUAUAUAUCGUAUAAUUUUUUACCCCGAGAAAAUUCGAGUGAACCCCUGAAACCAACGUAGGUCCACCCCAGACCCCCACAGCACAACAAUCAUCCCCACCAUCCCACAUCGCUACUAUCUUCACCUCCACCUCCCGAAUUAUAUACAAAUAUUUUAAGAUAAUAAUUUUACUCUUAUACCUAACCAAAAAAAAAUAGAAAUUCACUUAUUUUCUAAAAAGUAAUUUUAAGAACAAAAUUUUCAUGUAAAAAACAUUUUUCUAUACAUUGCAUAUACAUGUUUAUUAAGAGUAUUCGCGCACAUAUAAUAUAUCUAUAAAAUAUUUGUAUUCAUGUGAAUAACAUUUGCACGUGCAUCUAUACGUAUCUAUAACAAAUGAUAAGAACAUUAUUGAAAAAAAAUAGCUCUACUCAUAUGAAAUGAAAAUUAGAUUCAUGAGAAAAAAUAUUCAUUCAUUUAGACAGAUAAAACAAUACAUUAAAAUAAAAUAUAUCUUCUCAACUCGCAAAUAAAUACAACUUAUUUUUCCUCUUUUUUCUUGGAAUUGUGUAAAAUUAUAUAUCUACGUUUUAUAAGUGGAAAUCAAAAUAAGAAGUGAAUUUCAUUUACUUAAUUUCACCAAAAAUGAUAUGUCAAUAAAUUAAUUUUGAUUUUGGUUGAUUGGUUUCGAUCAAAUAUAUUUAAUUUUCAAUUAAUUGAUGUGGGAGUUACAGUCUCUCUAAUUAUAAAUUUUCAAGAAUUUAAUCCAUUAAUAUAAAGUGUUACGCCAUUCAAUUAUCGAUGUGUUUUGUUAAGAAAAUUUUAUUUAUUGUUGCUCCAUAUUCAUAAAUAAUAUAAUUAUGAAGGAUCAGCACGACAUAUUUUAAUAAAUUGAUAUUGAAGGUAAGUUAUACUUGGUCAAACAUUACAAGAAUAAUAUUCAAAAUUUACCAAUAAUAGAAAGAAAAAAAACAUUUUUCAUUUUAACGUAUUGUUUACAAAUAUAUAAAUGCAGAUAUUUUUCUCUUUAAUAUCCGCUUCAUAUCGAGGAAAUAUAUUUUUGCUUUAUAUAUAUAUAUAUAUAUAUAAAGUUGUUGUACUACUUAAAAGAGUUUUGACUUGUUAGCUUCUUUUGUCAAGGUAAAUAUAUCGAAAAUUGAAUCAAAUCAUUAAUUUAGUCAAGCUGAAGAUAAAAUCAAUUAGUGAUUUUAUUGUCUUAACUUGGGUAUCCAAAAAAGUUCGAUUAUACUUGAGUUGAUUUUGUUUUAACUAUAAAAAGAAGAUUAAUUUGAGAUUAAAUUAAAUUCGACAUUAUAAUAUAAUUUUUAAAUUUUAUUUUAUACAUAAAAAGAUAUUUACUUUAAUAUAAUUUCUAAAAUUUUUUUUACUUUUUCAUAGUUUUUAUCUUUUAACAUAUUAUUUAAAGUUUGAAAUUUAGAAUUUUGAAUUCAACACUGAUAAUGAAAAUAAUGUUCAUGUUAUAAAUCUAUUGAAUUAAGUGGAUUAUCGAUUAAGCUUAUCAUAAAAUUAUCCUUAUCAUGGAUAUGUAUUCCUUAGAAGAUAUGAACCUUUUUGGGAUAAAAAUGUAUCUACUAAUGUGAUAUUAAAUAUGGUGACAUUUUUGGUUGAUUUCUCUAUCUAUAAAUACAGAUAUCAUUCACCAUUGUAAUAUACACUUGAAUAAGAAGAAAUUCUUCUCCUAGUCUGCUUCUCUUAUCUUCUUCCUUUAUACUUAUUUAAUUAUGAGUUUGAAUUUAUAAUAGUGAACAUUUGUUCUUAGUUUUUCUUUGGAUUAGACAAUUAAAAUAAAUAAUUCAAUUUUAAUUUCUCUAUAAUAUUUAGUCGUAUGAUUGAUACUAAUUAGACAUGUUUUAACAUGAUUUAUUACUUUUUAAAUUAUAAUCAUUUUUAUUAUAACUUAUUAAUUUACAAUACUUGUUUUAUGAUACUUCAUUAUUAUUUUAGUUGAAUAUUUAAAUGUCAUCACACAUUUCAUAUUUUGUGUUAUUUUCUUUAAAACACUUUUUUAUCGAACGAAAAAAAUAUUUAACACAAAAUAAUUAUAUGUGUAUAUGAAUACUUUCUUAAAAAAAUACGAUUAAUUUUUUGGCUGAGAUGGACGUAAGAGGGCAAUGUCACCUCAUCACUAAAGGCUGACGAUUUUUUCCUCUUAUUUAUAGAGGAAAAAGUUCGAGUGAAUAGUGAGUUAGUGAGUGAGAUAUAAAUAAUUAUUGAUUAAAUAAGUACGAUCAAUUCAUUUUAAUUAGAAAAAUCAAAUUGUUUGACCUAAACCUUUUCAGCUACAUAAAAAUCAUAUAGUAAAACGGAUAGUCCAGCAUUUAAAGAGGACAAUAUAUUGUUUUUUUAUAACUAUUACUAUUUUGAUACUACUUUAGAGUCGAUUUUCUUUCGUAUUUACUUUAUAUUAUUUCGUUGAAGUGAUAAUAUUCUAGGGUUCGGAAGAAAAUUGCAUGGACGAUGCUUGAGAUCAUUUGAAGUCCGAGUUCUAAAGAGUUUGUUUAUUUCUAUGUUAUCAAAAUAUUCCACAAAAUAAUUUGAAUUAGAAUCAAUGUAUAGUUGUUAAUGGAAAUAUUAUAAGUAUCCCAAAUAUAUUGUUGGUAUACCUUUUUUUUAUCAAAUUCUUCACUAUUAUUGUUGGUCAUAUUAUUUUUUAUCAAAUUCUUCACUAUUAAGGGAUAAAUUUCACAGCUCUCACAAAAGGCACAGCAAACACAUAAAAGGUUGAGCAAAAGGUAAGUUAUACACAAAUCUUAUAUUUAUUUUUGUGAGAGUAGAUAAAUAUUAUUUUUGAUAAAUCUACAACUUAAAGAAAUAUUUUCAAAAUAAAAUUGUCAGAAUAAAAUAUAUAUAUAUAAUAAGAAAAUAAUAAGACAUGUUACAAAACAACCAGUAAUAUAUAUAUAUUGAGGAAUAGAUAUUAAUAGUCUACACGACUACUAACGAGAAGAGGUGAGGAUAGGAGGCUAUAUACACCCCUAUCUCUCCACAUAAAGUGCAAGAACUCGACUAUCUAUUAACUUUCUGUCUUUUUUUUUACCUUCUUUUAACCUUCCCAUCUAAGGGUAAACACACACACAAAAAAAUUAAAUAGUUUAAUUCAAGGUCCAAUUAAAAUCUUUUCUCCAAUAAAUUUCAUCAUUACUAUAAUAGAAGCCAUCUUCUUUCACCAACCAAAAACAUUCUCUAGUAGGGUAACAUCUUUGAAUAUCCCUUCUUCUUUGAAAAGCUUGAAAACUCCUUCUUUGGUUAUCAAAUUUCAUGGUACAUAAAAAUUUUGUGUUCUUCCAAAAAGUCGAUUUCACACUCCAACUAAACUCAUCGCGUUCUUGUAGGGCACGACCUCCUAGAUCAACGUUAUCACUCGAAAUACACCAAACAACUAAUGGCACGGAUGAGUUAUUUGUGAAGCCAUUGAUAAUGUGAAUGUUGUAAAUUUUUUCAAAGUAAUCAUCUGGUUGAAUGAUUGAGAUUAGUGUCAUUAGAUAACAAGCAAGGCCUAGCAUAAUGAACAAUAUUACACAUCUCCCCAUUUUAACUUGAUUGUUCUACUUGUUUAUAACAUAAGGGAGAAUUGGUUAUUAUAUAUAUAGUUAUGAAUAUUAUACAAUUAUGGCAAUUUGAUUAGUGAUUCUUUGACCACUUUAAACCCCAAAAAAAAGAAAGUUAAUUAAUAAAUAUAUAGACAUGGUAAGUGAUUGUUUGAAGAUAAGAUUUAGUUACUACAUAUUAUUAAUCAUAUUUACUUUAUUUCCAAAUAAGAAUAUGAUUCAUGUUGCAUGAAGUCCAAUGUUCAAUUGGAUGACUUGAAUCUUUAUUUGGUAGGUAAUCUUGUGCUUAAUUUAUGAUUUUUACUAAAUUCUUAUUACUCAAUCCAAUUUAUAUGAUAAAAGCUGAAUUUUUCGAGAGUCAAUUAAAUUUUUUAAUUAAAAAUUUUAUUCAUAAGUUAUAUAAAAAAUAUUUUAAGUUGUUACUUUUUGUGAUUUAAUGUACUUUUAAAUAGUUUCAAAUAUAUAAAAAACUUAAAGUUUCUAUGUCCUAAAUUUAAAAUUUAAAAUCUUAAAAUAAAUUGAGACGAAGAUAAUUAAUAUUGAGGGUUUUUUUUACAGAAAAAGUUGAUGUCGAGAGCAUUGGCUAAAUUAAAAAUUGGAUAAUUCACUGGGCUUCUUUCAAAUAGAUACACAAUAGAUACAUGUAUAUGUUUGCAUAUGUUGUGAUUCACAUGUACCUAGGAUAUCAAAUACGUAGGAGAGUGUUCAACGAGAUGGAGAGAAUCUAGGAAGGCAAGCGAGAUUUCUUAUCUAUCUCAAAUACAUGUGAAUCCACUUGGAUAUAUAUAAUGAAUUUAGAAGAAAUGAUAUCUAAUUUUGACUCAUGUAUCUUGAGAUACAUGCAUCUGGAUGAAUCUUAAUGCACAAAAGUCUAAUAGGUACAUAAUUUAGUAAACUAAAGUGUUAGUUAGCUCCUAAUCUAGUAAGAUUUAGGUAAGUUUUCAUUCUUUUGAUGAAAAUUAAGUUGAGUAUUUAAUAUUUCAAAAACAUAUAUCAUGUUUAGUUAAUCAAAUUGUUUUGAAAAACAUUUUAUUUGAGGAAAUAACUUUUUCUAAAAAAAUCCAGAAAAUAUCUUAUCGUAUGUAGUUACGUUGAUUAUUUUACACAUUUUCCCAAAAAAAAUGUGUAAGCCUCUCUCCUCUCUUUGCCAGUCUCGCUCGCCUCUCUCCUCCAAAUAACAUGUAAUUACAAUGUGUAAUUACAAAGUGUAAUUAUCAAACUAUAGCUAUAGUGAGUAAUUAAUUAUUUUUAAGUGGCUAUAUGUGAAAGUUUUCCAUUAUUAUAUAGGAUAAUUGUAUAUAAUAGCAAACUAAUAACCUAAAAUAAAUAGAGUAGCUACGGUUUGAUUUAAUUGUGCUCCAUAGCAAACGUUAGCCAAAGUUUGUCAGUCUCCUCUCUCCCAAAAAUCUCGUUUGCCACUCUCCCAUUCUCGCUCACCACUCUCCCUCUACUCGUCUCUCUCGCUUUAUACACAAAAGUGUACAAAUUGUGUUUCUGUUUUGUAUAAAGCGAGAGAAAGUUGUAUAUACACAUGCAAAAACAUAUAUCUUCGUGCUAUACACUUAAUUAUACAAUUUACAAACAUUUUACUUCAAUUCAAUUGUAGACAAAUGCAAAUUUUAUACAAAUAUUGCAGCGAAAAAACAACGAAUUAUACGAUUGCAGUGAAAUACAAUUUUCUCUCGCUUUAUACAACAUAAGUGUAUAUAUUGUGUUUCUGUUUUUGUAUAAAGCGAGAGAAAAACAUAUAUCUUCUUCCUAUACACUUAUAAUUAUGCAAUAUACAUACAUUUUAGUUCGAUUCAAUUGUAUGCAUAGCAAAUUUUAUACAAAUAUUGCAGCGAAAUAGGCAGCGAAUUAUAUAAUUGUGCAUUAUACAAUUACAGUGAAAUAGGAUAGCGAAUUAUACAAUUACAGGGAAAUAGGCCAGCGAAUUAUACAAUUGUAUAUGUGUAGCGAAUUAUACAGUUUUAUGUUUGCUAUUAAGCGCAAUUAUGCAAACUUUGCUAUAGGAUACAAAUAUGAAUUUUUUGUUUGCUAUAUGUGAAAGUUGCCCUUAUUAUAUUUCUUUUUUUUUCUUUAAGAGAAUUUAUAUUAUCUUUAUUAGUUUGCAUUUGAAUAUUAAAAUUUUUGAAAUCAUUUAUUUUUCAACAUUUAUGUGUAUUAAAAUUUUCUAUAUUUAAAAAUUAAUAACCACUAUAUUUAAAAAAAUACUAAAUUAAUCCAACGUAAAUCAAUAAAAUACGAUAAGUAAAUUAAAUAUAAAAGUUGUUGAUGGUAAAUGAUGAUAAUUAGCAUUGAUGAUAGAUAGUAAUAGCUAGAUUUGUAAAAAUUACCUCAUAAACUCACUCUUGACUACUUGAUCAAAUGACCCGUCCAUUUAUUAGCUCAAACGAUUAAUACCAACUUAACUUCUAUAGCCAGAUAAAAAAACUUAUAAUAUUUCAAUUGAAAUUAAUAAUUAACUCCAAUUGAAUUGCAAAAUACAAUGAUCUCCUGAUGUCAAACAUAAUCCAUCUUCUUGUACAUUCCAAUGACAAGUAUUUGUAUCCAAAUCACAAGAUUUACCAUCUCUAUCAUAAUCAAAAAGCAUAAAAUUUUGUUUUCUAUCCCCUAAAGUAAUGUCACAAAAUAAAUUAUUAAAUCCUAUAACAACAAUUGGAACUUCAGUUGAGUAUACUUCAUUUGGAGCUAAUGGAUGAUCACCAAGAUCACUUCCUCUUAAAUAGCAAUGUGUAUCCACUAAUUUUGGAGUUGCAUUAACAAUAUUAAUAUUGUAAAUAGACAAAAUUAUUGAAUUAACAUAAGAUGAGUAGAAGAUAUUAAGUAGGAAAAAAAGGGCCAAGAGGUGUGAUAAUUUGGAAGCCAUGAUGAUAUUAUGUGUGUGUGUGAAAGUAUUAUUUAUAAUUGUAUUUUGUGUGAUUUAAGAUUCAAAUGUAUGUAAUAUGAUUCUUUUUUAAUCUCUUGAGUAAAUCACCAUAGUUCUUAAAAUAGAAGAGUAAUUAUUUUUCCAAAUUAGUUACAUAUUUGUGUCACAAUUCAUGGUCAAUUUAAACUUUUUCUAAAUAUGAUAAAAUAUAUCAUAUACAUAAAACCCCUUUUGAGAUAUUUAGUUAAGUUGAGUGGUCAAAGAAAAAUCAAAUUAUUUAACAUAUUCGUUACGUAAAAAAUAAUUUUUAGUGAUUAUAAAAUAAUAAUUAUAGUUUAAUUAUUAUUAAAUAUUUUUUUUGAGAGACAAUUACUAAUAAUAAAUUACAUUUUAGCAUUUUUUUGUAAAUGGUCAACUCAAACUAAUACGGGUAAAACUUUCAACACUCUUUGUUAAUGUGAAUAUUUAUUGUCGUUGAAAAUCUUUUUUUAUUCUUAAGAGUUAACAUUCUUGGUUUUCCCCAUCAUUUUAUUUUAUUUUUUUUGUAAUUAAAGACAUGAAGUCGAAAGGUCACUUUUAGAAAAAAUUGUAAAAUUAUUAUUUUACCUCUUUCAUAGUUGUCCAGCGUCAUUUUUGAUUGGUUCGUGAGGUUGGCUUUGAAAGUUAAGUGAAAAAUUGUGGGUUUUAAAAGUUUUGAAGUUUUGAAAGGCUUUAAGUCAGUUAAAAGUGAUUUUCAGCGUCAAUGAGAGUUUUGAGUCUCGAAAUAAAAUUGUCAGCUUCAUUAGUUAUAAAAUGUGCAAAUUGGUUUAUAAGAUCGUCAGUUUCAUAUUCAGAGGGGUUUUAUUGAUUUGAGGUCUUAAGUUGAAUUUGAUCUUUAAAUUGACUUUGAUCAACAUUCGGACUUCGUUUGAUCGAGUCAGAUUUCCAACAGUUUCAGUAGGUUUCAAUGAUGAUUUUAGUCCUAAAAGAGGCAUUUGUUGAAUUUUCAAAGGUCUCGAGGUUAGUUUGGUCUUUUUGAACAUUGAUUUAAUUUAUUACAACUUUCAUGAAUUUCGAGCCAAGAGAACCUCAGAUUCGUAUUUUGAUGAUCGCAUUGAGUUCAAAACGCUGAAUUUGGUUGCGUAGCAUAUUUGUUUCAUGUAAUCAUGCUUCCAAAAAAAUUUCAAGAGUCCAUUUUGGGAAUAUUUACGCGUUGUGCAUAGUGUUGGUUUCUGUUUUUCUGGUGAUAUUCAUUGUUUGGGUCGAUUUGAUCUUAUUUUUCAAAUUGCUUGAUGUGAGUGUUGUUAGCUUCAGAAUCAUGUUGUAAGUAUUUAUUUAAUUAAAUUGCAUUGAUUUAGAGACUCAAAUCAAAGGAAAAACUCAUAGACUUUAUAUCCAAAUAGAACUUAUUAUAAGAUUUCAAUCGAAAUUAAUGAUUAAUUCCAAUUGAAGUGCAAAAUACAAUGAUCUCCUACCCUCAUACAUAAUCCAUCUUCUUGUACAUCCCAAUAACAAGUAUGUGUAUCCAUAUCACAAGAUUUUAGAUCUCUAUCGUAAUUAAAAAGCUCAAAUUUUCCUUUUUUUCCCCAAAAAUAAUAUCACAAAAUACAUGAUUAUCUCCUUUAACAACAAUUGGAAUUCCAAUUGUGUAAAAUUCAUUUGGAGCUAGUGGAUGGUCACCAACAUCACCUCCUCUUAAAUAACAAUGUGUAUCCACUGAAUUUGGAGUUCCAUUAACAAUAUAAAUAUUGUAACUAAACAAGAUUAUUGAAUUAACAUAAGAUAAGUAGAAGAAAUUAAGUAGGAAAAAAAGGACCAAGAGGUGAGAUAAUUUGGAAGCCAUGAUAUUUUUUUUUUUUGUGUGUGUGUGUGAGUAAAAUUUAUAAUUUUAUUUUGUGUUGUUUAAGAUUCAAAGCAUGUAAUUUGAUUAUUAUUUUUUUUAAUUAUUGAGUAAAUGACCAUUUGACUUAAAAUAGAAGUGUAAUUAAUUUUGUAUAUUUGACCCAAACAUUAACAAAUUAGGCAAUUCGUUGAAGUUGGGUGGUCAAAGAAAAUUAAAUUGAAUUUCAUAUUCACUAAAUCAAAUAAUAAUUAUUAAUAAUAAAUUAAUUAUCACUAAAUAUGUUUUCUUAGAGAUAAUUAUCAGUGAUAAAUUACAUUUUAGCAUUUUUUGUAAAUGCCGCUAAAUUUAUAGUGACAUUGGAUCUAAUGAAAAAUUAAUUCAUGGCGAUAAAAUUUUUAACACUCUUUGUUAAUAUGUAUAUUUAUUACCGUUAAAAGUAAUUUUUUUUACAGAAUGCUCGACAAAAUCUAAUAAAUUGUAGACUAACCUCUUUCACCACGGACAUAAUUCCUAAUUCAAAUUAAAAUGUUUCAUAUUAUAUUGAAUGGUGUAUAAAAGAUCAGCUAAACUAAUUUCAAAUUAAUCGAUUAAAAAAUUACUUAUCUUGUGAAGGUUUAAAUAAAAAUUUGAAAAGAGAUAAUAGUAGUAAAGAAAAUAAUGAAAUAAAAUAAACAUGUAAAAUAUAAUCAACUUAAUCUUAUAUAUAUUGAAAAAAAAACUACUCUUAUAAUUCAAUAAUGAAAUACAUCAAUCAAAUUCUUUUUAGUUAGUUCCACUUGAAGAACAAAUUGCAUUUGUUUCCAACUAGAGAACACAAUCCUCCAUCUUGUAUUUCCCAAUGACAAUUACUGACACCUUCGCAAGUAUUGAUAUCUCUGUCGUAGUUAAAGAUUUCAAAGUUUCCAUGUUUUUUAGUACCUAUCAAUGCAAUGUCACAAGUGACGCGAUUAUCACCUUUGACAACUAUAGGAAUAUCAAUAGUAUAUGAAUCUCUUGGAUUUAUUGGAUGAUCACCAAGACCUUGUCCUCUCAACGUGCAUUUUACGUCUGCUUUUAAUGAAGCAACAUUAACAAUUGCUACUUGGUAAUCAAACAAGAUCAAUGAAUUAACAAAAGUAGAUGAAAAAAAACAAAGUAUAAAAACUAGAGACAAUAUGGAAGUCAUUUUUUGAUGGGGUGUGUGUAUGUGUUCAUAAUACUCCAAUUUAUAACAAUAAUGUGUCGAUAUUUAUUCCCCUCUUUUAACUAAUUAUAGAAGUAUAAUUAAUUUUAAUUUAUGGAAGUGAAAGCCUAUGGAAAAAAAAAAAGAGAUUAAACAGGAAGAGAAAUAAAAAACUGCUUAAAUAAAAAUAGUAUUCCUUUUAUAUCGGUUUAUGUAAAUUAUUUAUUUAUUAUGCUUAUUCUUUUUUAAAAAGUUCAAUAUUAAUCCUUUUUUAUUAAACAAGUACCUAAUAAUAAAAAUAUAUUAUAUAUCACAUAUAAAGGAAAAAUAAUAUAAGUAUACCAUUUAUAGAGUACGUAAUAUACCUCAAUUAUAAAAAUUCAAAUAAAUUUUAGGAUAAAUCACAAUUUAGAUUUUAUAGAGUUAAUAUUGAUUCUUAACCCAUAUUUAAAAUCAACUAAACAUUCCAUAAAUAAAGAGUUAAUUAUAAGUAGUCAAAAAAAAAAUCUUCAAAAUGUUUUAAUUCCUUUUGAGAUCCCAACACGUUCCAUUCGUAAUUUCUAGGCCCAUAUAUAUUUUCACGUGUAGCUCAUGUAUCGAGCUAGUUUUUAAUAUAUUUGAGCUACAUAUUAUAUCUGAUUUAUUUUACUUUUUUUUCAGAAAUUAAUUUAAUUACAAACUAAAUAGGAAUAGAUUGUAAUUUCAUAUUUUAACUAUAUAAUUCAUAAAAUUUAUACGAUAAUGAUUAUAUUAUACUUUAGACGAAUUGCAAAAGUCAUUUAUACAACACGAUAAAAUUAUAUUUUAGUGAUUAUUGUGAAUGUGUAUACUUUCAUAUAAUAUAAAAGUUGAACUUAUUUUUAAAAAAAAUGAUACACCGUUAUGUGUUAAUAAAUUACACAAUAAAUAUUUGGGGGUUAUAGACAAAGAAAGCAUAAGAGUUACGAUUGAAAAAAAUAUGAAUGAUCAAGAUGAUUUUAUUAGGCAAAUAUUUAUAUCAAUUCAUAAUCAAUUGUUAAUGACCACUUAAAAAAUUAACUCAAAAAUAUUUAAAUUAAUUUAUGACAAUUUGGACAUUAAUUUGUCUAUAUUGUGUUGAGUUGGGUGCUCAAAGAAAAUUAAAAUAUUUUUGAUAUAUAUUGUAAUUCAUCGUUUGAAUUGAACUCUUAUAGAGAAAAUGAGAGUGCACUACAAGAAUGAAUAAAUUAUCAAUUUAUUUAUUUAUUUAUUCCCUCGUAACAAACGCAUAAUAAUGGUAAUAUAUCUUAGAUAGAAUAAAAAUUAUUUUAUGUACAUAUACAUAAAAUAAUGUAUACAUUAUUUUAUAUAUGUAUAUAUACCUUAUAUGUUGAAUUCCCUUGCGUAAUUCAUAAAUUUAGAUGAAUAAUAAACAAAGGAUUCAAAAUUUCUUAAAGGAUUAUUAUCUUUGUAAGCAAAAAUAAAAAUUAUCUGUCUCUAUCAUUAUAAAUAGUAUCUAAUUCAAAUAUAUAUGUCUUGAAUAUAUAUUUGUGUUAUACAUUUUAAUUUAAAAAAGUUAUUUCUCAACUUAUUGAGUUUAAAUUUUGAAUUUCCAUCUGUCAAAUAUUAGUCGUGACCCUUGUGAUAAUACUCUUUAUUCAUCAAAGUCAUGAUAAAUCUUCUAUAAAGAAUUAAGUUAUUUUUGAUACACUCUCGAAUAAAAAAAAUCAUUUCAAACAAAUGAAAUAAGAAAGAGAUACAUUAGUAAAAUAAAACUAAUGAAAUAAAGUAAACACAUAAAAUAUAAUCAACUUGAUUUCAUAUAUAUUGAGGAAAAAAAUACUAUAAAAUUCAAUAAUAAAAUAUAUUAAUCAAUUUCUUAAUUAGUUCCACUUGAAGAACAAAUUACAUUUGGUUCCACCGAGAAAACACAAUCCUCCGUCUUGUAUUUUCCAAUAACAAUUUCUAUCACCAUCACAGGUAUUGAAAUCUCUAUCAUAGUUAAAAAUCUCAAAAUGUCCAUGUUUUUUAGUACCUGUUAGUGUUAUGUCACAAAAGACAUGAUUGUCACCUUUAACAACUAUAGGAAUAUCGAUAAUAUAUAAAUCUUUUGGAUUUAUUGAAUGAUCAUCAAGACCUUGUCCCCUCAACGUGCAUUUUACGUCUACUUCGGAUGAAACACCAUUAAUAAUUGCUACAUGGUAGUCAACCAAGACCAAUGAAUUAACAUAACUUGAUGAGAAAAAACUUAGCAUAAAAGAAAAUAUAAAAACUUGAGACAAUGGAGAAGUCAUGUUUUUCUUGGGGUGUGUCAAAUACUUUUUUUUUUGUGUGUGUAUGUGUUGAUGUUACUCCAAUUUUAUAGCAAAAAUAUGUGUUGAUUAUUUUUUUCUCUUUUGACUAAAUAUAAAAAUAUAAUUAUUUUCAAUUUAUAAAGUAAAAGUCUAUGUAAAAUUUAAAAAUAUUCUUAUCCAUUAUAUAAUGUAUUUUCUAUAUUAAUGUCUUACAAAUAAUGAUAUUCUUUUUUUAAAAUUCAAUAUUAUUCCUUUCUUUAUUAAAUACAUACCUAAUUAAAGAAAAAUCACAUAUAAAGAAAAAAUAAUAUAAUUAUACCAUUUAUAGAAGCUCAUUAUGUAAUAUACCUAAAUUAUGAAAAUUCAUAAAAAUCUCAGAUUUAAUUACAUUGUAUAUUUAUUGAGUUAAUAUUGAUUUUAAUCCAUGUUUAAAGUCCACUAAUUUUAAUGGAUCUUAUAAAUUAAAUAUUCUACGGAUUCAUAUAUGUCAUAUGGAUUAACACUAUCAAGGGGGUGGAGGCUAGGGAAUUUAUCGGAAUCCUCUUUAUUAGAAAAUUACACGAUUAAUUAUAUAAUACAUAUACAUAUAUACGUCUUUUAACAACUUAACUUUAUAUAAAAUUGAUUCGAUCAAUCAAAGUUAAUUGCUCCAAUAAAAGAACAAAUUACAUUUAUCUCCAACAGCCAAACACAAUCCUCCAUCUUGUACUUCCCAAUGACAAGUGUUGUUAUCGUCACAACUAUCUUUAUCUCUAUCAAAGUUAAAAAGCUCAAAAUUACCAUGUUUAAAUUGUUUAACUAUCAAUUUAACGUCACAAAAGACGCUAUUAUCGCCUUUAACAACUAUAGGGAUAUCAACUUCAUAAAAAUCAUUUGGAUUAAAAGGAUGAACACCAAGAUCUUCUCCUCUCAAAAUGCAAUGAACCUCAUUUGUUUCUGAAGCUUUAUUUUUUAUCGAAAUUUUAUAGUCAAACAAGAUAACUGAAUUAACACAAGUUGAGGAAAAACUAAGUACAAAACAAAGGAUAAAGACUUGACACAAUGGGGAAGUCAUGUUAUUGGUUUUUUUUGUGUGUGUUUUGGUUUUUAUUUUUGUGUUGAUUUGGUUCCAAUUUAUAGUAGUUGUGCAUUGACUAAAAAUUGGAGUUAGUAAUUAAUUAUACAAAAAUAAAUUAAAUAAAUUGUUCAAACAAAAAGAGUAAACAUCAUUUAUUGCUACUAGCCGAAAAUUAAAAAGUACUAUAUCUUUUUUAUUUAUCUAUUAAUUCAUGUGAUAGCACUUUAAUUUCUUUCCUAGUUUGUCCUAAUAAAAUGAUUCUUUUUUUUAUAUUUUGAAAAUAAUUUUAUUUUAACCUUAGUAAUAUUAUUUAUAAAUAUACAAAUAUUUAUUGUUUAUUUCAUAAACAACAAAAUCUCAUUAAUUUGGAGACCUAAUUAUGCGUCUUCUCCUCAAUUUUCAAAGUUGUCAUUUCAUGCCAAAUUUGGAUCGUCAAAUGUCCAAAUUCAUGUAUUUUAGAUAUAUGGGUCAAAAUGAAUGUAAUUUUUUUUCUUCAAAUACAUUAUAUCUAAAGAGAUUCAUAGAUAUAUCUGGAUACAUCUGGUAUCCCAGAUACAUAUAUCUUGUGUAUUCACAUGUAUCUAGAAUAUACAUCUAUCUUAUGUAAAUGUAUUUUAUAGUAAAAGUACAUAUCCGAUAUAUCUAAGAGCUCAAUUUCUUUCAUUUUUUUUCAUGUAGCGUAAAUCUAUUUUAAGGACACUUAAUGUAAUUUUUUUUCAUAUACAUCACAUCUAAAGAGAUUCACAUAUAUCUUGAUACAUCUGGUAUCCCAGAUAUAUAUAUCUUGUGUAUUCACAUGUAUCUAGGAUAUACAUCUAUUUUAUGUAAAUAUAUCUUAUAGUAAAAGUACAUAUCCAAUAUUAUCUAAGACCCCAAUUUCUUCCAUUUUUUUUCAUGUAGUGUAAAUCGAUUUUUAGGACACUUAAUGUAAUUUUUCAUGGCGUUAAAGAAAUAUUGUGCAAAUAUUCUUCCUCCCUUUCUAUUUUCUUCAUAUGUGCAAAGCACUCCUCUCUUAAUUUUAAAACUUCACCAUAAAAAAGUAUUGCAAAAAUCGUUCGAGGUAAGGGUAAGGUUUACAGAAAACUAAUAUUUUAUGAUGAAUUUAUUCAACGGAGUAUCGAAGAAAUCCCAUGCAUUUUAGUUUAGAUAUAAAAUUCAAAUAAUUAAUCAUAAUACUUUAGGUAUGUUUUUAGUCGUUCACUCGAUCAUGAAAGAAAGAUCAGUAGAUGAAUGAAUUAUGACUCUUCUGUCCUUAAUAAAACUCGAAAUUAUAAGAAUGAAGCAAUUUUUUUAAAGGGGUGUUUCCCCCAUAAACUAGGGUUUACAUGAUGCGAAUUUGAAUUAGUCGAGUCAAUAAAUUUCAGACACCAAAGAAAGAAUACUCUAAACAAUCAAAGUAAAUCUUACCAUUUUCUUGAUAAUUCCAAUAGAACACAAGACAUUAAUUAGAAUGAUUAAUGAAAAACUCAAGCCAAUAAUGGCCAAUGUUUUGCCCUAGCACAACUAGAACAAUUAUACACAACACUACAAUCACUUAGAUCAUCCCAAAGACAAAGCCUAUCAGCAUUUACAUACCAAGUACAACUUUUACCUCUACAUGAAUAUUCAGUCCUAUUAUCAUUAUACAUAAGAAAUAUUCCCCAAAAUGAAGCUAAUUGCAAAGAACACCAUGUUGUACUCUUGUUUCUUAACAAAUCUUUAUUUAAAUUAGGGUUAAAUGCAUAUGAUGAAUAAAAUGGCACUUGUUGUUGACCUAAAUCAUAACCAUUGGACAUACAUCUUACAUUCAAAACUCCAGCAGUACCAUAAUUGUGAAUUCUAAGUUCUUUGGUUUUUUGUGAAAUUGAAAAUGGAGAAAAAAUUAGUAAAAUGAGAUGGAAUAAUGUGGAGUGAGUGAAGAGGGAAGAUAACAUGGUGUUUUUUUUUAAUUUUGAAAAAUAAUGGUUUUGAUUUGGUGUGUAAUUUAGUUUAUAAGUGAAUUGAUUGUGUGAAAGGAAAAAUAAUAAUCUCAUUAUUAAGGAAGUAAAUAUUUUUUUUUCCAUUUUAGCAUAAUCUCAUAAGUAUUAUGUAAUUAUUUUUGGUAAUUAAUUUAUUAGUUUUACGUGCAAAUAUUAUUAUGUAUUUAUUGAUUUGAUGUAAACGACUGAUUAUCAUAUAUUAUCAUCCCAAACUAAUUUUCAUAUUUUUCUUUAUUUAUUAGAAGUUAAUUUAAUUCAGUUUUAAAAUUAAUUAAAUUAAUAUUUCAUAAUUUAAAUAUUUAAAAAUUAUACUAUAAAUUUGUAAGCUUUCGUGUAGGAAAUACAUGAAAAAGGGAAUAUACCAUGAAACCGAAAUUAAUAUCAAAAGGAAAGAGAGGUGCAUGAAUUUUAAUUAUAAAAUAUCACUACUAAAAAUUUUUAAUUACCAAAAAAAUAUGUCACAAUUUAUACUGCUGUGGAUUGUCUUCGAUAUUUUAAAAUUUAAUUAAAAUUUCUAGUAGUAUGUAAGUGCUUUAAGAUCAAGGGGGCUAUUGUAAAAACAAUUUACCAAAUUAAAGACAAAGACAUGAACAGUAACAAAUUCAGUAUUUAGGUUCGAUUUUAAAGUUUAUUAGUUUGAUUUAUCGACUAUCUAUUUAUAGACAUAUUAAAUUAUUAAGAAUUAUUGAUAUAUUGACUCAUCGAUUAUUGAUUAUAGAUCGUUAUUAUAAUUUGACACAAAAAGUAAAUGUUUGAAAAUCACUUAAUAACAUGGUGACAAACUAAAUAAAUCAUGCACAUGAGUUGAUCGAUUGUAUCUUUUUCAAAAACAACACUAACACAUUGUAGAAUAAUCAAAGGUUUGAGACUAUUAAAAAUAAAAACAAGAAACUAAAUCCUAAGUUAAGGACUUUAUAUAUCAAACGGUAUAAAUAUAAUUUAUUAAUUUACUAUCGAGUUAUCAAUUAACACAUUAAGAAAAAUACUGAAACUAUUAAGAACGCUAACCCGAUAAUAAAAAAUAAAUCAAAACCGUUAAACCAACAACUCACUAACGAUGAACAAAUUAUUAUUUUUCUGUUCAGAUUAUCAAUUCGAUUCGGUAUUAAACAGUCCUACUCACAAGUGAGAUUUGAAAAAAAUAUGUACAUACAAUUUUAUUCUCAAUAAACCUCGACUCAGAUAAAAUAAUCAAAUAUACAAAAAUGAUAAUACAGUAGUAAAAACAGUCAUAUUACUCGAGAAAACACAUUACGAUAUUAAUAAUUAUUCAAACUUUGGCCAAAAAUACUUCUUAAUACAUCCACUAAAUGGAUUAGAAGACAAACAAAGUCUAUCUUCUCUUACAAACCAACCACAAUAAUUUCCUUCAACACAAAACAAACUUUUUCUUCCUGUAUUAAACACUUCAAAAAAUCCCCAUUUUUCUCCUAAUACCAUUGUACACCAUGCUUUAACUAUUGUACCAUUCCCUAAAGAUACAUUAUUAAGAUCAUAAGCAUCAUUAUGUCUAAUCAUCUGAUCUGUGUAACUAUAGCCGUUGGAUUGACAUCUUAUCGAUAAAUUUUGACGGCCAUGAUUGAUUAUCAUAAGUGGUGGUAGACCACUUGAAAAUGAAAUUGAGUAGAAAAUAGCUAAUAAGAAGAGGAUUAUGUAGGAAACUUCCAUGUUUUUAGAGUAAAAAAAAAAUAUUGUUAUACAAUCAAGUUAUUUAUAAGGUACGAUUAUCUCAAUCAUAUAUCUGGUAUUUUAUAAUUCACACAUGAAAUCUUCAAUUUUUUAUAAUGAAAUUUAUAUAUUUGUAAACUACAUAAAAAGUAAUAUAAGUCACAAUAGUUGAUAAUUCAAAAUGUUUAAAAAAUGAAUAAAAAACUUACGGUCAAAGAUAGAUUUAUUUCAGUCUCAAAAAUCAAAAAUAUCAUAUAAAAUGAGACAGAAGAAAUACAACAAAAAAAAAGAUAAAAUCAUCAUAUAUAGCCGCAAACCUGUACAACAAAUGACAACCUGAUACAUUAAGCUUCCGUUAUACAUCCAAGUCUAGCAAACCAUAACAUCUUCAAAACACCAUUAAAAUUUCUAAACAUCAUAAAAAACUAAAUGAACUUUAUCCCACGUAAUUUAAUUAAUAUUUCACCAUGCCCAAUUAUAGUGUACAACACAUUGAUAAACACUAAAAAGGCAAAUUCCAUCUUGUUUAACAUACCAAUGACAAACUUGAUCACCACAAUUAGAUUGAUCUCUAUUAUAAUCAAAUAUCUUAAAUAAUCCAGGCCUUUUCCCUAACCACAUUGGACACCAAACGUCUUUUGUGUUUUCACCAUCAAUAGUUACAUUAAAUUUGUAAAUCUCCAUUGAUUUAAUUGUUUGUUUUCCUAACGAUUUAUCGUCCAUAAAACAUUCCGCGGUUAAAAUAUCUGGUGUUUGAUUUGCAACAUGCAUUUCAUAAUCAUCAGCUAUUAAAAGAGAAAUGAAAAUGGAGAAAAUUGUUAGAACAAAAUAAAAGACAAAUUGAUGGGUAAGAAAAGCCAUCAAAUUUGUUUAUAAAAUGGGGAAUGAAAUAAAAGUAUUGAUAUAUGAUGAUAAUUAUAUAGUAUAUGACUCAUAAAUUCAUGUACAAAUUAUGGGAAAAUGUAAUAAAGUUUUUUGAACGUUUUCUUGUGUUUAGUAAAUGAAAAAAUAAUGAGAGAUAAAGUCAAUAAUAGUUAAAUUCGAGAAUCACAAAAUUAAAUGAUUUUUUAAAAGUUAAUUUGACUAAUUUUCAACAUAAAAUUAGAUUUUUGGUAUUUUAAGCAAAAAAAAAUUAGAUAUUUAAAGACUAUGAAAAGUACUAAAAUUGUAAUUUUUUAGCAUAUUAAUAUGAUGAAAAAAUGUCAGUCAAAGUUAUUAGAGUUUGACUCUAGAAAAAGAAAAUCACGACAAUUAAAAAUAGACAGAAGAAGAAUUGAUAUAAAUUAACAUAAUAUUAUAUAUUACUUAAUUAUAAUUAAGUGAUACGUAUUCUUAAAUGUAGUAUAUAUCGUAUAUUUAUUAAAUUAAUUUAACCUAUUAAUUAAAGAAUUUAAUAUCGCAUGGCUUCUUAUUUUCACUUGAUUCUUCUUGUUGCAUUAAUUUGUGAUUUAUGAACCAAGAAAAAUAGUCUAUUAAAGAAAUUAAUACAAAGAAUGAUCAGUAUGAAAUAUGAAUAUCGAAAUGUCCAUACUAAUAAAGAAUUAUAUUGUUCGUGGCCAAAAUAAACAAUAAUAAUGAAUAUUUUUUUAAUUUCUUAUAUAAUGUUCGAUUAAAAUAAUUAAUAUGAUUUUGGACAAUAUGAGGGAUAUUUUUUAUGUCUACGACUCAAAUUUAAAAUAUUUAAUUAAAGAUGGAGAAAUCAUAUUUAUUCUAUCACAGUCAAAUAAUUUAUUAUCUUAAUACAAUUAAAUAAAUUAUUAUAUAUUUUUUUAAAAAAUGAAACAGUAAGACAAAAAUUUGAUAAUUCAAACGAGUUGAUUAUGACUCAUUAUUCGAAACAUAAAAUCACCAUUUAAAGGAUAAAGCACAAUCUAAUAUACCAACAGCCAUUAAACAAAUUUUAUCAUUUCUAAUAAACCAAUCACAAUAAUUCUCAUCACAAAAUAUUUGAUCUCUUUUAUAAUCAAAUAUUUUAAAAUUUCCUGAUUUAUCCUUUGUUGACAUUGAACACCAAAGGGUAUUUUCUUUAUCUUCAUAUAUUGGAACACUAAUUUUGUAAACAUCCCCCAUUGGAUUAAUUAUCUCUUUCUUAAGAGAAAUUCCAUUUAAUUUGCAUUGAAUUGUUACAACAUUUGGUGUUGUAUUUGUAAUUCUAGGAGUAAAAAUUUCACCGAUAGAAGAAGAAAAAUUAAUGGAGAAAAUUAGUGUAGUGAGGAUAAAGUAGAAGGUAAAUUGAUGGGUAAUUAGGGAAGCCAUUAAAAAAAAAAUUAUGUGUUAUUUUCUCCUCUUUUGGUACCUUUUUAUAAGUCAUUUUAGUCAAAAGGAAAUCAAUUAUGAGUUAAUUAAGGAUAAAAUCAAACACUCAUAUCUUCUAUAUUAUAUAUUGGAAUUGUACUGUUACACAUUAUUAUAUUGAUCUUGAAAUAUCAAACCUUUUUUAUGUAUAAGGAAAUCCUACACAAAUAAAAAUUUGACUAAAUUAUAUAUAAGAUAAUUUUGAAGUGAAAGAAUAAAUUUACACCUAAAAUUAAAAAAUUAAAAAGUUCUUUUUUAAUAGAAAUAUUAUAAUUAAAUAAAAUUAUAAAUAUAUAUUUAAAGUACAAGAAAUUUAUUCCUGAUAGUUGGUCUUUUAUCUUAUUAAAUAUGUGGCAGAGUGUUGACCAAUCAAAAAUUUGCAUGUCCAGAAGAUGAGAAUAGAGAAAAUGAGAAAAUUGAGAUGGUUGUGUAGAUAUACUUGGAGAGAUAGAAUCAUGAAUAAAGCUUUUCGAAGAGUGACUUCCGUAAUGAAUAAGAUGUGAGGUAACUAAGAUGAUUUAAGCAUGUGAAGAGAAGAUACAAACAUAUAUCCUUCAAUGAAGAGGUGUGAGAAGUUGACUGUUGCGAGUAUAAGGAGUGCUAGGUAGAGUAUAUAGGCCAAAAAAAAUAGAGAGGUGAUCGGAUACGAUAUGACACAACUAUGUACUUAUCGAAAAUAGAACCCUAUACAAAAGAUACAAAAAUUAUAAAUUUGAGUUAAAUAUAUUAAAACCGCAAUCAACUGUACUAAGUUCUCGCUAUACAUAAAAUUGAGAGGAGUAAAAGGUAAAGUGAGGGGUAAUUUGGGAAGCCAUCAAAUUAUUACUAUUUUUUAUAUGUUAUUUUCUCAUCUUUGGUCCUUUUUAUAGAAAAAAAAAAUCAUAUUGGGAUGGUUGGUAAUUGGUUUAGAUGUAAGAUAAAUAAUAUUGUGUUAGGUAGUAGUUGGUAGAUAUUCGUGUAAUAUUGUGUUUAGUAAUUGAUUGAGAGGUAAAUCAUUUAUGUGUAAAAAUGAUAUAAGGUUUUGUUUGCAAUUUAAAAAUCUAGAUAAUUAAAAUAUGUACAAAUUAUGAAGGAAUUUAUUUUAUAUACAAGGUGACAUAACACUAAUGCAAAAAUAAUUAAUUAACUAACAAAAAAGUUACACAUGUUUUUUCAUAAAUUUUUGAUCGAACACUUCAAACUUCUAAAAACAAGCUUUUAAAAAAUAAAAAAUAAACAAAAAAACUUUUUAAAAACUUAAUCAAACACGCUAUAUAAAUAAUGUUAUGUGUAUAUAUAUAUAUAGAAGGGAAAAUCAAAACAAAGAGCGACAUCAAGAAAAGAGCAUAUAUUAUUUUAUAUAAUAAGCAUAAUACUUAUUAAUCAGCGGAAAAGACAGUCCAUUGCACUAAACUUUCGUUAUACGCCAAAUCCUAUCUAGAAUACAUAUUCUUUCUUUCUAUUUAACUACGUAAUCAACAAACAACACUUAGAAACCUAAAUCAAUACCAAUCAAAAUGAACAAGACAUCCAUUAUUAUUUUUAUAAAGACAAAGUCCAUCAUUUUUAAUAAUCCAAUAACAAAGUUUAUUUUCAGCACAAAGAUACUCAUCUCUCUUAUAAUCAAAUACAUCAAAUGUUCCUGUUUUAUUAUCUGCCCACAAAUCACACAAAAUAUAAGUUUGUUCAUGAGCAUAUUUAACAUAAAUUGUAUAAAUAAAUAUUAAAGCACCUAUGGUCCUUUUUUUAAGAUCUAUUUUACCAUUCAUCAUGCAAUGGACUGUUACAGGUUGUGUCAUUUUGUUGUGCAAUUGAAUAGUAUAGGUUUCAUAAGCUAUGGUAGAAGUAAAAUUAAUGGAGAAAAAUAGUGUAGUGAAGAGAAAGUAAAAGGCAGGGGUAAUUUGGGAAGCCAUUAAAGUUAUUUUUUAUGUGUUAUUUUUUUUCAUCUAUGGUCCUUUUUAUAAUGUCACUUUGGUAAAAAGAAAAUAUUUGUCACAUUCAAAAAAUAAAAGGAAUAUUCUAAUCGAAUAUGCCUUGACCAUUUUAGUAAACAAGACUAAUAACAUAUUUUUGUUUUCCACUAUUAAUGAGGGUAAAGUGGUAAUAUCUCUUGAGUUAAUUUUAGAUAUACAAGUAUAUAAUUUUUAUUUGCAAAUAUUUUUAAAAAAAUUAACGAGCUUUUAUGGUUAUAACGGCCUUUCAACUUUUAGAAAUAGACCUAUAAAUGAUGAGUUUUAAGGGAGUUAAACUUUAUGAGAUCGAAUCUGUUGUUGUUUUUCAUUAGCUCAAUGGCAGAGCGGUUAACUUUUUAAAAAUUGUAUUUAUUGGUAACUUUUGAAAUCUCAAAUUAAAAAAAAUCAUUAUGGUAGCAAGUAAUUAGAUAAGUAAUUAAUUGUUAUAUAGAAGAAUUGCAUGCGACCUGCAAAGAGAGCCAAUAGGAAGCUUACUAUGAGAUGGGACAAUAAAAGGCGAUAAAUAUGUUAUCAGUAAAAAAUAAGAGUGUUAUUCGAUUCUAUUUUUCAAAUACAUCAAAUUGCGAUACACAAUAUGUAAAUGAUGCUUAAAUUUAGUACUAUUAAAAUAGUAUUAAUUUAGCAUAUAAAAUUUUAACACCACCAUCACAUUAGAUUCAGGUUGUAAUUACGCAUGUACUCAAGUUGCUAGGCUUUACCAGCCAACGAAUUAGUGGUUGAAUUAUCGAGAGUUAUAAUAGGAUGGAUAAGAUUUCUUUACUUUUAAUUAAAGUUCGCAAGUUCAAGCUUAGAUAUUGAAAAUUCUGAUAAAAAGUGUCUCCACCUUAAAUGAGUUUUACCUGUCGUAAAUCUAAAUUAAUUGGGUAUAGCAAUAUAAAUACUAAACACCAAAUAAAAAUAACCCAGUACUUGGACCAACAAGAAAACUUAUGUUUCAGUUUUACUUAAAGUUUUCAAAUUUGAUUUAGAUAUUGAAAAAAGUUCAGAUAAAAAAGUGUUUCCCCCCUAAAUGGACGUUUCUAUAUCGCAUAUCUAAGUUUACUGAGAUACCAAUACAAAUAUUGAACGCGAACUAGUGCUUGGACCAACAAGAAAACUAGUAGGCCCCAUUGAUAAAACCUAAUGAAGCCCAAACUUUCUAUACAUGUUGGUCACGCUAUGUUUAUAUAUAUUAUAAAAAGUUAGGCAAAUGAAAGUGCUAGGAUCCUCAUUCAUGAGUUGCCUUCCCUUUUCAUGCAAGCCAAAAAUGAGUCCCAACCAUUCAAUUGUGUUAUAGUGGGGACAGAGUAAAAUUCAAGGCAGUUAAAUAAUUGUAUAUUAGAAAUAUAUACUUAUUAUAUUUGUCAACAAUAGUUCGUUAGAACUUUGAUAUAUAGCUUCAACAUGACUAGAACAAGACCAAGUAGGUACCUAAUAUAUGUUCAAUAUCUAGUUGCCUAUAGGUACAACUAUAAAAGGAAGACAAUAGUGCAAAUAUCUUAAUCAAGCAAAAGCAACAAUAUGAAGAAAUAUUGUAUUCCUACUAGUCAAAGUUCGUUAAUAUUCUUGUUUUUCUUUUUUGCUUUUGUGGUGUGUUUGAGAGGUGAUGAAAAUGUAGAUGGAAGUAGCAAUGAUGUUCAAGGUCCAACAAAUGCCAACAAUUCCUACAAUAUUACUAGGGAUGUUAUCGAUAAAAAGGAUACGGAUAAGGGAGGUGGAGGAGGAGGAGGUCGUGGUGGUGGUGGACGUUGGUGGGGUGGUGGAGGUGGAGGCGGGGGUGGAAACGAUGGUAAAGGAGGAGGUGGUGGUGGUGGUGGAGGGGGUGGGAGUGGGAGUGGGGGUGGGGGUAUGGGAGGUAGUGGUGGAUGGGGUUGGGGAGGAGGUGGAGGUGGGUGGUGGGCAUGGGGAUGUAGGAAACAAAAAGAGCAUAAUAAUCAUCACAAACAUUUGCAUGUGAACAAUAAUCAAGAUUACAAAAUAGGUGAAUUUGCACAAUGCAUGGUUAAAAAUAGAUGCAAAGGAAUGCGUUUGGAUUGUCCUCUUCAUUGUGGAGGACCUUGUUAUUAUGAUUGUAGACAUAUGUGUAAAGCUCAUUGUCGUCGUGCCUAAAGGUGUUUCUCGUCCUCGUGAGUUCAAUUGAAUGAAUCUAGAAGUCAUCAAGAAUAAUAUAUGUAGCAGGAAGGACAGUGCAGCAAUCACCUAUUUAUGAUUCUUGCUUGAGAGUCAAAACGAACACGCCUGUUAUCUACUGUACUUGUUUUUUUUCUCGUGUGUGGUAAUAAUUUUGCUAGAAAUUAAGUGAAUAGAGAAUUGGUAGACUCAUUGAGAUUGGGUUGUAAAUUAGUAGUAGCAAGUAUUGUGUUUUACAAUAUGGUUUCUUUAGCUCUCUAAUUUUGAUGGCUAAAUGUUUUCUUUUAUUUUAUUAUUGAUUUUUGUAUUUGCUUAAAGGUUGAAUUGACUUCUACCUUUUCAAGCAAAUGAAUUAUGUCAUAUUUGAAGAUUAUUAUGAGCUGCUGACUAUAAAACUUCUAACCUAUAUAAUAUUCUUAAUUUUGUCUUUCUUUCCUUUUUAAUUUAUCUACAAAAAGUAUUAAGGAUUAGUCCUUACUUUUUAAAAAUUCAUAUUCAAUUCUGAAACAUAUAAAAUGAAACGGAAGGAGUUGGGUUAAGCUAGUUUUGCUAGGACAAAUACUUUUUCAUAUAAAGACUUACUCAGAAAUUUAUGGCUUAUAUCGGAGCUUAAUAUUUUCAUUUUAUUUUUUCAAAAAUUUAUGUUCUAAUAAAUUAAAGAGUGUUGGUAGGUUUUCCUAAAAAUAUCUUUAAAUUUUUCUCAUAACAUUUCUUAUUUUCCAAAGAAUUAAGUUAAUAAUCAAAUUUAAAGUUCUUUUCUAAUAGAAAUCAUUUCAAAGUUUUUUUUGUCAAAAUAGAUAGUUCACACAAUCUAACCUAUAUUGUGUUUAUCACUUUAUCUAGUUUUUUUCUUAUGUUUUUACCUAUUUAAAGAACUCAAAACUCCAAAAACUUAUUUACUAAACAGAAAAAAAUGUCUUCUUCACUGUCAAUUUUAGUUUGCCUCUUUUUCUUUCUAUCAUCAUUCCCCUUUCUUUGGCACAACUACAAAGUUCUUCAUGCCUUUCUUCAAUGUAUAUGUCAUCGAUGAGUUAGUCGAUCCAUUAGACAUGAAUUGUGCAAUUAAUGGUAUUACUCAACCAAGAGUUAGUCUUAGACAAUCUCAUUUUCAUAAAUAUUAUGUUGAUGUUGGCACCCAGGCAGAAGCUACACUACUUUGUAACAUGACUUCUGGUCCUAGGUCUGGAAGUUUUCUUCCUUUUGAAUUGUAGUAGAGAUAUACCUAGGUGUGAAAUUGAGGACAAAAGGUGCACUUGGAAUCUAAUGCCAACUGGUUUAUAUCUCUUCGUUAACUCACAACAGAAUCUAAUCUUCAAUUGGACAAUGUCAUCAUGACAAUAUGUUAUGAACUCUAUGAUGAUCAUAGCGUACUUUAAAUUCUUAGUAAAUGAAGGCCUAGAAGCACUCCUUGUAAUGUUCUCUCUGAUGAUAUAUGUUAUGAUGUAGUGUUUUAUAUAGUCUUCCAUUUAACUUCAAUUAAUUAAGAACUUAACCAAUUGAAGGGUAGAGUAUUUUUUUUUUUAUGACAAGGGAAAUCCGCAACCACUAUCCUUUGGGUGAGCACAUGGUAAAACCCCAGGUCCUAUGCAAUAGCUCGCAAACCACCUAGGAGAGGUAACCCGCACUAAACAAUCCUGGUGUGACGAGCUCGACCCAGAAAGCAAACUCCUUACUUUCGCUGGCAAGGGGUUUCGAACUUCAGACCUCCAACAUGAAAGUCCCAAGCUCAAACCUAGGCCACUCCGAAGGGUGAAGGGUAGAGUAUAUAUAACUAGACCUUGCCCCUACCUCGUGGAGAUAGAGAGUUUUUUAUUAAGAGACCCUCGUCUCGGGUACCAAUAUACAUAGAUAUCCUAUUAAAAUCAAUACUGGCUGAUUAUAGUCUGUUGUUUUAUGUAACAUGACUGUUCAAUUUUAUAGAGAUGAACCUAGGUGUGAUAUCUUGCAUAAAAAUGCAUGUACACUAAUCUAGUACUAUAAAAAUCCUACACAAUCUUUACUUCAUUCAUAUAAUAGUUAAUAUAUACACAAAGAAUGCACCUAUUACAGAAAAUCUAAAUUUUAUAAAUAAAAAAAAGGAAAUCAAAUAAUUAUAUAUUUGGCUAAAAUGAGAAAAACUUCAAAUUGGAUAUAUAAAGAUAUACAAAAUAAAACUUUCCCUAAUUUGGAAGAGAACAGAUAUCCUUUUCAAAUUAGAUACUGUAUAUUCAUAGAAAUCAAUUCAUUGUAAAGAUUGGGAACAAGAAAACUAUGUACUAUAUAAAGGAUAUAAUAAUCCUAAAGAAUGAAGAAGAAAAACCAAAAAGAGAACAAAUGGCUUCUUCUAUAGUACUAAACAUUCCAAUCCUUUUUCUAUUUUUUUUGUUCAUCACUUGUUUAUUUGUAGCUUCUGAACCAGAGAGAUACACUAUUGAUAUCUACGAUUCGAUAUCCUUCAAAAAUAAGUUACACUUAGAGUGUGACUUAAACGGAUUGCAAUAUGUACCAAUUACACUAACACAAGGCACGAGUAAGACUUUUACAGUCGACGUUGACCUCCCCAAACCUGGUGGUAAUUAUGUAUUGUCAUGCUUUAUGGAUUAUGGAGCUGGUCAAUAUUAUGGAGAUAGUUGGGUUUUCUUUGAUUACCAAAGGGAUAAGAAUAGGUGUGCUGACAAAAGAUGCACUUGGCAGAUCAAUGAGAAUGGAGCCUUCCUACUACUUAGGUUCUAUGAGUGGGAAGAAGAAAUUUAAUCUCAUACUAUUUCUUUGUUUCAUAGGUGAAUAAUAUUUGGUAGUUUCUUCGUAGAUGAAUUUCUACAUCUCUUAAAAUGUUUUUUUGAAAGACAUUAUUAAAAGAAAUCUUUUGCACCGUUAGUCUAGUUUACUAGAGAGGAGGGUCUAUCGAAAACAACUUCUCUAUAAUUACAAGGUAGGGAUAAGGCUGCAUACACCCCACCCUCCUCAGCCCCCACUUGUAGAAAUAUACUGGAUAUGAUGUUCUAUGAAAUAUGGUAAGCAAGUUUCAAACUCCCUAGAAUAUAUAGAGUAAGAGCAAUGCUUUUCAACAAAGUUGAAUUGAAUUUUGCUUAUGACAUGAUAAUCAUUAGUAUGUUCUUCAUUAGUUUUCCGCUAUCAAUUGGAUUCAUCUUAUAUGCAAAGCAUUAUAUACGUCCUUGUCCUAUAGUUUUUAGUGGUCAUUCAUAAGACCUAGACUCAGCACUGGGAUUCGUCAAAGAGAUCUUUAUGUAUUGAAAGUCUAAUAACCCAAUACCACUAUGACUUGCAAAAUUUCAAGAUGUUCACUACGUUUAUUUUCUCCAACAGUGUACAAGUACUUUUGUUUUAACUAUGUCAAUUCUGAACUUACUUCACUUAUAUGUAAAAUCAAGUACAAAGAAAAUCAUACCGUGCUAUCCUGAGUUCAACCAAAACUAAACUUAGAGAAUUAUAGACAAAUUUAGAGAUGCACCAUUAUCCAUAAUAGAUUAAGUCCAAUGCAAAUACCUGAUGAUAAUUUGCACCAGUCACUGCAGAAGUGAACUAUUCCAGUAGAAGUUAGCCACUGUCAGCAAGGCUCACUAAGUGGGUAACCACAUCUUCCAGGUGAGAGAAGUGAGUCAAGAAUUUUUCACGAAUAUCAGUGGAGUCGAAAUGGUUAUGCUUCCACUCAGAAAGAGCAUCACCCAUAACCUUCAUGCCGUCUCUCAGUAAUUCCACUCCUUUGGUAACUCUGUUAGGAAAUUUUCUUUUUCUAUUGGGUUGCUUUUCAUUGUCAACCUCCAUAGGAUCACAGACCAUAAGCUUUGGAUCAACAUCUUUUAUCUUUUUCAAGGUCUCUUUCAGCAUUUGACCAUCCAUAGCAAACAUGCUAACUGUGUCCGGACAAGGUUUUAUCUUUGGACAUGCGGAUUCCUUGUCAAGAAAUGUUUUCAGGUCAGACAUAAAUCUCUCCUCGUCAGCUUCUUUUCCUGUUAACAGAUCAAACGAAAGAGCUGCAUCUUCGGGUACAUAUCUCCAGAGAUGAUUACAACUACUGCGGGCAGCAAAAUAUCCAAAGGCUGUGAUAGCGAGGUGAACAAGUGCCCAGUGUCGCUCUCUAAGCAACAUGUGAUACAGCUCCCACACAGCUGAACUCACUGCAUUGUCCUCUCGGUCUUCCAAUUCAAUCUCACCAAGGCCAGCCAUAAAAGAUGACAAGUUUGGCUUGCAUUGAAAUAAUUUUCCAUCUGAUAAUGCUGGUCCAGAGAUGAAGAGGUUCUGAAGGGCCAAAAUGACUUCUUCCAUCUCAUUGGAAGUAUACAAAUGCUUCAUGUUAGAAAUGAUUCCUAGUGUCUCACUAAGAAGCCUGCGGUAUUUAUCCUUUAUUUUGAUGUCUGAACAUUCUCUGUACUUGUGAAUAAUAGCAACAAGGAACUUUAUAGUCUUCAUCUCAGCAUCUGAUAUGCUGAUUAGGCUGCAACAAGAAAAAGACAGGAAAAAAGGAAAUAUUGAAUCUAAGUUGGUAAUUUGAACUUAUCAAUAGUAAAAACAUAGAUAGUGUCUUAUAAAAGAACAUCUAUUGCAAUUAUAAAGCAGAGGCCAAAAGACACUAACACUGAUAGUCAUUUGCAUUAAAACUAAAACACCAACUUUCGAAGUCUUUUAUUUUAUCACUCAAUGCAGAUAAUAAGAAAAAAUUAAAUAGUUCUGGUCCGCAAUAAGCUUAAAAUUGUAUAUUUCAACAUUCCGUGUUUCUGUUUAACAAGAAUUAAACAUUUGUAUUUAGCCAAUUAAGUUAGAGAGAAUUAGACAAUUCAUGCUAAGGAGAGCUGAUCACAUACCGAAACUGCAGAGCGGCAGAAAGAGCAAAAACUGGAGCACCAUAAACAGCAGAGCCGCCUUCUCUCGGUAGUGUACCCCAAAACUCCCAAGGAAGUUAAAGUAUUGAGUUACAAUUUGUUGCUUUGCAUCACUUCUCAAUUUUUCUGAAAGUGCAUUUAGUGGGAAUCCCUCCAUAAGCAAAGCUAAGUAAGUAAUUGAUGAAUAGUUUGAUGUGUUAAAUCCAACCACUGUCUUAUAAACUUUAUCUACCAUAGAAUUUGGACCAGAUGUAACAAGCACACAGAGAAAUCUCGCCAUUUUUCUGACCAGACUAUCAGGAUUUAGUGCAACUUCCGGAGCUUCUGUGUACUUCAUUAAUGAGCAGAACUUUUCAACAAUGUCGUCUACCACAACUUCGUCAGCGUGACGUGAGAUAAAGCACCAAAGUUCAGUAACAAUCUCACGACAAAGAAAGUGAGGAUGAAAAAGGUUUUCAAGAAGAAACGACUCGAUUUCACACCAAGCUUGACUUGAAGAGGUCACUAUCAUGAAGGUUUUCAAGGCAUUAAUAAUGAAAUGGAAAAGGGGCUCAUUGGAUUCUUGUUUUUGACUAGUACGAGACAUUGUAGGAAGUUCCAAGACAAGAAUGGAAGAAUACACAUCUUUAUCAGUGCAGAUGCACAAUAACCAUCCAAGUUUUCUAGCAACCCCUAGUCUUGCAUCAUCUUCAAUAUCAGGUGAGUUUUUCAGAAGAUUUACAAACAAGGCUACUCGACCAAUAAAUAGUAUCUUUGCUCCCUGCAUAGUGCCAGAACUUACAGCAAAUAUUGCACUCAUGCAACUAGCUUGAUUAAUAUUGCACCCUAUGGUGACAUUAUCUAAAUCAAUUUCGUCGCCAAACAACCACUCCAAAAUUUGAAACUUCUGCUCUGAUUUCACUUGAGCUGAGUUAAGGAAAGAGUUAAGCAUAUGAAAGGAUGUCGGCUCCAAGAUUUCUGAAAUUGCAUCACCAGCAAAUUUGAGCUGAUCAUCUUUAAUGAGGAAUAUUCUAAAGGUUGAGAUCAUUAUGACAGAUAAUAUUAUAUCUUUGAACACAUAAAAUGCCUCGGAUGGGUACUGAGAGAUAAUUCGCACAGCAUUAAUCAGGUAAAACUUGACUGGAAGAAACACUCUUCUAGCUUCCAUUGCAGAAACUGCUUCUUUCAAUGGGGAUGACCAAGUCUCAGCCGCACAUCCCAAAGAUCCAUUAGCCAGAGAAAUAAGAGUCAGAAUAAUGUCUCCUAUAUUCAACUUUACAGCCAAAGAACCCUUGCCAAGCUGAAGUAAGCUAACUACACCUUUCCAUGACAGAUUAAUUAAGCUCACAAGAUUUCCUCCAUCAUUAGCUGCAAGGAUGCCCAACUCACACAACUUUUCAACCGUUAAUUUCAUUAUCUUGUUGACAUGAUCUGCACUUUCAGCCUCUUCACUUUCCAUAACUUUUCUUUCCUCCUCCAUCUUAAGGUAAGAAUCCCAGUUUACGCCAUGGGAAUAUACCUUACACAAUCGUAUCAGAGCAUCAAGAACUUCCAAUGCAAUUUUCUGCACGUCUGAACCAAAUGAGGAAAUUGCCUGGAGAUAAUCAUGAAAGUUUAGAGCAGUAAAGAUAACAAAAGCAUACAGUCCUUAAAAGUUCAGCUAAAGAUAAUAACAGCAUAUAACUACGUAUGUAUUCUGCAUGUAUUGACUAUUACACCUACUUGUGAGAAAAGAAGGCAUUUUCUGUAUCAUAUUUGCUAGAGGUUGUUCAGAAAGAAAAGACGGGCAAAGGAUAUGAGUAAAACAUAAAAAGGCGGUACAAGUGCUUUCUUUUUGUCCAUUUCAUUUUUAAUUAAUGGAAGUACUAUGACUGCUUCUAUACGACCAAUUCCUGUAUUGUGUUCAAUGUAUGGUUAAAUCCAAUAUUAUGGUUUUUGAGAAGUUUAUCUGCAAAUAUUUGGUUGAGAAAUUUUUUUCAAUUCAAGAAUAUGCAAAUCACUUUGGCUUUCGACCAACACUCAGUAGGUUUGGUCAACAUCUCCCAACUUAUAUUUCUGUUACAAGUCCAACGAAAUCAAGCAAUUACUUGAGUACUCGUUACUCGAUAUAGUUACCAAGUGAUGCGCACCCUGUUGCUUUUUAGUAGUAUAAAAAAAAUUGGAAACAUUUGACCAGUUUUUUAUAUCAAAAUGGCCAAUGUAAUAAAAGUUUAACUCGAAUGCUAAACUGCUGCAACGGCAUGGUGGCAGGUACUUGGACAAACAAAGGUUCUGAAGCAAGUUUGGACAUCGUAAUGACAGUGGUUUUAUGCAGUGCUAACGAUUUAAUAUUUAGAGUAUCACAAAUAACAAUUAUAGCUCCAUGAUGGAAGAGUUUCAUGACAUUUUUGGGGUAAGAGAAACUAGUACUUACCAGAAGAGGGGAAAAGCUAGAAUAAGAGUACUCACAUGAAACACAACAUGUGGAGCAGUAUAAAUCAGAAAUCAAUACCUUCACUGCUGAAAUACAACCCUUUAUAAGGUCUAAUUCCUCCAAGAUGAAAUUUUCAAUAAUAGACAUUAACCCCUUGUCAACCGCAGAGGGGUAUCUGGUCAAAGCUGCGAAAAUAGAGGCAGAGUAGCCAAGCAAAUCCAACAGCAACUGAUAAAAACAAGAUCUGUUAGAAAAGUACAACUUGAUAGCCUUGUCAGACGCUACAUGCAUUUCAAAGUUAAGGAAACUUACAUUUGAAGGAAAUGCAAAGGCACAUAAACAAUCACCAGCUAAAUGUCUAAUGCUAGAAACAUGACUACAGAAUCCACAAGGGGGUUCCACUUUGCACAGUUCAGUUUGGAUGUUUAGCCAGUUAAAUCAAUCAGCUUCAUGACACACAACAACAAUGUUAUCAACAGGUAAACUCAACUCAUGUGGUCCAGUUCAGUUCAAAGUGUUACAGAUAGUUUGGUCAGUUUUGUUUGGUUGACUACACUUGCAUAUCCAUGUGGUGCUAGUACUUGACAUUGCCACGCCAGACACUGUAACUAGAAAAUGCCGCGAAUUUAUCAAAGUUAAUGGAGAAAAAAUUCAUACUACAAAGGAAAAAGGUCUACAUGCAAGGGAAAGCAACAAAAGAGAGUACCUUCACCGCUUUCACAAGACAAGUAAUUAUAAUCUUCUGAUUGUUAUGCAGAUGGAUGACUAUGAUAUAAAGUUCACACUCAUAGAAAGAAAAUUGCAACUAGAUUGAUCUCAAGGACUCAAAGGAUAGAUGAGAACCUCUCUUAAAAAUGUAUAACCAAAUCCAGAUUUAUCAGUCAUAUUGUUUUAGUACACUAAAAAGUAAUGAUUUGACCUGAUAAAAGAGGCUGCUAUGUUCUUCUUCAGGUGAGUCCUGAGUCGACAUGAGUGUCAUCUGUAGAUGCUUUUUACACCAUACAGCAGCCUAGUGAUUAAGAACUUAAUGUAAGCAAUAUGUAUAAUCAUGAAUACUGGUUACAUAAUUAAGAAGAUGAGGAAUAAAACAACACUUACUUUGGCUCCUAGGCCUAGAAACUGCCCUAAGCUUGCAGAUAUGUCAGACAGCAAAUAUUUUGCAGCCACGUGCAAAAUGGUUUUGUUCAAUUUGCAUUGAGAAAUGUCAAGACAUGUGAAGUCUUCCCAGAGUGUCCAGUAAAAUGUUAAGGUAGAUAACAAAGAGCAUCUAUUAAAAUGAGAUCAAACGAGCUGAUUUACUAAACCAGAAGAAUGAGAUCCACAUCUUCCGAAAAAAUACAUAUAUUUGGUUGCAACAUUAAUCAUAAAACAUGAAGAAAGAAAGCUGACUUGGUUUAGUGUAGCUUGCAUUUAUUCAUUCUACCAAAGCCCUUACAUAUUAUCAGGAGUUCUGUUUGCUUACAAAAAUAAACAAGUUAGACAUAGCAAAGAAGAAAUCAUGGAAAAUUAUCUCAAGCCUAGGAAGAUCAGCUCUAUCAACCAAAUUCUUUUGUAGUCUCUAUGUGAUUAUAGAUAAUUAUUUCUUUGUAACUGGAUUAUGGAAUUCCUACACCAAUAGCAAUGAUGAUAAAACCAUAAUCUAGUUCCCAGUUUAUUAUUCUUUACAGACAACAAAUGAAUUCUCUAUUUCAUCUCUUCUUCUUUUUAAACUGUUGUGUCCAGACCAACUUGCGCGCACCUCAGCUAAUUCUGUGGGAUACUUGUCACCUCCCACCAACAUCAGGAACCAGUUAACUCUACCUAGAGGCUAGGACAGAUGGGAAGAAAUCGCCUGGUGUUUUUGACUCAUGAUUCCUUUUUACAUGGAAAUCUAAAUUCUCCUUUCUCAAUUCAAUUAACCUAUGCAUUGCACGGUGAAAUCAAGAAAAGUAUGUCUAAUAGUCAUCAGGAUACUUGUAUGGAUUCUAUAAGAGAAGCCACUUCUGAUUUCUCAGUCAAAUCUAGCUCACCAAGUUCAUCAAGCAAUUCAACACGAUUUUCAACCACCUGUGAGAUAGAAACGACACUAUUGAAUCAAGCUUAGGAUGUAAAUAACUAGCAAAUUAUAUCAAGGAAUAACUUAAGAUUUGCAAAAAGCUAAGAGUUAUUAGGUAUGAUCCAAGAAAACAUUUAACUUAGUGAAAGCCAUCAAGAAGAGAAAACAAGUAUAUAAGUAUCCGAAAAGAACAAAAAAACAUAGAUACAUUAGACAGGAGGAACAAUGCCCAUAAAGCUACAAAGGCGACAGAAAUUUCUACAUGCUGUUUAAUAGAGAAGGUUCACUAAAAACAUUUUAAUUUGGCAGACUCAACGCAUUAUCUACAAACAGGACAUCACACAACAAUCCUGCCUCACAUUUAAUCUAGAAUAACUUCUAGAUAAUCAAACUAGACCUCAUAUAACAAUGAAAUUAUAGGAAAUAAACUUCUGAAACUAUACAGAAACUUUAAAAUACGUGAUGAGGAAAUGAUACGACAGUUGAAUCCAAUGACAAAACAUGAUAUAAGUCAGUUUGCUCUAGGGCACCAAAGAGCGGGAAACAAGUAGAAUCUAGUCAAAAAUUACUGAAACUAAGCCCUAAAUGACAAUUUACACUAUUUCCAACAGCAACUUCAUCAAAAUGUGACUCACAAUAACGAAAUUUUAGUGAAUUAACCUCUGAAAAUGAGUAAAUUUGCAGAGAAAACAGUGAAAAUCAGUUGAAUCAAAUGACUAAAACUGAAACAGUCAAUUUGACCACUACACAAUCAACAUUGAGCAUCUAAAGUGCGAAACUAAACCUAAAAAACCUAAAAACAACGUAAAACUACUUUCAGUAUUAAACUGCAACUCAGAACAAAAUUUUAUCGAAUUAACAUCUGACAACGAGUAAAGUUACAUCAAAUACAGUGCAAAUCAGUUGAAUCAAAUGACUGAAACUGAAAUCAGUCAAUUUUACCUCUACACUAUCAACACAGGGCAUCUAAAGUGAGAAACUAAACCUAAAAACUACUUCCAGUAUCAAACGCAACUCAUAAUAACGAAAUUUUAUCGAAUUAAUAUCUGAAAACGAGUAAAUUUACACAGAAAACGGUGCAAACAGUUGAAUCAAAUGACAAACUAAAAUCAGUCAAUUUGACCUCUACACAAUAACCACAAGCGCCUUAAGUGAGAAACUAAACUUAAAAACAACGUAAAACUACUCCCAGUAUCAAACUGUAACUCAUAACAACGAAACUAUGGCGAAAUAAAUUCUGAAAAUACAAAGAAUUUCUAAAAAAAAUGAUACAACAGAUGAAUCAAAAUGAGUGAAAUUAGAGAAAAAAACUUACAUCUGAAGAUUUGAUAGCUUCAACCAAACUUUGUAGAUCUCUGCCGGAUUUUGAAUUUGAGUUCUUCAUCUUUUCUCUGUGUGCAAAUUUUUCUUCCCAAUUUUUCCCGCCUUUAGGGAAGGAAAAUUAUUUAUAGUGAGAACGAGAGGGACUUGGAUUAAUUUACAAGUUUUGUUAGUACCCUUUGAUUUAAGUUUAUUUACAUAAUGAUGCCUGUUCGAUUUAGUAUUUGCACAGGCACCCCAAUUUUUACUAUUUUUUAUGUUUUUGCGUCCAUUCACUAUUUUGAGGAUAAAAUGUUUUUUUAAAAAAAAAAUUGAAUAAAAGAAGAUAAUUUUGUGAGUAUUUAUAGUGUUAAUUUGUAGAUUCUAUAGUAGUUGUCGAUCUCCGUAAAAAAGAUCAUAUAAUCAAAUGAACAUUUAUAAUAGAGUAUAACAUUAAAUUUUUUAUACGAUAUAGGUUAGCCUUAACUUUUAUGUCGAAGCUGAAUGAUUUUAAGAUAAGGGUGUCAAUCCCUUAACUUAAGAUAUACUCUAGCUUAACUCAAAACAAAUUUUUUUAGUCUUUUUAUUCGCGAGAAACUAGAUGGAAAAAAACCUUUACUUGCGUCUAAAUUGCGACUUUGGUCAAGAUUAUGCCAAAAUCAAAAUCAAACCGAAUGGAGGUGUUUUAUACUUUUGUGUUUUAUAAAGCGUCUCGAUUCAUCUGAAAAUACUUUUGUAUUUUUAUGCUCGGGACUUAUGCCUCAAAUUUUAGAACUUACGUCUUAUAAAUAUACGUCUUUCAUUUACACCUCGAAACGUUUUUGGUACACGAAACUCGCCCCAAAAACAUUUUUUGAAACACUACUAAUCAAAAUACAACAAUAUUACUAUAUCAAUUUGAAAUUAUAUAUAUAUAUAUAUUGAAAGAUCACAAAUACUCAUUCACUAUUAAAGUUCAAACACGCAUGUAUAAUAAACAUAAGUGAUUUCAUAAUCAUAUCUUUAUUUUUAUCUUUUGUACUAUAAUACAAAAGAAAAUAUUAUUGCGUCAUAUUACAAUUAUGUAAGUACAAUGACAUUUUUACUAAUCAUGACUCAUGACUAGUAAAAGCCUGGGAAAAUAUUCCUGGUCGUCCAAGGCUUGACACUAGGACUAGGAAUUGGAACACUUCCAUCGCUACCACUAGAACCCUGACCCGCACCGCAACCAAUACCUCCACCACGUUGUCCUCGAUCACUACCUCCACCACCACCUCCUCCACCACCACCACCCCCUCCACCACUUCGUCCCCAUCCUAAGCCACUACCACUUCCAUAGCCAUAACCACCUUUCGUACCACCUCCUUCACCUCCACCUCCUCCUCCUCCUCCACCUCCUGCACCGCUAUCUCCACUAGGUAAUGGUGAAGAUGCGGGGCUAAUUAUUGGGGAAGGAAUGGUCACUAUAUCAGGAUGAGCGCAUGAAAUUUGACGAAUAUUAAUGUUCAUCAUCAUGAGAAAAAAUGCUAACACUAACAACAAUAAUCGAGUCAUGCCUCUGAAAUUAUGAAAAUUUAAGGAAUUAAAUCACCUUGAAUGCUUAUAAUUGUUGAGUAGACAAUGCACAUAUAUAUAUACAUAGAAAAAACUAUGUACCUCACGUGAAUUGACAAAUAUAAACAUAUUUUACGUACCAAAAAGACCAUUUUUGUGGUUAAAAGUGACAUAAUAUUUGCCUUCUUAGCUGCUUAAUUCUAUAAAGUGAAUAUUGAAUUCUAAAGUAAAACAAGAAAGAAAGAAAUUAAGGAAGAAAGUGUAUCGACUAAUAAUGUGUUACAAACAGAAAGUGACGCAAAAUAAUCAAAAAAAAAAGAAGAAAAGCAGAAUUUCAGGAGCUUAGAGAACUUUUGCACAAUUUGGACAAUAAUUAGACAGAAAUUUUAUCGUUUUCAUUUGUCUAGAAUUUUUUUUAAAUUGCUAUAACGAAAUGUUAUUAUAAAAAACAUAAACAUGAUAUAACAAUAUAACAUCUCAUGAUUAUAUUGCUUUGACAAUUUAGUGUUGUAUAUGAUGUUUUUGUGCAUUAUAUAUUUUACUAUAGUAAUAGCUUAGUUAUUAGAAAUUUAAAAAUUUCAAAGCUAGCUUUAUGUAAUCACCUAAUAGAGCUUUCGAUCUAGAUCUUCUCGUCUCACCAGUUUAGACUCACUCGAAUUAGAACGAUAGGACCUUUAUGCAUUUGGUUCUUUUUUUCUUUCUGUUUAGUACUUCCUUCGUGUCACAUAUAAGUUGAUCACCUUACUAAAUCAAGAAAGUAUAAAUUUUUUUUUUCUUAUUUAUCUUUAUAAUUAAUUCUUUUUGAAAGUGUUCAUAUUUGUUUUUAAAUUUUCCAAGAUGUUUUUAAGGAAUAAAUUAGUAAAAUUAUUUUCUUUUUUAUGAUUUAAUCUUAAGCACCGUGUCAAAUGAAAAAAGAUUAACUAAUAUAGAACGGAAGGGUAUACUGUAUAGGACAAAAGGAAGCAAUAAUUUUCAGCUAGAAACAUAUAGUAGAUGAUAACUUAGAAACAAGUCAAACCAACAUGACUUCCAAUUACUUGAAAAUUGAACCUAAACAAGUAGUAUCAUAUCCUAAUAAACUUAGGAAAAUACUACCUAAUAAUACAUGAAAACUUCAAAAAUACAAACUUAGGAUAAUAAUUAGAUAUGCAUGCAAUACUAAAAUAAAGUUUCAUUAGACAAAAUUACACAAACAAAUUAAAAUGCUCCUAGGGUUUGAUACCACCAAUGCCACCAAUACCACCAACUCCACCACCAACACCUAGACCACCACCACCACCACCACCAAGUCCUCCAACACCGCCACCAAGACCACCUAGCCCUCCGAUACCACUAGCACCGCCUAUCCCACCAGCGCCACCAAUGCCACCAAAAGUAGGUAACACACCACCAAAACCACCACCAAUUCCUGCCCAACCACCAACUCCACCAAAUGAAAUGAAAUUCUUUUUGUCAUCAAGGCCUUUGCUAGGCGUUGGAGCUUUACUUAUAAUCUCCGUGUUUACCGUUACACCCUCCGUCUGAGCCUGAAGCAGACAAAGUAGGAACUCUUUUUGUUAGAAAUACGUAACGAUGCACGCUACAAUAAUAUAUAAUGUUUAGUAUACGUAGAAGUUUAAUUUUUACACUAUCCAAUCACUAAAAAAAUUGUAAAAUUCAUAGAUGAAGUCAGAAUUAUUUUAAAAUUUAGGAUUCUGAAAUUAAUAACAGGAUCAAUUACAAACUUAAUAUUUGUACAUAUUUAAAUAUAUAUAUCAUUUGAGCAAAAGUUAUUGAGUUCAUCAAAUCUGUACUUUGCCUUCUAUCUCCCCCCUCCCACCACUCUUACUCUUAUUAUAUAUAUAAUAUAAUAAAAAUAAUAGUAACAGAUAACUUUUAUCGCAAAACAACAAACCUGAGGAAUGUUUCUUGCAGUAACAACAUGGACAAGUACUACAAGUGCAAACGCUAACACUAUGUACCAAUUACUUGCCAUUUUUUCACUCACACAAGAAAAUAUAAGGUAAUGUUUUUUACUACUAUUGUUGUGGAAUAAAAAAUGGUGAUGAGGGGUAUUUAUAGGGUGAAAAAAAGGGAGGGGACAGUUGUGAGAAUUGAAGAAAUUAAAGAAGGUAAAUACUUUAUAGUAAAUGAAAGGGUAUUAAAUAAAGCCCUAACAAUCUCGAGAGUAGUCUUUUUUCUGUGUAUUGACUAUUGACAUGACAAAGUUAGGUGGACCAAAAAUUAAAAACAAAUUCCAAAGAUAUGAUGAUUUAAAGUAUUUCACGUUAUUCAAGCCAUUCAGAGGCCAUGCAUGUAAUUCUUAUUGCUCUUUGUAUGACACUUGUUGCUUUUUUAGUAGGACAAUUAUCUCAUCGGAAAUGUUUGAUGCUUCUUGGGGCUUCUUUGGCGAAUGUAAAGUCACUGGAUGAAUUAUCGAGUAAAUAAAUCAGAUCCGAAUACGGAUUUAUGGGAAAAAAUCAUGUUAAAAGCGUUGAUUUAUAGUUAACAUACUUAAAUUGAAUUUGAUCAGAUUAUAUUAAGAAUAUCGAAUAUUGCACUUUAUUAUCUAUUAUAAAGUGACUUAUAUAUUUGAUUUCUUCAAUACUUUUUAAAUUGAGUUUGUUAUGUAUACAAGGCUUGCUUAGUGCAAUUUACAUUUUCUUUUGGAUAAUUUAGAAGCUAUUAGGUAUUGAGAGAUUUGUUCAGUGCAUAAAAAGUAACCCGAAAGGCUAGAGAUUGUGACAGAAGUUGUAGCGGUUACAGAUUAUUUGGGGUUUCUAAAUACAUCCGAGGGUGUAGUAUAGUGGUCAAUGAAGUAGUUGAGAACUCUGGGUUCAAAUUAAACUCAGCGAAGACAAAAAAAAACACUAAAUGAUUCUUCCAUCUACUUUAGCAUUGGUGAAUAGAGUUAUCUGAUACCACUUGUUGCUUGAUGAGAAGUGGUCUAGACACAACGGUCUAAAGAAAACACUACAUAACUACUUUAAAAAUUUUAAAAUAAAUUAAUUUAAAUAGACUUUUAAUUAAAUAUUAUCACAUAAAUUGAAACGUUUGAAAGUAUUUUUCAUACUUUAUUUUUCAUUUAGCACAUUUAUCAGUCUCAUUAAAGCAAAGUUAUUUUCUCUGACUUGGAAUGUAGGCGACCAGUUACAUCUAGCAAUUAGAAUGCAGUAAAACACAUUAAUAUGUUGCAUAACUUUGAACAACUACCUUUCUUGACCCAUCAAUAAUUAAUGAACUUCUACUAUAUUCUAGUUAAGUGGUGCGUGUGACUUACUACACGAUAUGAAUUUGAAUUAAUCAGAUAUGAAAUAGGUUUUUUGAAGGUAAUAGGUGAAUUUGUUAUGUUAUUCUAAAAGAUACGAAAUAAGAGUGGUAGAAUUAGUAAUAUUUGAAUGAUAGUUUUUGUUAAUAAUAAUAAUUUAAGUCAUAUAUAUGAUCAGAUUAAUCUUAUAUGUGAGGUGACAAGCCGUUAAAUAGUUUUGAGAGUCAAAUAGUUUAAGUUUGAUCGAAAAUUUGAGCAUGAAAUCUUCAAAUUUUUUGAAAUGAAAUUUAUAUAUUUGUAAACUACGUAAAAAGUACUAUGAGUCACAAUAAUUAAUAAUUUCAAAAUGUUUAUAAGAUCUAUGAAAAAUUUACGAUCAAAUAUAAACUUGUGUAACUCUUGAAAUUCGAAAUGUGACAUAUAAAAUGGGACGGAGAUAAUAGUAUUUAAAUUAAGCACAUUAGAACAUUAAUCUUUGUUAAAAGUAAUAUUUUAAGAAUGAUUAGAUUAAUUUAUCACGUGAUUUUUGGAAGUGACAAAUCGUUAAAAAUGCUUAAAUUAGGAACAUUUGAAGGAUAAUUUUUACUUAAAAGUAAUAUUCUAAAAUAAAGGAAGAUUACGUUAAUCUAACAUAUGAGGUGACAAACCAUUAAUUGCUCAAAUUAAAAAAAUAUGUGAAAGGAUAAUCUUUGUUAAAAGUAAUAUUUUAAAGAUUGACCAAGUUAAUUGAACUUAUAUUAAUUUCAUAAAAAAAAAAGUCACACAUUUAAGUAUAAAUUUUGACCAAAAUAUACUAUAGUACAAAAAAGUUUUCUUAAACAAAAAAUAAAACUCACUAUAUAUAUGUUACCACCUAUAUAUACUAUGGUACCACUCUAAAGUCAAUUUAUAAACCCUAAAUUAUAUAAAUCAAAAUCAGUCUUUUUUCUCUAAUGGCUGAAAAAAUCAUAAGAAGUGCUCUUCUCAUUCUCUUGCUUCUCACAGUUGGUAAGUAUAUAUGUAAAUUUUUGUUUCUAUUCAUUUGAUUAUAAAUUCACAAAAAUCCAUCGUGUUCGUUUUGAAUUUGAUCAUAUCUUUUUGCGUUGGUUAAGCUUAUUCGAUGCAGAAGUUAAUAUAAAAAAAUACAAAAAAUUAUUUUAGAAAUUUUUUUACAUCGCAUGUUCAUAGAUCAAUUACUUAUAUUCAAGGGCGGAGCUAAGGAGGUGUAACUAGGUUUUACCACAUUGAAUCCUCUCAUCUAUUUCAUAUAUUUAUUAUUAAUAUUUAAAUUAAAUAUUUGUUUUUAUAGCUAUAAGGAUAAAAAGGGCUUAUUCGAAUUACGAACUCUGAUAGAAAAUUACAUUUUAUAGUAGAUAUGAAUCAAUCCACUUGUUUGACGAAUGUUUAUUUCUUUCUAAUUUGAUUCUUUUCGUUGAAAAUUCUGAUUCAACCAGACUCGUUCAUUUCAACAUUUAUUAUUUCUCAUUUCAUUUUAUUUUUUUUGUUUUGUCAAAGUGAUGGUGGCAAGUGGAAGAGUUGGUGAACAAAAAUCACCAGUGUGUCAAGGAAAAUGUGAGAACUAUCCAGAUUGUAAUGCAUUUUGCAUAAGAAUUGGAUAUAAGUCUGGUCAAUGUGUUCCACCUUUUGGUCAAUUCUGUUGUUGUGAUCCUUAAAAAUUAAAUUUUAUGGUUCUAUUGGAUGUAAUAUUUGACUUUUUAAUAUAUUAAAUAAAAGUUAUUUUAUGUUGUCUUUAGCUAUUUUAGUUUAGUUGCAAACUUAUCUAGUUUCAAGCUUAUUCAAUUGCAAAUUUAUUUAAUAAACUAUAUAAUAUAAACUAUAACAUAAUAAUAAUUUUUUUGAAAAUAAUAUUCCCAACCAAUGGUUAUACUUUAAAAUAUCAUUUUAACCAAAUUUAACUCAAGUAAAUUUUGAAGUUUUAAAUAAUUUUAAAAAUGUAGAUUUGCUUUUAUUUUACUUUACUCCAUUUAUACUCUUAUCAAAUCUAAAUCUCAAGCAAAUCUAUUAUUGAAUUGUUUGGUUUUUUAAUUGGGCCUCUUUGUGGUUUAGCCUCAGGCCCAAUAACUUGGCCACCCAUUGGUGAUGAAGAUUUAUCUCAAAAGAUUUAUAUAUAUAAUAUAAUGUUAAUUAAUUAAGAUUACGUUUUGAUCAUGUGAGUAUAGGGUUAGGAUUUUCAUUAAAUAGAUUUAAAAAUAUAAAAACGCAAACACGUGAAAAAGUCUAUGAGAGUUUAAUAUCUGCUAUGUAUACAAAAAAUAAUUAAUUAUAUAUAAACAAUAAAAUUUUCCAUCAAACUAAAUUUGAAUGAACUCAUCGGCCCUGUCUUGCUCUACUUCGACUAUUAUAUUAUUGCUUGGUAAAGAUACAAAAGGAUUCUUAUUGUAACAGUCACGAUUCAAACCGUCGUGAUUGACAUCCACACUAACCCUCCGGCGAGAGAAUCGUUACUACAACCCAAUCAAAUAAAUUAACGAAAACUAAAACAUUUAAAGAUACGGAAGUAGAUUUAAAUGUCUAAAGGAAAAAUAGGGAAUUCUCAUAAACUCCGAAGUCUAAAAAAAUAACUACGAAAAUAAUUAACCUAGAAAGUGGAAGUCAGUGUACUAAAACAUCUACGAACAACAAGUCUAAGAAAAUGGGUGCAACUCAUUUAGCCGGAGAAUAACUAAAGUACUGAUCUAAGCCGAAUAAGAUGGACUAAGCAAAAAAGAGAACUCAUGACAACCCGAAAGAACAGACUCACCCUUGAAUUUGAUUGAUCACAGAUCUCCUAGUUGAGGUCUGUCAGUAACCGCAACAGCUUGAAGAUGUAUGUACAGAUGUACUCAACAAAGAAAGAGCAAGUGUAGUGUCAAUACACAACCACAGUGCACUGGUAGGAUCACGCGACUAUUCCAAUUAGUGAAACAUAUGCAAAUAAUCACAACAACAUUAAAAUAGGCUUAUACCGAACAAAUACAAUAUCACUCAUCAUUUCAAGACUAAUGUACAAUUUCACAUUCUCAAUAAUACACAUAUAUGACAAGUCAGUGGUCAUCUCAUGGAACUCAUACCCAAAUUGUUAGUGUGCUGGAUCAUGACAUUCGUUCCAAGUUAGUGUGUCAGAUCGUGACACCCGUUCCAAGUUAAUGUGUCAAAUCGUGACAUCCGUUCCAAAAUGUAUGUCAACAUGUUACAUUCCAUCCCAGUUAAUGUGUCUACCAUUUAUAGAUUAAUACGAUCGUGACACUCGUUCCAAAACACGUCAUUUAAUUUGUAAAUGAUCAUAAGAUUUUUUUUUAAUGUUGCAAACUAGGAACUUCUUAUUUUCAUAUUGUCUCAUUACAUACUAUUCAAUUUUAAUUAUCUAGCAAACUAGAAAUUACUACUUUCAUUCUGUUUCAUCACAUACCAUUCAAUUUGUAAAUGAUCAGGAGAUAUCUUUUUUUUUUUAUCUGGCAAACUAGGAAUUGAUACUUUAUAUUGUUUCAUUACAUAUCAUUUAAUUUGUAAAUGAUCAUAUAAAAAAUCAUCUUUUUUUAUCUGGCAAACUAAUAAUUGCUACUUUCAUAACAUACUAUUCAAUUUGUAAAGAUCAUUAUAUUUAUUUGGCAAAUUAUAAAUUACUACUUUCAUAUUGUUUCAUUCAUAGCCAUUCGAUUUAUAAAUGACCAUAGAAGAUUAUUUUCCAUCUGACAAAUUAGGAAUCGCUACUUCCAUAUCGUUUCAUUACAUACUAUUCAAUUUAUAAAUAACCAUAAAAAAUCAUAUUUUUUGAUGUGACAAACUAGAAAUUGCUACUUUCAUAUUAUUUCAUUACAUUGUUAUUAAAAUAAAAUAAAAAAGUGAGAGCUAGGGUAGAACUUACAUUGUUUAGGCACACAUGCAUGACAAUUUGGCAAAAGAGGGCUAAUAGUACAAUUUGAUUCUAACUACAUAUGUCAAAUCAGUCACAUGCAUGCCUCUUUCAAAGUUAAAGGCAUUAUUAUUAGCUUUUGUUUACACUUUUUCAGUAUUGAGAAUUUUUCAUGAUUGAUUGCUUUGGGUUUCAGUACUCAUAUUUGACCACAUUAUUGUUCAAAUCAGGUAAGAGAAUCAUUUUUCAUAAGAUUAAUAAAGUUAAGUCACAUAUUAUUAUUUCACAUAAAUGGAGGAUACUUUUUCCCUAGUACGAAUUACUCGUAUUACAGUCGUACUAACUGAAUUUGUUUGUCCAAACAUAAAAUUCAAUCAAAAAAAAGUGUUUCUUAAUAAAGAUUUUUCUAUAUUCAGAGCUCGAAAUUGAGAUUUUCGAUUAAGAGAAAGUAACUCAUCUACUGCACCACAUCUGAUAAAAUUUGAAACAAUUACAAUUUAUUCAGUAUACCUAUUUGUUAUAUCUUGAAAAUCAUUAAAUUAGAACAAGUGUUAUUACUUGAAAAAUAUAUAAAUUAUAAUACGAUCGACAAACAUUUUUCACAAAAACAAUUUCAAUUUUGGUUGAUGAGUGAAUUAUUUUUCAAAUGAUGAACAAUACUAUUACAAAUAGUAAACUACAUAGUAUUUUGCUAAAAAGAAUCAGAGUAUUAAAGAUUGAAUUAAAUAUCAAGAUACUUAUAAUUAAAGAAAAUAUUGAUACAAAUUAAGAAGUUAGUAUAAUUACACCCCUUUUAGUGGAAAAUGUUUUUCUCUUGAAAAUAAUUUCCAACCUACCAAACCCACCCUUAAAAAGGCUUGUGGGGAAUGCUUUGCCCCUAAAAGUCUCUCCCAAAUUUUAUUUUCCACUACAAAUCCACAAAGUUGAUAAAGUUUGUUCAUGAUCCUUAAGAAGUUUAUUGUAUAAAUUAAUAGUCAAAUUUUUUCAAGAAAAAGAGGAUUUUUUUAGUUGCAAAAGAAAAAAGUAAAGUAGUCUUAGGUUCAUUUGAUUCGCAAACUAAAUUAUUUCAGAAUUAUAGUUUUGUAAUUAUAAUUUUUGAACUAGUUUAUUCCACUUGAAAGAUGGAAUGAGAUAAGGUGAGAUAUUCAGUACAAAUUUAAUACCAAACUUAAUUUUGACAUAUUCCACCUUAUUCCGCGUACCAAAUGAACUCAUUAUAGUAUACAACAACAAUAUCUCACAAGUAAAGUCAGAAAAUAAUGGAUGUACGUAAACUUUGCCCCUAUUCAUCAGGUGUUAGAGUAUCAUUAUUCAAAUACCUAUAUCAAGGACAAAAGAUGUACAAUAAUCACUAGUGUUUCAUGCACUUUGUUUUAUUAUUUACUCAUUUAUAUGUAGGUCCCAAAUAUUUGUUUGAAAGCUUAAAAAAUGAACCUUAAAACAAGGAGGAAUAAAGUUGACUUUAGUAGCUACAUGAAAGCUUUAAAAAUGCUCAAAAAGCCAAAUUAGCAUAAGUUGGCUUGUUUUGUUUCAACUUGUCACACAUAUCUACCACCUUUCUAAUUCUCUUUACAUAAAAUUCCAAACAAACAAACAUAGGAUUAUUGAAACUUAAAACUAAUAGUAACUAAUAUGACAAACUCCAAUAUUCAACGCAAAUGUAAUAUGUUUUGUUUAAUCACUUAAACAGUUUAAACUCCACUUUUGGCAUUUGAUGAUGAUGAUGAAUAAUAAAGCAAUGAUGAAGCAGAGAAGCUUGUGUUAUUGCUCAUUGUAUACAUACUUCUUGCUUUCUGUCCUGAUGAAGAUGUUGCUAAAACACCCUUUGUUGAGUUGUUGUUUUCUUGAUUAUGAUCAGUAGUUGUUGUUGUUGUUGGAGAGCCUUUGAGUAAAACAUCGACUUUUGCGUAUUCUUCUCUUUCAUGUUUGAUUUCCUUUAGCAUUGCUGCAACAUCUUUCAUUGUAGGCCUUUCAUCUGGAGUGGAGUUGACACAUAACAGGGCUACUCCUAAUGCUUGUAACAUUUCCUCGAUUUCUGAUUCUGGUCUCGAGUGUAGACUUGGAUCGAGGACUUCAAUUCCUCCUCUUUUCCGUCUUACCCAAUCAACUAGAUGCACUCCUUCAGGAAUUGUUGGAUCGAUUGGCUGCUUACCUGUCAAGACUUCUAAUAUAACUACUCCGUAGCUGUAGACAUCGCUCUUUGCAGUGAUCUUCAUCAUAUAGCCAUAUUCUGUGUAAUGCAAAAUGAACAAUAUUGAUACACUUUCGAUCAAUGAUCAUCAAGAACUACUGAUAUUCUUUGUAGAUAAAUGCAAUGUGCAAUCAUUGUCCUUCGAUUUUUGUUACUACUGUUUGUUUCUUGUACUUGGAUUAUUUUAGGAGGCAUUAUUUUGAUGUAGUUAGUGUUCGGCUUUCACAUCCGUAACUUCUUUUUCUGCAGGACUACACUGGGUAUGUUGUUGUUAUGGUUGCAAUACACAAUCAAUGCUUAUAAUAUAACUAAGUAAAACGUAUACUCGGAAUAAUAUGCUAGGUGUAAGGAAAAUGAUGACAUGAAAUAGAAAAGAAUUUUACCUGGAGCAAUGUAGCCGUAAGAACCAGCAACUGUAUUGGAGGAACGACCAAAAUCACCAUCAUCGACUAGUUUUGCGAGGCCAAAGUCUGCAAUGUAAGGCUCAAACUCCAGACCAAUGAGAAUGUUGUUGGCCUUGAUGUCUCUGUGAACAAUUGGAGGAGCACAGUCAUGGUGCAAGUAGGCGAGCCCUUGUGCUGCCCCGAGCAAUAUUUGGUAUCUCAAUUCCCAUUCCAAAGGGUUACCGCUUCUCUCAUGGAGAAGACUUCCUAAGCUCCCAUUAGGCAUGUAAUCAUACAUGAGCAAUCUUGUGCUUCUGUUCCAACAACACCCCAAGAAUCGGACAAUGUUCUUGUGUCGAAUUGAACCGAGUGUCUUAACUUCUGCAGAGAAUGAAUCACGUACCCCACAUUUCUCAUCAUUGCCUCCAUUUGUUGUAGUCAUGGUUAUUGGCCAAAGCUUUUUCACUGCUAUGACAUCACCAUUGUUCAUAUCUGCACGAUAAACCAUCCCCGAGCACCCUUUUCCAAUGACAUUAGUAUCCACAAGGCAUCUGAGUAUUUCGUCCACUGAAAAAUUGAGCUUCUGGAAUGGAGUAAACUGCCAAGCCCAAGAAUCUCCCAUCUCUGAAUCAUCAUCCCUUCUCAUCGCCCUUCGUGCGCGUAUGAUAGCAAUAGUUCCCAUAAUCACCAUUGCUAUUGUCAUGAUGACUAGCAAUGCAAUGGCUAAUUUGAGCUUCUUUGACCUUCCCUCAUCAUUUUCGUUUUUAGCUACUCCUACUCCAUCGAUAUUGCUGAGGAAACACGAAGGCCUUCCGAAUGAACAUAGACCUUCAUUUCCAUCUAGGUCUGAUGAUGGCAACUGUCGAAAGAGCUUAUUGUCCGGAAGAUAACCAGUGAAGUUGUUGUAUGAGACAUUCAGUGAGACAAGAUUAUCGAGCCUCGCUAGUGGAUUCAAGUUCCCUUCAAGGUUAUUGUGCGAAAGGUCAAGUAUCGACAGCUUGCUUAGUGAAGAAAUUUCAGCAGGAAUUGGACCUGUUAGUUCAUUUAAACUAAGGUUGAGAGUGAUUUCAAGGGACUCAAUCUUUCCUAACUGCAUCGGUAUGCCUCCCGAGAGCUUAUUGCUGCUAAGAUCAAGCAAUUGAAGACUCGAACACAUGCCAAUAGAUGGAGGUAUAGACCCUGAGAACGAAUUCUUACUGAGAAUCAGCUUAUUCAACGACACAAGACGCCCAAAACUAGCCGGUAUAGGCCCUGCAAACCGGUUAUUUGAAACGUCCAAGACUUGAAUCCCUGAUAGUGAAGACAGAGUGUUAGGCAGGGGACCUUCCAGUGUAUUGCUGCUGAGGUCUACCAUUUGUAGCUCAGUACAGCUACUUAUCUCAUCAGGAACUGGUCCAGAAAGGCGAUUCCCGGACAAAUCAAGAAAGUUUAAGCUCUUAAGACCUCCAAUUUCUUUCGGUAUUCCACCAGCUAUCCUGUUGUUUCCAAGUCUUAACCUCACUAAUGAGCUACAAUAUCCAAUUUCUCGAGGUAUAGUACCCGAAAUAUCGUUAGAAAUCAACAGCAGCUUAGUAAGGUUUUUCAACUGAAACAAGCCUGGAGGAAUGCUACCAGUAAGUGAGUUAUGUGACAAGUCCAGUGCCUGAAGGUUACUACAACUACCCAAAGUUGAAGGCACACUUCCUUCAAGUUGAUUAUCCCAAGCAAAAAACACAACAAGACUAGUCAAAUUCCCUAACUCAGAAGGAAUCAAACCUGAAAUCUGAUUUGUGUCAAGCUGCAACUGCACAAGACUUGUACAUUGUGAAAGAACAAAAGGGAUUGAACCAGAAAUAUUGUUGUUACUAAGCAUAAGCUCUUGUAACACAACAAGACCACCAAAGGAUAAUGGUAUACUCCCAGACAAAUAGUUCAAAGACAAAUCAAUCAUAAUCAGCUUAGUACAAUUCCCAAUCUCUUCUGGUAUAACACCAACAAGAUUAUUCUGCCAAAGAAGCAACUUUUCUAACUUUCUAAGGUUCCCUAGCUCAGAUGGGAUUGAACCAGAAAGACUGUUUUCAUACAAAUACAAGUUCACAAGCUCAGUACACUUACCUAAAUCAGCAGGUAUCUCACCAGACAACAUUGUAGUAUAAAUAGACAAAGUUUCAAGAUUCUUAAGCUUACCCAAAGAAACAGGCAAAGAACCAGAUAUUCUUGUAUCAGCUAAGCCUAAAACAGUCAAAUUCCCACAAUCUCCUAACUCAUUUGGGAUUUUCCCAGUAAUAUCUUUAUUCCCACCAGCUCUUAACACUUCAAGAUUUGAUAACAACCCCAUUUCACUUGGUAAACCACCACUAAGCCUGUUAUCAAAAAGAACAAGAUUUUUUAACCUUCUACAGUUCCCAAUCUCAACUGGGAUCCUCCCAGUAAGCUGAUUUGAGUUCAAAAUCAAAUCUUGAAGGUUCACAAGUGUUCCAAUGCUUAAAGGAAUAGUACCCACAAGACCAUUUGAGCUUAAAUCAAUAGUAACAAGUGAAGAACAGUCACCCAUGUUAAAGGGUAUUACACCAGUGAUGUUAGCAUCAGAAAUGACAAGCUUCUUCAGGUACUUAUAUGAAGAAAGAUUUGUAGGUAAAGGAAGUUCAAGAUGAAUAGACUGAAUAUUGAUUUCUGUAAUAAAACCUUGGAAGUUGCAUUUUAUGAAAGACCAUUUACAUGGGGUGUUAUCAAGAAUGUCCCAACUAGAAAAUGGUGCAACAACAUCAGUAACAGAAGAAGAAGAAGAAGAAGUGAAGAGAAGGGUAAUCAAGAAAAGAAAAAAAUGGUAUUUUUUGUUGGGAUUUGAAGAAGAAGAAGAAGACAUCUUUGCCUCAAAUUCCAAAAAUUUCUUCUUGGGUUUGCAAUUGCAUAUCAAAAAACCAAGUAAAAAUCACUUCUUUUUUGUUUCUUGGGUUUUGCUCUGUUUUUGUGUAGUUUCUUGGUUUCUACUCAAACUGAGAGUUUCAAAAACUUCAACUUUUUUCUAUUGGUGAUAUUGCAAAACAACAACAUUAAAAUAACAUGCUAAAAGGUGAAAAGAGAGGAGAUUAAUUAAACAAAUAAAAGGCAAAUAAUAAAAAAAAAUGGUUAACAAAUAAACCAAGCAAAGAAUACAUUGAGAUUGGCAAUUCUCUUAUCCACCUCCACCAUCUUCCCCUAGGAUCCCUACAACUACCACCACCCUCCUUUGAUAUAUUAGCACUCGGCGAGUUUCAGCGGCGGAGUUAGAAUUUUUAUGAAAUAUCGAAAAAGCAUGCUUAGCGGCGGAGUUAGAGUUUUCUUGAACAAGUCAAAAAGGGUUUGAUAUGUAGUAUAUAUAGAUAAAAAUCAUUUUAUUUGACCUAAGCCGACUCCGGUCCGAUUUAUGCCGCUUUAACUAUGGUUUAACCAUUUAGAUAAAAAAAAAAUCUUUCCCUUUUUAUAUGUAUACAUUUGAAUUUAAUACAACUUUACUUUCAUUUGCGUAUUUAGAAUUUGGACAGAGAGUUUUAGAUACAUAAGGUGAUUCCACUUCUAUUUACACCGUUACGUUUUGUUUGUUUAAUUUUAACUAUGGUUUAACUAUUUAGAUUAAAAUAAAAUCUUUCCUUUUUUUAUACAUAUACAUUUGUGUUUAAUAUAACUUUAAUUGACGGAUUUAGAAUUUGGACAAAGAGUUAGAUGCUAUGAAAUUGAAAAGGAAAUUAUAAUUAAUGAAGUAAAUAUGAUGGUAAAUUGUUUUUUUUUAAAUGGUGAUUAUGUAAAUGUAAUCUAAUUAAGAAAAAAAAUACCAUUGUAGUCCAACAAUUCUAAGUUGUAUAUAAGGAUGUGAUAUUGUAAAUAUAAAAUAACAAAAAAAGAAAGGAAAAAAUUAUCUCAAAAACUUAUCUUUAUUUUAUGAUAGUGAGUUAAUAUAUAAUAACAAAAUUCAUAAUCAUUAAUAAGGUAAUGUAAAAAUUAUUAAAUUCACUUUUAAAAUAUAAAUUACACUGUAGAUCCAUCCCGAAAAAAGUAACGCUUAGAGGGGAAACAGCCGACACAAGAAAACACAAGAGAGUGAGAGAGAGCAGUUAGCUCCAAAACCAAGUGUUUGUGUGUAAUAUUUUACAUUUAUUUAUUUAUGGAUAAUAAGUUGAAUAUAAGUAUUGGAGUUUUGAUAUUUAUAUCGAAAUUUGUGAUUUUUCUUAUGUUCUUAAUUAUUUUUUAUCAUCUCAAAAUUUUGAUUUCGUCAUUUGAUCUUUGAUGAUAUAUCUUCAAUUUGAUUAACCUUAUAUCAUUGCUAAGCAAAAACAAAAAACAUUGUAAGUUUAUUGUAUUAUUUUUCUGUUUACUUGCGUAAAAAAAAAUCACAUUAUUGGAUUAAAUAUCUUAAAAUUGAAGCAAUGGAUGGGAAAAUAUUUCUAGGACACAAGAAUCCAUGCCAUGUUCUAUCAUAAUGUAUUAUGUUUAAAUGUUAGUGAAAUGUUUAGCAUGAUUUUGAACUAUAAAGCUAUCGAGGUGUAAAAUGGACGGAUUAAGCUGAAUUUAUAAAAAAUUAUGAAUUCGUCUAUAAAAUAUUUAUAAAGCUAGUAGCUAACGAUAUUUGACUCGAUAACAAUUAACUUAUGUUGCUGAUUAUAAAGACUUUAACACACUCUUUAUUACUGUAUAUAUUUAUUACGACUAAAAGUUAUUUUUAUUACAGCACAUUCAGUUUAAAUUCACAAAAUUAUCACUUUUUUCCUUAAUGUUUUUCCAUUGUUUAUGUAACUUAAUUUAGUGAACAUGAGAACUAAUCAUAAACAUGCAAUAUCAUGCGUAUAUAAGCGUGAUAUCUUUGGAUAAUAUAUAUUAUUUUCAUCAAGUUAUUACAUCAACUAAUAAUUAAUUAAAAAUUAAGAAUUAUUUACCCUAAUUAUUUAUUAAACCUUAAUUAGCGCGUAAAAUCAUGUAUGUGUUUUGUAAGUUAAUUGGGGUAAUAAGUACUAUUCCAAAGUUUAUUUUACCACACAUAAAGUUGGAGCAUAUAUCGAUAUUAGCAAAAUUUUGCUUCAAGAUCCAAUGUAAUUUGUGUUUUAAUUAUGUAUUAGGAAACAAAAUCUUGCCAUAACUAUUUCAAAAUUAUGUUUAAUUAAUAUUAGGGAAUCCUAUAUGUGUUUAUUUAUUGUUUUAUGGUUAAAAGUCUGCAGUGUCAUAUCAAUUAAAUUAUUAUAUAGUUAAAAAGAAAACUGAAUUAUGGGAGUCACAAGGAUGGAAUAUUUAAUAAAAUAAAAGUUAUUUGACACUAAUUAUUAUAUCUUUAUUUUUUACUAUAUUCUCCACUAAUUAAUUUCAUUAAUUUUAUUUUGUUACUCCCAAGGAUUGUACAAUAUUGGUGUUCACCUUAUAUCAAAACCAAAUAAUAUUAAAAGAAAAAUUCAACCAUUCUUAUGGUAAAAAAAGAACUGGCAAAAUUAUCUUUUUAUUUCGGUUUAAAGCAAAAAAAAAAAAAAUGUGAAUAUAAAAGAAUUUUAAUAAUUUAAUUAAUUGACUAUUUUAAUUUUCAUCUUGUUAAUAAUUAAUGAUAGUUUAUUUUCCACCUGAUGAUGAUUUUCUUUUCAACAUUUUUUCUUUCAUUUCUCUCCCAUUUAGAUUUUAUUGUUUUCUCUGUCUUAAUUUAUUUAUUUUACUUCACUUUUUAGAGUCGAUUGAAAUUAUCUUUUAACUUAUGAUUUAUAAGUCAAAAGUCAUAAAUUAAAAUUUAAUGUUUCUUUCAAUUUAUUUUACUUAUUUUAUAAUAAUUUAUUUAUUAUCAAACAAAAGUAACAAAAUGUUUCUACUAUUUAUAACUUUAUGAAGCAAAAAAAAGUCAAUACUUUUUUUAUAAAAUUAACUUGAACUACACAUUUUAGUUUCAACUAUCUUAAUAUUUAGCUAAGCUAAUAUCAACAUAUCGAAAUAAUUAGUUUAAUAAUUAAAAAACUAAACAUAAUAUAUUUUCAUAGGUUAAUUUUAUCGCUCCGAGCAAAACAAUCAAUAUUGGUAAUACUUUCCUCAAAUUUAGCUAACAAUGAUUGUUAAAAAAAAAAGAUGAAAUUUAGGUAAAGGACAUAGAGAAUUUAUAAGAUCCACCCACACGUACAUGUUGAUUGUGAUUAUGUAGACCAAAGUCAAAAUCAAAUCUAAAGAGUGGGACCUAUAUAUGUAGGCUCCAUUAGCCUCCUAAAAUGAACAUCAAACCUAGAAAAUUAAUUUUUUUAAAAAAAGUUUGAAAAAAAUAAAUAGAGUAGAAUAAAAACAAAAUACAAUGAAAAUAAUCGAGUUGACGUAACAUGCGAUAUUUUAUAAGAAAAGGUAGAGAUUAAUUUUAUCUUUUAAUAUAUUUUACAAUCGAGUUCAUUGCACCAUAUUCGUUUGAUGUUUUUUACGCUAUUAUACAGAAGUGAAUUUAUCAAAUGCACAAUUAAAAAAAAGUAAAAAAAAUUCCAAGUUGUCCUAGACUUUUUUUUUUUUAAUUUUAAAAGGGAAAAGAAAAAAAUAUGUCACUAAAUUAUUGUAAAUGGUAUGUAAAUAUCACCUGUCAUAGUUUUGAGACAUUUGUGCCUCUGUCGUCAUAUUAUACUAACAGACAUACACGUGUCAUAAUUUUAUCCACCGAUCCGAUAUUUAUCGACGGAUAAGAUUGCAUCAUGUGUCCCUAUUUAGUCUUCCGUUAGAGUGAAGGGCAUAUAUGGUCCAAAAAGUAUGACGGAGGGUAUCUGCAUACCAUCUACGAUAGUUUAGAGGUGUAUUUGUCCUUUUUCUCAUUUUAAAAAAGAUCGUCAUAGACAAUGACGAUUUUAGAUUUUCACUAAGGAAAUUCGGUAAAUAAAAUAUAGUACUUGAAAUUUGAAUUUGAAAGCUCAAAGUGAAUUUAGAGCCCUAUAAACAACAAAGUCAGCUAUUAAUCUUGUGUUCAACCGAUUCAAAAUCUAUACAUAAACUAAAAAUACAAAAAAUACCUUAUAUACAUAUACAAUAUACUAACUCUUUGUCGAGUGAACAUCCUCGCCUCUUCUAGAUCCGCCCCAGACCAUAGAGUUGUUAUCACUUAUCACUAGUGAAAUAUAAAAAUAGAAAGAAAACAAAUAUAAAAUUGUAAGUAAGUGGAAUUGAGUAGGAAUAAUGAUAGCUUUUGGCAAACAAAAUUCCAGAUUUUGAGGGUACUUCACGUGAGCUUAACAAUCUCACCAAAUUUAUUAAUUUUAUGUCCACUAAUUGCUUCAACAUAUAUAUACCAAAUCCCCCUUGCAAUUUUCUUGUUAUUUUAUUGGUUAGAGUUGGACUAUAUAUUUUAUUUUAAAAACUAUAUAUAUAUAUAUAUAUAUAUAUAUACAUGAAAUGCUUCUUCUUUUUUUGUUUAUAUAAUUUCAUAUUAGAAACUUGUCUAUAAGUAUUUGACUUGUCUUUUCAAUUGUUUCUUAUUUUAUUUUGGGGGGGGGGGGGGGAUGAGGUGUGGUGGGGAGGUUAUAAUUUGAAUUUAUAGGAAAUUUAAGAAAUAAAUAAAUAAAACUUAAAAGUAGGUGGACUUAAUUAUUCCAUAGCUUUUGUAUGCUAAAAGUUUUUUGAAUUUGUAAUAUUUAUAUAGUUAAUAAAAAAAUUCUAAGAAGUUUAGAAUAGAAUCUUUUCGAAUUAAUAGGUGUAUCCGUUUUUUUUUCCACAUAAAUUGAAACAUACAAAAUAUUUUAUUAUGUAUAAGUCUAUACCUCAAAAUAUAUAAUCCAAUUAAUUGUUAAUAAUCUUAGCAUAUAUAACACUCGAUUCCUUUAGUAAAUCUAAUUGUACGAGUUUUACACACGAAAGGCGUGAAUUCUAUUUUCACCUCUGUCCUCGACCACUUUCCUCUCAUUUUCCCAUAAUAAUACCUCCCCUUUUCUUUUUUCUGUUUCCCAUCUGGUGUCCGGAGCUCUGACUAAAUUCGGAUUGCACUCUGUAGGGCCUAUUUGAGGGUGGGACUCUCAAUGGAAUUUUCUUCAUACCCAGGGCUCCAACCGAAAACCUCUAAUUUAGGCGAAACACUCCUAUCAGUACACCACAUUCUACAAACCUAUUUUUAACUGAUCUAUCGAUGAAAAUUUGAAUUUAUCAAAAUGAUACAUUUCAAGCAUAGUAUACCUAAAGGGGAAAAGAAUAAAUUUUUCACAAAUAGUAAGUAUUAUUUUUUUAAAAUAAUUAUUAUCAUGAUUAUUUUUUUUUACUAUAUAGUAUUGUUGGUCCAUAAAGAAAAGUUUUUGGACAAUAAGGUCCAAAAAAGAUAAAGAUAAACGGCGCUGCAAAGAAGAACCUAUUUCCCUAAAAUAAGGGUAUUUGUGGCCUUGGAAAACUAAAACUCUUACCUAUUGGAAUCUUUACACGUUUUGCUAUGUCUAAGUGUCAACUAAAAACCAUAUACUCAUUCACACUUUGGCUUAUAAAAAAAAAGGGACAAUGAGUAGUAUUAUAUAUAUUCUUGUUAUUAAAUCAUAAUAUAAGAUAUCAAUUACUUCGGUGAUCGCUAAGUUGGUUGAAUAAGAUAUCAUCCAAAUGAUAAAAUUUUGAAUUUGAUAUCAUUUUCAGUGAUUGAUAAAUUGAUUGAAUAAAAUAUCAUUCGAAUGGAGGAAUUUUGAGUUUGAUAUCAUCUUCAGUAAUCGCUGAGUUGAGGCUUAGUUAAAUAAGAGAUAUCUUUUGGAUAAUGCAUUUUGAGUUUGAUGUUAUUUGCAUGCAUUUUUUGAUUGAACUUUGUGGACUAUUACGAAAAGCAAAGUUUAUCAAGAAGGAUAAAAUUAUAGGUUAAUAUUGUACAAAGGCAAUAAAGAUAUAGUUAUUUGUUUGAUUAGUUAACUUCUUUAAAAAGUUAUAAGAGCACUUAAAAAGAGAUAUUCAUAAUGUAAUAUAUUUAUAACAAUUUUCAUAUUGUAUUUUUCAUAGAUUAUAUUGUUUAUAAAAUGAGAUUUUCUCUCUUUUAUAUAUGGAUUUGGAGGUCAAUUUAGGUGAUAUAUAUAUAUAUAUAUAUUUCUAAUUAUAAGGAGUUUCAACUCUUAUCAUUUAAGUGUAAAGCUCAAUUAAAUUGGAUUAGGACAUAACAUAUGUAAGUAACUCAAAUAUUGAUUAAACUGAUAAAAGACUUCGUUAAAUAAAUAUUAAUAUAUUUCUAGUGAUCAAAUAUUAAAUAAUAUAUAAUUGUCUGAUUAAUAAAUAAACGUAAGAGAUUUUUCCUAAAUGUAGGACUUGAUUAUUUAGAAAUUUAAAUUUCAUAUAAAGUGUCACAAUAAUUAGCCAAAAAAAAAAGGGGGCAAAAGAGACUUUAGAAUAUGAGAAAAAUAACAAGAGGUGAAACUUAUUUUGGGUAAAAAUAAUUAUGUGCAAGGUAGAUAGACUCAUAGUCAUAGACAUUAAUAAAAGAUAUUUAGACUAAAUUAAAAUAGCUAAUUAAUUAAUAAAUUUUGACUCAAGUCUUCAUAUAGAUAUUGUUAAAAAUAAAAUAAAAAUAACUUAUGAACAUUGGUCUGCGGUAUUGAUUCUUUUCUUCAAUUAUUAGGAAUACAAAAGAAAGGCAUAUUUAUAAAUAAAAAUAAAAUUAUAGUAUUUAUUAAAAUAUGGAUUAGGGGUAAGUCACAUGAUUAUUAUGACAAAUCAUGUGACUUCCAUUUUUCUUUUAUCAUUUUAAAACACUUUAUUUGAGAAUAAUCAUCCAGUCAACGACAUAUUUUGGCUAAUUUUUGGACGUUAUUAUAUAUAAUCGGGAAAAUGGACAAGUACCCCCCAAUCUAUGCCCGAAAUCUCAGAGACACACUUAUACUAUACUAAGGUCCUAUUAUCUCCCUGAACUUAUUUUAUAAGUAAUUUUCUACCCCUUUUUAGCCUACGUGGCACUAGUUUUAAAAAAAAAGUCAACCAUCUUUUGGCCCACAAGAUAGUUCAGGGGAUAAUAGGACCUUAGUAUAGUAUAAGUGUGUCUCUGAGAUUUCGGGCAUAGGUUGAGGGGUACUUGGGCAUUAUCCCUAUAUAAUCUAAACAAAGAAAUGGGCCACAAAUUAAUCCUAUACAAAAAGCAUUUCUCAUUUUCAGUAUAAGAUUUUCUUUUUAUAUCUCUUACAAUUUAUAAAAUUUCUCGUUCAUGGCUGAAAGAUCUAUUUUGAACAACGAAAGCAUAUGAGAAACUGUUAAAUAACUAUCUAAAUUUUUGUAAGGUAUUACAUGUAUGUUCUAGUUGGUGCUAACACAAUAUUUAAACGGAUGCAAAUGACUGGUAUAUAUUUAUUUGUUCCCAUCGUUAGAUUAUCGACAUCGGUAUAGGAAUUGCAAGAAGAUGCAUCGACUUAUAACAUACUUGUCACCCUUCACAAUCUGUUCUUAUUACAUGUCAUAUUGAUAAAAUCAAGUGAUUUAUAAGUAAAUAUUUUUUAUUUUUUAAUUGUACUUUAUGUUUAUUCUAGACGAUAAAAGAUUAAUGAGAUCGAUGGGAAAAUCCUCUCAUUAUAAAUGAUACAUAUAAAAUCAUUAAAUAUAUAUGUUCUGUCAAUGAUUUAAAGUUUAUAAUUUAUUUUCUAUUUCUCAUGAGUUAAUAAUUCAUGAUUUUUUUCCCACAUCGUCAAGGAAAAUCUAUUUUCAUUCAUAUAUUAAAGAACGAUGAGACAAUAUUAAUCGCCGAGCUCAAUAACUUUAGCUUGUAACCCAAGUGGGGGCAAUAAUGUGGUGGAAUAUUGGGCUAGUCCAAAAAGGUUGGGCCUGAUGGGCUUAUAUCUGGCCUGCCCUGUCCAAGUACAGAGUUGGGCCUUGUGGUCCAAUCGAAAGAAUGGGCUGAUGGGCUCCUAAAGUUGGGCGGAGCGCGUGAGGCUGGUUUCACAGAGCAACGAACAGUUCCCGCUCUGUACAGUGGAAGGAUAACGAGUCAGUGCCGGCCAGACCCAGUAAGAGCCUCGUGGGUUGCUUCGAUUAAACCACCACUUUUUGUUUUAGUUAAAUCAACUACUUAGCUCUUGGAU
rnacentral:lncRNA from 1 species